CCUGGGUACUUCUUCUUUCUCUUUUUCUUCUUGAAUGAUGAUGGAAGGAAGGUUGGGGCUGAUAUUCCUGUGGAAGUCUAAUGGUGGCGCCUCUGUAUGUGUAUACGAAGAGAUAUGUAAUAAAGCAAAGAGAUUAGCCUGGGGAGAUAUCCUUUCUGGUAGCAUAUCAGCGAGUCUUCAGCACCUGACUGCUUAGCUUUGGAGGAGACAGCGAACUGAACAGGUAGAAGUCAGUAGCUGUGGCAUAUGGAUGAGCUGAGUAGGAAAGUAGUGCACAAAGUUCUGUGGAUAAGUUGGACCUUUUUGUUUGGGGUACUAUCUAGGAAAAUACUUUGAACUUGUACUUUUACAAGAUGGGCCCACCCUCCUUUUGGAAUUGAAGCUAAACGUGUGGGAGUGAAGGGUUGAAAAAUAAAAGAAUAUCCUUGGUCUAUGAUGACAGAGAAAAAGGCGCUUUGUCUUAGUCAAGUAGUUUUAUUUUGUUUUAUUGCCUUUUCAAGGUUUAGUGAAGUCGGGAGUUGGGGCUCCUCUUUGUUUUUAUUCUGCUUAGUAGAUUUUUUUUUUGGGGUUUGCAUUGUCUUUUUAUAGAGAUGGAUNNNNNNNNNNNNNNNNNNNNNNNNNNNNNNNNNNNNNNNNNNNNNNNNNNNNNNNNNNNNNNNNNNNNNNNNNNNNNNNNNNNNNNNNNNNNNNNNNNNNNNNNNNNNNNNNNNNNNNNNNNNNNNNNNNNNNNNNNNNNNNNNNNNNNNNNNNNNNNNNNNNNNNNNNNNNNNNNNNNNNNNNNNNNNNNNNNNNNNNNNNNNNNNNNNNNNNNNNNNNNNNNNNNNNNNNNNNNNNNNNNNNNNNNNNNNNNNNNNNGAGAAUUGAGAUUGAGUGCUGGAGGAGCGAUUCAUAAUGCUAAUUUGGGAAUUGAUGUUCGUCUACCCAUUGACAAACUAAUAUACAAUCAAUUAACUAUGAAUUGUGAUUACAAGUGGUACCUCUCCAUUGCAAUUAGGGUGUGCUGUGGAGUUUCUCCGUUGCAUGAACAACAACAUGUUAUAGGUUUGUUGGUGGUGAAAGUCAUAUUAAAAAUGCAGGAGCCAAGAUUUCUGUGUUCAGCUGUGUACCUAGUUCUUGGGGCAUGAACUUUUGUCUUCCCAGCUCAAAGCACUCUUUGCCUUCCUCUUCAAGUGAUACAAAGGAGUCAAAAUUAUUUGAUGACAUUGAUACUGGGAUAUUCAUCCAUGUUAAAUUGUUUUCCCUGUAUUUUCUUGUUCCUGAACUUUCUUGUAUAAAAGAAGCAUCUUGUACACAUUGUUAGGAGUGAAUGGGGUCAUCGAGGUUAACCUAUGUCCAAGUAUAUGCCUUCUCAUCUCUACUUUUGGGUCACGGUUUGCUGAAAGCUGAUAAGUUACUCCUGGAUUAGCCAGAGCAUUAUAAUUAGUGGCUAUUAAUUAUACCUAUGCAAGAUUUAAAAAUUGUUUUAGGAUUGCUACCUGUGUAGGAUGCAAUUAAAAGAUGGAACUUGGUCACAUCAAAAGUCAUUCCCAGUUGGAAUCAGGAGUAGGAUCAUUGGAGAUGUAGGAGGGGAUUUCUAAUCCCAGUCCUAAAUAUUCUAUUUGGCCUAUUUAUUUAGCAAUCAAUCUCAUAGUAAACCAAAUUAGGCUCCAGUUCUCAUUGUGCAUGACCCAUUGUACGUCUAAAACAAUAUCUAAAGGCCAAACCUGCUAAUUAGGGCUAACUUUGGGGAUUGAACUAUAAGGGAAUUAUAAAUGAGAAUGAGGUGUUGCCCUCAUCUUGAAUUAGAUUGGAUGGAAGAUUUGAUUGGUAGUUGUGGUGAGGCUGAAGAUACUUUCUAUACAGACUUGGGAGAAUCCAUAAGCUUUUUGCCGGAGUAAGAAUAACCUUCAUGAGAGGUUGGGUUGAGGUAAAUGGACCAUCUGCUGUGCCUCCACAAACAACAGUGCAGCCCAAUGCCAACACCAUUGUACAGCAACCACCUCUACUGGCUGGGGACGGAAUUCUUUUUCAUGUUACAGCAUAUAGCACUUUACCUUGCCUAUUUCUUUCAUUUUCCUCUCUUCUUCUUUUCACUGCCAUCAUCCUCUUUUGCAUUUGUUUUAUUCUCUUCUUUACUUUUGCCUUAGAUGCUUCUCUAGUUAACUUUCUUUAAGAGGUACAAGAGCUCCUUCAGUGAUGUGCUUCUGCUAUGGUGAUAAUAUAGUGCUUUUGUCUUCUACUUUUGAGCUUCAUUCCCUCUUUUCAAAGAUAACAUACAGGUGAUAGUACAGAAAAAAGAUAAAGGAUCUAUCACUUUAGACCUUAACUUUUUGUAGGGUCUUACAAUCAUUGAUCCAAAGUAUGGUCCAAUUUCUAUUAUUUUGGGAUCACUCUUAACAACCUUUACCUUAAGGGGUUGAUUUUAUACUGCAGGGAUUGCGUCCCAUAGAUGUAUUGAUUAGAUCAUGAACUGUCGUUUUGUGUAGCUUUGACAUGCCAUCUAUGUAUAACUAUCUAAAAAAAGAAUGCGCCUGGCAUAUUGACAUGGGAAUUGGCUCUAGGCAAUCUAUUGGGACGCGAGAUCUCUGGCCUGGUGCUUGGGCUCUAGAAUCUAGUAUUGUGGAAUCCUCUUCAUUUUCUCACCUUCUAUUUCUGGAUUCUCUCCCAUGAUUGCCCCAAAUUUUUACUUUUUGUUCCCCUAUUCAUUUAUGAGUCGCAUUACUUCCUUUUCAUGUCUAGUUCACAAUACAUUUCAUGACAUAUCCUUUAGGGGGAUCUUAUAGUGCUUGUGCUGUUUGCGAGUUUUCAAUUGGCUUGUAUCCUCUUCAUAGAGAUACCUGUAUUUGUAUUGUACCUUGCUAUUGUCCCUUUUGGUUCCUUUUUUUACCAAAAUCUCAUUCUAGAGUGACAAAUUUUCCGUGCUGUUAAUCAAAUAGUUCAAAUCAAAGUUUUAAUUGUGAUCUAGGCAUAAUCAAGUCAUUGACUUGAUUGGAUAGGGACCUACAUUUCACUGUUUUCUUAUCCACAGGCUGUGACAGCAAUGGUGCAGCAAGCUUUGUAAUAUGUUGACUAGACACCUGAUCAUGAGACCAAGAUAGAGCUUAUUAAGACACUUAACUCUGUUGUUGCUGGGAAGCUGAAUAUAUGAGAAAUCACAUCCUCUUGCAGCUUAUGUUCAUCAGCAAUCUGCUUUUAUUUCGUGAUUUCUGUAGCUAGUUUCGUAACUCAAGUAUAUGUCGAAAUUGAGAGAGCACGGUUGAUCAAGAAACUUGCAAAAAUAAAGGAAGAACAGGGUUGUGUAGCAGAAGCUACUGAUUUGAUGCAAUAAUUGAGGAUAACUAGAAGUUAACUUCUGUUGUCACUGAUCUUGUAAUUGGUUUUCCCUCGUCCAACAUUCCUAUGACGGGUUUGAAAUGUGGGUAGAAACUUUUGGAGCAAUGGCAAAGACGGAAAAAAUUGCCUUUAUUUUUGAACAAGUGCAGGUAUUUUGUAUUGCUUUUAGCCGUUUAUCCAUUAUGACUGUGGUGGUUUCUGAUCGAUGGAUUUUNNNNNNNNNNNNNNNNNNNNNNNNNNNNNNNNNNNNNNNNNNNNNNNNNNNNNNNNNNNNNNNNNNNNNNNNNNNNNNNNNNNNNNNNNNNNNNNNNNNNNNNNNNNNNNNNNNNNNNNNNNNNNNNNNNNNNNNNNNNNNNNNNNNNNNNNNNNNNNNNNNNNNNNNNNNNNNNNNNNNNNNNNNNNNNNNNNNNNNNNNNNNNNNNNNNNNNNNNNNNNNNNNNNNNNNNNNNNNNNNNNNNNNNNNNNNNNNNNNNNNNNNNNNNNNNNNNNNNNNNNNNNNNNNNNNNNNNNNNNNNNNNNNNNNNNNNNNNNNNNNNNNNNNNNNNNNNNNNNNNNNNNNNNNNNNNNNNNNNNNNNNNNNNNNNNNNNNNNNNNNNNNNNNNNNNNNNNNNNNNNNNNNNNNNNNNNNNNNNNNNNNNNNNNNNNNNNNNNNNNNNNNNNNNNNNNNNNNNNNNNNNNNNNNNNNNNNNNNNNNNNNNNNNNNNNNNNNNNNNNNNNNNNNNNNNNNNNNNNNNNNNNNNNNNNNNNNNNNNNNNNNNNNNNNNNNNNNNNNNNNNNNNNNNNNNNNNNNNNNNNNNNNNNNNNNNNNNNNNNNNNNNNNNNNNNNNNNNNNNNNNNNNNNNNNNNNNNNNNNNNNNNNNNNNNNNNNNNNNNNNNNNNNNNNNNNNNNNNNNNNNNNNNNNNNNNNNNNNNNNNNNNNNNNNNNNNNNNNNNNNNNNNNNNNNNNNNNNNNNNNNNNNNNNNNNNNNNNNNNNNNNNNNNNNNNNNNNNNNNNNNNNNNNNNNNNNNNNNNNNNNNNNNNNNNNNNNNNNNNNNNNNNNNNNNNNNNNNNNNNNNNNNNNNNNNNNNNNNNNNNNNNNNNNNNNNNNNNNNNNNNNNNNNNNNNNNNNNNNNNNNNNNNNNNNNNNNNNNNNNNNNNNNNNNNNNNNNNNNNNNNNNNNNNNNNNNNNNNNNNNNNNNNNNNNNNNNNNNNNNNNNNNNNNNNNNNNNNNNNNNNNNNNNNNNNNNNNNNNNNNNNNNNNNNNNNNNNNNNNNNNNNNNNNNNNNNNNNNNNNNNNNNNNNNNNNNNNNNNNNNNNNNNNNNNNNNNNNNNNNNNNNNNNNNNNNNNNNNNNNNNNNNNNNNNNNNNNNNNNNNNNNNNNNNNNNNNNNNNNNNNNNNNNNNNNNNNNNNNNNNNNNNNNNNNNNNNNNNNNNNNNNNNNNNNNNNNNNNNNNNNNNNNNNNNNNNNNNNNNNNNNNNNNNNNNNNNNNNNNNNNNNNNNNNNNNNNNNNNNNNNNNNNNNNNNNNNNNNNNNNNNNNNNNNNNNNNNNNNNNNNNNNNNNNNNNNNNNNNNNNNNNNNNNNNNNNNNNNNNNNNNNNNNNNNNNNNNNNNNNNNNNNNNNNNNNNNNNNNNNNNNNNNNNNNNNNNNNNNNNNNNNNNNNNNNNNNNNNNNNNNNNNNNNNNNNNNNNNNNNNNNNNNNNNNNNNNNNNNNNNNNNNNNNNNNNNNNNNNNNNNNNNNNNNNNNNNNNNNNNNNNNNNNNNNNNNNNNNNNNNNNNNNNNNNNNNNNNNNNNNNNNNNNNNNNNNNNNNNNNNNNNNNNNNNNNNNNNNNNNNNNNNNNNNNNNNNNNNNNNNNNNNNNNNNNNNNNNNNNNNNNNNNNNNNNNNNNNNNNNNNNNNNNNNNNNNNNNNNNNNNNNNNNNNNNNNNNNNNNNNNNNNNNNNNNNNNNNNNNNNNNNNNNNNNNNNNNNNNNNNNNNNNNNNNNNNNNNNNNNNNNNNNNNNNNNNNNNNNNNNNNNNNNNNNNNNNNNNNNNNNNNNNNNNNNNNNNNNNNNNNNNNNNNNNNNNNNNNNNNNNNNNNNNNNNNNNNNNNNNNNNNNNNNNNNNNNNNNNNNNNNNNNNNNNNNNNNNNNNNNNNNNNNNNNNNNNNNNNNNNNNNNNNNNNNNNNNNNNNNNNNNNNNNNNNNNNNNNNNNNNNNNNNNNNNNNNNNNNNNNNNNNNNNNNNNNNNNNNNNNNNNNNNNNNNNNNNNNNNNNNNNNNNNNNNNNNNNNNNNNNNNNNNNNNNNNNNNNNNNNNNNNNNNNNNNNNNNNNNNNNNNNNNNNNNNNNNNNNNNNNNNNNNNNNNNNNNNNNNNNNNNNNNNNNNNNNNNNNNNNNNNNNNNNNNNNNNNNNNNNNNNNNNNNNNNNNNNNNNNNNNNNNNNNNNNNNNNNNNNNNNNNNNNNNNNNNNNNNNNNNNNNNNNNNNNNNNNNNNNNNNNNNNNNNNNNNNNNNNNNNNNNNNNNNNNNNNNNNNNNNNNNNNNNNNNNNNNNNNNNNNNNNNNNNNNNNNNNNNNNNNNNNNNNNNNNNNNNNNNNNNNNNNNNNNNNNNNNNNNNNNNNNNNNNNNNNNNNNNNNNNNNNNNNNNNNNNNNNNNNNNNNNNNNNNNNNNNNNNNNNNNNNNNNNNNNNNNNNNNNNNNNNNNNNNNNNNNNNNNNNNNNNNNNNNNNNNNNNNNNNNNNNNNNNNNNNNNNNNNNNNNNNNNNNNNNNNNNNNNNNNNNNNNNNNNNNNNNNNNNNNNNNNNNNNNNNNNNNNNNNNNNNNNNNNNNNNNNNNNNNNNNNNNNNNNNNNNNNNNNNNNNNNNNNNNNNNNNNNNNNNNNNNNNNNNNNNNNNNNNNNNNNNNNNNNNNNNNNNNNNNNNNNNNNNNNNNNNNNNNNNNNNNNNNNNNNNNNNNNNNNNNNNNNNNNNNNNNNNNNNNNNNNNNNNNNNNNNNNNNNNNNNNNNNNNNNNNNNNNNNNNNNNNNNNNNNNNNNNNNNNNNNNNNNNNNNNNNNNNNNNNNNNNNNNNNNNNNNNNNNNNNNNNNNNNNNNNNNNNNNNNNNNNNNNNNNNNNNNNNNNNNNNNNNNNNNNNNNNNNNNNNNNNNNNNNNNNNNNNNNNNNNNNNNNNNNNNNNNNNNNNNNNNNNNNNNNNNNNNNNNNNNNNNNNNNNNNNNNNNNNNNNNNNNNNNNNNNNNNNNNNNNNNNNNNNNNNNNNNNNNNNNNNNNNNNNNNNNNNNNNNNNNNNNNNNNNNNNNNNNNNNNNNNNNNNNNNNNNNNNNNNNNNNCUCCAAGUCAAUACCCAAUAGGGUAUGGACCUUGUUCUCUAAAAUUCCAGCUCCUUCCCUUUCUUCAUGGAAACUGAAAAGAUUGGGAAAGUCUGUGGCCACGGCAUCUUUGGGUUAUGCAAAUAGUUAUGCCCACUAAGUAAAAAGAACCCUUUUACUUUCUUCACAAAGCAAAUGUACAAAAACACAUAGGCAAAGGAGGGAGAUCAGUACAGCUGGAUUUAUGGUGCUCUCAAUCCCCAAAAUUCGCCUUGUUCUUUCAAGCUCUAAGGAUAUGACUUCCUAGUUUCAAAGUCAUUUCAAAUUCUCGAUUAACUUUUUAUGUGUUGAGUUCGAUCCUAAGAAGAUACACUUCGUUUCUCCAAUUACGAGAUUUACUCUUCAGCUCGUUAGUCAUUCCAAUGCUGGGAUUUUUUUCACUAUUGGAAGAAGAUUUUGUUCCAAUGAGUGAUGUUCUGUUUCAACUUUCCAGUAUGCAAGUUUUGAUCUCCUGAUGCUUUCUUUGUUUUUUUCUUUGAUAAUCUUGGUCUUCAUGAUAUUGGAACUGCAAAUAGAGCUGAAUUCCAAAAUUUUAGAGGUAGAGCCAUUUAAAGAUGCAAUUGCAUCUUGCCAAAGUCGCCUAAAAAAUCGAACCAAACGCGUUUGCAUUUGGCCAAGGGACUUUAGAGUCCCAAAGCUCAUUCCAAAUGCCGAACCAAACGGGGCCUAUGAACCACUUCAAGUUUGAGCAAUUUUAUCUAUAUGAAUCGUACAGGAAUUGUAAAAUUUCCAACCACCCUUUUGAUUUCCGUCCACAUGCAAAGUCAAAUCAAGUGUAAAAUCUGAAUGGUUUUCGAUGGCUGCAACUCACCAGUCGCCUUGAAGGAAAAGAAAACAAAGGAAAUCUCAUCUUCAUUGCAAAGAAGGCCAGCCAGGCCCACGUAAUAUCAGGCUCCAUGGGCCGUUUGGCAAAUUUUUGGGCUGGAAUCUACAUCUGCAGCGAGUAAUUGGCUGGUCAAUUGCUGGCUCACCUGAUAGUCCUAGGUGGGUGGCAUUGGGCCAACUAAAUAAGGGGGUUCUUAGCGUGUUUUCGCCUGAACUUGGUGGUUUAGUACCAUGAGUAUUGAAUGUGCAUGACAUUGUUGAAUUAGCGGAUGCGCUAUAUUGUAAAUGAUUUUCUUUCAAGGUCGGACACCUUUUUUUUUUUGGCAUUAUCUAUUGAAUUUAACUUCUCACGGGUAAUGAAUUAUUCGAGUUGGCAAGAUUUGGAAGAAUUGAUUAAAAAGAUGUGCUUUUGGAACCCUUUUGCGGAAGCUUGGAGUUUAUUUCUAUGGAAGAAUUGAUAAAAAGAUGUCUUUUUGAAGUUUUACUCAAGGAUUACCUUGAAGAGACUUGCAGAGCUGUUAUAUCUCAGCACACAGGUUGAUUAUGUUGAACAUUUGUUUAUAUUCUUCAUCAAUGUCGAUCUUUAUGAAUGAUUGCCUAGAGCCCUCAUUUAACCCUGAGCAGCCUCUCUGCCUAUGAUCCCUGUGGGGCAUGGUUGCUGGACUUGGAUACAAGUCCCAAAAGUGGAAAAGAAGUUUUGGUGCCUUAAUAGUUAAAGGUUGUCAUGAGGUUGAGAAUGUUGUCUUCAUAGUUUCAUUUUGUAUACAUUUCUGACCAAUAUAUAUGUGUGGACUUCACUUUGUCAACUUCUGCUCAUAAAAUUUGUAGCUGUAAGUGUCAUUGUCUGGCAUUUUGAAACCAUUUCUUGUCCCAUGGAGCCUAAAAUUCCGAUGCCCUUUAGAAGGGUAGGAGGAGUUUUGCUAUCACUCACCAUUUCUUGUGUUACCAAAGUAUAUCUUGCGAUUAGAGCUUUCUUACUGUGUUCUGAAAAUCUAUGUAGCUGAAUCACUCAAGGAAAAGAGCUUUGUUUUUGGGUUAUGUUAUCACUGUUGUAGAGAGCUUUGAUUGUUCUAUAUUACCAUUUUAGGAAUCUUAAAAGUAUCUCUCCAAAAUGGUUGUUUCCAAGUCCCUAGUGGCACAGAUAGACUGGCUGAUGGGAGUUGUCUGUUUCCAGAUGACAAAGGACAGCAAUAUCAUCUUGAAUUUGUGGGCGACAAAUUUAGAAAAGCUCCUCGAUCUUGUCAAGAAAAGUUGCCACCAAAUCCACAAGGAAACCUUGGUUCAUAAGGCUGCUUUGAGAGCUUGAUAAUGUUCUUAGUUGAAUGAAUGAUCUCUCUCCCCUUGAGCGUCCCUCGAUCUCUCACCAAAAGAGAAGUGGAAUAAUGCUAUUUCACAUUGUGGCCUGAAGUGGGACUGAAGAUGUUUAUCGUAUCUCUCGUGCAGCUGGGUUUAAUUUGAUAGCUUAUUUUGCAGGGGGGCCAAAUUUGGGCCUUGUGUGGACUGAAAUGAUACAAGGAGGAAUUUAUGUUGGUCUUUUCAUCUUUCCUCUUCAUCCCUCCUUUUCAUUGAAGAUUUUUGAGCUCUCAGGAUCCAGAACUUGUGCUAAUGGAAUUAGUAUCAGCACAAGAUGUGCACUCAAUGCAACAGAAUGAGCAUGUUAAAAUCUGUUUGCUUGUGCUUAUAUUUUUUUAACAUUGGGGAUUACAUUAGCUCUCCAUAGAAAAGGCGAAUGGAUGUUAUUUUUUUAUAUCAUUUCACAUUUGAAUUUCAUCUUCAGCAGAGAGAGCGUGUUUCUUUUGGACCCAAUCUUGACCAUCGGCGGUUCAAGAAACCUGUUUCUGGGGAGCUUCAUUCAAUUAGAUGACUGCAUUUUUUUAUCUCCUGAAGAGAGACAUAGUUUCUCUCCAAGUUGAUGUUUUGAUGUCAUUUCCAUAAGACACUCCAUUGUGAUGUCAUUUCUCUAUAUAGUUUUUGUUACUGAAAUGUGUUUGAUUCCGACUGGUUUUGACAUCUCUCUCAACUCUUGGCAUGUGUGUGUAAUAUAGUGAGAAGCUUUGAAAUAUUGAGGAUAAUGUGUUUCUUUGACGAUCGUAAAAUUUCAGAUUUGAUGGAAGUUAUCUUUACAUAGUCUCUUCCCAUUUUCAAUUUACUAUAGGUGCUUCUAAGAGGCAACAUAGGAUUAUCUUUGUCCAAUUUGUUUUCGCCUUUAUCUUUUGACACCAUCGCAUAUUUCCUAUUAAUCUCAGCAUUUGAUUGAUUUCACCGUUCAAUUGUUGUAUGAAAUCCCUUUCUUUACCGAAGAAAUGUAAAGGUUUUGAAUAUCGUGUCAUAGAGUGAAAUGAGAAAAGAGUGACUCCUAUGGGAACCAUCAGGUAGUUCUUUAACUUUAUUCAUUUUUUUCGACCAAAAAAAAAAAAAACUUUGUUCAUUUCAUGGAACAUGUUUGGAUGGAACCAGAAAAAAAUAUGAUCCACUCCUUAAGUUUUUUAUAACACUAAUAUUCAUGCAGAUCUCUGAGUCCAAUAAAUAUUAGAUGAAUGGCACUCUCAUGAAAGGAUGAGAAGCAACUCGAGUGAAAAAACCCCUCGUCUCUACCCUCUGAAAGCUGAUUACUUCAUUAAUAUCAUUAUGUAGAGUUUUCGAUACUUCAUCUCUUUUCAUUUUUUGCAAGUGUACCAAAAAAGCUCAUGUCAAGUACCAAAAUCCAAAGUUUACAUCAACGCAAAUAAUAUAGAAGAAAUAGAGCAAUUAUUUAUAAGUUGCUCAUGAACGUUGUGUUGAAUGCAUUUUCCAAUUUUGCGCUUGAUUGAUAGAAGAAUAGUUCCGAGUAGUAAAUCUCUAACCAAGUUGAAUCCGAUCAAUUCCAUUCAUAUUCUUAUAAAUUAGCAAAAAGUAAAUUUCUAUGUUUUGUUGUUGGGAUUUGCACAUCAUUACCAUGCCAAAGAUCAUGUGGGUUCAACUGACAUUGUAGAUCAAUUUAUAGGUCUCAAAAUCGUAAGUUAGAGUUAAAGUGGACCGUAAAAUGUAUUGUAGGAAUUUAGAAAGUACACAGCAAGAUGGGCACUCAUUCGUACUGAAAUAAGCGCCUCACUAAAUUCUGUUUUACAUUAUGAAUUUUGCCGGCGCUUUCGAGGCUAAUGAAUGCUAUUUGUCAUUUCUCUUCAAGGGAGAACGUUUUUCUUGAAGUCGAUACUUCAAUAGGGAAGGGGCCUUUGUUCUCUGGAGUUCUAGCUCCUCCAUUCUUCGUCACGGAAGCUGAAAAAUAUUGGGAAGAGGAAAUGAUUGGGGCAAUCCUUGGUCUAUUUCAGCAAUAGGCUAUCUACACACUUGGGGAGUUUUGUUUGUUCAUAGAGAAAAAGCUGUGGGCACAUCUUUAGCUUUAGCUGUAGAAGUAAUAAUGCCCAAUAAAUAACUGAGUACUUUCCUAACAAAAUGGAUUUAUUAUCAUUUUAUUGAAGAAUGCCACCGUGAGAUUUGCUUAGCAAUCAGCAUAAGUUAGACAAAAAAUAUUGGUGAUUUUCAAUACUUUUUCCUGUUAUUCGAGUAGUCAAUGAUUUGAAAAUUACAUCAAAUAUUAUAAGAUAUACUUAAAAGUUAUUCAUGCAGUCAAUAAAUAUUUUGGUCAUUAUUGGAAGAUCUUUUUUCGUCAUGUACUUAGAAACUAAUUAAAAUUUUAAAAGAAAAAAAAAUAGCGGCUAUAAGCAUGAUAACAUUUUGUUGCAAAAGUAGAUAUUUAAAAUUUUCAAAANNNNNNNNNNNNNNNNNNNNNNNNNNNNNNNNNNNNNNNNNNNNNNNNNNNNNNNNNNNNNNNNNNNNNNNNNNNNNNNNNNNNNNNNNNNNNNNNNNNNNNNNNNNNNNNNNNNNNNNNNNNNNNNNNNNNNNNNNNNNNNNNNNNNNNNNNNNNNNNNNNNNNNNNNNNNNNNNNNNNNNNNNNNNNNNNNNNNNNNNNNNNNNNNNNNNNNNNNNNNNNNNNNNNNNNNNNNNNNNNNNNNNNNNNNNNNNNNNNNNNNNNNNNNNNNNNGCAGCUGAUCAUUGAGAAGAUCAUGACUCCGAUGUUGCGAGUCGAGGACUGACUUGACUCUGAGACGUGAGGGCGGGUUUGGGUCGACCAGGUGUAAGGCCAUGUGCUAGGUUUCGGUUGCAACUUUGUUCUCUGUAAGUUUGUUUUCAUUGGGGAUGAGGUUGUGCCUGGGAUGAACGCAGGUCUGUUAGGAGCAUUUUCUUGGUGAGAAAUUUUGUUGAACAAUUGGCGGGUAAAUAUUUGCUAAUUGCUAUGUGUUCAGCCAAGCUUUUGAAGUAUCUCCUUGUGCUCUGCCUGUCUGUUUAAUUGUGAAAUUUGGAUCCUGCUUUUCGAGUUGCCAGUCUGCUGGGGUGAGCCUUGCGGCAAGUAAUUAGCUAGUUGAUUGCUGGCUUACGUAUUAGUCCUAGAUGAUGGUAUUGGGCAACUAAGUAAGGGGAUUUCAGUGUUUUUACAUAAACUUCUUAGUCUGUGAUGACAGAGAAAAGGCAUUUUGUUUAAGUUAAGUAGUUUUAUUUUGUUUUAUCAUCUUUUCAGGGUUUAGUGAAGUCGGUGAUCGGUGCUUCACUUUGUUUUUAUUCUAAUUAGUAGAUUUGUUUUAAGAUUUAAGUUCUCUUGUAUAUGGAUAAAUUCUUUUUGUUUUUGAUGGAUAGUUAUUUCCUUGGUGCCUUACUUAUUAUACCUUUUACACAACAAUGAAACCAGGGAGAAAAGAAAUUGAGAUUGGGUGCCAGAGGAGUGAUUCAAAAUACUAAUCAACCGAAGAUGAACAAUAAGUAUGGGUUGUACCUCUCCAUUUGUGGAUUUUCUCCCUUGCAUGAACACAGCAUGUGUCAGGUUUGCUGGUGGCGAAAGGAAUAUUAAACAAGCGGAGCCAAGAUUAUUGUGUUCAGUCGUCUACUGAUAUCUGGGCAUGAAUUUUUGUCUUCCUAGCUCAAAGCACUCUUUGCCUUCCUCGUCAAGUGCUUGAGUCAAAAUUAUUUGAUGACACUGAUACUUAGAUAUUCAUACCUGUUAAGUUUUUUUUCCUGUAUAUAGUUGCUCCCAAACUUUCUUGUAACAAAGGAAGUAUCUUACACUCCUUUGAUAUGAGUGAAUCAGAUUGUCAAGAUUAAUCGAUGUCCAGAUGUUUGCCUUUUUAUCUCUGCUUUUGGGUGAUAAGCUGGUGGAAAUUUUGCUCUCCAUUGGGUGUAUUUCAUUGUUAUGCUAUGCUGAAUGCUGAUAGUUUCGUCCGGAUUAGUGAGAGCAUUAUGACUGAUGGCUAUUUAUUAUACCUGUACAAGAUUUUUACCUUCCCGAUUGUUAUUAGGAUUGCUAAAUGUAUAGGAGGCAAUUAAAAAAAUGCAAGUUGGUCACAUCGACAAUCAUUCCCAGAUUGGAUCAGGAGUAAGAUCAUUGGAGAUGUAGGAUGGGAUUCCUAAUCCCAGUCCACCUACUUUGCCUAUUUAAUUAGGACUCAACCUCAUAGUAAAUCAAAUUAGGCCCCAUUUCUCAUCGUGCAUGACCAAUUGUACGUCUGAAACAAUAUCUAAAGGCUGAACCUGCUUAUUGGGGCUAACUUUAGGGAUUGAACUGUGAGGGGAUUAUAGAUAAAAGUGAGGUAUUGCCCUCAUCCUGAAUUUGAUUGGAUGGAAGAUUUAAUCGGUGGUUGUGGCAAGGCUGAAAAUACUUUCUAUGCAGACUUGGGAGAGUCCGUAUGCUUCCACCUGGAUUAAAAUUAACCUUUUAUUGUUGGAGUUGGAUGUAAGCUCUACUUUCAUGAGAGCUUCGGUUGGGGCAUAUGGGAGGUUCGCUGUGCCUCCACAACCAGCAGUGCAGCACAAUGCCAUCACCUUUGUACUGCAAUUAUCUCUUCUUGCUAUGGAAUUUAUUUUUAGGUCAUAGCAUAUAGCUCUUCACCCUUUUCACCCUCCGCUCUUCAUAUUUUCAAUGCCAUCAUCUGGCUUUGCUUUCAUUUUGUUUUCUUCUUUUCUUUUGCCAUCAUCAAUAGUGCAGUCUUAUGAUUAUUGAUCCAAAGUGUGGUCCGGUUUCAAUCAUUUGGGAUCGAUCUUAACAACAGUUACCUUAAGGGUUUUAUUUAUAUGGACGUAUACUAUUGCCUCCCAUAUGUGUACUGAUUAGAUCUUAUACUGUCGUUUUGUGUAGUCGUAAUAUGCCAUCAUGUAUGACUAUUUGAAAAACGAAUCUCAUUGGCAUAUCUAUACGGGUGUUGGUUCUUGGCAAGCUCUAGAGAUGCUAGAACUCAGGCCUGGUCCUCAUGCUGUUUGCAAGUUUUUUCAAUUGGUUGGGAUCCUCGUGAUUGUAUUUGUAUUGCACCUUGCUAUUACCCCUUUAAUUCCUUUCUUUACUCUAUUUUCUUCCUAGAUGAAUAUUUUUUCUUGCUGUUAAUUAGAUAGUUCAACUGAAAGUUGUAAUUGUGCUCCAGAGAUAAUCAAGUAAUGAAUUAUUUUGAUGGUGACACUUAACUCUGUUGCUGCUGGGAAGGUGAAAAUGUGAAAUCAAACUCUAUUGCGGGCUCGUGUUCGUGAGCAAUCUGUUUUGAUUUCGUGGUUUCUAUAGCUAGUUUCAUUAUGCAGUUAUAUGUCGAAAUUGAGAAGAGUGCGGUUGAUAAAGAAACUGGCAAAAAGCAAAGGAAGAAAGUCUUAUAGUAGAAGCUGCUGAUUUAAUAGAAGAAAUUGCAGGAGCUAGAAGUUGAAUUCUGGGGUCUUUGAUCUUGUAAUUGGUUUUCCCUUUGUCCAAUAUUACGAGUGGUCUAAAUUGCUAUGGAAACUUUUGGAGCAUUGGUAAAUACGGAGAAAAUUGCCUUUAUUCUUGAACAUGUACGGGAUUUUAGUAUUGCUUUUAGCCGUUUAUGCUCUCUUACUAUGAUCAGUUUUCUGAUGGAUGGUUUUGCAGGUUCUUUUAAGCUUAGAUCGCCAGGACUAUGUCCAGGCACAGAUCCAGAAAAUCAGCCCCCCGGUGUAUGAUCCAGAUCCUUCCAAAGAGAAGAAAAAGCCUAAAGAAGGGGAAAUUUUUGUGGAAGAAGCGCUAGCUGAUAUGCCGUCACUUCUGGAGCUGAAAUGGAUAUAAUAAGAACCCACGAUAUGGUGAAUUGGUGCUUUACUUAUUCUAAUGUUGUGUCUACUAUUCUUAACUAGAAUUUUUUUGCCGAUCAAGCGCUUCCUGGUAUUCAGAUUGUGGUUCAAGCCAUGGUUUUAUUCAUCUGUCGAAUUCUCUUUUUCCUUUCUGUCUUUACUGCAAACUCUGAUGUUAGAACUGUACUUAAUGGAUUUGAACACACAUCUUACCUUGCAUUCAUGUGGUUAACAAUGAAAUUAUUACUCUCAUUACAGUGGUUUACUAUAUGGCGAUAUAUGAGAUUCCAUCAGCAAAGGGGAAACCCAGAGUUGUGGAUACCAGUGAAGCUCUUUCAUAUGAGGCUAUGUCAAGUCUUCACUGGAUUUUUCAAGGCACAGCUAUUCAUUCCGUGAUUUAAUUAGUCACAGGUUCUAAGGAAAAUCUGUUGGUAUGUAGCUCGGUUACCACAUGAUCGGUUACAGUCAAGCUUUUGCAAUACUUUAGAAGAUAUAAAUAUCUCAGAAAUUCCCCAAAUCAGGUACAUCUUUGAAUUGCUUCGAGUAUUUGAUUGUACAUUUUCUUGCAAUAGAUCGAUAAUCUGCCAUGGAAUUUGGUUGCCGUACCUUUAUUAUUUUAAUGCAGGCUGCGGCUGAAACAAUUGGUCACAAUGGAGGUUAUCCAAUUAACUGCUCUUUGAAGUAAUUUCAGAGAUAAAUUUGAGAAUGAGAAAACCAUGCUCGAAGGUGCACUUGUUGAGAAGGCAGCAUAAGAUCUUAGACAAAGAAUAUGCAAAUAUGUAAUUACAAAACUUUGUCGUUUUUUUACCCUUGCUUUCUUUAGAUCAUCAUGCUGAUGCGACUUACUCUAUUUUCUACAUAAUGUUAUUGUCGUUUUGAAGUAUUACUUGAGGAUUACCUUGAGGAAACUUGCAUAGCUGUUAUGCCUCAGCAUCCAGGUCGAUUAUGUCGAACAUUUAUUUAUUUCUCUUAUCAAUGUCAAUCUUUAUGACUGAUUCCCUAGACCCCUCAUUUAACCCUGGGCAGCCUCUCUACCCCUGAUACCUGCAGGUUGUGGUUGCUGGAUUUGGAGACAAGUUCCAAAAAAUUGGUUGCUACCAAUGUCAAUGUUUGGCAUUGUGAAACCACUUCUUGUCCCAUGAAGCCUGAAAUUCUGAUGCGCUUUAGAAGUGUGGGAGGAACUCUGCUAUGAUUCGGCAUUUCUAGUGUUACAAAAGUAUAUCUCGUGAUUAGAGCUUUCUUAAUUUGCUCCGAAAUCUAUGUAGCUGAAUCACUCAACAAAAGGAACUUUGUUUUUGGGGUUUUGUUACCACUGUUGUAGAGAGCUUUAAUCAUUCAUAUGCCUCAAUCUAUUAAAUCAUCACAAUUAUCUGCUAGAGAGACAGCAUAGUAGUAAUUAUACAAGCCUGUAUGAUAUUCUAUUAGCACGACCUGUUAGUUCUAUGACCAUUCUAGGAAGUUGAAAAGCAUCUCUCCAAAAUGGUUGUUUCCAAGUCUCUACUGGGAAAGAUAGACCUGCCGAUGGGAGUUGUAUGUUUCCAGACAACAAAGGAGAGCAAUGACAUCUUGAACUUGUGGGCUACAAAUUUGGAAAAGCUCCUUGAUCUUGUUGAGGAAAGCUGCCACCAAAUCCACAAGCAAACUAUGGUUCAUAUGGCUGCUUUGCGAGAUGUUCUUAGUUGAAUGAANNNNNNNNNNNNNNNNNNNNNNNNNNNNNNNNNNNNNNNNNNNNNNNNNNNNNNNNNNNNNNNNNNNNNNNNNNNNNNNNNNNNNNNNNNNNNNNNNNNNCUUUUUAUAGGUUCCAACGUUAUGGUUGGCGUUGGUGACUUAUCAGCCCAGCAAAUCUCUGAGAAGCUUUGCAGCCCUUUAGCCGUGUUCACUCAAGUUCAUCCACGACGACUCCCUGCCAUUUGUUGUCCUCCUUCGCUGCCUGCUUGUUAUAGUUUCGUCCAUAGUCGGCGAACCACUCCCGUUGCAAAUGUGAAGUCCGGUAAAGCCCCAACACCCGCUAGCAAUGACGUUGCUGCUGCUGCUGCUGGUUUUCCGAACCACCACGUGAACAUCACCGUCAGCCCCCCACCGAGCUGAGAAGCCCCCUGAGCACCACCCCACGGUCGUCACACCACGUCGGGGUCACCAUCAUUGAGCCAAAGCACCAUGAUCGAUCCACUGUGAUCCACAACCGUGAUUCCCGUAUCUAUUGGUCUGAAUUCAAAUUUGGAACGUUGAUAUUUGAAAUAGGUAACGAUUGAUAUCGAUUUGAAUAUUUCGUUAUCUAAUUUGAUUGAUUUUUGUUAUCUUCGUUAGUAUUGUCAUAUCCAAAAAAAAUUUCGAGCAUUGGUGAAGUAGAAUAAUUUCCUAAUUUUUACAGUCUUAUUUCAUGCACGGAAUACAACUCACGAUCGCAUGGAAAAUCGGUCAAUCCAAUCUCACGCUUGAGAUACGACUCGCGAUUGCAUGGAAAAGCACAUGAUUUGAUUUGUUUCGACUGAUUAUCUUAUUUUUCGUUCAGUUGGUGAUGGAGUUUAGAAUUAAAAUGAUAAAUUCAAAUAUGCACGAAUUCACAUUAGUAUUAUGAUGCAAUUAAAUUAUUUUUUUUCUCAACAAUUUUGAAUGAAUAGGUCUCUCUCUAUAUAAUAUAUUUAAAAAUAUUCAUGUUCAAAAGACCUAGUGAAGUCACAGCCAGACUUGCUGAAAGCAACAGACGCGUGGGGCCUGGAAUCGAAAAGUGGCCAAAUAAGAUCGACUGUGUUUAAUUGUAAGAUGAAAAUUACGAAAGUUAUAAGCCGCUAAAGUUAGAUGCCACACACUUCUUAUGGAAGAAAUCUUAUAAAUUUCUUAGGUAAUAUUAUGCUAAUUAUUUGGAAAUUGCGUGCUUGGGUUUCGAAACUAAGUUAAUAAUUUUAUUUUUGAAUUAAAAGAGAGAGAGAGAGAGAGAGAGAGAGAGAGAGAGAGAGAGAUUUUGACAAAGGGUUGGGCUUAAACCAGCUCUCACUUGGUGUAAUUAAUUUAGUUUAAGUCAAUUUAGGUUGAUUCAGGCUAAAAACACUCUUAAGCUAUAUUGGUAGUCUAGAUUUUUUAUCAUAAUAUAAAUUGAUAUGAUAAGAUAUGAAAUCUAAGAAUUUUAUUAUAUCCCAUUCACUUUUUGGUGAUUAUAGUAAUAAAAUCAUAUAUAUUUACAUCAUAUUAUGUACAUUAUUUGGUAUAAAUGGCAUAUUAAUAUAAAAAAAUUACAAACGAAAAUGUUUAAAAAUCUCUCAGAACACUCUUGUUUACUCUAUUUUAUUUGCUUGUUUAUUUUAUUUUCCUCUCUUUUAAUUUCUUUUUUAUUUCUUUUUUACCCUCCCAUCAUUCUCUAAUAAAGAAAAGCUUCAACCUUCAAAAAUGUUAGGAAGGACUUCAGUUAACACAGAAAUUUUAUAAUUAAAGAGAAAUGAUUUGGUGACGGUUUUUAAUCUACAAUGAGAAUAAAAAUAUGUUCUAGACCACAAAAAACCAAAUAACAAAUAAUUAUAAAUUGCAGUGGGGUUCAUUCCUUCAAGAAUUUGGGGCUCACAACAAGUUGUUAUUCUCACCAUGGCCUAGACGAUGUUAUGCUAACAAAGCUCUUAAUUAAAUAAUGAAUUUUUGUUCCAUGGUAUCCAAUGUCACAUCAUCCAGAAAAAUUGAAAUUUGAUAAGGUAGAACCUAGCUCUAGAGAAUCAAUUGGGUAGAGAGUGAGAGAGGGGAUAAUAUAAGCCGAUUGCUUAUAUAAAUUAGUUGGGCAUGAAGGCCGACUGCUUGAUUAUCAAGGCCCAUUAAACACCACUAUCUGAUUUAUAAAUAUGAAAAUAUCCGAUUUCUCAACCAACUACACAAACCUUAAAAGGGAUUGAGCUUACAAUUUAUGUUGACUUAAUUAACACGUGGCCCAAAAUAUAUUUAACCUUUGUGUCACCUUUUAUAUAAUUUCACACAUUGCUCUAGUCAAAACCAACAUUUUUUAUUUAUUUAUUAAGAAGAUGUGCAGAUAUCUUUGGUUUUCUUUCAUAAUCCAAUUUCAAACCCACCCAAUUACCACAACCCAUGGAAGAUCCACAGCUUUCGUGCUUUCUUGAAUGUCGGAGAAUCAUAAUGACAUUCAGGUCCGCACAUCCAUAAAACCGAAUAAUGUGAACCCAGCAUGGAGGUGAUGAGGGUUUCGAGGGAGCUCACUCGAAAACCCGCCGGAUGUUUCUUGCAUCUUAUUGGAGCAAAUUCAUGGUGUCUUGCUCACUUCCCUUCACCUUCCCAUUAGAUUUCCCCAACGAUUCCAUUUAUUUAAUGGAAGAGCAAGUCAAGUCUUGCUGGAUCUCAAAUUUCAAUCAAAGAAUUUGCGUAGGUGACACGCAGUGGCACCUUCCACAUAAUGAUGACGAAAUCACCGAUGAGUAGCUCAGCAUUCUUCAAGCACUCAGCAUUGUUCAGGAGCGCACCGUAAAAAAAGCAGGGAUUAGGAGCAUCUUUAUUGCAAGUUGGUCUUCUUUUCUACUUCUUUUCUACUUUUCCUUUAAAAGAAAAAGAAAGUGAAGAAGCACUUGCAUAGGUUCCCCGCAACUUCCGCAUAAUGCUGCGAAUAUUACGCAUGUGAUGACUCAGCAUUCUUUAAGCACUCAGCAAUCAAUACUCUUCAAGCACGCACAGUAAAGAGUGUCUUGUGUUGGUAAUCCAACGUCUAAGGCUGAGGAUCGGAGGAGAUGACAGCACUGAGUGGGUUGUUUUGUUUGAACACUUCUCAGGUUGAUUGAUUUUCGUCAUCUUUGUCGGUCAUAUCCAAAAAAAAAAAUUGAGUUUUGGUGAAAUAGGAUAAUUUCCUAAUUUUCACGGUUUGAGUUCAUACCCGAAAUAUAAUUCACAAUCGCGCAGAAAAUUGUCCAAUCCGAUUUUAUGCUCAAGAUACGACUCGUGAUCACGUGGAAAGCACAUGACUUAAUUUGUUUUGACCAAUUAUCUCAUUUUUUGUUUAGUCAGCAAUGGAGUUUAGGAUUAAAUUGAUAAAGUCAAAUAUGCACGCAAUUCACAUUAGUAUUCUGAUUCAAUUAAAUUAUUUUUUCUCAAUAAUUUUGAAUGAAAAGGUCUCGUGAUCAUGUGGAAGCACAUGACUUAAUUUUGUUUAAAAAUAUUCAUGUUCAAAAGACCUAGCGAAGUCACUAGAAACUUGCUGAAAGCAGAAAACGCGAGGGUGCCAGAAUCGAAAAGUGGCCAAAAUGAGGUAAACUGUCUUUAACUUUAAGACGAAUGUUAUGAAAGUUAUGAGCCGUUAAGGUAGGUGGCACACACUUCUUAUGAAUGAGAUUUUAUAAAUUUCUUAGGUAAUAUUAUGUUAAUAAUUUGGUAACUGCAUGCUUGGGUUUCGAAACUAAGUUACUAAUUUUACUUUUGAAUUAAAAAAGAAAAAGAAAUUUUGACAAAGGGCUGGGCUUAAACCAGCUCUCACCUUACGUAUCUAAUAUGAUUUGAAUCAAUUUAGGUUGUUCAAACUUGAAACACUCAGUCUAUAUGUUCUUGUGUCUAGAAGCUGGGUAAUUCUGAUCAUAUUUCUUUGUAGAAGUCUGCACUUUCGUAAUCUAGGAUGUAGUAAGAGAUACUCGUGUUUUGUAGAAUCAUCUACUGAGUUAUGUAAAAGUAGCAUCCUUUACAAAAUUGUAAAAUCUCGAGGGUUACUCAGCCUUGUCGCGAGAGGAGUAGGUCAGGUUGAAGUUCAAGCCACUAUAAAUCUGUUUUGCAUAUCUUUGAUCUCUCUAACUCCUUUAUUAUCAUUUGGACAGAAAGGUACUGCUUCUGCAUGACUGUUUUCUUCUUACACUAAUACACAAUACACGUUCCUCAUUAAAAAAAGUUUAAUUUUCUUAGAACAACCAAUUUACCCUCCUACAACAGCAUAUUACUUCACAGCUUUUCCACGAAAAAGUUUCAAUUUUCUUUAAACGAUCAAUUCAACUCCCCUCAAUUGUUGCGUUAAUCGUUUCAUUAAUUUCUUUUGUUAAUAAGAGCAAUGAAAGAUCUAUCUCACUGACCAAAAUGAAUCUCUUAAAUAAUCCUAUCUAGAUGACCAUCUUAGUAAGUGGGAAAUUACCAAAAUCAUACGACAAUAUCUUUUUGUUCUUGGCUAAUUUAAGGGAACUCACAUGACACAUACCAUGAUUGACAUUUAAUAGCAUUAGAAUUCAAUAAUUAUCUAGUCUGACAUUAUACAGGACAAUGAAAAAAAAGAAGAAGGAGAAACCUCUUUGAAGCUUCUUAUAGUUGGAGCUACCGAUUGAAAAGAACAAUGCCUGUAGCUUAAAAGAAAAGCUUCAACCUUCAGAAAUGUUGGUAAGGACUUUGGUUAACACAGAAAUGCUUUAAUUAAAUAAUGAAUCUGUGUUCCAAAGCAUCCAAUCACACAGAAUCAGAAAAAGGGAAAUUUGAUCGGGCUGAACCUAGCUCUGGAGAAUCAAUUGGGUAGAGCUAGAGAGGGGAAAGUAUAAGCCAGCUGCUUGUAUAAGAUAGUCAGGCACAAAGUCCGACUGCUUGAUUACUUGAAGGCCCAUUAAGCACUACACUUCAAUUUAGAGCAGUUUUAAAUAUGAAAAUAUCUGACUUCUCAACCAACUACGCAAACUCUUAGAAGGGAUUGAGCUUACAGUUUAUGUUGGCGUAAUUAAUACGAGGCUCAAAAUAUAUUUAACCUUUGUGUCACCUUCUAUAAAGUUGGACAAACCAGAUAUUUUUCAAAUAUUAUUCCCUGGCAUUGAUAAAAAAAUGGACAUUUUUUUUAUUAGAGAGAUGUGCAGAUAUCUAUGGUUUCCUUUCAUAUUCCAAUUUCAAAUCCACUCAGAGCACAACCCAUGGAAGGUUCACAAGAAGUGGAAGAUGCUCUCACUUUAUCAUCUUUUUUUUUUAUAAAUAAUUUCUAUCGAGAAGAAGGCAGAACUAAGGCUCAUUUUUAGUCAUCAUCCACAGCACUCGCGCAUCCAUUUCCUGCGGAACUUGCGUCUUGAUUUUGUUCAUCUUCCCAAAAUAUUUAGUCGCCAAUUCUCUUUUGUGGGCCUGAUCCCAUAGCUUUCGUACAUUCUUGAACAUCGGAAAAUCACAAAAACAUUCAGGUCCGUAUAUCCAUAAAACGGAAUAAUGUGACCACAGCGAGAAGGCAAUGGGGAUUUCGAGAAAGCUCACUCGAAAACCCACUGGAAGUUUCUUGCAUCUUAUGGGAGCAAAUUCAUGGCCACUUCAUGACCCUUUCUGGUGUGGUUUGACAAGUGAUUUUCGUGAACAAUGUCUCGAAAUUAAAACUGAAAUCAGCUAAAUGUGUAACAGUUGAAAAAAUAUAGCACUUAAAUAGAUCAGUUAUCACCCAAAAUAAACCCAACAUUCAUUUCAUCAUUUAAAUAGGCAAUGUGAGAUAAUAAUUUCACUAGCGGAGUUUACGCAACAACGUAUAUUAAUUUAACAAUCAAUGUUUAGGCAAUGACCCAUAUUUGAUUUUUAUUUUUAGCAAGCAUUUCCAUUCCAUAAAUGAAGUGAUAUUCUAUUUGUUCAUGUAAAUUGUUACCUAAAUAUAAUUGCCAUCUCUUUAUGUAAAAAUCCUCUUUUGAAAAUCUCGAAAGUCUAUUGAUUGAUGCGGGACAAGUUGCAAACAGUUUCCUAAAAUGAUUCAAUCAACAAAUGAAUAGAGUUUAGCAAGACAUUUAUCAAAAUGAACAGACAAAGAUCAGCCUGCUACGAGCGAGAGCUAUGGACAAUCCAACAUAAAUUAUGUUGACAAGAUUUUUUGUACGAGAGCCACAGGUUUUAGUUACAGAUACCACUGAGAUGCUGAAAAUCAAUUUGUCCAAGCCUUUAAGUUAGGAAACUGGUGCAGGCGCGAGUGAGGCGGCGGGAGCAGCGAUGGCAGCGAACAGUGGCGUCACGGGCUGCUGCAGGGGCGCGGAGGCGCGGCGAUCAGCUCGGGCUGCUGGCGGAGGGAGGCGCGGCAGCAGUGGCGAUGCUCGAGUGAGCUGCUAGUGGUCGCUCAGGCGAGGGGCACCGAGCGGCGGUGACUGGCAGCAGCGACGGCGGGCGUUCGGGUCGUCGUGUGCUGCCGGUGGAGGCGGAGCAGGGGCGUCGGCGUCGGGGCUUCUGGCGUCCGGCGCUACGGAGACGCGGAGGUCACUGGGUGCGCGAGCGGAGGCUGUCUGGACGGCGGCAAUUGGCGACGUUGGGUUGCAGACGGCGUGCGGCAAAGACUGGCGGCCCGGCGACUGGCUCGGAUCUGCUGGCGUCGGGGAUGGUGGUGCGGAGGUGCGGCGACCAGUGGCAACGAACGGGUGAGCUGCUGUGACGGCGCUGGUGCAGAGGCGGGGGCGUCGGGAUCGGCUCAGGAUCGCGGACCGGCGGGCAGAGAGAGAUGGAGCGAGCGUCGCAGCGGCGGCAAGCGAGGCGGCGACUGUUGCAAAGGCGCGGGGGCUUCGCGAACGAACGACGACGGCUGGCGGAGGAGACGCCGGUGCGGUGGAACGGCGAGGAAGAUGAACAGUAUUUUUGGUUUUUUUUUUUUUUUCUCUCUCCUGACCUGCCUCUCGCGUCACUUCUCUCUCUCUCUGCACUUUUUUCUCUUUUUUACUGACUUUUCCUUUCUUUUCUUGCAGGUUGUCAGGAGAGAAAACUCUUCUUGGACGGCAAAAAGGGGUUUCCUCUCUUCUGUUUUUUUUUUCUUCUCACUUUCACGAAUUCUCUUGCUCUUUUUUACCAUUUUUUUUUUUUGGCGAAUUCUUCCCUCCAUUCUUUUAUAAAGAAAACCUCCACUUACGUUUAGAAAGUUCGAAGCUACGCUUCCUUAAUUGUGGAGAUUACCGAAUUUCAGCCCUGAUGAGUAUAAUUUUUUCAUAUUUUCUCUUCAAUUUAUCAAUCUGGCCAUUAUCAUCGCCGAUUUUGGUUUGAGUUUCCAUUUUGACUUUUAUUCUCUUGAUUUUUUGAUCUUUGGCUGGAAAUUCGGCUUCACAUUUACCAAGAUUGAAUAUCUAAUUGAAGCAAUAAUAGCUAGUUAGAAUUCUCACAUUCCAUGCAUAAUUGAUCAUCCCCUUAUUUUCCAUUUUUUUUUCACUUUAUUUGUUAUGAUGCAUUUUUUUUAAGGGUUAAAAUUAAUCCCUAAUUUUUAUGCAAAAAAUCAAUGAUUAAGUCGCCAAAAUUUAAGUGUCAACAUUGUGUUUACAUACAAGAUUGUAUGGAAAGCUUGCAACUUUUGCUAGCCGUUAGGAACCCAAGACAUUAGUCCUUUGAUCCUCAGGCCUAAUAGGGUUGACACAUCUCUGUCCGACCCUUGUUGAGAAUGGUUACUAUUUUAAAAGGCUUCUUCUUGCUCUUUUGGCAUGGAAUUUCUUUUUUUCAUUUGAAUACCAAAAAUGACAUAGAUAGUAGUCUCGUACCAUAUUAAGAGGAAAAUAUAUCAAUUGGCUCAAAAUUCACUAAUAUAUUGGAUUCAAGCGAUUUAAAUUUCUAAUCCUAUUUAAUUUCUAAUUUUAUAUUGAUCAAGAGCUUUCGUUUCUCGCCUUUACUCAAAAUUUCCAACCAUCCUUUUGAUUUCCGUCCACAUGCAAAGUCAAAUCAAGUGUAAAAUCUGAAUGGUUUUUGAUGGCUGCGACCCACCACUCGCCUUGGAGGAAAAGAAAAGAAAGGAAAUCUCAUCUUCAUUGCAAAGAUGGCCAGCCCAGCCCACGUAAUUCUCAGGCUCCAUGGGCCGUCUGGCGAAGUUUUAGGCCGGAAUCUCUAUCGGCUGUUGGAUCUUUUCCAAGGACCGGGACGGGCCAAUCCGAUCCGGAUUCGAUUCGCUUCUAUUUCGGAUCCCCGAUUUCCCCUCCAUUUUCAUCCAUUUUCAUUUUUAUUCCCCCCUGCUCUUUUAUUUAUUUAUAUUAUUUAUGUUUUGCUCUUCUAUUUAUUUAUUAAUUUAAUUUGCUCUCGCAUCAGUGUGUUCAAAGAGGAGGAGAGAGUAGAUGGAGAAACAGAAGAGUGGAAGUUUUCGGUUGCAACUUUGUUCUCUGUAAGUAUGUUUUCAUUGGGGAUGAGGUUGUGCGUGGGAUGCACGCAGGUUUGGUAGUUGGUGAGAAUUUUUGUCGAACGAUUGGUGGGUAAAUAUUUGCUAAUUGCUAUGUGUUCAACCACACUUUUGAAGUAUCUCCUUGUGCUCAGCCUGUCUAUGUUUAAUUGUGAAAUUUGGAUCCCGCUUUUCUCGAGUUGCCAGUUUGCUGGGGUGAGCCUGGCGGCAAGUAAUUAGCUAGUUGAUUGCUGGCUUAUGUGCUUGUCCUAGAUGAUGGUAUUGAGCAACUAAAUAAGGGGAUUUUAAUUGUUUUUACAUAAAAUUCUUCGUUUAGUGCCAUAAUUAUUGAAUUUGUGUGACAUUGUUGAUUUAGCGGAUGCACUAUCUUGCAAAUGAUUUUUUUUUUCCAGGGUUUGACACCAUUACCUAUUCACUGUUAACUUUCCAUGGGUAAUAAUUUAUUCAAGUUGGCGAGAUUUGGAAGAGUUGCUUAAAAGAUGUGCCUCUGGAACUCUUUAAUGAAUGAAGGUUGGGGUUUAUAUUCCUGUGGAAAUUUAAUGGUGUUCAUGUGCAAACAAAGAGUGGGUAAUAAGCACAAAGUUAACCUUGAGAUAUCCUCUCUGGCAAGGUGCUUGUAUUUACUUAUGGAAGUGAAAUUAAUUAACAUCAGUGAGUAUUCAGCACCCAAGUAGUGCAAAGUGAGUUUCCAACAAUUAGCGUUGUGGCUUUCUCUCAAAAGAUAAAAAAUGGAGGAGAUAGCAAACUCAAUAGGUAGAAGUUGUUGAAAGAUUACUGGAUAACUUAAAGGAAGCACUUAACCAAGAUUAAUUAUCAAUAAGUAUCUCCCUGAUCCAUGAAGUCAAUGUAAGAUCACAUGAUGUUGCAUCCUAUCAAGAACACUAAUUGGAAGUUCUCAUUAACGAAGAACGGAAAUAACUCUUGCAGCUGAGUAGGAAAAUAAUGCACAAAGCUAUGUGGAUAAGCUGGACAUUGUGGUACUAUCUAGUAGGCAAAGCUGGUAAUAGCAAGAUACGUUGAUGUACUUUUACAAGAUGGACCCUGCCUUUGGAGUUGAAGUAAACAUGUGUGUGAGAAUUGACAAAUAGAGAUCCUUAGUCUGUGAUGACAGAGAAAAGGCAUAUUGUUAAAGUUAAGCAGUUUUAUUUUGUUUUAUCAUCUUUUCAGGGUUUAGUGAAGCCGGUAAUCGGUGCUCCACUUUGUUUUUAUUCUGGUUAGUAGAUUUGUUUUAAGAUUUGAGUUCUUUUGUAUAGGGAUAAAUUCUUUUUGUUUUAGAUGGAUAGUUAUUUCCUUGGCGCCUUACUUAUUAUACCUUUUACACGACAAUGAAACAGGGGAGAAAAGAAGUUGAGAUUGGGUGCCAAAGGAGUGAGUCAAAAUACUAAUCAACUGAAGAUGAACGAUAAGUAUGAGUUGUACCUCUCCAUUCCAAUAAGAGUUUCUUAUGGAUUUUCUCCCUUGCAUGAACACAGCAUGUAUCAGGUUUGCUGGUGGAGAAAGGAAUAUUAAACAAGCGGGAGCCAAGAUUAUUGUGUUUAGUGGUCUACUGAUUCUUGGGGCAUGAAUUUUUGUCUUCCUAGCUCAAAGCACUCUUUGCCUUCCUCGUCAAGUGCUUGAGUCAAAAUUGUUUGAUGACACUGAUACUUGGAUAUUCAUACCUGUUGUUUUUCCUGUAUAUAGUUACUCCCAAACUUUCUUGUAGCAAAGGAAGUAUCUAACACUCCUUUGAUAUGAGCAAAUUAGAUUGUCGAGAUUAACCGAUUUCCAGAUAUUUGCCUUUUUAUCUCUGCUUUUGGGUGACAAGCUGGUGGAAAUUUUGCUCUUCAUUGAGUGUAUUUCAUUGUUAUCCUAUGCUGAAUGCUGAUAAGUUCCUCUGGAUUAGUCAGAGCAUUAUGACUGGUUGCUAUUUAUUAUACCUGUACCAGAUUUUUACCUUCAUGAUUGUUAUUAAGGAUUGCUAACUGUAUAGGAGGCAAUUGAAACGAUGCAAGUUGGUCACAUGGACAAUCAUUCCCAAAUUGGAUUAGGAGUAAGAUCAUUGGAGAUGUAGGAUGGGAUUCCUAAUCCUAGUCCACCUACUUUGCCUAUUUAAUUAGGACUCAACCUCAUAGUAAAUCAAAAUAGGCCCCAUUUCUUGUCAUGCAUGACCAAUUGUACGUCUGAAACAAUAUCUAAAGGCUGAACCUGCUUAUUGGGGCUAACUUUGGGGAUUGAACUAUGAGGGGAUUAUAGAUAAAAUUGAGGUGUUGCCCUCAUCCUGAAUUAGAUUGGAUGGAAGAUUUAAUAGGUGGUUGUGGCAAGGGUGAAAAUACUUUCCAUGCAGACUUGGGAGAGUCCAUAUGCUUCCACCUGUAUUAAAAUUUACCUUUUAUUGCUGGAGUUGGAUGUGAGCUCCACUUUCAUGAGAGCUUCGGUUGGGGCAUAUGGGAGGUCCGCUGUGCCUCCACAACCAGCAGUGCAGCACAAUGCCAUCACCUUUGUGCUGCAACCAUCUCUUCUUGCUAUGAAAUUUUUUUGUUUUUCUUAGGUCAAAGUAUAUAGCUCUUCACCUUGUUUAUUUUUUUCACCCUCCUCUCUUCUUCUUUUCAAUGCCAUCAUCUGGCUUUUUUUUCAUUUUGUUUUCUUCUUUUCUUUUGCCAUCAUCAGCAGUGCAGUCUUAUGAUUAUUGAUCCAAAGUGUGGUCCAGUUUCAAACAUUUGGGAUCGAUCUUAACAACAGUUACCUUAAGGGUUUUAUUUAUAGGACUUAUACUGCAGUGAUUGCCUCCCAUAUGUGUACUGAUUAGAUCUUAUACUAUUGUUUUGUGUAGUUGUAAUAUGCCAUCAUGUACAACUAUUUGAAAAACGAAUCUCAUUGGCAUAUCUAUAUGGGUAUUGGUUCUGGGCAAUCUCUAGGGAUGCUAGAACUCAGGCCUGGUGCUCAUGCUGUUUGCAAGUUUUUUCAAUUGGCUGGGAUCCUCAUGAUUGUAUUUGUAUUGCACCUUGCUAUUACCCCUUUAAUUCCUUUUUUACUCUAUUUUCUUCCUAGAUUAAUAAUUUUUCUUGUUGUUAAUCAGAUAGUUCGACUGAAAGUCAUAAUUGUGCUUUAGAGAUAAUCAAGUAAUGAAUUAAUUUGAUGGUGACACUUAACUCUGUUGCUGCUGGGAAGGUGAAAAUGUGAAAUCAAACUCUAUUGCAGCUCAUGUUCAUGAGCAAUCUGUUUUGGUUUCGUGGUUUCUAGAGCUAGUUUCAUUAUGUAGCUAUAUGUCGAAAUUGAGAGAGUGCGGUUGAUAAAGAAACUGGCAAAAAGCAAAGGAAGAAAGUUUUAUAGCAGAAGCUGCUGAUUUAAUACAAGAAAUUGCAGGAGCUAGAAGUUGAAUUCUGGUGUCUUUGAUCUUGCAAUUGGUUUUUCCUUGUCCAACAUUAUGAGUGAUUUGAAUUNNNNNNNNNNNNNNNNNNNNNNNNNNNNNNNNNNNNNNNNNNNNNNNNNNNNNNNNNNNNNNNNNNNNNNNNNNNNNNNNNNNNNNNNNNNNNNNNNNNNNNNNNNNNNNNNNNNNNNNNNNNNNNNNNNNNNNNNNNNNNNNNNNNNNNNNNNNNNNNNNNNNNNNNNNNNNNNNNNNNNNNNNNNNNNNNNNNNNNNNNNNNNNNNGCAGAUCCUUCCAAAGAGAAGAAAAAGCAUAAAGAAGGGGAAAGUAUUGUGAAAGAAGCGCCAGCUGACAUUCUGUCACGAUUUUCUGAUGGAUGGUUUUGCAGGUUCUUUUAAGCUUAGAUCGCCAGGACUAUGUCCAUGCACAGAUCCAGAAAAUCAGCCCCCUGGUGUUUGAUGCAGAUCCUUCCAAAGAGAAGAAAAAGCCUAAAGAAGGGGAAAGUAUUGUGGAAGAAGUGCCAGCUGAUAUUCUGUCACUUCUGGAGCUGAGACGGAUAUAAUAAGAACCCACAAUAUGGUGAAUUGGUGCUUUACUUAUUUACUAUUUUUAACUAGAAUUUUUUUGCCGAUCAAGCGCUACCUGCUAUAUGGUGAUAGUGAGAUUCCAUCAGUGAAGGGGAAACCCGGAGAAUACCAGUGAAGCUCUUUCAUAUGAGGCUUUUUCAAGUCUUCCCUGACUUUUUCAAGGCAUGGCUGUUCAUUAUGUGAUUUAAUUAGUCGCAGGUUCUAAGGAAAAUCUGCUGGUACUUAGUUCGGUCACCACAUGAUCGGUUGUAGUCAAGCCUUUGUAAUACUUUAGAAGCUAAAAAUGUCUCAGAAAUUCCCCAUAUCAGGUACAUCUUUGAAUUGUUUCUAGUAUUUGGUUGUACGUUUUCUUGCGAUAGGUUGAUAAUCUGCGAUAGAAUUUGGUUGGCCGUGCCUUUGUUAUUUUAACACAGUUUGCAGUUGAAACAAUUGGUCACAAUGGAGGUUAUCCAGUUAACUGCUCUUUGGAGUAAUUUCAGAGAUAAAUUUGAGAAUGAGAAAACCAUGCUCGAAGGUGCACUUGUUGAGAAGGCAGCAGAAGAUUGUAGAUAGAGAAUACGCAAACAUGUAAUUACAGAACUUUGUCAUUUUUUUUCCUUGCUUUCUUUGUAUCAUCAUGCUGAUGCGACUUACUCUAUUUUCUGCAGAAUAUUAUUGUCGUUUUGAAGUAUUACUCGAGGAUUACCUUGAGGAAACUUGCAAGGCUGUGCCUCAGCAUCCGGGUUGAUUAUGUUGAACAUUUAUUUAUUUCUCUUAUCAAUGUCAAUCUUUAUGACUGAUUGCCUAGACCCCUCAUUUAACCCUGGGCAGCCUCUCUGCCCUGAGACCUGUAGGUUAUGGUUGCUGGACUUGGAUACAAGUUCCAAAAAAGUGGAAAAGAGGUUUUGGUGCCUUGAAGGCCAAGGCUUGUCUUGAGGUUGUGAAUGUUGUGCUUCUAGUUUUUUUCUAUGAAUAUUUCAGACCGAUAUAUAUGCAUACACACUAUGCUUAGUCAACUUCUCAUAAAAUUUGUCGUAGCUAUCAGUAUCAAUGUCUGGCAUUGUGAAACCAUUUCUUGUCCCAUGGAACCUGAAAUUCUGAUGCGCUUUAGAAGUGUGGGAGGAGUUCUGUUAUGACUCACCAUUUCCAGUGUUACAAAAGUAUAUCUCGUGAUUAGAGCUUUCUUAAUUUGCUCAGAAAUCUAUGUAGCUGAAUCACUCAACGAAAGGAACUCUGUUUUUGGGGUUCUGUUACCACUGUUGUAGAGAGCUUUAAUCAUUCAUAUGCCUCAAUCUAUUAAAUCAACACUAUCAUCUGCUAGAGAGACAGCAUAAUAGUAAUUAUACAAGCCUGUAUGAUAUUCUAUUAGCAUGACCUGUUAGUUCUAUGACCAUUUUGGGAAGCUGAAAAGCAUCUCUCCAAAAUGGAUGUUUCCAAAGCCCUGGUAGGAAAGAUAGACCUGCCGAUGGGAGUUGUCUGUUUCCAGACAACAAAGGAGCGCAAUGAUACCUUGAACUCGUGGGCCACGGAUUUGGAAAAGCUCCUUGAUCUUAUUGAGGAAAGCUGCCACCAAAUCCACAAGCAAACUAUGGUUCAUAUGGCUGCUUUGAGAGCUUGGAGAUGUUCUUAGUUGAAUGAAUGACCUCUCUUCCCUUGAGCCUCCCUCUUUCUUACCAAAAGAGAGAAGCUGAAGAGUGUGGUUUCACGUUGUCCUCUGAAGUGGGGACUAAAGAUAUCAUAGAACUAUCUUGUAGCUUUCUUAAAUUUGAUAGCAUAUUUUGCAGGUGGACCAGAUCUGGGCCUUGUUUUGGACUUACACUUUCUGCAUAGGAAUAUAUUUUGGUCUUUUCAUCUUUCCUCUUCCCCCUCCUCGUAAUUGAAGAUUUUUGGACUAUCAGGGUCCAGAACUUGUACCAAUUGAAUUGGUAUCAGAACAAGAUGUGCACUCGUUAUAACAAAAGUGUGCGCCUUAUUACUAAAUUCUGUUUCUCUUUACAAAUUUUGCUGGUGUUACUAUUUUUCUAACAUCAGGGAUAACAUUAGCUCUCAAAAGUAAAGGUGAAUAAAUGUUAUUUUGUAUUUCAUUUCACAUUUGAAUUUUGUUUUCAGCAGAGAGCCUGUUUCCUUUGGACUUAAUCUUGACCGUUGGCAGUUCUAGAAACCUCUGUUUAGGGAGCUUAUAUGUUGUCAAUAGACUUAGCUUUUUUCUCCAGGAUGAUGUUGUGAUGUCAUUUCAAAAAGACACUAUUGUGAUAUCAUUUCUCUCUGAACUUUCAGUCACCGGAAUGUGUUUCGAUGUCAACUAGUUGACGUUUCUCUCAACUCUUGGCAUGUAUGUGAGUAAUAAUACAGUAAGAAGCUUGAAAUAUUGAGGAUAAUGUGUUUGUUUUACAACUCUGUUAACAUUUGGACUUAAUGGAAGUUCUCUUUACAUAUUUGAUUCCCAUUUUCAUUUUACUAUUGAUGCUUCCAAUUGGGAACUUACAACGAUUUCUUCUUCUAAUUUGUUUCCGAUUUUAUUUUCUGGCUGGCAAAAUAUAGAAACCAUCACAUUUUGCUUAUUAAUCUCGACAUUUGAUUGAUUUCAUCAAUCGGUCGUUGUCUCAAAUCCCCUUUCUUUACAAGAGAAGAUGCUGAGGGUUUAAACAUUGGGUCUCAGAGCAAAGUGGGGCAAGGAUGACUCCUAUAGAAACCAUCAUAUGGUACCCGAACUUUUAUUUGAUUCAUGGGACAUAUUUAAUUGAUGAAUGAAAGAUUAUUAUUUUUUUUGUUUUUUUUUUUUUUGGGGGGGGGGGGAGGUGGAAGGAAUUAGGAAUUCAAAUUGUUUGUGCUGGUAGUAGGUGUCAAAUAUUUAUCUGAUUUAACAUUGCCCAUGAUUAGAUAGUAAAUUGAUAGAUAAGCAUCACUAUUAAUACCUAAAUUUUGGUGGCCCAAUUAGUUGUUUAUUGCAUGAAAAAAUUAGGGAUUAAUUUUUAAUACCUAAACAAAAAUAUUAGAAUUAAAUUGCAUAACAUAUAGCUUUUAGAGCAUUUAUUAUUUGGUUUAUUUUUUUAUUGUAUUUGCAUUGGACCAGUGAUGGAUGGAUUCAAAGUGAUGGUUCUGAGCUUUAAUUUAGCAAGUUUGUCCAAGCAGAUUAUUCUUUGAGUGACCGAAAUCAUGUGUGCCACGUUAGUAAUUUCAUAUUAUUGCCAAGAUUUGAUCAUUAAUGCUCAGCAAUAACCCCUGGGGUAGAUGUGCGUACGUGCAUUUUGGAAAAUUCGGUCAAGAUUAUGGAAUGUGAGAAGAGAAGUUGUGGGAGGUGUGGAGCCCAAUAGAGAGGAAGGCGAUUUCUCUGGAGGUCAGCAGCAAGCUCUGGCACUCGUCCAAGCCACGCCUCGUGCCCGACGCGGCACUGCCCGUCUCCUUGCCGCUGCAGUUCAUCAUCUAAUUUUGCCCUUGUCUGAUCUGGGGAAUUUCCGACAACGAUGAAGCACCCCUCAGCGAGUCCUUUGCAUGCCACAGCAGCCCCCGUGGUCUCUUGAUUAAUUCUUUGCAGGUUCCCGGCGAAAUUACAAGCACUUGUCGAACCCUUUGAGCGAACUACUGGCCAGGCCACCACGCUUCUGCUGUUGUCCCGUUUCUUUAAACCUGACACCGCCGCCUGCUGUUUUGUCUGUCAUGCUCGACUGUUCUUUCACAGGCUGUCCAGAACAAACCAACGCCCCUGCUUCAAUCCAAGCGAGUGCAAGACGGCUCCUGUAACGAUGAAUCUUCAUCAACAUUAGCGGAUUUAAUGAUGCUUUAUGAAUAACGCUUUUUAUAGGUUCCAGCUUUGGUGACAUAUCAACCCAGCAAAUCUCUGAGAAGCUUUGCAGCCCCUUAGCCGUGUUCACUCAAGUUCUCCGUAGAAGUGUGCUUUCGUGAUCUAGGAAGUGAGUGAGUCAUAGUGUUGUCAAAGGUACACGUUUUAUAGAAUCAUCUACUGAGCUUUAUGUAAGAGUAGCAUCCUCUACGGACGGUAAAAUCUCGAGGAUUACUCAGCCUUGUUGUGGGAGGACUAGGUUAAGUGGAAGUUCGAUUCAGUACAAAUCUGUUUUGCAUCUCUUCAAUUUCUCUUAACUCCUUUAUUGUCAUUUGGAUACAAGGUACUGCAUCUGCGUGAUAGUUUUCCUCCUAUAGCAAUACAUGAUCCACGUUCUUCUUGAAACAAAAAAUUAAUUUUCUUAAAACAACCAAUUCACUCUCUUAUACCAAGACACUAUUGUACAAGUUUUACAUGAAAAAGUUUCAAUUUUCUUAAAAUAAUCAAUUCACACUCUCUCAACUGUUGCAUUAAUCAUUUCAUUAAUCUCUUUAUACUCUAUUUGUGUUUGUUAGUAAGAGCAAUGAAAAACCUAUCUCUUUUACCAAAAUGAAUCUCUUAGAUAAUCCUUUGUGGAUGACUAUUUUAGUUAGUGGGAAAUUACUAAAAUCACAAUAUCCUAUUCUUCUUGCUUAAUUAAAAGGGGACUCACAUACCAUCAUUGACAUUUAAUGGCAUUAGAAUUUAAUAAUUAUCUCCUCUAACAUUAUAAAGUACAAUGAAAAAAAAAAUUGAGGAAACCUCUCUGAAGCUACUUGUAGUUGUAGCUACCGAUUGAAAAGAACAAUGCCUGUAGCUUAAAGAAAAGCUUCAACCUUCAUAAUGUUAGGACGGAUUUUGGUUAACAUGGAAAUGCUUUAAUUAAAUAAUGAAUUUGUGUUCCAAAGUAUCCAAUCUCACAUCAUAAAAAAAAAUGGAAAUUUGAUCGGGCUGAACCUAGCUCUGGAGAAUCAAUAGGGUAGAGAGCCGGAAAAUAUAAGCUGACCGCUUAUAUAAAAUAGUCGGGCACAAGGUGCAACUGCUUGAUUACUUGAAGGGCCAUUAAACACCACAUUCCCAUUCCCGUUCAGAACAGUUUCAAAUAUGAAAAUAUCAUUUCUCAACCAACUAUGCAAACUCUUAAAAGGGAUUGAGCUUCCAAUUUAUGUUGACGUAAUUAAUAUGAGGCCCAAAAUAUAUUUAACCUUUGUGUCACCUUCUAUAAAGUUGGACAAACCAGACAUUUUUCAAAUAUUAUUCCAUCGCAUUGGUCAAAAUGAACAAUUUUUAUUUAUUUAUUAGAGAGAUGUGUAUAUAUCUUUGGUUUUCUUUCGUAUUCCAAUUUCAAACCCGCUCAAGGUGCACAACCCAUGGAAGGUCCAGAAGCAGCGUAAGAUUCUCUCAUUUUAUCAUAUAUUUUUUUUUUUUUUUUUUGGAAUAAUUUCUACCGAGAAGAAGGCAGAAUUAAGGCUCAUUUGUAGUCAUCAAUCCACGGAAAUCGUGCAUCCAUUUCCUGCGGAAUUUGUGUCAGUGUUGAUUUUAUUCGUCUUCCCCAAAUAUUUAGUCGUCGAUUUUCUUUUGUGGGUUUGAUCUCAUAGCUUUCGUACAUUCUUGAACGUCGGAGAAUCAUAAUAACAUUUUGGACCCCACAUCCAUAAAACCAAAUAAUGUGAGCACAGCAUGGAGGUGAUGAGGGUUUCGAGGAAGCUCGCUCGAAAACCCGCGGGAAGUUUCUUGCAUCUUAUGGGAGAAAAUUCAUGGUCACUUCAUGACCCUUUCUGGUGCAAUUUGCCAAGUGAUUUUCGUGAAAAAUGUCAUGAAAUUGAAAUCGAAAUUAGCUGGAUGUCUAACAUUUGAAAAAAAGUAGCACUUGACUAGAUCGGUUAUCAUCCCAAAAAAAAAAAAAUCACAUUCAUUUCGUAAUAUAAAUAAGCAACGCAAGAUAAUAAUUUCAUUAGUAGGUUUUGUGCAACUACAUACAUUCAAUUUAACAAUCAAUGUUUAGGUAAUGACCUAUAUCCGAUUUUUUUUUUUAGCAAACAUUUCCAUUCCAUAAAUGAAGUGAUAUUCUAUUAGUUCUUGUGAACAAUUAUCUAGAUUAAUUGCAAUCUCUUUAGGUAAAAACAUUCUUUUGAAAAUCUUAAAAGUUUAUUAGUUGAUGUAGGACAAGUUGCGAAUAGUUCUUAGAAUGAAUCGAUCAACAAAUGAAUAGAGUUUAGCAUGGCAUUCAUCAAAGUGAGUAGAUAAAGGUCGGUCUGCUACAAGCAAGAGCUCCGGACAAUCUAGCGUAAAUUAUGUGGAUAGGGAUUUUUCAUAGCAAUGCCACGGGUUUUAAUUAUAGAUACCGGUGAAGAGCAGAUGCUGCUGAAGAUGCAUUUGUCCAAGUCUUUAAGUUAGCUUUGGAACUGUUCUUGUCAAUCCUUCACACACAAUCUUUACCGAAAUUCACUACUCCAUUCCCUUCCCUGUUUAGUCACGCCAAUUUUCCCAAACUCCUCACUUGGCUCGUGCUUCACACUACUUUACCCUUCUGUUUUAGCCUGCAAUUACGUAAUCGUGCUGUCCUGCUCGCUUCACCUUCCCAUGACACUUCCCCGAUGAUUCCAUUUAAUAAUGGAAAAGCAAGUCAAGUCAAUCAAAGCACCUGCGUAGGGGGCACGCACCUUCCGCAGGACAGCAAAAGAGUCAUUUCCCCCUAAAAUGAAAUGGGGCAGAAGUAAAAUUCUGUAUUUAAAAUGGACACGGUGAGGCAUCCUUAUUGUUUUGUUUCCUUAAAUAUGUCUUAACUUAUUUAUGCUCCUCAGAGAUCAAACGACUCUGUACCUGUUCUGCAUGUUGGAUGAUUAUUCAAAAUCAUUGACUGGCUUGAUCUUUUUAUAAGCAAUUCUUGUUUGAUCCUGUGCAAAGUUACUGUGAGAUAGCUGGUUGUCAGACACUUACCAAGAUGAAAUUUGGGGUUGUGUAGCUAGAUUCUGUGAAAGGCUUGCUCACAAUAUGCAACUGCAGACUCACUUGCGCUACAUGAUUUCUUUUUCGUUUUUCCUCCCUAGGUGGGAGAAAUAGGCCAAGCUACUAUCAAGGCAAUGGAAUGACCGAGAAGGAAGAUUUGCGAAAGCAAGUGCCAGACUCUCCUCUGAUUUCAACUCAAAUGAUACAUUUGCUUGAUGAUUGGACAUAUGAAAUUUACUGAUGAAGGACUCCAAUGGAAGGAUAUAAUAAAAGCAGAUCCAUCCGUUUUAUUUCUGAAUUUCAAACAUGUAACUGUUCAAGCAUAGUAUCAACUGCAUGUGAAUCGCAAAGUUUUCUGGACUUGACAUGUCAACAACUUCAACUGAUAAUGCACAAUGGUAAUUGCUUCAAUCGACACGUCUGACAAUGCUCAACUACAAAAAUAACAAAAGAAAGGCCGACGAUGCCUUGGAAAGAAAAAGGAACUCUCUUUAGCCCUUCCCUGGGUUAAUGAUUAACCCACCUACAGUGAUUGCCCUUUGCUUUUUAUUUUCUAAUUGCUCUAUUAAUAGAAAAAGCAAGUCAAAUUGACGUCAAGUCAUUGCUUUCGAAAAAGAGCGCCUUCGUAGGCUCUACGCCCCUCCCACGCAAUCCCGUAGAAAUUAUGCGUGCAAUAAUUGCUCGCAUAGAGUGUUGCGAUAUCAUUUCUUUAUUAACUUCAUCAUCUUUUUCUUUUUUUUUAUUCUAUUCAUCAUCCGAAAAUACUCGGGCGCACAUCCAUGUUUUGCAUCAUAUCAACACUUGGUUACGGUAAUACAUGGUGAUGUCAUAAAACAAUUUUAUUUUACAUUAUAUUCUCAUUAUUAAUUAUUAUGACAUGUCGUAAUAUAGUACGUUGCAAUAUAUAGCAGUGGCUUUAAACCUAACGAUUUUAUUAUGCUCAAUUGAUAGUUGACACUAACAAAAUUUUGAUUGAACAGUUGAUGACACGAAUUAAAUAGACGGAUGACAUUGAAACACGUGCAUUGGAUGGAUGACAAGGGAUAUGGCAUGAUCAAUGUGCAAAAACCACGAGUUCAAAAAACAGCCCCAUCUUCCUCAUAGUCAGAGAGGCCCGAGAAUCAAUGUUUCUUUCUUUCUAUUUUCUUUGUGCUCCCACGAUUCUGAUGGCACGAACAGGAAAGCAAUCAACAGCAUGACUUUCGGUGCCCGCUAGUCCUGUUAAUUUUCAGGCAAAAAAAAAAAUCUUGUUAAUUUCAACCAUGGAAAACAUAAUCGAUAUGAGAUUCACAUAAUUGACUCUUUUAAAUGAAUGCUUGAAGAGCAAUUUUUACGUAUAUGUAAGAAACGAAUUUUUUUUUAUUAUUUUUGCUAUACUAAUUAGACAUAAUUAGUAUUGUCCUAGGUGCUCAUGCCUGUAGAUUAAAGAGAAAUCAUUGUCAUUCCUGGAUAAUUCAUUCCAACUCGUCUUGUUACAGAUCCAGCACCACAGAAUAGCCUUAUGAUUUCUUCCUUGGUAAUUUCGUGCACAGAGAAAAGAAAUUGUUUUCUUUUUUAUCCAGUAAUACUUAUUUGGGCCCAAUCCGAUAGGACACUUUCGUAAGACCGGUCUAUUAGGAAUUGGUUUUGUGGAUUUUGAAAGAUUUUUUUUUUUUAUUUCAUUCAUUUGGAAGCAUUCUUGAAAUUGAGACGAAAUUAUUUAUAUUUCUUUUGAGUAUGUUCUCCUUAAAUUGUAGCUAUUUUUUUUAUUGAUGGUAAACAAUGGAUAAAUAGAGCAUGUAANNNNNNNNNNNNNNNNNNNNNNNNNNNNNNNNNNNNNNNNNNNNNNNNNNNNNNNNNNNNNNNNNNNNNNNNNNNNNNNNNNNNNNNNNNNNNNNNNNNNNNNNNNNNNNNNNNNNNNNNNNNNNNNNNNNNNNNNNNNNNNNNNNNNNNNNNNNNNNNNNNNNNNNNNNNNNNNNNNNNNNNNNNNNNNNNNNNNNNNNNNNNNNNNNNNNNNNNNNNNNNNNNNNNNNNNNNNNNNNNNNNNNNNNNNNNNNNNNNNNNNNNNNNNNNNNNNNNNNNNNNNNNNNNNNNNNNNNNNNNNNNNNNNNNNNNNNNNNNNNNNNNNNNNNNNNNNNNNNNNNNNNNNNNNNNNNNNNNNNNNNNNNNNNNNNNNNNNNNNNNNNNNNNNNNNNNNNNNNNNNNNNNNNNNNNNNNNNNNNNNNNNNNNNNNNNNNNNNNNNNNNNNNNNNNNNNNNNNNNNNNNNNNNNNNNNNNNNNNNNNNNNNNNNNNNNNNNNNNNNNNNNNNNNNNNNNNNNNNNNNNNNNNNNNNNNNNNNNNNNNNNNNNNNNNNNNNNNNNNNNNNNNNNNNNNNNNNNNNNNNNNNNNNNNNNNNNNNNNNNNNNNNNNNNNNNNNNNNNNNNNNNNNNNNNNNNNNNNNNNNNNNNNNNNNNNNNNNNNNNNNNNNNNNNNNNNNNNNNNNNNNNNNNNNNNNNNNNNNNNNNNNNNNNNNNNNNNNNNNNNNNNNNNNNNNNNNNNNNNNNNNNNNNNNNNNNNNNNNNNNNNNNNNNNNNNNNNNNNNNNNNNNNNNNNNNNNNNNNNNNNNNNNNNNNNNNNNNNNNNNNNNNNNNNNNNNNNNNNNNNNNNNNNNNNNNNNNNNNNNNNNNNNNNNNNNNNNNNNNNNNNNNNNNNNNNNNNNNNNNNNNNNNNNNNNNNNNNNNNNNNNNNNNNNNNNNNNNNNNNNNNNNNNNNNNNNNNNNNNNNNNNNNNNNNNNNNNNNNNNNNNNNNNNNNNNNNNNNNNNNNNNNNNNNNNNNNNNNNNNNNNNNNNNNNNNNNNNNNNNNNNNNNNNNNNNNNNNNNNNNNNNNNNNNNNNNNNNNNNNNNNNNNNNNNNNNNNNNNNNNNNNNNNNNNNNNNNNNNNNNNNNNNNNNNNNNNNNNNNNNNNNNNNNNNNNNNNNNNNNNNNNNNNNNNNNNNNNNNNNNNNNNNNNNNNNNNNNNNNNNNNNNNNNNNNNNNNNNNNNNNNNNNNNNNNNNNNNNNNNNNNNNNNNNNNNNNNNNNNNNNNNNNNNNNNNNNNNNNNNNNNNNNNNNNNNNNNNNNNNNNNNNNNNNNNNNNNNNNNNNNNNNNNNNNNNNNNNNNNNNNNNNNNNNNNNNNNNNNNNNNNNNNNNNNNNNNNNNNNNNNNNNNNNNNNNNNNNNNNNNNNNNNNNNNNNNNNNNNNNNNNNNNNNNNNNNNNNNNNNNNNNNNNNNNNNNNNNNNNNNNNNNNNNNNNNNNNNNNNNNNNNNNNNNNNNNNNNNNNNNNNNNNNNNNNNNNNNNNNNNNNNNNNNNNNNNNNNNNNNNNNNNNNNNNNNNNNNNNNNNNNNNNNNNNNNNNNNNNNNNNNNNNNNNNNNNNNNNNNNNNNNNNNNNNNNNNNNNNNNNNNNNNNNNNNNNNNNNNNNNNNNNNNNNNNNNNNNNNNNNNNNNNNNNNNNNNNNNNNNNNNNNNNNNNNNNNNNNNNNNNNNNNNNNNNNNNNNNNNNNNNNNNNNNNNNNNNNNNNNNNNNNNNNNNNNNNNNNNNNNNNNNNNNNNNNNNNNNNNNNNNNNNNNNNNNNNNNNNNNNNNNNNNNNNNNNNNNNNNNNNNNNNNNNNNNNNNNNNNNNNNNNNNNNNNNNNNNNNNNNNNNNNNNNNNNNNNNNNNNNNNNNNNNNNNNNNNNNNNNNNNNNNNNNNNNNNNNNNNNNNNNNNNNNNNNNNNNNNNNNNNNNNNNNNNNNNNNNNNNNNNNNNNNNNNNNNNNNNNNNNNNNNNNNNNNNNNNNNNNNNNNNNNNNNNNNNNNNNNNNNNNNNNNNNNNNNNNNNNNNNNNNNNNNNNNNNNNNNNNNNNNNNNNNNNNNNNNNNNNNNNNNNNNNNNNNNNNNNNNNNNNNNNNNNNNNNNNNNNNNNNNNNNNNNNNNNNNNNNNNNNNNNNNNNNNNNNNNNNNNNNNNNNNNNNNNNNNNNNNNNNNNNNNNNNNNNNNNNNNNNNNNNNNNNNNNNNNNNNNNNNNNNNNNNNNNNNNNNNNNNNNNNNNNNNNNNNNNNNNNNNNNNNNNNNNNNNNNNNNNNNNNNNNNNNNNNNNNNNNNNNNNNNNNNNNNNNNNNNNNNNNNNNNNNNNNNNNNNNNNNNNNNNNNNNNNNNNNNNNNNNNNNNNNNNNNNNNNNNNNNNNNNNNNNNNNNNNNNNNNNNNNNNNNNNNNNNNNNNNNNNNNNNNNNNNNNNNNNNNNNNNNNNNNNNNNNNNNNNNNNNNNNNNNNNNNNNNNNNNNNNNNNNNNNNNNNNNNNNNNNNNNNNNNNNNNNNNNNNNNNNNNNNNNNNNNNNNNNNNNNNNNNNNNNNNNNNNNNNNNNNNNNNNNNNNNNNNNNNNNNNNNNNNNNNNNNNNNNNNNNNNNNNNNNNNNNNNNNNNNNNNNNNNNNNNNNNNNNNNNNNNNNNNNNNNNNNNNNNNNNNNNNNNNNNNNNNNNNNNNNNNNNNNNNNNNNNNNNNNNNNNNNNNNNNNNNNNNNNNNNNNNNNNNNNNNNNNNNNNNNNNNNNNNNNNNNNNNNNNNNNNNNNNNNNNNNNNNNNNNNNNNNNNNNNNNNNNNNNNNNNNNNNNNNNNNNNNNNNNNNNNNNNNNNNNNNNNNNNNNNNNNNNNNNNNNNNNNNNNNNNNNNNNNNNNNNNNNNNNNNNNNNNNNNNNNNNNNNNNNNNNNNNNNNNNNNNNNNNNNNNNNNNNNNNNNNNNNNNNNNNNNNNNNNNNNNNNNNNNNNNNNNNNNNNNNNNNNNNNNNNNNNNNNNNNNNNNNNNNNNNNNNNNNNNNNNNNNNNNNNNNNNNNNNNNNNNNNNNNNNNNNNNNNNNNNNNNNNNNNNNNNNNNNNNNNNNNNNNNNNNNNNNNNNNNNNNNNNNNNNNNNNNNNNNNNNNNNNNNNNNNNNNNNNNNNNNNNNNNNNNNNNNNNNNNNNNNNNNNNNNNNNNNNNNNNNNNNNNNNNNNNNNNNNNNNNNNNNNNNNNNNNNNNNNNNNNNNNNNNNNNNNNNNNNNNNNNNNNNNNNNNNNNNNNNNNNNNNNNNNNNNNNNNNNNNNNNNNNNNNNNNNNNNNNNNNNNNNNNNNNNNNNNNNNNNNNNNNNNNNNNNNNNNNNNNNNNNNNNNNNNNNNNNNNNNNNNNNNNNNNNNNNNNNNNNNNNNNNNNNNNNNNNNNNNNNNNNNNNNNNNNNNNNNNNNNNNNNNNNNNNNNNNNNNNNNNNNNNNNNNNNNNNNNNNNNNNNNNNNNNNNNNNNNNNNNNNNNNNNNNNNNNNNNNNNNNNNNNNNNNNNNNNNNNNNNNNNNNNNNNNNNNNNNNNNNNNNNNNNNNNNNNNNNNNNNNNNNNNNNNNNNNNNNNNNNNNNNNNNNNNNNNNNNNNNNNNNNNNNNNNNNNNNNNNNNNNNNNNNNNNNNNNNNNNNNNNNNNNNNNNNNNNNNNNNNNNNNNNNNNNNNNNNNNNNNNNNNNNNNNNNNNNNNNNNNNNNNNNNNNNNNNNNNNNNNNNNNNNNNNNNNNNNNNNNNNNNNNNNNNNNNNNNNNNNNNNNNNNNNNNNNNNNNNNNNNNNNNNNNNNNNNNNNNNNNNNNNNNNNNNNNNNNNNNNNNNNNNNNNNNNNNNNNNNNNNNNNNNNNNNNNNNNNNNNNNNNNNNNNNNNNNNNNNNNNNNNNNNNNNNNNNNNNNNNNNNNNNNNNNNNNNNNNNNNNNNNNNNNNNNNNNNNNNNNNNNNNNNNNNNNNNNNNNNNNNNNNNNNNNNNNNNNNNNNNNNNNNNNNNNNNNNNNNNNNNNNNNNNNNNNNNNNNNNNNNNNNNNNNNNNNNNNNNNNNNNNNNNNNNNNNNNNNNNNNNNNNNNNNNNNNNNNNNNNNNNNNNNNNNNNNNNNNNNNNNNNNNNNNNNNNNNNNNNNNNNNNNNNNNNNNNNNNNNNNNNNNNNNNNNNNNNNNNNNNNNNNNNNNNNNNNNNNNNNNNNNNNNNNNNNNNNNNNNNNNNNNNNNNNNNNNNNNNNNNNNNNNNNNNNNNNNNNNNNNNNNNNNNNNNNNNNNNNNNNNNNNNNNNNNNNNNNNNNNNNNNNNNNNNNNNNNNNNNNNNNNNNNNNNNNNNNNNNNNNNNNNNNNNNNNNNNNNNNNNNNNNNNNNNNNNNNNNNNNNNNNNNNNNNNNNNNNNNNNNNNNNNNNNNNNNNNNNNNNNNNNNNNNNNNNNNNNNNNNNNNNNNNNNNNNNNNNNNNNNNNNNNNNNNNNNNNNNNNNNNNNNNNNNNNNNNNNNNNNNNNNNNNNNNNNNNNNNNNNNNNNNNNNNNNNNNNNNNNNNNNNNNNNNNNNNNNNNNNNNNNNNNNNNNNNNNNNNNNNNNNNNNNNNNNNNNNNNNNNNNNNNNNNNNNNNNNNNNNNNNNNNNNNNNNNNNNNNNNNNNNNNNNNNNNNNNNNNNNNNNNNNNNNNNNNNNNNNNNNNNNNNNNNNNNNNNNNNNNNNNNNNNNNNNNNNNNNNNNNNNNNNNNNNNNNNNNNNNNNNNNNNNNNNNNNNNNNNNNNNNNNNNNNNNNNNNNNNNNNNNNNNNNNNNNNNNNNNNNNNNNNNNNNNNNNNNNNNNNNNNNNNNNNNNNNNNNNNNNNNNNNNNNNNNNNNNNNNNNNNNNNNNNNNNNNNNNNNNNNNNNNNNNNNNNNNNNNNNNNNNNNNNNNNNNNNNNNNNNNNNNNNNNNNNNNNNNNNNNNNNNNNNNNNNNNNNNNNNNNNNNNNNNNNNNNNNNNNNNNNNNNNNNNNNNNNNNNNNNNNNNNNNNNNNNNNNNNNNNNNNNNNNNNNNNNNNNNNNNNNNNNNNNNNNNNNNNNNNNNNNNNNNNNNNNNNNNNNNNNNNNNNNNNNNNNNNNNNNNNNNNNNNNNNNNNNNNNNNNNNNNNNNNNNNNNNNNNNNNNNNNNNNNNNNNNNNNNNNNNNNNNNNNNNNNNNNNNNNNNNNNNNNNNNNNNNNNNNNNNNNNNNNNNNNNNNNNNNNNNNNNNNNNNNNNNNNNNNNNNNNNNNNNNNNNNNNNNNNNNNNNNNNNNNNNNNNNNNNNNNNNNNNNNNNNNNNNNNNNNNNNNNNNNNNNNNNNNNNNNNNNNNNNNNNNNNNNNNNNNNNNNNNNNNNNNNNNNNNNNNNNNNNNNNNNNNNNNNNNNNNNNNNNNNNNNNNNNNNNNNNNNNNNNNNNNNNNNNNNNUCCUAAUACCUACUCUCUAUCCUCGAAACUCACAUAUUUUUCUAUUUUAAACAAUACAAAAGAAAUAUCUAUGGGGUCCGGGAUAGUAAUGGAAUCUAACGUUAUUUUCUAACUCUUUUUAUGUAAUUACUUGCUAUUUUAAAAAUAUCUCCUAGGAGUAAGCAAAAGCAAAUGGGAUUUUUGCGUCUUCUGGAUGAGAACUUAAAGAUCUCUCUUGAAGCUAUUUCUCAAAUUAGACUUCUCUAUGCCACACCAUACUUUUAAGAUAGCAUAGUCAUCACACCUUUAUCCCAAUCACAUCCACAUCUCUCUCAGAAUUAAUUUUUAACAUUUUGCAUAACCUUUCUUUUUUUUUUAUUAACCUAUCACAAAUAAUUAUUCCCAAGUAAGAUUUGCACACAUUAAACCGAGUUUUAAUUUAUUGACUUCUUACUCCACAAAGUUAAUAUAUUAUUGAGUUUGAAUUCAGAAUUUGGAUGGCAAUAUUUUGAAGCACAGUUUAUGAAUGUGGAAUCAUUAAUUUUGAAUCAAUAAAUGGCUAAUAAAUGUAUAUUGAAAGUCUGUUUAUAUACAUUUAUUUCUUAUAUACAUUUAUUUCUUUAUCGCAAGAAUUGCUCUUAAAAUAUCAAUCAUACUUAAUGCAUGACUAUAAUAAAAUUAACAGUCGGAAAACGGAAGAAAUGCAGGCCCCACCUCGAGAAAACUAGCCUAACAAGUCACUAUCAAGAAACUCCAUUUUAGAUAUAUAUGGUGUUAAUAGAAAAAUAUUAAUGACAAAUUUUUUUUUUUUUUUUUUGCUCUAUACACUAUACAAUGUGAAAAUUGCAUUUCAUGUUUUUUCCUAUAAUGUCUUUUGCAUUCUCGAAACUUCUAUCGCUACAUCCCAGCAAAAGAAGAGAGUUCAUCUUUUCUGGGAAUUUGAAUAGGAGCAUCCUAUAAAUUGGGAUUUAGUCUAGGAAAGGACGUGUAAAUAGUAACUUUUGCAUCUGAUUGGCCAUUUGCAAAUUUAAGUAGAAAGAUCGGGAAAAAUUAUAAAAUCAAGGCUUGGAGCAUGACAUGACAAUUAUUUUCUGGGAGUCUAUUAUUAUCAUGAAAAAAUAAUUUUGGUAUACCUAUACCUUAGAGCAUGACAUUAAGGAUUUCAUGAUUUAGGCAAGUAUGGUUUCAAGUACGUAAUAUGUCAUAAGUCCAUGACAAAAGCCCGUGUCCUCCAUUUUGGUUGUGUUUUAUUAAAUAGAUAAAGGCUGUUGUAAUUUCUUCUCUUGGUCAAUUAAAUAAAGCCAGAUUUUAAUAGUUUGCUGUUGCCUGCUUGCUCCUAUUCGAAUUUGCCCCUUCGAGAAGGACUCAAAUGUAACACUUUUGAGUUUUGCCAUUUUGCACAAACCAACCUGAAUUAAUAUUCGAUGGAGGCAAUUUCCCUGUUCAUAACGCCUAUCUAAAUUUAUGCAAUAUUCCUGCAGGUACGAGGAACGUAUUAUAAUCCGAGUUAGUUAGCAUAUGUUAAGAAUUUAAUCAACUCGAGGCCUUAUUCGGGUAGACAGUCUUAUGGGAAGAAAGCAAGGCCGCCCUAUAUUCAGAAGGCGCUAACUAGAUUGUAGGAUGUCAUCUUUUUCUGCUUUUUCGUUGGAACAAGCAGUCAGCGUUUUGAGAAACACUUCACUUCUUGGCGAGCGGAUUUAAUGGGAACAUUCUCUUCAUUCUUCCUAUGGAAAGAGGGAUCCGUUUCCUCCCUCUCGUUUUCUUGACAUGAAUGACGGUCAUGAGGUUUUCCGUUUUGCCAGUAUAAUUGAUAGGAACAUUUCUUGUUAUUAAUUGCUCUCCUAGAUAGAUGAUAUGCUUCCCUGCGGACCUUACUAACCCUCUUUCCGUUCACUCUCUUCGUCGAUUUCCACAUUUAAGCAUGUAUUGAAGGCUGACUUCUUACAUCCCCUCUCAUACGGUUGGAUUUGGAAGAGGCACAUCUACUUAUGUUAGGAGCUUGCGGGAGAUUGCAGGUCAUUGAAUGCAUACCAUGAUGCUUCAACUGCUGCUAGAUGACUUAACUUGUCGAGGAUGAAAAAAGACCGUGGAAAGUGGUUCAGCUGGCAAAAGUGCAUUUGCUUUUAGAUUCAAUCAAGCCCAUUCUCAGCUGAUUAGCCAUGAUACAUGUUCGUUUUGUUCCUUCAAGCAGAUAAGUUACAUAUGCUACUGUCAAGAGAAUGGCUUGUCAUGCUANNNNNNNNNNNNNNNNNNNNNNNNNNNNNNNNNNNNNNNNNNNNNNNNNNNNNNNNNNNNNNNNNNNNNNNNNNNNNNNNNNNNNNNNNNNNNNNNNNNNNNNNNNNNNNNNNNNNNNNNNNNNNNNNNNNNNNNNNNNNNNNNNNNNNNNNNNNNNNNNNNNNNNNNNNNNNNNNNNNNNNNNNNNNNNNNNNNNNNNNNNNNNNNNNNNNNNNNNNNNNNNNNNNNNNNNNNNNNNNNNNNNNNNNNNNNNNNNNNNNNNNNNNNNNNNNNNNNNNNNNNNNNNNNNNNNNNNNNNNNNNNNNNNNNNNNNNNNNNNNNNNNNNNNNNNNNNNNNNNNNNNNNNNNNNNNNNNNNNNNNGCAAGCCCGAGCUCGCCCAGCCUUGCCCCACGUCCACGAGGCUCGGCCUCGCCUUGGCUGGGUGAGCUCGGGCUCGCCCAGAUUCGGUGAGCCCGAGCUCGCCCAGCCACCGGCUCGGCCUCACCGGGCCACCGCCAGGCCAGCGAGCCUCGCCCAACCACGGCGAGGCUCGGCCUCGCCAGGGGCCGGCAAGCCUCGCCGUGGCUGGGCGAGGCCGGCGACCGGCCAAAAAAAAAAGAAAAAGAAAAGAAGAAAAAAAAAGAGAAGAAAAAGAGAAGAGAGAGAAAAUUUGUUCUUAAAAAUUGUUUCAGAAACAAUAAAUACGUUUUUCUUGUUUCUUGUUUUUGUUCCAAAUGUGUUCCUGAGAACAAAAAAAUAGAUUUGGAACAAAAACGCAAACAAACGCGUUUCUGUUCUUUUUUUGUUCCCUGAAACAAAAAAACAGAAAUUUUGUUCAUAAACAGAAACAAAGAACAUUAACAAAUAGACCCUAAGUGGCUAUUCAACUAUCAAUAGUCGCAUUCACAUCUAUACAAGCACGGGGUACUGCUCAGGGAAUGUCCCACUCUCCCUUCACGUGAUGCACGAGUUUUGCUGACCGAACAUAUGUGACAAUCUUUGCCAGCCCAAUUCCAACCUGUCCACUCGUCGGCCGAAAGAAAGAACCUGUUCAACUAUUGGGCAUCACAACAUGAUCGUACGGCUUGUAAUGAUGUCUUACUUGACUAUGCAAAAGAGGUUGUGAGAUCGUUAUUGUCUAUAAUAAGGCAACUCUGAAUUACUUGACUCACUUUGCUCUUGCUUUUUGAGAGGAAACCUUUGAAAGCUCUUUAAACCAAGAUUGUUAUGCUUCCUUCAAUUCAUGCCUCAUAGUCUUAAGCUGCAUGCCGUUUUUCAGGUGUAUUCUGGAUAAUCUUAGUGUGAUUUUGUGUUCCCAAGCAUAAGAAAUUCUUCUAUUUAGUAUCUAACAAGAUACAAGGGCAAAAUGUAUAUUUAUGCUUUAUUUGGGAAGGAGGGGAAGAGGAGCAAAAUGAAGUAAAUUUUUGUAACCUUUACGAGAAUAAGUGGGAGAAAAUUCAUAAUUCUUCUCUAUUCCUUUACUUGAUGUAUCCAAGCAAAGCAAUCUUUCCUUUAUCAUGAAGGUGCUUGCUUGCUAAAUAGACCACAAGCAUAGGGUAAAUCAUGCGUUGUUGCUAUCAUAGGAGUCAUUAUCAAUUGAAAUCAACUAAACAUUAAUUUCAUUCUUCAAAUGCAUGGAACUUCACUUGACUUCCAAUUGAUGCAUAUCGGCCAUUAUCCACAAGAUGCUCCGAUGAACAAUUGAUGUGUCCAUUCAUGUGGCAAAACGUAUUAUGGAGACGAACAUAUGAAGUUGAUCCUUGGAAGGCGGAGGUGUUGCGCAACCUGGCAAUUCAGUCAUUCGAAUCCUCCCCUCCAGCUUGUUCUGUCUAUAUGUUUUAAGAGGAGGAGGAUCUGACGGCACGAAGGAGUUUGUAGACCAACUAAUGGACUAGUUUAAGAAAGAAAGGGAUUCUACCGCACAGUUUGCUUGGAGACUGAAAGGAAUAAUAGGGGAGAGGGGUACUGACGGUCAUGUGACCGUCAAGUUUCCAAUUAGUACAUGUUUGAAGUGCUUGGCAUCGUGGGCCUGAGAUUUUUUAUUUUGUCGUGGAUUCUCUUUUGCGGUUCUGAGCCGACGAGAAAAUAUUGGGUGGUCCGGGACCUCCACGUCAGCGUGGUCCCCGGCCACUCACGAGGUGCCAUGUGGAGAGGUGGGCCCCACUUGAUGUCCUCUUCGGAUUUUCUCUUGCUCCUUGACGCAGCGCUCCUCUCUCUCCUCUCUCUUCUCACUCUCUCCCAAAUAAUUCUCGGCUGGUGGCUCGGCUCGGCUCAGUUGGCAAAAGAAAGCUCGGGUCAAUGGAUAAUAAAUGCGCAGCACUCCCGCUUAAAAUUUCUCUCUCCUCACUUGAAUAUUUUCUGGGCUCUCUCUCUCCUCGCGGACGAGCUGCACUUCCUCUGUUUCCUUCUCAGCGCAUCCCACCCCCUCCGCCUCCGCCUCCCCAAAAAGCCUCGCCGGUCUGUCGCCUCCUCCAAGAGCCCCGCCAGUCGCAGCUGGUUCCCGACCCCUUUGCCUCUGACUGUUUCCAACGCCGAGAUCGAGCGUAAGGUUUGUGCUCGCCUUGAUCUCUAGGCAACUUCUGGGCCUCCGUCCGAUUGCCUCCCUCCGACGAACUUGUCAUCAACUCCGACUCCGAGCCGCCGUUGCCACCACCGAUGGCGUCCUCCGUCUCUGCCAUCUACUCGUCCUCCCCCUCCCUCAAGCUGAAGACGCUGCCAGCCUCCGCCGCGAAGCCGUCGGCCUCCGGCAGGAGGGAGGCGUCCUCGGUCUCGUUCCCAAGUGGCGCCAGGCUCCCCGCCGUCGACUGGGUGUUGUCCCUGUCGCUGGCCCGAUCAAUUGCGAGGGAGAUCUCGGUGGACCUGGGCAGGGCCGACGGCGCGGCGAAGAAGGAGAGGCACGGGCUAGAGGGCUGGAGAAGGAUUCCCGCUCACUGUGGACGAGGUACGUGGACUAGCUGCACCGGCACUGGAGCUAGGGCUUUUCCUUGGAUGUGAGCCGAAUCGGGUUCACGGACGAGUUCGUGGAGAAGAUGGAGCUUCGGUUCCAGGCUGCGUUCAAGGCGAUGGAGGAGCUGGGGAAGGGUGCGAUCGCAAACCCGGCCUGUGCGAGGGCCGCAUGAUUGGGCACUACUGGUUGAGGAAGUCGGAACUCACGCUGGCCCGGUUCCUGAAGGAGCAGAUUGAGAGCACGCUCAACACCGUCUGCAAUUUCACUGUCGACGUGGUUAGCGGUGAGGUCAGUUCGUGAAUUCCGGUCGUUGUUGCUUUCCUUGCGUUCUUGUUUUUUUUUUUUUCCUGGGAAUCUGUUGUCGUAGAUGCUUGCAUCAGUUUUCUGGUAAAUGCCAGCAUUGUCUUAGUAGCUUGAGGAAAGCGACGCCGGGGAUAAAUUGAAUUGGUUUCUGGUUGAAGAGAUGGAGAGCUCGUUUACGUAUUAUUCACUUGAAAUGACCAUGUAUGGAAAUUUACGACUCUGAGACGCAGCAUUUUCAAAAUUUUCUUCAGGUUUUUCGAUUAAUGUCAGCAUGAAAUUCGGUUUUUGAUCGUUGGUUUUCUUUCAGUGUGCUUAGCUGAUUGCAUCUGACACGGAUGGAUUGAUUGACUUGAUUAUGUUUGAUGCUUAAUUUGCAGAUUAAGUCCCCUCCUACUUCUCCCGUGGAUCGCUUUACUCAAGUACUUUCAGUUGUUCAGCUCUUGGCCCACGGUUUGUUGCAGAGGCAUUGGCUCCCAAUAAUCCUCCAUUGAAUUGUUAAAGACCGGAGUGUCUAUCCUCCUCUCGCAAUCUACCCUUCAGGUAUUUAGCUUCAUGGAAUUGCUGCUCUUUUAACGUUUUAUACCUUCAUUGAUCUAUUCAUUUAAGUUGUCGGUCGAUGCACAUUGCACCGUUGAUAGUGGAGGUGAGCACGGCCCUUUUUCAUUCAGUUGGGCACCGAACCAAACAAACUGCAUUAAUAUGGUUUACCAAACCAAACCACACUAUGUUCUUUUUGGUAACUUUUACUCCAUCCUAUUUUUCAAUGCAAGCUGAGCUGCUCACUUCCUUCAGUUUUGUUGGCAAAUUGUGCGGCAAGCCAGACUCUGAUUUUCUGCUUAGCGCAUUCCUUCCCCCUCAACAAAAAAGAGUCCCUCUAAAAUCUAUGGCAUGGACAAAUAUGUGCACUAUUUGGUGGUUUAAAUCAGCACCUAACCUAGCUUUUCACCGUAUGUCAUUUUUUAUUGUCUUUAUUAGGAAGCAGCCUUGCAGGAGUUGGUAUUGCUCUAUGCUGAAGAAGUGGACGAAACUGAUGUUCAAGGUGAAUCUGAGUUCAAAUCAUUGGAUGCAUCUAAAUCCCUAUUUGAGCUCUGCCGUUAAAUUCUUUUUGAUAUCUGACAUUACCGUGUUUUUCGUUUAUUUAAUUUUUCCACAUGAAUCGAUGAGCUCUAAACUUCUAGAAUUGAAUUCACUGCAUUUUUUUUGCAAUUGAUUAAGAUAUCAAUCCUCGCAAAGUAUCAUUCCGUAUCAUGGACACGGCAUGUAGAAGAUCUACUCUCAUCAUGUCUAUGCUCUCAGCAUGUUCCGAAUGAACUUCUUUUAUACUUCUCUGAUUUAUUUCUUCCUUCAAUGAAGUAGUUUAGAGUUUAAUAAAGAAAGUGAUCUAUCUAAAUUACUUCCAUUCACAUCAUCUACAGCUUCAUGGUUAAUUGCCAGAAUCAAAAUUUGUUACCUGUUUUAUCACAUUUCAAGUAAAUUCAAUGGUUAAUUGUAAUAAUUAUAGAAAAACUUUCAUGGCUAAUCACAUUUUAAAUAAAGCGAGGUACAGAGGAUGUAUAUCCACUGGAUAAGAAGACCUUAAAUCCCAGUACUCAUUUCAAAUCGUUAAGUUGCUCAACAUUUGACGCUCAUAAUAAUCUUUUAGUAUCAGGGAAAGGUGUUGACAGAUGAGAAUAUGAGCCCCAAAUCUAUUAUUUGAUACUCCUGAUAAUGNNNNNNNNNNNNNNNNNNNNNNNNNNNNNNNNNNNNNNNNNNNNNNNNNNNNNNNNNNNNNNNNNNNNNNNNNNNNNNNNNNNNNNNNNNNNNNNNNNNNUCCUUUAUCAGAAUGACUGUUCUGUAACUAUAAGUAAGGAGAAAAUAUGGGCCUCCAUCUUUCAAGAUUCUUGCUCUUAAUGCUUUUUAUGAUCACUUGUGUUUUGUAGAUGGGAGAAAUAUCAAAGUGAGGAGGAAGCGGCUCUUGGUUGGGGAAAGCGUGUCAGAGAAGCUGUUUCUUACAAAGAAGCAUAGGCAGCACAUCCAAGUGAAAUGGCCAACAAGGUAUUUUAUCUAAAUUGCCUUCUCUUAUGCUGUUAGGGCUAGAAACUUUAGAAUAAGAGUGCACCUGAUGGUGUUAAAUAUUGACCAAGGGAUUAUGAUGGUGAUCUAAUGGUUAUUUCUUUGAUAUGCUGAAGAAACUCUCUGUUGUGCUGAAGAGCAACUUCAUGGAUCCACUUUUAACCAUGCUCCUUUAAUGGAAAGGGCAACUAAAUAAAUCCCUUUAUGUUUUUCUUCUCAGUGCAAGUUUUUGGCUGCUAAUUCAAUUGAUGAAAGGGAUGCCAAUGCUAAUUCAGUUGAUGAAAGAGAAGUUGUGACUACUCCUCCGCCCCCACCAGAUCCUGAGCUGCCGCCCACAGUGAGACUGUUAUAUGGGGAAGAUAAGUCUACCAUUCCUCCUUUUGUGAUACCAGGCCCUCCUCCUUCUUGACCUAAGGAUGCAAGACUCAUUCUUAAAAAGAGAAAGAAGUUAGAGCAAAUGUUGCCCAUCCAAGCAAAAGUCCAGGAGAGCAAGCAACUCCCUCUGCAGAAUUUCUUAGGUGAUGAUGCUUUUUCAAGUUCUAUCCCUCUGGUCCCUAAGCUUAAUGCAUUUCCACCAUCGGUGGCCACAAUGCCAGGUCCUGCUCAAAAGGAGGCUCCACUUAACACAUCAACUUCAGCGAUGCGUCAACCUUCUUGGGAGAAAAUGAAUGCGGAACUGUCCCCAUCAUCUGAAGUACUUCAGUUGGUCGCGUCGAGCAUUGGUCCAGAUCAGCAGCUUGCCCUUUUUCUAUCCGCGAAAAACUUAGAUCUCCCUAGAAGUGAUGUAUCCUCAAUGAAACACAGUCUUGACCCUACACGUAAUUCUGAACCAAAUCAUGCUGGAGGCAAGGAGCAAUCACAUCCCAUUGAUGGGCUUGCAGCAGAUCCCCAGAAGUUAGACCAGCUUGAAAGUGGGAAUUCUUUCAGUAAGACUUGGUCGGUUCUUUCUCGAACUGAUCAUUUUGAUGCAGAGGAAGUCUUGUCUGAGGAGACUAUUUUGGGUCAUCCCGAGAGUGACACUGAUCUGUAAAUUCAAGGUAGGGGAGUGACAAUCUAUGGAAAUCACAAUUCUUUCAUGGGACUGGAAGCGUUAGAGUACUUUGCAGAUAAUGGCAUAAAUUCUUUUCUUGUAGACUUUGAGCAGUGAUGGUGAGCAAUGAAACUGCAAAGAUAGGGAUGAUUAGCCAAAUAAGGACACCCUUGUGUAAAGCUUUUGUUAUAGAAAAUGAGAUUGUAGUGUUAGUCGAUGUACAUUCGUCUUACUCAAAUGUUGCAAGUGCUAGAUUAGCAUAAAGAUGAGUUAGUGCAGGCGUUUAACCAAAGUAAGGUUGUUGAGUGGCUCUGUCCAAUACAUCACCCUUAGAUCAAGUCUAACUAAUGCAUUUACCUUUCUUUCUUCACUUGCCUUGUUCUAUCUCCCCAAGCUUUUAGAAGGUUCUUCUGUAUGAGACUAAAAGCUUGUAUCAUAUAUAUUGUAUCGUCAAAAUAUCACAAAUUUUCUAUGUCAAUAAGGGUUCGUUUUCAAGUGGUAGUGUGAUGAAUUUUUUGCAUAAUGAGCAGUAUUAGCAACCAUGAAAAGCCAUUGUUAAAACUCUGCCAAGCUUUCAAGAGGACAAAAGGGAAACACGCAUCUAGUUUACCUGAUUUGUGCAUCAUUUCUUAUAGAUUCAUAUUAAUCAAAAUCGGGACUAUGAGACUGUAGAGUGUAGAGUUUUAUCCCUUCAGGCAUAGAAACAUACUUGGUGAAAUUGAGUUUUACUAUGAUGACCAAUCAAAGGAAGGAACGGGGUAUGGAAACUACUAAUGAGAUUGCUGAAUUGAGAGCUUAAAGGACCAAAGUGAACGGACUUAUAACUUAUUAAACCAACAUCUCGUUAGAGUUGAACAAUGCUAUGUCUUCUCACCCACAUCAUCAUGCAAAAUCAAAGUAGUGUAUUUUGUAUGAUAUUAUUAUUUUGUAGUCGAGGACCAGAAAGAACUCGAACAUAGCAUUUCGAUGUUUGAAUAACAAAGUUUUCAAGAUAUCUUCCAACAAUAUAAAGAGUGAGAAUUAAGAAUCACCAUAUUCUUUAUAACAAGAAUUAAAAAUUCAAGAUUGUUAUGAUUUCCAAAACUAACGGAAAUUUCCAAACAACAAAGUUGGUCAUAGGUAGAUUUACCCGGUGAAUUUCACUCUAGAAGUGUAAAUGGCGCGCUGAGCACCAGCAUGUUAGGCAUGAGAAAAAUAAGGACUAGGGGAGAGAGAGGGAGUAGCAUUUAUACCGGGUACUAUAACUGUCUCAUAUUCAUGUGGUCCAAUUCUCUCUACACUUAAUAUGCACAGCUCAGUACAUCCUCCCACAGGAUGGCACACCCCUCAAGCGUAUAGUAUCUUCUUUUAUACAGAAUAUGCAUCCCACUAGCUAACUCAGGUUAUAUGCCUCUCACUAGCUUAGUCACAUAACUGAGACCUACUUCACAACCGAGCAGCACAACAUCUAGUUUCUCUGGACACAGAAAAGCCGUGAAAACAGCAAGGUUGUGUAUGGAUUUAGCUAGCUUUCUUCUGAAUCGCACGUGCUAUGACGUCUGUGACUCCACCGGCCUUCUUUUUCCUUGUUUUCUUCCCAAACCACAGUUCCAUCUUUGAUUGUUGCGUUUUUCAGUAUGACUGUUAUCCCUGACCUGAUGUAGAAUCCUUCUUCUGGUCUAUCUGCUUCUUGAACACCCUGUAAAUGGAAGGAUCACAUCCAGUCAUAAAUCCGGAUGGAAUUGAAGUAUCAGGAUUGCAAAAGGCAAUACUUACAUCGGUGUUGUGAAUAACCACAUUUUUUCCUAUCCGGGCAUUCUUAUUAUGCAGUUCCUUGAGAAAGGAAAAGCAAGGGAAUUUGUCAGUGGAAGGAUUGCGGACUAUUCUAUUAACAAGUCGUCGAUUCAGAAUUUCCUGUAGACAUGCCUAUUCAAAGAAUGAAUAAUUACCUGAUUUUAGUAUUUUGUCCGAUCCCAAUAGGAACCUUCCCUUGUGCCAGAAGAGAUGCGAUUUCAACUUCAGUCUGAUAGUAAUCUGAACCCAUCAUCACGGUAUCCUGCAAAUUCAAACGUGUCCCAAAAACUAGCACCCAUUAAAGUAUGUUGCCAUUGCUACAGAAAUUGGCACACGAACUAACCCCAGUAUUGUGAACUUUUAGCAAAUUUGGAAUGUCUAUACUGAUGACUUGCUUAGUACAUUAGCUUGACAAAGGAAAUUAGUGUCUAUAAAAAAGGACACGUAAAAUGACCAUCAAGUAAUCAAAAGAAUUGUAUUAGAAGCAUCCUGACUUGUUCUAAGUCCACUAUACCUUCAUCUUGAGGAAAUACAACCAAUAGAUGAAGAUAUAGCAAUUCAAAAAUAUCACUGUACACCAGAGUUAUAUGAACAAAUUGAAUGGCAUCAUUUGCCCCUGUUAAAUCUGGUCUACCACCUCAAAAUGUUCUGAUGGGAUCUAUUAACCCAAAAAGUUGAAAGCUGAAAAUGUCAACAUUCCAACCAAAUCAUCCAAGAAUCUGAAAAUUAAUUUUCUCAAGCAAUCACCAUUAUGAUCUUCAAAAGGUCAAAGAAUGUAUACGAAAGCAGCACACCUUAAAAUCAACAUCAUAGUCUAGACGCAAGCGCACACCAACAAUGGAGUGUUCAAUGCUACAUUCUUGCAAGAAGCAACCGUGAGAGAUUAUUGCACCUACAAUCUGCAGAAACAGUUCAAAUAAGAGACAGUUUAGACCAUUACAAAAACAGAGACUUAUCGUGUUGACAAGCUUACCCUGCAUUUCUCAACUUUACUGGGGGGUAAGAAUCUUGGAGACGUGUAGAAAGGUGUUUGCAGAUCAUAAAAUUCGAACUUUGGAGGCUGCAUUACAGGAAAUUAACCCACUAUUAGAAAAGCCACUGUCUCCUCAAAGGACAAAUAGUAUCGCUUUAUGACAGCCAAAGUUUUAACUCGAAGCUUCUAUGAUUUUUCUGAGAACGUGAUUGAGAUGAGGCCCCAGAUUGACAAAGAAAUUGUAGCCAAAAAGAUCUAAAGAGUAAGUAUUUUUUCCAGCCCUAAGGUUAAGCCAGCAUAUCAAGUGAUUAACAAGUAUAGAAGGUGAUGACUGAAUUAUCAGAUGACACUGACAUCUCCAAUUUUGAGUUAUCGAGCAGAAGAUGCAAUACCACACACACACCUGCUCUGUUAGGGCCAAAUUAGUGUCAAAGAAUGACUUGAUUGUUCCAAUGUCCUCCCAGUAGUCAUUAAACAGAUAUGCCUGACAAAUCAAUGCAUCCAGAUAAGUCAGCAUUUCUGUUAAGGUAGCUUGCAAGUACAAGUUACAUAUAAACACACAUCUCUAAUGAAGGGGAGAGAGAGACAGAGAGAAAGCCCGCAGCUUAGUCUAUGUUAAAGAAGAGGUCCUGACCCGGACAUUAUGCUCUGCAACAGCUGAUGGAAUUAUUUCGGAGCCAAAAUCAUUGCAUGAGGGGUAGCUCCAUCUCAGAAGCUUUAAUAACACGUCAGUUUUAAAUACAUAUACGCCCAUUGAGGCAAUGUAUGGCAAGUUCACUGCAUCUUGCUUUGAUAGCCCAAGAAGAGUACUGUCAACUUGCUGUGGGCAGAGGUUUGUGCAGGAGACGAGAAUCCAAAUAAGAUUAGUAACUAGUUGAUGCGUUACAUGAUGUGCAGAGAUGAUGUCUGCUAAGGAAACAACCAAAGCAGUCAUGUCAAAUGAUAGGAAGUGUUUAUUGCAUUAAUGAUACCAUUGCUUUCAGCUCAUUGCCCUUCGGUUUUCCGGCAAAUUGGAUAAUCCGUCCAGUUCUGUCAAUCUUCAUUAGUCCAUAACCCCAAGCACAUCUGCAGCAACAAAAACCAGAAAGGGUUAGUUGCAAAACUCAUCAGUAGCUCUAAAUUUAGUGCAACUAAAAACGGACGUAAGAAACAAUAUAAUCACAAAAAUUUGGUUCUUCCCAACCAUAAGUGGAAUGUCAAGGAGAACUGAGCUUUAUAUGCUCUUAAAUCUUUUAAGGCAAUAUAUUUAACCACAAUAAGAACCUGUCAUCCAUUGGGACACAUGAAACUGUGAUAUCCAUUUGUAUCAAUAUGCUUCUGCAAUCAAGCCACAACUGGUCAGUUUAAACUCACAAAACAUAUUAGAUGAAGGAGUUUACGAUGAAAUCUUCUAAGUACCUGCACAAAAUUCAUGUAAUUCAUCCGGUACAGGUGGUCACCAGACAAAAUCAAGAUAUUCUCCACAUUCUUGUUCUUGGCAUCCUGCAGAAAUAAUUUGAAACCAACAUUCAACUUCAAGAGAAACUCCAAAAAACUUUGCACAAGUAAUUGCCAAAACCCUAAGCACUCGCCUCAAAGACCCAUAUGAAUUGCCUAACAACAUCAGCAGUCCCCUAGAACCACCUCUUUCGAGCUUCACCUGGAGUUUGAGUUGCCACAAGGACCUAUAAGUGUUAGCAAAUUUUUUUCACAUUAACUUCAGUCGUUUCUUGAGUUAAGUCAUCAGGAAUCCAAAAUAAUAAAUCGGAAAAAAAUUAUACCUCCACAAAUCCAUCACCAAAACUAACGCCAUUAUCAAAGUUGUAUGUCCAGGAAAGGUGGCGAUUGAGGGAAAAGGAAUUAAACUGCGUUAAGAUGAAUAUGUUUUUGAUACUACUGUUAAUGCAAUUGCUCAUUGGGAUAUCAAUCAACCGGUAGCAUCCUCCUAUAGGAACCUGCAGAUUUAAAAUAACCACAUAAUUAAUUAUAUAGUUGAGAGAGUGCUAUGUGGGUAAACAAUGUGCAUAUACAAAUAAUCACUGACCGCCAGCNNNNNNNNNNNNNNNNNNNNNNNNNNNNNNNNNNNNNNNNNNNNNNNNNNNNNNNNNNNNNNNNNNNNNNNNNNNNNNNNNNNNNNNNNNNNNNNNNNNNGUGGAAACAAUCAUGUUCCAGCACCUCCUCCCAGUAUAAUUAAAGCAACACUCUUCGGGUCUGCGUCUUGGAGUUUCCAACAUUGGAGCUUGAAGAGUCUGAAAUCACAGUUCAAGGAAAGUAACAAGUAACCCACAUUAGGGAACAACAUAUUGGGAUCAAAAGUAAAUCUCAGAUAAGAGGACAGAGAGGAGAGCAUCUUCAACUGAGAACUUCCCCAUUUUUAGACAACUAAAUUAUCUCAAUCAAGUAUGAUAAGACAAAUGACAGCAAUUAACACAUCGAACUCAAGGCAAGAUCCCUCAAAUAGCUAUCAACUACCUUGAGAGGAGGAUCAAGGCACUCAAUAUGAAAGGUCUGGGGAGCUAUCACAACAUAACAAGUUGCCUCCAAGAUCACAAAUAACGCCUUCAUAGUAAUACUGCAAGACAAAAUGUUACAAAAACCACCAGUCAGAGAACAAUAGAUGGUCCUCAACAUUGAAAUGAUACGAAUCCUCAAGACAUCUAAUUGACACAAAAGAGGAUAAAAUUUUAUCCAGUAGACAAAAUUUUGCCUAUGGUCACUAUUAUGAUUCAACAAGGGUUUAGUGUAAAUAUAAAGGAAAACUAGAAGGUGCCUCACAACUCAAGAAACAACAUAGUUACAAAUAAACAUAAGUGGCUUGUGAUGCCAAAGCAAUUAACAAUAUACUACCCCAUCAAUUCCUUUCUUCUCCAAUGAAUACCAAUCCGGAGAAAUUUCAGAUUUUAGCUUGUUCCUCACAGAAGUAGUCUCUGGGACCUCCAAGGCUAUUGAAUUCUGUUCUUUAUCAUAUUUCUGAGUGUCAGGACUGUUCUUAAGUACUUGGGACAAAAGCCUCGAGCUACAGCUUGCCAUGUAAGCUCGAGACUGAAAAACUUCUACGAACUCCAUAAUUUAACAGCUGAUUCAUCUCGAUCCAAGGGCAAAUAAUACAUUCCUCAGGGAUAUCUAUGAGCUCAAGACAAGGGAUGAGCAAGAGAAGACGACGGCGAGAGAGAAAGCGAUCCACGGGAGAAGUAGGAGGGGGCUUAAUCUGCAAAUUAAGCAUCAAACAUAAUCAAGUCAAUCAAUCCGUUUGUGUUCAAUGCAAUCAGCUAAGCACACUAAAAGAAAACCAACGAUCAAAAACCGAAUUUCAUGCUGACAUUAAUCGGAAAACUUGAAGAAAAAUUUGAAAUUACUGCAUCUCAGAGUCGGAAAUUUCCAUACACGGUCAUUUCAAGUGAAUAAUACGUAAACGAGCACUCCAUCUCUUCAACCAGAAAGCAAUUCAAUUUAUCCCCAGCUCGCGCUUUCUUCGAGCUACUAAGACAAUUCUUGCAUUUACUAGAAAACUGACACAGGCAUCAGCAAACCGAUUCCUAGGAAAAAAAAAAGAACGCAAGGGAACUACAGACUCUUACCACACGAAGAGCAACAACGACUGGAAUUCACGAACUGACCUCACCGCUAACCACGUCGGCAGUGAAAUUGCAGACGGUGUCGAGCGUGCUCUCAAUCUGGGCCUUCAGGAACCGGGCCAGCGCGAGUUCCAACUUCCUCAACCAGUAGUGCCUGACCAUGUGGCCCUCGCCUAGGCCAGGUUCGCGAUCGCGCCCUUCUCCAGCUCCUCCAUUCCCUUGAACGCGGCCUGGAACCGAAGCUCCAUCUUCUCCACGAACUCGUCCGUGAACCCAAUUCAGCUCACAUCCAAGGAAAAGCCCUAGCUCCAGUGUCAGUGUAGCCAGUCCACGUACCUUGUCCACAGCGAGCGGGAAUCUUUCUCCAGCCCUCUAGCCCACGCCUCUCCUUCUUCACCGCGCCGUUGGCCCUGCCCAGGUCCACCGAGAUCUCCCUCGCAACCGAUUGGGCCAGGAACAGGGACAGCACUCGGUCGACGGUAGGGAGCCUGGUGCCGCUCGGGAACAGGACCGAGUCCGCCUCCCUCCUACCGGAGGCCGACGGCUUCGCGGCGGAGGCUGGCGGCGUCUUUGGCCUGAGGGAGGGGGAGGACGAGUAGAUGCCAGAGACGGAGGACGCCAUCGACGGCGGCAACGGCGGCUCAGAGUCGGAGUUGAUGACGAGUUCGUCGGAGGGAGGCAAUCGGACGGAGGCCCAGAAGUUGCCUAGAGAUCAAGGCGAGCACAAACCUUACGCUCGAUCUCGGCGUUGGAAACAGUCAGAGGCAAAGGGGUCGGGAACCAGCUGCGACUGGCGGGGCUCUUGGAGGAGGCGACGGACCGGCGAGGCUUUUUGGGGAGGCGGAGGCGGAGGGGGUGGGAUGCGCUGAGAAGGAGGAAGUGCAGCUCGUCCGCGAGGAGAGAGAGAGCCCAGAAAAUAUUCAAGUGAGGAGAGAGAAAUUUUAAGCGGGAAUGUUGCGCAUUUAAUAUCCAUUGACCCAUGCUUUCUUCUACCAACCGAGCCGAGCCGAGCCGAGCCGAGUCACCAGCCGAGAGUUAUUUGGGAGAGAGUGAGAAGAGAGAGGAGAGAGAAGAGCGCUGCGUCGAGGAGCAAGAGAAAAAGCGAAGAGGACACCAAAUGGGGCCCACCUCUCCACAUGGCAUCUCGUGAGUGGCCGGGGACCACGCUGACGUGGAGGUCCCGGACCACCCAAUAUUUUCUCCUGAGGCGACAGCUUUUGUAUUCUCUUGAACGUUGGAGAAUCAUAUUCACAUUCAGGUCCCCACAUUCAUAUGACAGGAUAAAGUGAGCACAGCACCUUUCGGUGGAUGAGGUGAUGAGGGUUUCGAGGAAGCUCAAUCUAGAGCCCUUGGGAAGUUUCUUGCAUCUUUAUGGGGAAGUUUCUUGCAUCUUUAUGGGAGCAAAUUCAUGAUUACUUCAUGAUCCUUUCUAGUGUGAUUUGCCAAGUGUUUUUUGUGGAAAAGGUCAUUAAACUGAUACCGAAACCAGCUGAAUGGGUAACACUUGGAAAAACGUAGCACCUAAAUACUGAAUAGAUCUUCUGUCAUCCAAAAUAAACUAAACAUUCAUUUCAUCAUUUUAUAGGCAAUGCAAGAAAAUAAUUUCACUAGCGGAAUUUACACAAUAACAUACAUGCAAUUUAAGAACCGAUGCUUAGGCAAUGACCAUAUUCGAUUUUUAAUUUUGGCAAGCAUUUCCAUUCCAUAAACGAAGUGAUAUUCUAUUUGUUUGAGUAAGCGGUUAUCUAGAAAUAGUUGCAAUUUUUUCGUGUAAAAAUCCUCUUUAAAGAAUAUGAAAAGUCCAUCCUUAUUGAUGUGGGUGAAGUUGUGAAUGAUUUCCUAGAAUGGAUUGACCAACAAAUGAAUAAAGUUUAGCCCGACAUUUAUCAAAGUGAAUAGAUAGAGGUCGGCCUGCUAUGAGCAAGAGCUAUGCACAAUCUAGCAUAAAUUAUGCUGAUAUGGAUUUUUCAUAGGAGCAGAACUGGUUUCAAUUACAAGUACAAGUUAAGAGCAUAUGCCGAAAAUACAUUUGUCCAAGUCUUUGCAUGUUGACCAUUCACAACCUCUGCCGAAAUUCACUACAAAAUUCCAAAGAAUCCCUGCUCAGUCACACCAAUUUCCCAAAUUCCUCGCGUAGCUUGUGCUUCAUAUUACUUUACCCUUCUGUUUUAGCAUGCAGCGACGUAAUCGUGGUGUCCUGCUCGCUUCACCUUCCCAUUAUAUUUCCCCAAAGACUCCAUUUAUCGAUGGAAAAGCAAGUCAAGUCAAGUCUUGCUGGAUUUCAAAGUUCAAUCAAAGCACCUAUGUCGGUGGCACGCACCUUCUGCAUAAUGCUGUUCAAAUUAUGCGGGCAAUAACCCAUCGUUCGAUUGCGCACAGUAGAAAAAGCAAGGACAAAGAGCAUCUUUAUUGCAAGUGGCUUUUCUUUUCUACUUUUUUGUUAAAAGAAAGGGACAAUUAUAUAAACAGUUUCUGAACUUUAACCUAAUGUGCAAUUUGAUCCAUAAACUUUUAAUCUACUCAAUGAGAUCCUUAAUCUUAACUCAAUGUGCAAUGUGGUUCCUGAACUUUUAAUUUGUUCAAUGCAAUUCCUGAAUUUUUUUGUACAUGUUCAAUCUAAUCCCUGAACUAUAUGAAAAUAUUUAGUAUAGUUCUUAAUCUUGAAUAAUUAUUGAAGGACUACAUUGAAUAUUUUUAUACAAUUUAGGGACUGGAUUGAACUUUAACACAAAGUUGAGGGACCGCAUUGAAUAAAUUAAAAGUUUAUAGAUCAAAUUGCAUGUUAGGCCAAAAUUCAAGGACUAUUUAUAUCAAUUUCCCAGGAAGAAAAAGCAAGUAAAGUCAAGAGGCACCUGCAUAGGUUCCCUGCAACUUCCGCAUAAUGCUGUUAAUAUUAAGCGUGCAAAGACUCCGAAUUCUUUAAGCACUUCGCAGUCAGUUUUCUUCAAGCAUGCUCAAUAAGGACAAACAAAGCUUAACAAUAUGCAAAGGAAAAAAUGCACUUUGGCGGAGAAGCCAGUGGCUGAAAAUGUCAGCAUGAAGUAAAAAGCUAAACACCAAAUGAAAUAAAAAGGUAACUGGCAUUCACUAAAUAAUUAUUCGACAGCGCAAAGAACCCUUUGGCUAUAAUCCGACAAUUCCAUCCACUCGGCAAGAGCCAACUUUAAUGCCUUGUGACAUAAUAAAAUGGAUUUAAAAUAACACAACAGCUCAAUUGGUUAUUGAUUGUACAAACAAGAUCAUUGUAGUUUUCUAAUUUGCCCACAAAGUCUCUAGUAUUUACUAUCAAUUAAUUAUCAGUUGUCUCAACUAUUCUCAUAUAUUAUAGAUUCUUCCGUCAUUAUUCAUAUAUUAAAUGUCUAGAUAUUCUUGUAGUUUCAUUCAAAUCGGGAUACAGAGUCUCGCCCAAAUCCACUCUUUCCUAGAUUGUGUGCACUAAUCUUCGGCUGACCUUAUACUCGGGGCAUCAACAUUGCUCGGUGGUUUUCUUUUCAAUUUCUCAUUUACUCGGAAAAGCAAGUCAAGUCAAGGUGCACAUGCAUAGGUAGGUUCAACGCACCUUCCACAUAAUGACGUAGAAAGUGCGCCUGAAAUAAUUGCCCUUUGCCUUUUAUUUUCUAAUUAUUUUAUUAAUAGAAAAAGCAAGUCAAGUCAAGGUGCACCUGCAUAUGUAGGUUCAACGCACCUUCCACAUAAUGACGUAGAAAGUGCGCCUGAAAUAAUUGCCCUUCGCUUUUUCUUUUUCUAAUUGUUUUAUUAAUAGAAAAAGCAAGUCAAGUUGAAGUCAUGCUCGCUUUAGAAAAAAAGCGCCUACACAGGCUCUAUGCCCCUUCUGUGCAAUGCCGUGGAAAUUAUGCAUGCAAUAAUUGCCCUUUCCAUGCAGGAUAUAUGAAAUAUUGAGGAUGAUGUGUUUCUUCAGCUACUCUUAUCAAAUUUCAGAUUUGCUGGAAGUUCUCUUUACAUUGUCUCUUCCCAUUUUCAAUUUACUAUUGAUGCUCCAAGUGGCAACUUUUUUGUCUAAUUUGUUUUCGCUUUUAUCUUCUAACUAGCGAAGCAUAGAAAUCAUCACAUAUUUCCUACUAAUUUCAAUAUUUGAUUGAUUUCAUCUGUUCUUUGAAAUCCCUUUUCCUUACAAAUGAAAAUGUGAAGGGUUUGAUUAUUAUGUCAUAAAGAAAAAUGGGAAAAGAGUGACCCAUAUGGAAAGCAUUGAAUAGUUCUUGAACCUUAAUUUGUUUCGUGGAAAAUGUUAGAAUGGAACAACAAAAAUAUGGUUCACUCCUUAAGUUUUUUAUUACAAUUUUAUGGAGAUCUCCAAGUCUAAUAAGUAUUAGAUGUAUCGCAAACACUCAUGGAAGUAUGAGAAGCAACUUAAGUGAAAAGUCAUCAUCUAUUCUUCACUCCAAAAGCUGAUUACAUCAUUGAUGUCAGGGUGUAGGGCUUUGGAUACUUCAUUUCUUUUCAUGUUUUGCAAAUUAAGUGUACAAAAAGCCUUAUGUUGAAUAUGACAAUCCGAAAUUACAUCGACUCAAAUAAUAUAAAAGAGAAUAUGCCACAAAUAGGAAUUAGUUGAUUAGGAACCUCACGUGUUCAAAUAUACACUUGAGUUGAUAUAAUGUUUAUACCUAUGAGUAAAGAAGUGAGUUUAUGCUCUUAAGAGGUUUUAUGAGCUAAGCUGGCUGUCAAAGCGCCAAAAGUAAGCUAAUACUAUACAGCUAUAAAACAGUAGGUGUCAACGUAAUCACUCGUUGGUGUCGUGUUUAAUUCAAUCCCUCUCCAUUUAAUAGCUUCAAUUUUUCAAAUCACAUCUUCUAAUGCUAAAUAAGCUAACAUUGAAUCCUCCUCUAUUGUGCUGUGAAAAAUUAUAUUUUGGUGAAGUCCCCGUGGGCCAAGAAUAUCAACAUGAAAUAAAAAGUCUAACAAAAGAUGACAUAAAAAGGGGGGAAAAUAUCACUAAAUUAGGGAAAAGAACACUAGAAGUGCCUUAACUUGUGUAUGGCACUCAAUUUAGUGUUACAAAUUUUCGUUGGCUCACUUAAGUGUCACUUUUUUUAUAAAAAAAAAAAAAAUCAUUUAAGUAUUAGCUCCUAUCUGAGUCACCAAAAAUAUAAUGUGGCAAUAUUUUAUUAAUUUCUCAAUCCUACGUGGCUUAUUGAUGUGCCCAGUUAGCAUAUAAUCUCUAAACAACAUCGUAUAACAAGUUAAAAAGUGAUCACUUCAGUGCCAUUCGUUUAAAAAAAAAAUGAUCACUUCAAUAUCAAUUGUUAUUAAAAAAGUAUCACUUCAGUAACAAUCUUAAUGAAAAAGUGAUUACUUCAGUGCCAAAAAAACCCCAAACGACGUCGUAUAGCAAAUUAAAAAGUGAUCAUUUUAAUGCCAGUUAUUAUAAAAAAAAUGAUUACUUCAGUACCAAUUGUUGUUAAAAAAUGAUAACUUUAAUGCCAAAAAAGCCAAAGUCACGUAAUUUCCCUAGUCGAAAUUUUUCGCUGGAGGUAUUUAAGUACUCUAGUGAAAAGUUGUGAUACUAAAGUGUAUGCCGUACGCAAAUUAAGGCAUUUCUAGUGUUAUUCUCCCCACUAAAUUAUUAUUUGAUUACGGAGAAUUGUUAGCUGAAUUUACUAAUGCAAUACCGAAACAAUAAAAUUGAUGUAAAAUGUUAAAAACUAUUAAUUGUGGAGGGUAACGGUUUGAUAAUUUUUAAGCAAAGUAGUAUGAAGAAAUCUAAUUUUAGAAAAUUAUUUUGAAAAAAGAUUUAUUUUGGAGUUACUUUCUAGACGAGUAAGAAAAGGCAAUGCCUCAUGCAGCUUUUCAGCAACAAAGUCCUGUACAUUAGCACGGGGAUAGGCUCCAAGCACCGCAGGAGCAUGUGAGUAAUGCUCGUCAGUUCUCUUUUCUACUUUUUCUUAUUAAUAUAAAAGGCAAGUCAAGUCAAGUCAUGAUCUGCGGAAAUUACGCGUGCAAUGAUAGUUCUUUCCGUGGCAUGCCCUGCAGCGAUUUGAUUAGCUUGAAGAGUCUUGGACCAUUGGAUAGCAAGAACUCAAACAUUGUUCAAGCACACAUAGAGAAUGUUUUGUGUCGGUAAUCCAACUUCAAAGGCUGAAAAUCGGAGGAGAUCCCGAGGCUCUGUUGUUUGAGCAUUCGUCAGGUAGUCGACAACGUCUUACUCUUUCUCCGUUUCCUGUUCUGAUUGCUCCAUUUUCUUUUGAUGAGUUAUGUAAGAGUUUCUAUUUUUGUUUGAAUGUAGCUUCGAGUUUGACUACCGAGAGACAUUUCUGCUAUUCCCAGAUCUGGGAUUUUGUGUAUCUCUCCUCCGUUUCCUACUCCAUCAGUCUCUUUUAAAAUCCUCUUGAGAUGAAAAGAAGAGAACCCACUCAUUCAAAAGAUUCGAUCUACGAGGCGUCUUCCUCAUCAACCUCUCCACUUUUAGGUGAUUAUGAAGGAAAAACUAAAAGGCCAAAAGGAAAUUACUACGAUGUGUUCUUGAGCUUCAAUGGGAAAGACACUCGCAAAAUGUUCACUGAUCAUCUCUAUAAAAGGCUUGUCAAGGCAAAAAUUUGUGUGUUCAGAGACGACGAUAAGCUCCCUGUUGGUGAGGAGAUUGGUCCAGAACUUCUUUGCAGCAUUAGGCAGUCCAAAAUUUCGAUUCCGAUUAUCUCCACGAACUAUGCUUUCAGCAAAUGGUGCCUUCGGGAGCUAGCUUGGAUGUUGAAGUGUAAGAGAAGCGGAGGGCAUUUAGUGUUGCCCAUCUUUUACAACGUGAAUCCCUCGCAUGUGCGCCAUCUUACAGGAAGAUUUAGAAAGGGUAUCGAGGCACAUAAAGACAGUAUAGAUGAAAAGGUUUUGAAGGAAUGGAAAAAAGCGCUCAAAGAAUUGAAGGAAUGGGAAGAAGCACUCCAAGAAGUUGGUUCUUUGAAAGGAUGGGAAUCUAAGAAAAAUGAAAACGGGUACAUUAUUCUCAACCAAAUCGUUGUUUAAUUUCUCACAAAUAGAUUUUUUUUUUUUGAAAAAGGAUAUAAAAUAAAUAUAUAUCCCCUCAUAUGCUGAAAUUCAUUGUUAUUUGAUAGGUAUGAAGGAGCAUUGGUCGAAAAGAUAGUCAAAUAUGUUCUGAAUGAAUUGAGAAGAACUUCUCAGAUAAUUGUUCCCCAACAGUUGGUUGGAAUUGAUGACCGUAUUGAUCUAAAGGAUUUAAAAAGAACUUUUCAACUAAUUGUUCCCCAACAAUUGGUUGGAAUUGAUGAUUGUAUCGAACAUAUUAUGAGCUUCAUAGAUGCCAAAUUCAAUGGUACAUGGAUUAUUGGAAUUUAUGGGAUGGGCGGUAUCGGUAAGACGACUCUUGCAAAGGCGUUAUACAACAAACUCUUCAGUCAAUUUGAGUAUCAUAGCUUUGUGGCAGAUUACCGGGAAACAUUGCAGUGCAAGGGUAUUGCAUGCCUACAAAGGCAACUCUUAUCUGGCCUUGGAAGUGCAUGUGAUGUGUCUAGUGUGGAUGAGGGAACCAAUCUUAUCAAAUCUCACUUUGCACAUAAGAAAGCCCUCAUUUUUCUUGAUGAUAUAGGUGACGAUGCUCAAUUGAAAUAUUUGGUCGACCGUGCUUGGUUUGAAGCAGGAAGUAUAAUCAUCAUAACAACUAGAGACAAGAAUACUCUUAAUAAAAUUAGGGCAGACCCAAUGUACGAACUCCUUGAGUUGUCUCAGGAUAAAUCAUUGAUUCUUUUUAGUAGACAUGCAUUUCAACAGGAUUUCCCUCCGAGUGAUUAUGAGGCUCUCACUCAUGAUGUCGUAUCUACCACUGGAGGGCUUCCAUUAGCUCUUGAAGUUAUAGGCUCAUUGUUAUAUGAAAAGAAAAUAAAAGUAUGGCAAGAUAUAUUACAGAAAUUGAAAAAAACGCCCAAUAAGACAGUGCAAGAGAAGUUGAAAAUAAGUUAUGACGCAUUAGAAAAGGAUGAGAAACAAAUAUUUUUGGAUAUUGCAUGUUUUUUCAUUGGGUCAAAUAAACAAAAUCCCAUUUAUAUGUGGGAUGCUUGUGAGUUUUACCCGUGGGCGGGGAUUGAUAGAUUGAGUCAUAUGUCCCUAAUUAAAAUUAGAGAAAAUGGCAACCUAUGGAUGCAUGAUCAACUUAGAGAUUUUGGAAGGAAAGUUGUUCGUCUAGAAAAUCCAGAGCCUCAAGAGUGUAGCAGAUUGUGGAUUCAUGCAGAAGCCCAAUAUGUGCUCGAGAAUAACAAGGUAAGAAUUUUCUCUACUUAUCUUAGUCAGUGAAUGUGAGUCUAUCCUCCUUUUCUUGUUUAAAUAAAAAUAAUCGUCGGUCUUGAGUCCCCAAGACUUUCUGGUUUUACUAGCAAAAGAGCUCCUUUUGUUAAUUGUUGUCCUUGCCUGAUUCUUAAACAUAAUGGAGGAGCAAUUUCUUGGUUAUUGAUUAUUGAUAUAUAUACACUUGGUAAUAUUAUGAUGAGGAAACUCUCCUUUUGGUAACUUCAAUGCACCAACAAAACCAAAAAAAUCAGAAUAUUAGACAAAGUACUUUUAGAGAAAACCUGGCAUUUAUAAAUUUAGGCGGCGAUGCUUUUCCCACAUAUUUGUUUGAUGCAUAUGUUUGAUGUUUGGAUUCUUCUUUUGGUUUCUUGUGAGGUAUUUUCUUUAUUUUUUUUCUUUUACAAAUUAUUGCCUUCUUAUGAGUCGUUUGGUACGAUAAAUGAGACAUCCAUUCAUUUGUGACGAUUUAGCUAUCUUGGUUUCUGCAUUUUUUUAAAGUUGGUUUUAGUGUAUUCCCCUAGGUAUUAUUGGUUACAAUUUAGUCCCCCAUCUAUUUUUAUUUUUGCUCACUAUAGUCCUCUAACUUUUACUUUUGUAUGCAAUCGAGUCCUUUGUGGUCAAUUGUUAGUUGACACCAUCAAUUUGUUGAUAUAGCGUUCGUUUUUAUUUAUGAUAUAUGAGCAACCAUAUAACAUAACCCUUAAAACACAUUAUUUUUGUUGUUAGACUUUUCAUAAUAGCGGAUAGUUUCUUUCUAUGAAUAUGCUAAUACCUUUUCUUUUUGUAACAAUGGAUGAUUUUAAUAUUAAUCCCCUUCAUUUUUUUUUUUGUUUAAUAUAGGGUAUCAUUUUAUAACAAUAAUUUGUUUAUUAUUCAAUUCUUAGCGAGCAUCUUAUUUAGCAAAGAUUUAGUUAACAUUAAUAACAUCAUCUAAUUUUUGUGAAACAAAAAAAAUUAGUGUGUGACAUGAAAAUUAGUGUGGGAUAAAUAUGCAACAAGUCUACCGGUUUGGAAUUUUUUGUAUUAUUAACCGAAGUAAAUAUAAUUUUGAAUUUUGUGUGAUGAUAAAUUUUCAUUAUUAGCAUGUAGUUAGAAGGUAAUCUAUUAAAAGCAAUUAAAACAUAUGGGAUGAUUUGUACAAAUAUCAAAUAAGCAUGUGCAAAUUUUAUGAAAAUCCUUGAUUAAGAAAAACUAGACAUAAACAUCGGGAUGCAAAAUAUAAUGAUAUACCAAGACUAUUGAAAAAUAUGGUACCAAUACCUUUCAGUGAGCAUAUUUUCGCACGUAAUCAACUCAAUAGAACAUUGCUUAGAAGUGAAAAAAAAUGGUAUCUAUGAAGUUGUUGACAAAAAUACAAUAAAUAUAUAAGAAACUUUUAAUGCAAAAACAAGUAGGGACUCAUAUGAAAGAAUAAAAGUUUGAAGGAACUAGUGACUCAUGAUUUGCACUCAGUGUGCAAUUCGUCACCUAAAACGAAAAACGAAUUUGAGUUCCUAAAUUAAUGGGUUGCAACAACGGAAAAAUGCAGAAGACUUAAGUUCCUUAAGAAUAUAAUUUUAUUAAUCUUCAUGUCCAAUCAGUUCAUACAGAAGAUCUCAUUAAUCUAUGGGAAAAUUGAUCAAAAUUUAGAUGACUACCACUUCAAAGUGAAAAAAUCAGCGCGACAAUAAAAAUAUAGCAUCAAACAUCUAUAGUGAUAAAAAGAAAAGUAAGGAUCAUGUACAGAACAUUUGACGUUGUCAAUUUUCCUUCCACAUGCAAUGAAAAACCCUCAUCGAAUAAACAGCUGAUAUGAAAGGAACUUAAAACAAAUGCGUCACUUUUUGUAAUGACAUUCUUGUUUUCAUUUUGAUAUUUAGAAUUGCAAACCAGUGUAUCCAAACAAGUGGGGGAUUCUGCAAUUGGGAUUCUUCAAUUUUGACAAUCAUAACGAUGGCCAGUUUGAUAGAUGUAUGUGGAUGGUUAAAAUUGUAUUAGUUCACAUAUACAUGAUAGGAGUAAAGGUAAGGUUAUUUCAUAUGUAAAGGGCAUGGAUUUUGAUAGAUAUAUUUGAACUAGGGUAUGCAUGAAGAGAGGCCUUCCGUUGUAGUUGCAGAUGGAUGCAAAUUUUGGAAAUUUAGAAGGUGCAAAUUGCGAAAGGGUAUAGUUAGAUGAGGAAAAUGUUUAGAAACAACUGCUUGAGCUUCUCAUCCUUACAUAGAUUAGAUAAAUAAUAUGCAACUACAACCUUUCAUUUCACAAAAAUCAAAGUGAGAAGUCUAUGUCAUAGUAGUAUGACAGCAAAUUGAAAUCAAUGCAUUUUAUUUUUAUAUCAAUUGGUGUCAUCUCAUCAUUCAAAACUUAUGGUUUACAAUGUUUCCAAGCUGCAGGGCACCAAAAAGAUCGAGGCCCUUUCUCUUGGCAAAUGUAGUGAGGGAAAAAAAUACGCAGCUGAACAAUUUAAAGAAUUGACUAACUUGAGGUUCCUUCAAGUGGAUGGUGCAAAUUUCACCGGAGAUUUCCAAAGCUUACUUCCUGAAUUAAGAUGGCUUCAGUGGAAGAAGUGUCCCUCGUAUUUCACUGCAAACAACUUUCAUCCGAAAAAACUUGUUGUACUCAAUCUAUCAUACAGUGCCAUUUCGGAGGAUUGGGGAGGAUGGGAUCCACUCAAGGUAAGACAUAAAUAAGGCAUUGAAGUAUUUUUUAACAUAACAUUUUUUCUUUGUACAUUUGAAAAUUGAUUUUCACAAUUAAACUAGCCGUUUCUCUUUAAUUUGAUACUACUGAAGGAAAACAUAGUGCCUGAUGAAUGCAUCUCUCUUCCAUUUGAAUUUGUCAUCGGUUUUUGAUAAUAAAAGUUGCUUAUGUCUAAUCAGAAAAUAUCUCCUUUGAAAUUUUAUUUGAAAAUAAAUGCAGUUUGCACUCGUACACUCUAAAAUUCUUUUGCAAUCGAUGUGCUUAAAAAACAUUUAUCUAUUGACGUGGCCAAACAUUACUAAAAGAGGCAUUUAAAAUUAAAUAAGACAACCGCGAAGGAGUAGAGGAGCAUGCAUAAUUUUUGAGGAAUUCUAAAAAGUCGAAAACAUGAGGAGGAGCAAAAAAUCACAGAUUGCGAUAGUCCAAUUACAUUGACGUAUGAUAUCUUUCUUCCAGAAGGCGAUCGAGCUCAAAGUUCUCAAUCUCCACGGGUGUCUAUCUUUGAAAAGAACUCCUGACUUGUCCACUUUCACAAGGUUGGAGGUUUUGAAUCUCGAUUAUUGUUCGAAUUUGAAAGAGCUUCAUCCUUCUAUUGAAAUUCUGGCAUCAUUGGUUGAGCUAAAACUUUCGGAUUCAAAGAUUACAAAAUUGCCUGAUGCCAUUGGAACGUUGACAAAACUCCAACAGUUUAAAGUUUCAGGUUGUGAUAACCUUGAGCGACUACCUAGUAAUAUAUGCAAACUGAUUUCGCUAGGGGAGCUCUCCCUUUUGUAUUGUGAAAAGCUUCAAGAAUUACCUGAAUUGCCCUCCGGCUUAAGGGGACUAUAUAUCACCUGCCAAGGGCAGUCUUUGCCCCAUCUUUCCCAGCUAACCCGUCUCAAGACACUCCAUCUUAGCUAUUGCCGUCGGCUUGAAUGUGUCCCAGAGCUUCCCAUUGAACUAUCGGUGCUUUCUAUCUAUCGUUGUGGAGAAUUGAAAGCCUUCACGAAUUUGUCAGACUUGAAAAAAUUGCGACGUGUCAGUAUAUCUAAAAGCUCAUCUCUCGAAGGAUCGCCCGACGUGUCUAUGCAGAUGAGAGAACUUGGCUUUAAAGAGUCCGAGGACUUUUUUGGGGGCUUAAUAUUUGAGCGUUAGCAGACGUGAAGAGCUACGGGGGGCAGAAGAGAAGGACGGCUCGACGUCCAUGGAAUCUCUCUCUGUCUCUCUCUCUCUCUCUCUCUCUCGCUACUAGUCAGUCGCCCUGCUGGUUUCCCAGGCUCGAAGAUCGAAGCCACCGUUCGCGUCGCCCAUCCACUGCAGGCAGGCGGGCAGGUCAAUCGGCGCGGUGGAGAUGACGACGGCGACGGCGACGAGGCGACGCCACGGCUGGCAACGCCCUCUCCAUCCGCUCCAGGUAAACGCACGCACGCGUCUUUCCUGUGGUCUCUCAGCUUCAUCUGCAUUUUAGAAACACGUCGCUCCGGCAUGCGAGCUCAUCGAUUGUUCGGAUUGGAGAUUUUAGUUUUCUCAGUAGUAAAUGUGUAGGGCGUGAUGCAGAUGAUCGAUCAAUCGCAUUUGAAGUUUAGAGUCGAUCCAUCUCAUGUCGUAAAUUUGCAAUUGCAGAUAGUUGGGAUGGCGGUGUUCAGUUUCUACAUCUUCCUGGGACCGUUGCUUGGGAGCGGGGCUGCUGAAAUCACCGUGACGACAAUAUUCUCUUUUGUGGUAACUCCCUUAGCGUUUACUUUGUGCCAUCAUGAUAUUGAUUGCUUUUCUUUCGUCAGUUUUCUGGGAAUUGAUGGGAUUUUCCACAUAUUUCCCCCGAUUUUCGAGUGUUCUCGGCGAUGUUUCUUUUCAUCUGCUGUACUGUGAUAGAUCCGAUGGAUAAGACCAGUUAUAGAAAGAAGAAGAGAGGCUCUGAAGCGAUGGUGCUCACGGACUUUUGUGCCAAUUCCUCAAGCUCGCUCUUCCAAUUUCGAUGCUUGAUUUGCCUACCUGGGUACUUCUUCUUUCUCUUUUUCUUCUUGAAUGAUGAUGGAAGGAAGGUUGGGGCUGAUAUUCCUGUGGAAGUCUAAUGGUGGCGCCUCUGUAUGUGUAUACGAAGAGAUAUGUAAUAAAGCAAAGAGAUUAGCCUGGGGAGAUAUCCUUUCUGGCAGCAUAUCAGCGAGUCUUCAGCACCUGACUGCUUAGCUUUGGAGGAGACAGCGAACUCAACAGGUAGAAGUCAGUAGCUGUGGCAUAUGGAUGAGCUGAGUAGGAAAGUAGUGCACAAAGUUCUGUGGAUAAGCUGGACCUUUUUGUUUGGGGUACUAUCUAGGAAAAUACUUUGAACUUGUACUUUUACAAGAUGGGCCCACCCUCCUUUUGGAAUUGAAGCUAAACGUGUGGGAGUGAAGGGUUGAAAAAUAAAAGAAUAUCCUUGGUCUAUGAUGACAGAGAAAAAGGCGCUUUGUCUUAGUCAAGUAGUUUUAUUUUGUUUUAUUGCCUUUUCAAGGUUUAGUGAAGUCGGGAGUUAGGGCUUCUCUUUAUUUUUUAUUCUGCUUAGUAGAUUUGUUUUUGGGGUUUGCAUUGUCUUUUAUAGAGAUGGAUAGAUAUUUCCUUGUUGCUUUACUUAUUAUACUUAUUGCAUAACAAAGAAACCAGGGAGAAGAGAAAUUGAGAUUGAGUGCUGGAGGAGCGAUUCAUAAUGCUAAUUUGGGAAUUGAUGUUCGUCUACCCACUGACAAACUAAUAUACAAUCAAUUAAAGAUGAAUUGUGAUUACAAGUGGUACCUCUCCAUUGCAAUUAGGGUGUGCCGUGGAGUUUCUCCGUUGCAUGAACAACAGCAUGUUAUAGGUUUGUUGGUGGCGAAAGUCAUAUUAAAAAUGCAGGAGCCAAGAUUUCUGUGUUCAGCUGUGUACCUAGUUCUUGGGGCAUGAACUUUUGUCUUCCCAGCUCAAAGCACUCUUUGCCUUCCUCUUCAAGUGAUACAAAGGAGUCAAAAUUAUUUGAUGACACUGAUACUGGGAUAUUCAUCCAUGUUAAAUUGUUUUCCCUAUAUUUUCUUGCUCCUGAACUUUCUUGUAUAAAAGAAGCAUCUUGUACACAUUGUUAGGAGUGAAUGGGGUCAUCGAGGUUAACCUAUGUCCAAGUAUAUGCCUUGUCAUCUCUGCUUUUGGGUCAUAUGGUGGAAUUUUUGCUCUUUGUUCAUGGUAUUUCAUUGUCACGGUUUGCUGAAAGCUGAUAAGUUACUCCUGGAUUAGCCAGAGCAUUAUAAUUAGUGGCUAUUAAUUAUACCUAUGCAAGGUCUAAAAAUUGUUUUAGGAUUGCUACCUAUGUAGGAUGCAAUUAAAAGAUGGAACUUGGUCACAUCAAAAGUCAUUCCCAGUUGGAAUCAGGAGUAGGAUCAUUGGAGAUGUAGGAGGGGAUUUCUAAUUUCAGUCCUAAAUAUUCUACUUGGCCUAUUUAUUUAGCAAUCAAUCUCAUAGUAAACCAAAUUAGGCUCUAGUUCUCAUUGUGCAUGACCCAUUGUACGUCUAAAACAAUAUCUAAAGGCCAAACUUGCUAAUUAGGGCUAACUUUGGGGAUUGAACUAUAAGGGAAUUAUAAAUGAGAAUGAGGUGUUGCCCUCAUCUUGAAUUAGAUUGGAUGGAAGAUUUGAUUGGUAGUUGUGGUGAGGCUGAAGAUACUUUCUAUACAGACUUGGGAGAAUCCAUAAGCUUUUUGCCAGAGUAAGAAUAACCUUCAUGAGAGGUUGGGUUGAGGUAAAUGGACCAUCUGCUGUGCCUCCACAAACAGCAGUGCAGCCCAAUGCCAACACCUUUGUACAGCAACCACCUCUACUGGCUGGGGACGGAAUUCUUUUUCAUGUUACAGCAUAUAGCACUUUACCUUGCCUAUUUCUUUCAUUUUCCUCUCUUCUUCUUUUCACUGCCAUCAUCCUCUUUUGCAUUUGUUUUAUUCUCUUCUUUACUUUUGCCUUAGAUGCUUCUCUAGUUAACUUUCUUUAAGAGGUACAAGAGCUUCUUCAGUGAUGUGCUUCUGCUGUGGUGAUAAUAUAGUGCUUUUGUCUUCUACUUUUGAGCUUCAUUCCCUCUUUUCAAAGAUAACAUACAGGUGAUAGUACAGAAAAAAGAUAAAGGAUCUAUCACUUUAGACCUUAACUUUUUGUAGGGUCUUACAAUCAUUGAUCCAAAGUAUGGUCCAAUUUCUAUUAUUUUGGGAUCACUCUUAACAACCUUUACCUUAAGGGGUUGAUUUUAUACUGCAGGGAUUGCGUCCCAUAUAUGUAUUGAUUAGAUCAUGAACUGUCGUUUUGUGUAGCUUUGACAUGCCAUCUAUGUAUAACUAUCUAAAAAUAGAAUGCGCCUGGCAUAUUGACAUGGGAAUUGGCUCUAGGCAAUCUGUUGGGACGCGAGAUCUCUGGCCUGGUGCUUGGGCUCUAGAAUCUAGUAUUGUGGAAUCCUCUUCAGUUUCUCACCUUCUAUUUCUGGAUUCUCUCCCAUGAUUGCCCCAAAUUUUUACUUUUUGUUCCCCUAUUCAUUUAUGAGUCGCAUUACUUCUUUUUCAUGUCUAGUUCACAAUACAUUUCAUGACAUAUCCUUUAGGGGGAUCUUAUAGUGCUUGUGCUGUUUGCGAGUUUUCAAUUGGCUUGUAUCCUCUUCAUAGAGAUACCUGUAUUUGUAUUGUACCUUGCUAUUGUCCCUUUUGGUUCCUUUUUUGACCAAAAUCUCAUUCUAGAGUGACAAAUUUUCCGUGCUGUUAAUCAAAUAGUUCAAAUCAAAGUUUUAAUUGUGAUCUAGGCAUAAUCAAGUCAUUGACUUGAUUGGAUAGUGACCUACAUUUCACUGUUUUCUUAUCCACAGGCUAUGACAGCAAUGGUGCAGCAAGCUUUGUAAUAUGUUGACUAGACACCUGAUCAUGAGACCAAGAUAGAGCUUAUUAAGACACUUAACUCUGUUGUUGCUGGGAAGGUGAAUAUAUGAGAAAUCACAUCCUCUUGCAGCUUAUGUUCAUCAGCAAUCUGCUUUUAUUUCGUGAUUUCUGUAGCUAGUUUCGUAACUCAAGUAUAUGUCGAAAUUGAGAGAGCACGGUUGAUCAAGAAACUUGCAAAAAUAAAGGAAGAAUAGGGUUGUGUAGCAGAAGCUACUGAUUUGAUGCAAGAAUUGAGGAUAACUAGAAGUUAACUUCUGUUGUCACUGAUCUUGUAAUUGGUUUUCCCUCGUCCAACAUUCCUAUGACGGGUUUGAAAUGUGGGUAGAAACUUUUGGAGCAAUGGCAAAGACGGAAAAAAUUGCCUUUAUUUUUGAACAAGUGCAGGUAUUUUGUAUUGCUUUUAGCCGUUUAUCCAUUAUGACUGUGGUUGGUUUUCUGAUCGAUGGAUUUUGCAGGUUUGUUUGUGCAAGGAGUAUGUCUGUGCACAUGUCUUUUCCAGGAAGAUCAACCCCCGAGUGUUUGAUGCAGAUCCUUCCAUACAGAAGAAAAAGGCUAGAGAAGGUGAAAACAUUGUGGAACAAGCGCCAGCUGAUAUUCUGUCUCUCUUGGAGUUGAAACGGAUAUACGAUGACUCAUGAUAUAAUAAAUUGGUGUUUUGCUUUUUUAAUGUUGUGUCCACUAUCUUUUAACUAAUUUGCUGUUGCUGAUCAAAUGCCACCUAGUAUUCAGGUUGUGGUUCAAACCAUGAACUUAUAUGGCUUUAUAUAUCUGGCAAAAACUCUUCUUUCUUUCUAGCUUUAUCGCAAAUUCUGAUGUUCCAGAUGUACUUGAUAGAUUUGAACUUGCAUCUUAGUUUGCCUUUCAUUCAUCUGGUUAACCAUGUAGGCAUUACUCACAUAACAAUGAUUACCUUAAAAAUUGUCGAUACUAUAAGGCGAUAUAUGAGAUUCUAUCAGUAAAGGGCAACCCAGUGCUAUGUACAUGGGUGAAGCUCUUUCCUUGUUAAGUCUUCACUGAGUUUUUCAGGGCACAACUAUUCAUUCUGUGAUUUAAUUAAAUGUAGGUUCUAAGGAAAAUCUGCUGGUACUUGGUUCUAUCACCACAUGAUCCUACGUAGUCAAGCCUUUUUAAUUCAACUUCAAUAAACAUCUCUCAGAAAUUCCCUAAUUCAAGUACCAUCUUUGAAUUGUUCUUGGUAAGUGAUUGUAGAUCUUGCAAUAUCUCAAUAAUGUGCCAUAGGAUUUGGUCGACCAUGCCUUUGAUAUUUUUAACAUAGGUUGCUGCUGAAAUAAUUGGGUACGGUGGAGGCUCCAACAGACUCCUCUUUAAAGUACUUUCAAAGAUGAAUUGGAGAAUGAGAAAACAUGCUAGGAGGUGCACUUGUUUAGAAUUAGACGGGGCCCAAUCAUAGUCAAAAGAAGAAUUUUGGCUUCUCCUUGGUGAGACAAACUACCUUUAGCUAGAAGCCUCUUCAAAGAAUCAUUGAACAUGUAAUUACAGAACUUGUCUUUUUUCUUCUUUUCAUUGGAUCAUCACUCGAAUGUGACUUACUUUAUUUCUGCAGAAUAUUAUCGUGGUUUUGAAGUAUUGCUUGAGGAUUACCUUAAAGAGACUUGCAGAGCGGUUAUGCCUCAGUAUCCAGGUCUGAUUAUGUGGAACAUUUGUUGAUAUUCUUUAUUAGUGUCACUUUUUAUGAACGAUUGCCUAGACCCCUCAUUUAACCCUGAGGAGCCUCUCUACGUGUGAUCCCUGAUUGGGGCAUGGUUGUUGGAUUUGGAUACAAGUUCCAAAAUAUAUGUAAAAGAGAUUUUGGUGCGUUGAAAGCAAAGGUUUGUCAUGGAUUUGAGAAUGUUGUCUUCAUAGUUAUGUUUUGUAAACAAAUCUGGCCGACAUAUAUGUGUACACUUUUUUUUUUUGGGGCUUAGUCAAUGUCUGCUCAUAAGUUUGUUGUAGCUGUAAGUGUUGUCUGGCAUUGUGAAACCAUUUCUUGUCCCACAGAGCCUGAAAUACUAACGAGCUUAGCUUUUUCUGCUAGUAUUGACGCUCACCAUUUCCUGUGUUACAAAAGUAUAUCUUGUGAGAGAUCUUGAUUAAUGUGUUCAGAAAAUCUUUGUUGCUGAAUCACUCAAGAAGAAGAGCUCUGUUUUUGGGUUCUCUUACUGCAGUUUUUAAGAGUUUUAAUCAAUCGCAUGCCUAAAUUUAUUAAAUCAACACUAUCAUCUGACAGAGAGAUCAUAUAAUGAUAAUUAUACAAACUCGUAUGAUAUUCUAUCAUCAUGAUUGCUUACUUCUAUAUUACCAUUUUAGGAAGCUGAGAAGCAUCCCCUCUUAGUGUUUGUUUCCAAGGACCUGGUGGCGAUGGCAAAGAUAGACUAGCCAAUGAGAAUUGUCGGUUUGGAAACGGCAAUGGACAUCAAUGAGAUUUUGAACUUAGGCGACAAAUUUGGAAAAGCUGCCUGACCUUGUUGAGAAAAGCUGCCACUAGAUCCCCAAGGAAACCAUGUUUCAUAAGGCUGCUUUGAGUGCUUGAAGAUGUUUUUGGUUGAAUGAAUGAUCUCUCUCCCCUAAGGCCUCCCUCCCUCUCUCUCUCUCUCACUGAAGAAUGCUGUUUCACAUUGUGGUGGGGACUGGAGAUAUUGAUCAUAGAACUCUCGCGUAGCUGUCUUAAAUUUGAUUGCAUAUUUUGCAGGGGGGCCAGAUCCUGGCCUUGUUUUGGACUGAAAUGAUAAACUGAAUGCACUUUCUGUAUAGGAAUGGAGUUUGGUCUUUUCCUCUUUCCUCUUUCCCCCUCCUUUUAAUUGAAAAUGUGUGGGCUUUUAGGGUCCAGAACUUGUACCAAUGGAACAGGUGUCAGCAGAUGAUGUCACUCAUUUGGAUUUAAAUAAGCGCCUUGUUACAUAAUUGUGUUUUGCAUUACAAAUAUUGCUGGUGCUUGCAUUUUUUUCUAACAUUGGGGAUAACCCUUCCAUUUCAUUUCACAUUCGAAAUUGGCACAUGUUUCCAGGGAGCUUCAUUUCAAUAAUAUAUAUGCACUUUUUGUCUCCUCAAGGGACGUUAUCUUUCUCCAAGUCAAUACCCAAUAGGGUAUGGACCUUGUUCUCUAAAAUUCCAGCUCCUUCCCUUUCUUCAUGGAAACUGAAAAGAUUGGGAAAGUCUGUGGCCACGGCAUCUUUGGGUUAUGCAAAUAGUUAUGCCCACUAAGUAAAAAGAACCCUUUUACUUUCUUCACAAAGCAAAUGUACAAAAACACAUAGGCAAAGGAGGGAGAUCAGUACAGCUGGAUUUAUGGUGCUCUCAAUCCCCAAAAUUCGCCUUGUUCUUUCAAGCUCUAAGGAUAUGACUUCCUAGUUUCAAAGUCAUUUCAAAUUCUCGAUUAACUUUUUAUGUGUUGAGUUCGAUCCUAAGAAGAUACACUUCGUUUCUCCAAUUACGAGAUUUACUCUUCAGCUCGUUAGUCAUUCCAAUGCUGGGAUUUUUUUCACUAUUGGAAGAAGAUUUUGUUCCAAUGAGUGAUGUUCUGUUUCAACUUUCCAGUAUGCAAGUUUUGAUCUCCUGAUGCUUUCUUUGUUUUUUUCUUUGAUAAUCUUGGUCUUCAUGAUAUUGGAACUGCAAAUAGAGCUGAAUUCCAAAAUUUUAGAGGUAGAGCCAUUUAAAGAUGCAAUUGCAUCUUGCCAAAGUCGCCUAAAAAAUCGAACCAAACGCGUUUGCAUUUGGCCAAGGGACUUUAGAGUCCCAAAGCUCAUUCCAAAUGCCGAACCAAACGGGGCCUAUGAACCACUUCAAGUUUGAGCAAUUUUAUCUAUAUGAAUCGUACAGGAAUUGUAAAAUUUCCAACCACCCUUUUGAUUUCCGUCCACAUGCAAAGUCAAAUCAAGUGUAAAAUCUGAAUGGUUUUCGAUGGCUGCAACUCACCAGUCGCCUUGAAGGAAAAGAAAAGAAGGGAAAUCUCAUCUUCAUUGCAAAGAAGGCCAGCCAGGCCCACGUGAUAUCAGGCUCCAUGGGCCGUUUGGCAAAUUUUUGGGCUGGAAUCUACACCUGCAGCGAGUAAUUGGCUGGUCGAUUGCCGGCUCACCUGAUAGUCCUAGGUGGGUGGCAUUGGGCCAACUAAAUAAGGGGGUUCUUAGCGUGUUUUCGCCUGAACUUAGUGGUUCAGUACCAUGAGUAUUGAAUGUGCAUGACAUUGUUGAAUUAGCGGAUGCGCUAUAUUGUAAAUGAUUUUCUUUCAAGGUCGGACACCUUUUUUUUUUUUUUUGGCACUAUCUAUUGAAUCUAACUUCUCAUGGGUAAUGAAUUAUUCGAGUUGGCAAGAUUUGGAAGAAUUGAUUAAAAANNNNNNNNNNNNNNNNNNNNNNNNNNNNNNNNNNNNNNNNNNNNNNNNNNNNNNNNNNNNNNNNNNNNNNNNNNNNNNNNNNNNNNNNNNNNNNNNNNNNNNNNNNNNNNNNNNNNNNNNNNNNNNNNNNNNNNNNNNNNNNNNNNNNNNNNNNNNNNNNNNNNNNNNNNNNNNNNNNNNNNNNNNNNNNNNNNNNNNNNNNNNNNNNNNNNNNNNNNNNNNNNNNNNNNNNNNNNNNNNNNNNNNNNNNNNNNNNNNNNNNNNNNNNNNNNNNNNNNNNNNNNNNNNNNNNNNNNNNNNNNNNNNNNNNNNNNNNNNNNNNNNNNNNNNNNNNNNNNNNNNNNNNNNNNNNNNNNNNNNNNNNNNNNNNNNNNNNNNNNNNNNNNNNNNNNNNNNNNNNNNNNNNNNNNNNNNNNNNNNNNNNNNNNNNNNNNNNNNNNNNNNNNNNNNNNNNNNNNNNNNNNNNNNNNNNNNNNNNNNNNNNNNNNNNNNNNNNNNNNNNNNNNNNNNNNNNNNNNNNNNNNNNNNNNNNNNNNNNNNNNNNNNNNNNNNNNNNNNNNNNNNNNNNNNNNNNNNNNNNNNNNNNNNNNNNNNNNNNNNNNNNNNNNNNNNNNNNNNNNNNNNNNNNNNNNNNNNNNNNNNNNNNNNNNNNNNNNNNNNNNNNNNNNNNNNNNNNNNNNNNNNNNNNNNNNNNNNNNNNNNNNNNNNNNNNNNNNNNNNNNNNNNNNNNNNNNNNNNNNNNNNNNNNNNNNNNNNNNNNNNNNNNNNNNNNNNNNNNNNNNNNNNNNNNNNNNNNNNNNNNNNNNNNNNNNNNNNNNNNNNNNNNNNNNNNNNNNNNNNNNNNNNNNNNNNNNNNNNNNNNNNNNNNNNNNNNNNNNNNNNNNNNNNNNNNNNNNNNNNNNNNNNNNNNNNNNNNNNNNNNNNNNNNNNNNNNNNNNNNNNNNNNNNNNNNNNNNNNNNNNNNNNNNNNNNNNNNNNNNNNNNNNNNNNNNNNNNNNNNNNNNNNNNNNNNNNNNNNNNNNNNNNNNNNNNNNNNNNNNNNNNNNNNNNNNNNNNNNNNNNNNNNNNNNNNNNNNNNNNNNNNNNNNNNNNNNNNNNNNNNNNNNNNNNNNNNNNNNNNNNNNNNNNNNNNNNNNNNNNNNNNNNNNNNNNNNNNNNNNNNNNNNNNNNNNNNNNNNNNNNNNNNNNNNNNNNNNNNNNNNNNNNNNNNNNNNNNNNNNNNNNNNNNNNNNNNNNNNNNNNNNNNNNNNNNNNNNNNNNNNNNNNNNNNNNNNNNNNNNNNNNNNNNNNNNNNNNNNNNNNNNNNNNNNNNNNNNNNNNNNNNNNNNNNNNNNNNNNNNNNNNNNNNNNNNNNNNNNNNNNNNNNNNNNNNNNNNNNNNNNNNNNNNNNNNNNNNNNNNNNNNNNNNNNNNNNNNNNNNNNNNNNNNNNNNNNNNNNNNNNNNNNNNNNNNNNNNNNNNNNNNNNNNNNNNNNNNNNNNNNNNNNNNNNNNNNNNNNAAUGAAUUUCUUACCUGCUUUCCCAGAAUACAUGGAGUGCAUGGAUCAGUCUUUUGAUAAGGUAAUUUGGGUAGUCCUCGAACAAGCUGUUUUGAUGAGAUUUUGGCUAAUUGCUUCAUGUUGACAUGACCAAGCUUUCUGUGCCAUAAGCUUGCUUCAUCUUGAAUUGAGAUAAAACAUUGCGAUUCAUUUGGUUUCACAUCCAGAAGAUAGAUGUUUCCAUGUCUACGACCCAUGAAAGAUUGAGUAGAGUCUUUACUGAUUCCAGAACAUAUUCCUUCUUGAAAGAAGAUCUUGAAACCAGUAUCACACAAUUGACUAAUGCUGAGAAGAUUGUAAUUGAGUCCUUCCACUAAGGAAACAUUACUUAUUGUGAGAUUUCCAAUUUUCACAGUUCCAAAUCCCACAAUACUUCCUUUGCUGUUUCCUCCAAAUGAAACUUUUCCACCAUUUACUUGAGCAAGCUUUAUAAAACAAUUUGAGUCUCCUGUCAUGUGUCUUGAGCAUCCACUGUCAAGAUACCACUUUACCUUUUUCUUGACGGUGACCUGCAUUUAAAAAAGAGUCUCAAGCUUUCUUUGGUACCCAAACUUUCUUGGGUCCUUUGGAGUUAGUAACAUAAGCAGUAUUAGCCCAUAUUUUCUUAACAGGUUUCCAAACCAUAGGACACUCUUUUUCAAAGUGAUCCGGACUGUUGCAUUUUGAACAUCUGAGAGCAUUUCUUCCUACAGAUUUUAUAAAAACUUUCUUGAAGUGAUUUUUGUAAGCCUCUCUCGAGAGUCUUUUCUUAAUUCUUUCUUUUACUUUAGGAAAAUCAAUCAAGGGAAUUGUUUCUGCUGUCAUACCUAGACCGGACUUAUUGAAGUAAGGUCUUUGUGCUGAAAGAAUUUUCUCAAGUUUUUCAGACCUUAUUGAAAAUUUCUUUGAUAUAUUUGAUAAGUCUGUUUUUAAAAAAACAUUUUCUUUUAAAAGAUUAUCUUCAUUUUCUUUAAGAGUGGAAACAGUCAAGUCUAGACUUUUAACUCUUUCUACUAAAACAUUUUCCUUUUGCUUUAGAGCUGAGUUUUCCUUUUUCAGUUCGGAAAUUUUUUUGAGAGAAGUCUUAAGACUAAAACACAGUUCAUCAAUGUAUUUAGAAACUUUGACAGGAAUUUUAAAAUUACUUGCCUCAAAUUCACUGUCUGAGUCUGAUCCAGAGUCUGAGUCUGAUCCAGAGUCUGAGUCUGAUUGUGCCAUCAAACAUAAAUUGGCAUAUUCAUUAUCACUUUUCUCACACUCUGUGUCACUCCAGGUUUCGGCUUUGAGAGCUUUUCGAAAUUUUUCAGCUUUUCCUUUCUUCUUCUUCAGAAGAGGACAGUUGGGUCUGAUGUGUCCCUUUUUCUUACAUUCAAAGUAGACUAUGUCUUUGUUCGGUUCCUCAUCAUCAACAGACUUGGUCUGCUGUCUUUGAAAGCUUUGUUUCUUUGAGUUGAACCUUCUUCCUUUUCUAUUCAGUUUUCUGAAUCUUUUUAUCAUUAGAGCAAGCUCCUCAUCAUCCAUAUCUUCUUCAGAAUCUGUAUCAUCAGAAUCAUCAUUAGAUUUUAAUGCAAUGGAUUUCUUACCUUUUGGAUCUUCAUCUUCAUUGAUCCGUUCCACUUCAUAAGACUGAAGAGUUCCAAUUAGCUCGUCGACAGAUAGUGGCAUAAUUCUCUGCGUCUCUCUUAUCGAAGUCUUUAUGUGAUUCCAAUCCCUGGAGAGUCCACGCAGUAGCUUGUUUACCUUCAUGGGAUCAGAAGUUGGUUGACCUUGAUUUUCAAAACCAUUCACAAUAUCUGUAAAACGACUAAACAUGUCAGAUAUUGAUUCUCCUGGUUUCAUUCUGAAGGCUUCGUAUUGACCGAGAAGAAUGUUGAUUCUUGUUUCCUUCACUCGAUCUGUUCCUUCAUAGGUGAUAUGCAAUCUGUCCCAAACUUCUUUUGCUGUACCACAAGAAGAUAUUCUAUUAUAUUCAGUUGGUGAUAAAACACAAUAUAAGGAGUAAAUUGCUUUUGCAUCGAGUGCUUGUCUCUUGAUUAUUUCUUUCUGAGACAUUCCGCUGGUUUCAUCAGUUUCUUUUCCUCUUUCAGAGACUGAUGCAGUGGUAGGAGUAAUUCCUUUUUCUACAAUGUCCCAUUCCAGAGGAUCCUUUGAUCGUAGGAAAGCUUUCAUCUUGUUCUUCCAGAUGUUGUAAUCCUUUCCAUCAAAGUAGGUGGUCUGGUAUUGCUUUGCCCUUCAUCAGCCCUGGUGCUAGCAUACUAGCCAUGGAUCUUUACUACGAAGUAAAACACUUCAANNNNNNNNNNNNNNNNNNNNNNNNNNNNNNNNNNNNNNNNNNNNNNNNNNNNNNNNNNNNNNNNNNNNNNNNNNNNNNNNNNNNNNNNNNNNNNNNNNNNCUGUGGAAGAAUUGAUAAAAAGAUGUCUUUUUGAAGUUUUACUCAAGGAUUACCUUGAAGAGACUUGCAGAGCUGUUAUACCUCAGCACACAAGUUGAUUAUGUUGAACAUUUGUUUAUAUUCUUCAUCAAUGUCGAUCUUUAUGAAUGGUUGCCUAGAGCCCUCAUUUAACCCUGAGCAGCCUCUCUGCCUAUGAUCCCUGUGGGGCAUGGUUGCUGGACUUGGAUACAAGUCCCAAAAGUGGAAAAGAAGUUUUGGUGCCUUAAUAGUUAAAGGCUUGUCAUGAGGUUGAGAAUGUUGUCUUCAUAGUUUCAUUUUGUAUACAUUUCUGACCAAUAUAUAUGUGUGGACUUCACUUUGUCAACUUCUGCUCAUAAAAUUUGUAGCUGUAAGUGUCAUUGUCUGGCGUUUUGAAACCAUUUCUUGUCGCAUGGAGCCUAAAAUUCCGAUGCCCUUUAGAAGGGUGGGAGGAGUUUUGCUAUCACUCACCAUUUCCUGUGUUACCAAAGUAUAUCUUGCGAUUAGAGCUUUCUUACUGUGUUCUGAAAAUCUAUGUAGCUGAAUCACUCAAGGAAAAGAGCUCUGUUUUUGGGUUAUGUUACCACUGUUGUAGAGAGCUUUGAUUGUUCUAUAUUACCAUUUUAGGAAUCUUAAAAGUAUCUCUCCAAAAUGGUUGUUUCCAAGUCCCUAGUGGCACAGAUAGACUGGCCGAUGGGAGUUGUCUGUUUCCAGAUGACAAAGGACAGCAAUAUCAUCUUGAAUUUGUGGGCGACAAAUUUAGAAAAGCUCCUCGAUCUUGUCAAGAAAAGUUGCCACCAAAUCCACAAGGAAACCUUGGUUCAUAAGGCUACUUUGAGAGCUUGAUAAUGUUCUUAGUUCAAUGAAUGAUCUCUCUCCCCUUGAGCGUCCCUCGAUCUCUCACCAAAAGAGAAGUGGAAUAAUGCUAUUUCACAUUGUGGCCUGAAGUGGGACUGAAGAUGUUUAUCAUAUCUCUCGUGCAGCUGGGAUUAAUUUGAUAGCUUAUUUUGCAGGGGGGCCAAAUUUGGGCCUUGUGUGGACUGAAAUGAUACAAGGAGGAAUUUAUGUUGGUCUUUUCAUCUUUCCUCUUCAUCCCUCCUUUUCAUUGAAGAUUUUUGAGCUCUCAGGAUCCAGAACUUGUGCUAAUGGAAUUAGUAUCAGCACAAGAUGUGCACUCAAUGCAACAGAAUGAGCAUGUUAAAAUCUGUUUGCUUGUGCUUAUAUUUUUUUAACAUUGGGGAUUACAUUAGCUCUCCAUAGAAAAGGCGAAUGGAUGUUAUUUUUUUAUAUCAUUUCACAUUUGAAUUUCAUCUUCAGCAGAGAGAGCGUGUUUCUUUUGGACCCAAUCUUGACCAUCGGCGGUUCAAGAAACCUGUUUCUGGGGAGCUUCAUUCAAUUAGAUGACUGCAUUUUUUUAUCUCCUGAAGAGAGACAUAGUUUCUCUCCAAGUUGAUGUUUUGAUGUCAUUUCCAUAAGACACUCCAUUGUGAUGUCAUUUCUCUAUAUAGUUUUUGUUACUGAAAUGUGUUUGAUUCCGACUGGUUUUGACAUCUCUCUCAACUCUUGGCAUGUGUGUGUAAUAUAGUGAGAAGCUUUGAAAUAUUGAGGAUAAUGUGUUUCUUUGACGAUCGUAAAAUUUCAGAUUUGAUGGAAGUUAUCUUUACAUAGUCUCUUCCCAUUUUCAAUUUACAAUAGGUGCUUCUAACUUUUUCAAUACUUUUUCCUGUUAUUCGAGUAGUCAAUGAUUUGAAAAUUACAUCAAAUAUUAUAAGAUAUACUUAAAAGUUAUUCAUGCAGUCAAUAAAUAUUUUGGUCAUUAUUGGAAGAUCUUUUUUCGUCAUGUACUUAGAAAACUAAUUAAAAUUUUUAAAAAGAAAAAAACAAAUAGCCGCUAUAAAGCAUUGAUAACAUUUUUGUUUGGCAAAAGUAGAUAUUCAAAAUUUUCAAAACAUUUUGUUUGACCAAAUUUAACGUAAGAAAAGGUUUAUUAUAUUCAUUACGACAAGGACCAACUAAUUAUAAAAUCAAAAUUUUCAUUGAUCAAAAAGAUCAAUUCUCUUUGUACCUUGUUUUGGAUAAUCGACGAGGGUUGAAUCGAAUUGCUUGUACAUUUGUUAUUCCAGUGCCUAGAUUGGGUUUGGCAUGGAAGUAUUCGAUCGGCGUCAGUGCGGGUGGGUCACAGAGGAUGUCGACUUUGAAGUGAAGGUGGGCGAAAGGAUCGCGCAGCUGAUCAUUGAGAAGAUCAUGACUCCCGAUGUUGCGGAGGUCGAGGACCUGGACUUGACUCUGAGACGUGAGGGCGGGUUUGGGUCGACCAGGUGUAAGGCCCAUGUGCUAGGUUUCGGUUGCAACUCUGUUCUCUGUAAGUUUGUUUUCAUUGGGGAUGAGGUUGUGCCUGGGAUGAACGCAGGUCUGUUAGGAGCAUUUUCUUGGUGAGAAAUUUUGUUGAACGAUUGGCGGGUAAAUAUUUGCUAAUUGCUAUGUGUUCAGCCACGCUUUUGAAGUAUCUCCUUGUGCUCUGCCUGUCUGUUUAAUUGUGAAAUUUGGAUCCUGCUUUUCGAGUUGCCAGUCUGCUGGGGUGAGCCUUGCGGCAAGUAAUUAGCUGGUUGAUUGCUGGCUUACGUAUUAGUCCUAGAUGAUGGUAUUGGGCAACUAAGUAAGGGGAUUUUCAGUGUUUUUACAUAAACUUCUUAGUCUGUGAUGACAGAGAAAAGGCAUUUUGUUUAAGUUAAGUAGUUUUAUUUUGUUUUAUCAUCUUUUCAGGGUUUAGUGAAGUCGGUGAUCGGUGCUUCACUUUGUUUUUAUUCUAAUUAGUAGAUUUGUUUUAAGAUUUAAGUUCUCUUGUAUAUGGAUAAAUUCUUUUUGUUUUUGAUGGAUAGUUAUUUCCUUGGUGCCUUACUUAUUAUACCUUUUACACAACAAUGAAACCAGGGAGAAAAGAAAUUGAGAUUGGGUGCCAGAGGAGUGAUUCAAAAUACUAAUCAACCGAAGAUGAACAAUAAGUAUGGGUUGUACCUCUCCAUUUGUGGAUUUUCUCCGUUGCAUGAACACAGCAUGUGUCAGGUUUGCUGGUGGCGAAAGGAAUAUUAAACAAGCGGGAGCCAAGAUUAUUGUGUUCAGUCGUCUACUGAUAUCCUGGGGCAUGAAUUUUUGUCUUCCUAGCUCAAAGCACUCUUUGCCUUCCUCGUCAAGUGCUUGAGUCAAAAUUAUUUGAUGACACUGAUACUUGGAUAUUCAUACCUGUUAAGUUGUUUUUCCUGUAUAUAGUUGCUCCCAAACUUUCUUUUAACAGAGGAAGUAUCUUACACUCCUUUGAUAUGAGUGAAUCAGAUUGUCAAGAUUAAUCGAUGUCCAGAUGUUUGCCUUUUUAUCUCUGCUUUUGGGUGAUAAGCUGGUGGAAAUUUUGCUCUCCAUUGGGUGUAUUUCAUUGUUAUGCUAUGCUGAAUGCUGAUAGUUUCGUCCGGAUUAGUGAGAGCAUUAUGACUGAUGGCUAUUUAUUAUACCUGUACAAGAUUUUUACCUUCCCGAUUGUUAUUAGGAUUGCUAACUGUAUAGGAGGCAAUUAAAAAAAUGCAAGUUGGUCACAUCAACAAUCAUUCCCAGAUUGGAUCAGGAGUAAGAUCACUGGAGAUGUAGGAUGGGAUUCCUAAUCCCAGUCCACCUACUUUGCCUAUUUAAUUAGGACUCAACCUCAUAGUAAAUCAAAUUAGGCCCCAUUUCUCAUCGUGCAUGACCAAUUGUACGUCUGAAACAAUAUCUAAAGGCUGAACCUGCUUAUUGGGGCUAACUUUAGGGAUUGAACUGUGAGGGGAUUAUAGAUAAAAUUGAGGUAUUGCCCUCAUCCUGAAUUAGAUUGGAUGGAAGAUUUAAUCGGUGGUUGUGGCAAGGCUGAAAAUACUUUCUAUGCAGACUUGGGAGAGUUCGUAUGCUUCCACCUGUAUUAAAAUUAACCUUUUAUUGUUGGAGUUGGAUGUAAGCUCUACUUUCAUGAGAGCUUCGGUUGGGGCAUAUGGGAGGUUCGCUGUGCCUCCACAACCAGCAGUGCAGCACAAUGCCAUCACCUUUGUACUGCAAUCAUCUCUUCUUGCUAUGGAAUUUUUUUUUAGGUCAUAGCAUAUAGCUCUUCACCCUUUUCACCCUCCGCUCUUCAUAUUUUCAAUGCCAUCAUCUGGCUUUGCUUUCAUUUUGUUUUCUUCUUUUCUUUUGCCAUCAUCAAUAGUGCAGUCUUAUGAUUAUUGAUCCAAAGUGUGGUCCGGUUUCAAUCAUUUGGGAUCGAUCUUAACAACAGUUACCUUAAGGGUUUUAUUUAUAUGGACGUAUACUAUUGCCUCCCAUAUGUGUACUGAUUAGAUCUUAUACUGUCGUUUUGUGUAGUCGUAAUAUGCCAUCAUGUAUGACUAUUUGAAAAACGAAUCUCAUUGGCAUAUCUAUACGGGUAUUGGUUCUUGGCAAGCUCUAGAGAUGCUAGAACUCAGGCCUGGUACUCAUGCUGUUUGCAAGUUUUUUCAAUUGGUUGGGAUCCUCGUGAUUGUAUUUGUAUUGCACCUUGCUAUUACCCCUUUAAUUCCUUUCUUUACUCUAUUUUCUUCCUAGAUGAAUAUUUUUUCUUGCUGUUAAUUAGAUAGUUCAACUGAAAGUUGUAAUUGUGCUCCAGAGAUAAUCAAGUAAUGAAUUAUUUUGAUGGUGACACUUAACUCUGUUGCUGCUGGGAAGGUGAAAAUGUGAAAUCAAACUCUAUUGCGGCUCGUGUUCGUGAGCAAUCUGUUUUGGUUUCGUGGUUUCUAUAGCUAGUUUCAUUAUGUAGUUAUAUGUCGAAAUUGAGAAGAGUGCAGUUGAUAAAGAAACUGGCAAAAAGCAAAGGAAGAAGGUCUUAUAGUAGAAGCUGCUGAUUUAAUAGAAGAAAUUGCAGGAGCUAGAACUUGAAUUCUGGGGUCUUUGAUCUUGUAAUUGGUUUUCCCUUGUCCAAUAUUACGAGUGGUCUAAAUUGCUGUGGAAAAUUUUGGAGCAUUGGCAACUACGGAGAAAAUUGCCUUUAUUCUUGAACAUGUACGGGAUUUUAGUAUUGCUUUUAGCCGUUUAUGCUCUCUUACUAUGAUCAGUUUUCUGAUGGAUGGUUUUGCAGGUUCUUUUAAGCUUAGAUCGCCAGGACUAUGUCCAGGCACAGAUCCAGAAAAUCAGCCCCCCGGUGUCUGAUCCAGAUCCUUCCAAAGAGAAGAAAAAGCCUAAAGAAGGGGAAAGUUUUGUGGAAGAAGCGCUAGCUGAUAUGCCGUCACUUCUGGAGCUGAAAUGGAUAUAAUAAGAACCCACGAUAUGGUGAAUUGGUGCUUUACUUAUUCUAAUGUUGUGUCUACUAUUCUUAACUAGAAUUUUUUUGCCGAUCAAGCACUUCCUGGUAUUCAGAUUGUGGUUCAAGCCAUGGUUUUAUUCAUCUGUCGCAUUCUCUUUUUCCUUUCUGUCUUUACUGCAAACUCUGAUGUUAGAACUGUACUUAAUGGAUUUGAACACACAUCUUACCUUGCAUUCAUGUGGUUAACGAUGAAAUUAUUACUCUCAUUACAGUGGUUUGCUAUAUGGCGAUAUAUGAGAUUCCAUCAGCAAAGGGGAAACCCAGAGUUGUGGAUACCAGUGAAGCUCUUUCAUAUGAGGCUAUGUCAAGUCUUCACUGGAUUUUUCAAGGCACAGCUAUUCAUUCCAUGAUUUAAUUAGUCACUGGUUCUAAGGAAAAUCUGUUGGUAUGUAGUUCGGUUACCACAUGAUCGGUUACAGUCAAGCUUUUGCAAUACUUUAGAAGAUACAAAUAUCUCAGAAAUUCCCCAAAUCAGGUACAUCUUUGAAUUGCUCCUAGUAUUUGAUUGUACAUUUUCUUGCAAUAGAUCGAUAAUCUGCCAUGGAAUUUGGUUGGCCGUACCUUUAUUAUUUUAAUGCAGGUUGCAGCUGAAACAAUUGGUCACAAUGGAGGUUAUCCAAUUAACUGCUCUUUGAAGUAAUUUCAGAGAUAAAUUUGAGAAUGAGAAAACCAUGCUCGAAGGUNNNNNNNNNNNNNNNNNNNNNNNNNNNNNNNNNNNNNNNNNNNNNNNNNNNNNNNNNNNNNNNNNNNNNNNNNNNNNNNNNNNNNNNNNNNNNNNNNNNNGUAAGUACACAGGCUCUGAUACCAAUUGAUAUUGCUAAUAUGAGUACCUAGAGAGGGGUGAAUAGGUGCACAAACAAUUUAUCGAAAUACGGAAGCGAUUCUUAGCAUAUGAUAGAAAGGAAAUUCUCUCUUAAUUAACAAAAUGAAAUACGAUCGAGGUAGAGAGAGUGAGGAAGAGAAAAUUGAACACAGGAUUUAUAGUGGUUCGGCUUAUUCCAAGCCUACGUCCACUCUUCCGCACUGACAGCCCACCGGCUGGAUUUCACUAUGAUCAAAAGAGAAGUUACAGCACAGCUUUGCCUUGAUUCCACAGUGUAGAUGUUCUACCACACCUCCUCAAGGUUUCUCACAAAUAUAGACUCUCUUUUGUAUACAAGUAUUCGCUCAAAGGAUUUGUCUAAACAGAAAGGAGCUUCAGACUUUGGAAUUCUUCUAUCGCGCACACCUUGAACAACUAAGACAGUCUUCCUUAUAUACUCCUUUAUGCCAUCAUACCCGUUGGCACUUACCAAAGGAAUUCCUCCAAUCUACCCGUUGGACGGAAUCAAUUAGGAAGAUUGUUCAAGCUAUUAAAGGAACGUGUUGAUAGCCCAUCAAUCCUGUUCGCCCAUACAAUCAGGAUCUCGGUUUCCAUAAGCAGAACCUUCCAAUAAUAAUUAGGCAAUCACCGGAUCUUCAAUUAUCGAGUCAAUCUUCGAUCAAUCAAAGGACUCCGUUAUGUCUUCUCCAGCCACGAGAUCUUCUCCAGUUGAUAAGGUUAAAUCCUUAACGAAACAUCCAGUUCUGGAUAACCUUUCUUCAACGGAUUAGAGACUGUCAAUGAGGAUAGAGUUUGAGUCUUGAGUCUGGCUGUCCGGAGGUCUUCAGACUUUAAAUAGCAGAGUCUGCAAGCCUUCAGACUAGACUGAUAAAAACGUUUUGUCAACUUCAAAACACUUCAAGAAGAUUUCUCCAACAGAUGUUACAUUCCGAACCACCACGUGAACAUCACCGUCAACCUCCCAUCGAGCUAAGAAGCCCCCUGAGCACCACCCCACAGUUGUUACACCACGUCCGGGUCACCAUCAUUGAGCCAAAGCACCAUGAUCGAUCCACUGUGAUCCACAACCGCGAUUCCCGUAUCUAUUCAUCUGAAUUCAAAUUUGGAACGUUGAUAUUUGAAAUAGGUAACGAUCUUGAUGGUUUUAUUAGUGAUGGGCUUAAGGCCCGUCCGCCCAUGUUAGGCCUAAAAACCCAGCCCACAGAAUUAGGGCCCGUGGAUGGAGGGAUGUAUAAAAGGGAGGAGAGAGAGGGAGAACGCACCUUUUGGAAAUCAGAACGUACGUACGUCUCCCUCUCCCUCUCUCUCUCUCCCAAAAGGAAAACAGUAAGGCUCCGGCAACGUUUUUUCUUCCCUUCAACCACGAUUUGGCGUCAUCGGAUCGAACAAGGGCCAAAUUAUCUUCAUCUUAUCGGCGUCGGUGUUUAAUCUGUGGCUAACAAGGUACGCUCGAAUCCGUGGUGUGCUUUAGGAUCGGUGAUACGUGAUUUUCCCGGACUUGUCUUCCGCAUUCGUUUUAGGAGUUCGAUUUAGUGUCGAAUCCGGUUUUCGGGGAUCCGUUAAUUCCCAACAUUGGUAUCAGAGCCCUAGUUCAUGUUUUCCCGACCCUUUUCAUGUUUUUUUGAUUGAUUUUUCGCAAAGAAAUUCGGCCGACACGGAUCGGGGCGAGAAAUCCCGACACCUGAGCACUGUUUGUCCGUUUUUUCGAGUUUCUGUAAGUUGAAAUCGAAUUUUGAUGCCAUGGGGUGAAAGGGCUCGUCGAGACGAGUCCGUCGAUAGGUCGUGCGCCGCCGGGCGACGCCAGACGCGCCCACACGCGUGGCCAGAAGCCACUGCGCGUGGGCGCGACGCGCCCGAAGCACUGGCUCGGUCAACACGUGCGGCACACGCGCCGGUCGGCGAACCGGCACGUGCGCGCCGCCGGCCGGUGAACCGGCACGCGCCAGUCGGUGAACCGACGCGUGCUGACGUCACCGUGACGUCACGGUAACCGCCGGGAUGAUGACGUCAUCGCCGACGACUGUUGGCCAGCCGGUGACCGGCCGGCGACCCGACCCGACCCGCAUGGAAGCUGGCGCAUGCCGCGCACGUGCCGGCUGACGUCUGCGUGAUGUUAGCCCGCGCACGCGUGCGGCACGUGCCAGUCGGUUCGUCCGACCCGGCUCGACCGGUCCGACCGGUCCGUCCGGUCCGACCGGUCCGAUGACCCGGCGACCUGACCGUUGACCCAUUGACCGACGACCAUUGACCAACGACCGUUGACAAAAAAAAAGAAGAAGGGAAAAGAAUGUGUUUCUUUUUCAAUUAAGUCUAUGUGGAUUAUAUGUGAUCCCUUAUUUGUUUUGCAUUUGUUGCAGGAACAGUUCUGCAUUUGUUGCAGGAACUAUGCCUCCCCUCAGAUUGCGCACACCUAUUCGCGCAGUUACCGAUGAACAAAAGGAAAUGCUUUCUAAGUUGAUAGCUGAGCUGACUGAUUAUCGAUGGGAGAGUGGUGACUUAAUUGAUCAUAUCCUUGAAGUCAACGGGAAAAUUCAAAAGGUCAUAUGGAAUGGUCGUCCUAUGUCACAGUUAGAGAUGGUGCGAUUUUUCAUGAACACUCUUCCACCUAAAUGGCAAGAAGUGUUGAAUCGCAUAUGGGAUGUCAACGGAGCUGCUUCAUGUAAGAAAAUUGUGAUGGAUUUUGUAUAUGAAUAUUACUGGAUUAUUACAAGGGAAAAGAUCAAGAAAUUGAACAAAAAAGGAUCUUUCCUAGUUCGUGUGCUGACUUGGUGUUAGUUGUAUUGGCUAAUCUUUGUUAAGUGUGCUUUGUGGACACAUAAUGUAAUGUUUACUACCUUAUUGUUGUUGAUGUAGCAACCGCUAUCUUGGUUGUAUUAGUUGAAAGCAUUAUUGUUUUAUUGGAUGUCAAUUAUCUGUUGCUUUCUGUUAUUGCUGGUUGCUGUGGGUAGUUAGCUAUGGGUAGUUAUAGAAGUUUUUGUAAAUUCAUAGAAUUUAUUUUGCAUAAGACAAUUAUAUUAAUGAUAGUUUUAAGUUAGGAUUUUGGAGGAUGAUUGGAAACAUAGUGACAUUUUGAUUCUGAAGUCUUACUUGAAAUUAUUCAUUAAUAUGAUAGGUCUAUGCAAAUAGGGAUGCAUAAAUGAUAGGCAUUAAUAAUUUGUGCAUAUAUGUCUGAUGUGUUCAGAUCAAUGGCUUCAGCCACAAAGAGCAUAGUUGCCGAGCUGAACAAAGGUAAAAAGCUCAAUGGUGACAACUAUGAAAUUUGGCACAUGAAAAUCCAGUAUGUGCUGGAAGAGCAAGAAGCACUGGAAGCUCUUAACCUGACCAUGGUUAAACCUGAAGAAGGAAACAUUGCACAGCACAAGAGAGAUAAGGAAGCUUUUGCUGCAUGGAAAAGAAAGAACUCUCUUGCUCGCAUCACGUUGCUGAGCAGCAUGGAAAAUGAUGUCAUGCGAGAGUUUAGGCGUUUUGACAAUGCCAAGGAAAUGUGGGAAGCAUUGGCAGCUAGAUUUGGUCAUACUUCGGUGACCAGACUGAGACGGCUCACUAUUAGGUUUGACUCUUAUAAGAAGCCUCAUGGUCAGACCAUGAAGCAAAAUCUUAGAAAGAUGUCAAACAUGAUAAAUGAGCUGAAAGAUGCUGGCCAUGUCCUGACAGAUGAGCAGCAAGUGCAAGCAGUGAUUCGUUCCUUGCCUUAGAGUUGGGAGCAUAUGAAGGUGCACCUGACCCAUAAUGAAAAUAUCAAAACCUUUUAGGAUGCAGUGCGCCAUCUUGAGCUGGAAGAGGACCGCCUUUUGGUGGCUAAGCCGGAUGCUGAACUCUAUCAUGCUAGUUCUAGCUCACAUGGAGCUUCGAGCUCCAAGCGCAAACGCCCUAACUGGUUUGAUAAAGGGAAAGGCAAGGAAGCAGGUCAUUCAGGGAAGAAACCCAAGUUUAACCAACAUGAAAGAGGAAAGCAUCCUCGCAUGAAAAAGCUUGCAAGGGUGAAAUGCUACAACUGUGACAAGAAGGGUCACUAUGCUCGCGACUGUCGUGAGCCAAAGAAGGUAUGCACCCCUUGUACUUUUUAGAACUUUGCUUUUGUGUCGAGUUCAGUAUUCUUCACUGACCCUUCUCCUUUGUUUUGUACAGUUUCCGGAGCGACUUACCAAGUAGCGCAUGAUCGAGGAACCUUCGGGCAAUUCACUUGAGUGAGCUCCUGAUAUGACUGGAUCUAGGUGGGAAACAGCUAUGGACCAGAAAUGAAAGGAAGUCGCACAAGCCAGGGAGCUGUUUCAUCAGUAACCAGCCGAUACAUCAUUCAAUCUUCCCCCCUCAAAAAAUUCGUUAGGAGCUGAUAGGUUCUCUACACUAUGUUUUUUUGAGACUUCCGAUGGAACAACGGCCAGACUUUCCCGCGCUAAGUCAAAACGAAUNNNNNNNNNNNNNNNNNNNNNNNNNNNNNNNNNNNNNNNNNNNNNNNNNNNNNNNNNNNNNNNNNNNNNNNNNNNNNNNNNNNNNNNNNNNNNNNNNNNNGGUUGAUUAUGUCGACAUUUAUUUAUUUCUCUUAUCAAUGUCAAUCUUUAUGACUGAUUCCCUAGACCCCUCAUUUAACCCUGGGCAGCCUCUCUGCCCCUGAUACCUGCAGGUUAUGGUUGCUGGAUUUGGAUGCAAGUUCCAAAAAAUUGGUUGCUACCAAUGUCAAUGUUUGGCGUUGUGAAACCACUUCUUGUCCCAUGGAGCCUGCGAUUCUGAUGCGCUUUAGAAGUGUGGGAGGAACUCUGCUAUGAUUCACCAUUUCUAGUGUUACAAAAGUAUAUCUCGUGAUUAGAGCUUUCUUAAUUUGCUCCGAAAUCUAUGUAGCUGAAUCACUCAACAAAAGGAACUCUGUUUUUGGGGUUCUGUUACCACUGUUGUAGAGAGCUUUAAUCAUUCAUAUGCCUCAAUCUAUUAAAUUCAUCACAAUUAUCUGCUAGAGAGACAGCAUAGUAGUAAUUAUACAAGCCUGUAUGAUAUUCUAUUAGCAUGACCUGUUAGUUCUACGACCAUUCUAGGAAGUUGAAAAGCAUCUCUCCAAAAUGGUUGUUUCCAAGUCUCUACUGGGAAAGAUAGACCUGCCGAUGGGAGUUGUAUGCUUCCAGACAACAAAGGAGAGCAAUGACAUCUUGAACUUGUGGGCUACAAAUUUGGAAAAGCUCCUUGAUCUUGUUGAGGAAAGCUGCCACCAAAUCCACAAGCAAACUAUGGUUCAUAUGGCUGCUUUGCGAGAUAUUCUUAGUUGAAUGAAUGACCUCUCUUCCCUUGAGCCUCCCCCUCUCUUACCAAAAGAGAGAAGCUGAAGAGUGCGGUUUCACAUUGUCCUCUGAAGUGGGGAGUAAAGAUAUCAUAGAACUCUCGUGUAGCUGUCUUAAAUUUGAUAGCAUAUCUUGCAGGUGGACCAGAUCAGGAUUGAAAUGACACAGAAUACACUUUUUGCUUAGGAAUCUAUUUUGGUCUUUUCAUCUUUCCUCUUCCCCCCUCCUUGUAAUUGAAGAUUUUUGGACUAUCAGGGUCCAGAACUUGUACCAAUAGAAUUAGUAACAGAACAAGAUGUGCACUCAUUACAACAAAAGUAAGCGCCUUGUUACCAAAUUCUGUUUCUCUGUACAAAUUCUGCUGGUGUUAAGUGUUUUUCUAACAUCAGGGAUAACAUUAGCUCUCAAAAGUAAAGGCGAGUGAAUGUUAUUUUGUAUUUCAUUUCACAUUUGAAUUUUGUUCAGUAGAGAGCCUGCUUCCUUUGGACUUAAUCUUGACCGUUGGCAGUUCUGAAAGCCUCUUUUUAGGGAGCUUAUAUAUUGUCGAUGGACUUAGCUUUUCUCUAGGAUGAUGUGAUGUCAUUUCAAAAAGACACUAUUGUGAUAUAAUUUCUUUCUAAACUUUUAGUACCGGAAUGUGUUUCAAUGUCAACAAGUUGACAUUUCUCUCUACUCUUGGCAUGUAUGUGGGUAAUAAUACAGUAAUAAGAAGCUAUAUUGAGGAUAAUGUGUUUGUUUUACAACUCUGUUAAGAUUUGGACUUCUGGCUGAGGAAUAGAAACCAUCACAUUUUGCCUAUAAAUCUCGGCAUUUGAUUAAAUUGAUCAAUCAUUUGUUGUCUCAAAUCCCCUUUCUUUACAAGAAGAUGUUAAGGUUUUAAACAUUGGGUCUCAGAGCAAAGUGGGGCAAAAAUGAGUCCUAUAGAAAGCAUCAUAUAGUACUCGAACUUUUAUUUGAUUCAUGGGACAAAUUUAACUGAUGAAUGAAAAAUUGUUUUUGUGCGCGCCUGCGGGGAAGGGGGGGGGGAGUUUGAAUGAAUUAGGAAUUUAAAAUGUUUGUACUGAUGAUAGGUGUCAAAUAUUUAUUUGAUAGCACAUUGAUAGAUAAGCAUCGCUAUUAAUACCUAAUUUUUGGCGGCCCAAUUAGUUGUUUAUUGCAUAAAAAAAAUUUGGGAUUAAUUUUUAACAUCUAAAUAAAAAUAUUAAAAGUAGAUUGCAUAGCAUAUGGUUUUAGGAGCAUUUAUUAUUUAGUUGUUUUUUUUAUUGCAUUUGCAUCGGAUCGGUGAUAGAUGAAUCUGAACUUUAAUUUAGCGAGUCCAGUCCCAUGUUAGUAAUUUUAUGUUAUUGCCAAGAUUUGAUAGUAAAUAGUCGGUCAAGAUUAUGGAAUAUGAGAAGUUGUAGGAGAUGUGGAGCCCAAUAGAGAGGGAGGCGAUUUCUCUGGAGGUCAGCACUGGAACAAGCUCCGGCACUCCUCCAAGGCACGCCUCGUGCCCGACGCAGCACUGCCUGUCUCCUUGCCGCCGCAGUUCAUCAUCCAGUUUUGAUCCAGUCUGAUCUGGUGAAUUUCCGGCAACAAUGAAGCACCACUCGGCGAGUCCUUUGCACGCCACGGCAACCUCCCCGUGGUCUCUUGAUUAAUUCUUUGCAGGUUUCCGGCAAAAUUACAAGCACUUGGCGAGCCCAUCGAGCGAACUACCCGCCAGGCCACUACGCUUCACGCUGUUGUCCCGUUUCUUUAAACCCGACACCACCGCCUGCUGUUUUGUCUGUCAUGCUCGAUUGUUCUUUCACAGGCUGUCCAGAACAAAUCAAGGCCCCUGCAUCAAUCCAGGCGAGUGCAAGACAGCUCCUGUAACGAUGAAUCUUCAUCAUCAUUAGCGGAUUUAAUGAUGCUUUAUGAAUAACGCUUUUUAUAGGUUCCAACGUUAUGGUUGGCGUUGGUGACUUAUCAGCCCAGCAAAUCUCUGAGAAGCUUUGCAGCCCUUUAGCCGUGUUCACUCAAGUUCAUCCGCGACGACUCCCUGCCAUUUGUUGUCCCUUUGCUGCCUGCUUGUUAUAUUUUCGUCCAUAGUCGGCGAACCACUCCCGUUGCAAAUGUGAAGUCCGGUAAAGCCCCAACACCCGCUAGCAAUGACAUUGCUGCUGCUGCUGGUGGUUUUCCGUGUCACGCCCCGAUCCUCCGGGAUGCGCCCAUCCUUCUAUUUGGUUGAUUUUAAAGUGCGAUAUACCAGGACUAAGUAUCGCCGACCCUUUCAUUUUAUUACGCAGGCGGAAGCAAUUAUAAAUCCCCAGACAAUAAAAUAAUGGGAUAGAAAAGCAGGCCAUAUAUUUCAUAUUGAAAUUCACAACCACACUUUCAGUAACAGCACAACUCAUAGUAUAUUUACAAUACCAUUCACAACAUACUUGUCUCACACCUAUCUACACUAAGACAGGGUUUACAAAAAGGAUGGGAUCUCAGUCCACAUCCGGGUUAUACUCAAAAUCCCUCUUUGGAUCAUCUUCUUCUUCAAAAGUCUUUCUUCCCUUCAGGUUCCUCCUCCUCAGCUUCUCCUCAGGGUCCUGAAAUGGUUAUUCAAUAACCAAUGAGACCACGUCUCAGCGAAUUCUACCCCCUAAUACCCAAUUAGUAAGCCAAUACACCUUAGGCUGCCUAAGCACAUCACGAGUCAAAGGACUUACCUUGGCCUCAGCUCCUUUCUGCAAGUUAGUAUAUAUAUCAAAUAUACAUCAUCACAUCACAUCACCCAAUCAGAUCGAAUCAUCGAUCAAUCGACCUAGUCGAUUACAUGUCAUCCAAAUUAUCUCUUGAUCAACCCCUUUCAUACCUUCUAUAAGUCUGAUUAACAUCCAAGACUACUCACCCUUGGUGAUAUAUAGAUAGUAUGUUAUCUUAUCUCCAGACAACAUAUAGAGUCAUCGAGCUAUCAAAUCAUACCGUACUGUCUCAAGAUGAUCUGUAGAAUUAUCGAGUCGGUAUAUCAUACUGUACUGUCUCAAGAUAAUCUGUAGAGUCACCGAGCCGGUAGAUCAUACUGUCCUGUCUCAAGAUGACAUAUUAAGUCACCCAGCCGGUAUACACGCAAUUUAUCAUACCGUACUAUCUCAAGAUGCUCCGUAGAGUCAUCGAGAUCAUACCGUCCUGUCUCAAGAUGCUCCGUGGAGUCAUCGAGCCGGUAUACCGUACUGUCUCAAGAUGCUCCGUAGAGUCAUCGAGCCGGUAGAUUAUACCGUCCUGUCUCAAGAUGCUCCGUGGAGUCAUCGAGCCGGUAUACACACAAUUUAUCAUACCGUACUGUCUCCAGAUGCUCCGUAGAGUCAUCGAGUCGGUAUACAUGUCAUUCCAAGCAAACAAUCAAAUAACUAGUUUUAUCAUUCUCGAUAAAAUGCCAUGAGUGGGUACUCAAUCGGCCCUAGCCAAAAUAUAAUAGUUUCUUUUUUAUAAAUCUCAACAUUUUCUGUAGUCCACUAAAACAGUUUUGGUAUCAUUAACUGAUGCCCGGUUAAUUUCUAAUUAAUUUUCCAAGAUUAUUUAAAUUAGGGAAUAAAUCCUAAAUUCACAAAUAAAUCAUUUCCGCACAAAAUAAAGCUUAAUUAAAUAAACGAACUGCACCAUGACAAUCAGCAUAAAAUUCCGGUCACCGGCCAUCCCGGUUGAAUUUCCGGAAAAAUAAAUAAAUAAUUAAUUAAUUUCGAAAAAUAAAUAAAUAAAUACUAAAAAUCCAAUUUAUGCCCAUAAUGCCUGAUUGGACGCCAGAACGGAUCGGGAAAAAUCCCGAGAUACGUUCAAUAAAUAAUAGAAGCUCUCUACUUGCUAAUGACUAAGUCUAACCACCUAACAUGCAUAAUUAAGUCACUAAUUUAAUUGUUCUAAACUAAUCUAACCACAUAAUUGCACUUAAUUAAAUCUAAUCAACCCUUAGGCAUAAUUAGCAAACUAAGAAAGCAUUAGUGAGUAAAACUCACUUGACAAAAGCGGAGACCGAAUCACCGCGAUGGCGACGCGAUGGCAGCCGAAAUUGGGCUUUCGACAACACCGGCGGGCUUGGACCGGGCCUUGGACUGAACUUGGGCCUGAGCUUGGGCUGACUUGCUUCGCGGGCUUGGGCUUCAAGAUUGGGCUGCUGAAUUGGGCCUCAAAUUACUGGGCUGAUCUUGCUUUAAAGAAACUGUUGGGCUGAUUUCUUGUGGGCCUGACUUUGUUUGGGCUUCAAAUGGCGUGGGCUCAAUGAAGCUGCUGUUCACUUGGGCUACGAUGUGGACUACAAUUAGGCUGAAGACACGGGCUUGAAUCAAGCUGGGCCACGACAAUUUCGUGUGGGCUGCUGUACGCUUGUCUUCGGAUGAGAUGGACUCGGACGAGAUGACCGAUCGAAGAAGCAGCAAAGGCUGCUGUUGGGCCACGAAAAUUGAAGACCAACGUUGCUGGAGAAGGCGGUUUCGCUGGCAGCUUACUUCGGCAAGGAAAUCCACGGAUACGGGGUCAACGACGAGGAAAGCAGCUGGAUUCUUGGCCGCGUGGAGUGAAGAUCGGUGGGGGAGUGAGAGACGUGCGCAGAGACGAGCAGAGGUGGGAGCUUCGAGCGGUUUGCUGGUCAACAACCGACAGAAGGGGCAGCUUCGGUUGACUUGCUUCGAUGAAGCUAGAUACGGAGGAGUCAACGUGGCUGAGGGAGCUCACUUGCUGGUUGACUCGGCAGGAAACAAAGCUUAGUGGAGGAUGGGCGUGGGCUGCAGAGCAGCGAAGCGGUGGAGCUGCAGGUGAUGGCUUCGGUCAACAGAACAUGGAGUCAGUCUCGAUGGAAGACUUCGCGCGGAUGGAGGAACACGCGGACGCUGUUGUUGCUGGGGAAACUUCGAUCGUUGCUGGACACGCACAACCCCGAAAGAAAAAGAAGGGCAGCUGGCGUUGGGCUUCGUGGGCGUGGAGAUGCAGAGGAGUCAACUUUACUGGGGUUUUCUUUUCUUUGAUUGACCAAGGAAGCUAGGUAAUGGGACGUGUGGCAAGAAGGGAGUUCGGUGGAGAUGGGAUCGCACGAAAAUAAAACUAUUGGACUGCUCGGUGGAAAGAAAUAAAAUGAUGGUGUUGAGUGCAUGAAAAAGGAAAGAAGAAGCAAGUGUGCGAAGGAGGAGGAGUCGUGCACGAAGAGAUGAAGACCGGCAGAGCUUGUCCAACAAGCUGGAUGAGAGAGAGAAAGGCCAAAAAGUCCAAAAUCUUAGUCAAUGUCUUAAAUGCUUGGUCCCCUUAUCUCCUCAUACUUAUCCCCUUACCCAAUAAUACUUUCCAACAAAUAUAAGUCCACUAAUUAACUUGAUUUGAAGCCAAAAUUCCAGCUCUAUUUAAAGCUCCGAAUUUUCAAUUUCCGGACUUCAAUAUCUUCGACUAAUUCUCCGUUCAACGUCCAAUUUAGCCAAGGAAAAAGCCCAUAUGAUUUUCUGUAAGUGCCCAUCGCCAGAAAGCUCGGCCUGAAAGUCAAAACUCCUUAAAAUUUCGGCCCGUACGAAUUUCCGUUAAUUUUCCGCUACGUCCGAUUCGAUUUUCCGCAAAAAUCUCAUAAUCUCUUAAAAAUCUUCUGAGACUGAGUCGACGUUCUUAAAUUAGCUCGUGACACCACAUAACUUUCAAUUUCUGAAACCGGGUUCGAAUUCAUGGUUAAUUUCCAUUCGACGCGUUUUUAGCGUGACCUAGACUACCGGGUAACUUUCAGAACCUUUCAGUGCAAAUGACCCGUGGUCGAUUUUCUUCGAGCCACUAUGAACCCACUUGACUCAUUGGCGACUUUCGAUUGUCGUGAAAAUCUCGAGAAUUCAAGUACGGACACAGGGUACCAAAACGAUAAGAAAAUCAGUUUAGUGUUGGUCGACGAGAAUUUUCCAAUUUAGUGGUGUCACCCACGAUUAGCCACACAUCUCAAUCGAACCAACAUGUAUAUGAUCUCAAAUCAAUUUAUAUCUGUGCCGUAAUGGUCUUGACAGAUGAGCACGGUCGAGAAGUCGAUUCAUGGUCGAAUUCUCAAGUCUAUUUGCCUUAAAAUUCUUAAUGGCUUUUCCAGAUAGUCUAGUUAUCUCGAGAGUGAUCAGCUCUGAGAACAACUCUAUAGACACGUCAAUGAAAUGCCCGAUUGAUUCAGUAGAAAACAUGGUCGAAAAUCUGGGAUGUUGAUAUUGCUAGUAUGAGUACCUAGAGGGGGUGAAUAGGUGCACAAACAAUUUAUCGAAAUACGGAAGCGAUUCUUAGCAUAUGAUAGAAAGGAAAUUCUCUCUUAAUUAACAAAAUGAAAUACGAUCUAGGUAGAGAGAGUGAGGAAGAGAAAAUUGAACACAGGAUUUAUAGUGGUUCGGCUUAUUCCAAGCCUACGUCCACUCUUCCGCACUGACAGCCCAUCGGCUGGAUUUCACGAUGAUCAAAAGAGAAGUUACAGCACAGCUUUGCCUUGAUUCCACAGUGUAGAUGUUCUACCACACCUCCUCAAGGUUUCUCACAAAUAUAGACUCUCUUUUGUAUACAAGUAUUCGCUCAAAGGAUUUGUCUAAACAGAAAGGAGAUUCGGAUUUUGGAAUUCUUCUAUCGCGCACACCUUGAACAACUAAGACAGUCUUCCUUAUAUACUCCUUUAUGCCAUCAUACCCGUUGGCACUUACCAAAGGAAUUCCUCCAAUCUACCCAUUGGAUGGAAUCAAUUAGGAAGAUUGUUCAAGCUAUUAAAGGAACGUGUUGAUAGCCCAUCAAUCCUGUUUGCCCAUACAAUCAGGAUCUCGGUUUCCAUAAGCAGAACCUUCCAAUAAUAAUUAGGCAAUCACCGGAUCUUCAAUUAUCGAGUCAAUCUUCGAUCAAUCAAAGGACUCCGUUAUGUCUUCUCCAGUUGAUAAGGUUAAAUCCUUAACGAAACAUCCAGUUCUGGAUAACCUUUCUUCAACGGAUUAGAGACUGUCAAUGAGGAUAGAGUUUGAGUCUUGAGUCUGGCUGUCCGGAGGUCUUCAGACUUUAAAUAGCAGAGUCUGCAAGCCUUCAGACUAGACUGAUAGAAACGUUUUGUCAACUUCAAAACACUUCAAGAAGAUUUCUCCAACAAUCUCCCCCUUUUUGAUGGUGACAAAACUUUCCUGCAGAUUUGGAUAUCUUUGACCUGCAAAACAUUUCUCACACAUAUGCAUAUCUUAUAGAGAUAAAUGGCUAACAGAAUAACACUAGAAUCUGCAACCACAGAAAAUAGGUUAGUUAGUAUAUGAUGAAGCCAUUCAUAAGAUAUCAAUAUUGGUUAAUAGAAGCAGUCAAGUCCAAGUCUAGUUCAGUUCUCAUCCAGACACAAACCAAAGUCAAACAGAUUCAAACCACAAAACAAUCCAACAAACAAUUAAAAGUUUAAUGAAAAGUUUUUGAUCAAAUCUUGCAUCUCUCCCCCUUUUUGUCAUCAUUAAAAAGGAUGAGAUGAAGUCAAGAUUGCUUGGGAACGCGGACAAGCUGGAAAUCUUCCAUAGACUGAACGAUGCCUUCCAGCCUUUUAAAGUCUUCCUUUAGCUGUGCAAUCUCCUCACUCUUGGCAUUGGCCUGAUUCUGAACAAAGAGGGCUUGCAUCUUAUCAUUCAAUGAACAGGAAGAAGCUUGACCUUCAUUCUUCAAGCCUUGAACUUCGCAUCCCAAGGCAUAAAUCUGACCUCGCAUCUCCAAAAGAAUAUCCAUGAUUCUACGAAAAUCUGCUCCAUUAUUAGUUUGAGUACUUGCUUCGGCUCGAUCUGAUGGAGUAAAUGCAGACGAUGGUAGAUCAACAAAAUCUUGCAGGUUUGGCGAUGAAACUUCAUGACCUUCCUCUGGAAACUGAGAUGCAUAAACAUCCUCUGGGUCUGCUGGUGAGCGACUGACUCCUUCACUUGCAUCAGGACAUGAAGACUUCACACCUUUCUCCUGAUCUCCCCCUGUUUCAAUGCCUACAGGUGGAGAAGAGUGUUCUUCAGGUUCUCCUUCUUCUCUUCUUUCUUCUUCAGGUCUUUCCUCCUCUGUUUCUUUUUCAGCUUCUAUUUCUUCUUCUUCCUUCUCCUCUGCUUCUUUCGUCAUUUGUUCCGAUUCUUUCUGAGGAACAGGAUGACUUAAAUUCUUCAAAGCCAAUGCAGAGAUGGUGAUGUCUUCCUCAUCAUCUUCAUCCUCAACAAGGAGAGCUCUUCUUCUCUUGGAUGGAGCAACCAUGGGCUCCUUCCCUUUUCUUUUAGCUGCAGAAGAUAUUUGAUGAGAUUUUGCAGGAGUCUUCUCCUUGAAUUUCUCCAACUCCUUGCUCAGUUCCUUCAGACGCAUUUUGGUCACCAUUUUCAGACCUACCACCAUAUGAUCGCAUGGUCGAACACAAAAGAUUUGUGGAGGCUGAAUAUUCAGAUGUCUGAAUAACUUCGUAACAAGGCUUGGGUAAGGGAGUUGACCUCUGUCCUUCAUCAUUGCUCUAUACAUGUGAAACAUCACAGUGUGAGGGAGAGAAAACCUUUUUCCAAAGAGAAUGGCAUACAUCAGCUUGGCCUCUGAACUUGAAACAUCAGUCUUGGAAGUUGAUUUCGGUCGGAGGCAAUUAAUCACAAUCUUAUGAAGCAAGAUGUUGAAUGCACCCAUCCUUAAGUAGGUGAUCUUUUCAUCUGUUCUCCUGUCCUUCACCAGUUCAAGUGUGGCCCGAGCAAUGGAAACUUUGAUUGGCUGAUAUCUUCCUCUUUCUACUUCUAACACAUCUACCAGCAUAUUCAUAUCCACAACAUAGUCUUGGUCUUUAACGCUGAAAGAGAAUCUAUUCGCAUCUAAAAAGCUUAGAUUUGAAUAGAAAUAUGCAGUAAAUUCAGCAUAUGCCUCUGUAGAGUCAGAGCAGAACUUUUCAAGUUGAAGAUAACUGAACUUUUCCCUCAAGUUCAUAUUCAUAGCAUCUAGAAAAUCAAAAUAACACUCCUAGGGUUUAUUACCCCACGCUUUAGCAAUUUCGAGUACACAUCCUUUUGCUCCUUAGAUCUGAACAAAUCUCCCCUUUUUCCUUGAUUUUCAACCGCAACACCCAUUUUUGGUUGAAAUUGACUGUAUAAUUUGUCAUCAUCAUUCCCAUCUACAGGAUUCGGCCCCCAAUCACGAGGAUCACUUGGGAUAUUUGCAAGGGUUUUCUCAGCCACCCCUUUUCGAGCAAUUCCCAAACUUUCCAUUUUUUCAGAAAGAUAUAUUCGUUCCCAUGUCCUUUGUCUUUAAGAAACUCAUCAAUGUAGUUCAAAGGAGCACGAAUUCCUUUUAGGGCACGAUAUAACUGGUAAAUAUAAGCGGGCUUUUGAACUCUUACAGGGUCUGCAUCCUCGAUGAUUUCUUCCUGUUGUUGAUGAUCAACGCCUUGAGGACUAGAUGGAGGAGAAUGACGCUGUUGAGAAUGUUGUGGGCUCGCUUGCUGUUCUGGAGUCACUUCAUCUUCAGUAAGAUCGAAGUGCGUAGGCCCCUCACUCAUCCGCCAUGGUCCCCUGCUUGCGAUUCUUGAGAACUUUCUUGAAGAUGACAUCUUUCUCAGUUUUUGGAAGAUUCCUUGCUUGACUUUCCUAGGAAAGAUGACAACUUUUUGAGGAUUAAACGAAGAAGACAAACGGGAAUGGAGGAUCGAUGCUUUCUAGGGUUUUUUGAGAGAAAAGUGAAGAGGAAUCGACAGUGCACGAUCGGUUAAAAAGAGAGAUAAACGAACCAUCACAAAGGAAAUAAAAAUAUGCCUUUUCAAAAUAACUGUCUUUUUCCGCAAAAAUAGCCAUUUCAAAAAUAACUUCAUUUUUGAAAAUGAAACGAUGCAAUAUUUACGUCAAUUAAAUAUAGCAACAAUUUAAGCACAGUCUGACGAUCGUACCUUUUCAAGAUGAGAUUCAAGAGAGAAAGAUUUAUAGUCUGACGGACGUACCAAGACUGUCUUUCAGAUAAAGUCUUGUAAGUCUAAGUCUGAAAGUCUUUAGACUUUGAUAUCCUCAUACCUCAAAAUGUUGAGUCUGGAACGAAUAGACUCAAAUUGAUUUUUCUCCAAAGGCUUUGUGAAUAUAUCCGCCAGUUGAUUCUUUGAGUCAACAAAUUGAAUUGAAACAUCCCCAUUUUGAACAUGGUCUCUAAUAAAGUGAUGUCGAAUCUCCAAAUGCUUUGCUCUUGAGUGGAGAAUUGGAUUUUUGGUGAGGUUGAUAGCGCUGGUGUUGUCGCAAUUAAUCUCCGUGCAUGAGUCUUCAAUUUCAAAGUCUCUUAGCUGUUGUUUUAUCCAUAGAAUUUGCGAACAGCAGCUUCCCAGGGCUACAUACUCUGCUUCUGUUGUUGAAAGAGACACAGUGCUUUGUUUCCUUGAAAACCAAGACACUGUCCUGCUUCCAAGCAACUGGCAGGUUCCCGAAGUGCUUUUUCUAUCAACUCUGCAACCGGCCAGAUCUGCGUCUGAAUAUCCCAGAAGAUUAAAGUCUCCUUUCUUAGGAUACCAAAGACCGAUGCUUGAUGAUGAAGCCACGUAUUUAAUGAUGCGUUUCGCAGCACUGAGAUGGGAUUCUCUAGGAUCUGAUUGAAACUUAAUCUGUCAUACCAAGCUCGAGGUGCUUGCUUUAAACCAUACAAAUCCUUUUUCAGUCUGAAGACUCAGUCUGGGUUCUUUGGGUCUUCAAACCCUGGUGGUUGUUCCACAUAAACUUCCUCUUGGAUAAAUCCAUUUAGGAAGGCGUUUUUGACGUCCAUUUGGAAUAACCUGAAAUUCUUAUAACAAGCAAACGCAAGUAAUAGUCGAAUAGCUUCUAACCUUGCUACUGGAGCGUAAGUCUCAUCAUAGUCUAUCUCCUUCUUCUUGCGUAUAUCCCUUCNNNNNNNNNNNNNNNNNNNNNNNNNNNNNNNNNNNNNNNNNNNNNNNNNNNNNNNNNNNNNNNNNNNNNNNNNNNNNNNNNNNNNNNNNNNNNNNNNNNNGUACGACCGGAUGAUUUGCGGGCAUGACAUGGCAUGGAGAAAUCUAGUUGGAGAAAAUCAUUCUGAAAUAGAUUUAUUUUGAGAGUUACUUCCCUAGAUGAAUCACUUUCGAUGAAUAAAUAGUAGUUAGACUGUGCAUAGAACAAAUUCAUGCGUCCGCAGGACAUCAACAAAAUCCUCGAGGACAGAGGGAAUCUCUUGUGAGCACAAGGAGCAUGGCAGCAUUAGCUUUUUUUUCUAGGAGAAAGGGAAUCUCUGGUUAGCACGAGAAGCGUGGGAGCAUUUGCUGGUUAGCUUUCUUUUCUAUUAUUUUUAGUAAUAGAAAAGGCCAGCCAAGUCAAGACAGUGCCAGAUCUCAGAUCUCAAUGAAAGCACCGUCCGCAUGUACUGCUGAGAUCACGACAGGAGCAUGCGAGUAUUGUUCCUUAGUUUUCUCUUCUAUUUUCGUUCAUCAAUGUAAAGAGGCAAGUCAAGUCAAGUCGCGCUGGAUCUCGAGCUUCGAUCAAAAGCACCAGGAGCAUGUGAAAGUUGCACGUUGUUGCAUGUGAGUAUUUGCUCGUUGGGUUCCCCAAGAUGCUGCGGAAAUUAUGCGUGCAAUGACUGUUCUUUCCAAGGCACGCCUCACGGCGAUUCGAAUAGGAUGAAGAGUCUUGUACCGUUUUGGGAAUAUUCUAAGAUUUAGAAGAGAGAGGAAAAGAGGAUUAGUAAUAACUACAUCUCUACUCAAUUGGCUUCCCUUUACACUUUAUUAGAUAAUGGUAUUUAUACCCACACAAUGUGCCUGGGAAAUGAAAUAAUCUAAUCCAACAAGGAAAUUGAUUGUCUUAGAAAAUAAUGAAAGAAUAAAUAAUAUCCUUAAUAUCUAAUAAUAUCUCUAAAAAUAUUCUUUAAUAGGGAAAUCUCUAAUUUCCAUUUACAUACUUCAUCCCGUUGUUGUUGUUAGGCUUGGUAGAUCAUUGCCGUGCCAGAGAACAUGUGGGUUCAACGACAUUGUAGAUUCAUUCAAAGGUCUCAAAGUCAUUAGUUCGAGUUAAAGUGGACUGCAAAAUGCAUGUGAACGAAUUCGAAAAGUACACUUGUAGGAAUAAACCAGGUGGAGACGAUGUCAGGGCCAUCCAUGAAAUAUUUGAGUCGUAGGGACCAAAAUAUUUUAGAAAUUUGUGGCAUAAGUUUUGUUAUAUUGAUGCCAUUUCAUUAAUAACUUAGUUGGAUCUUGAGGAGAAGCUUCAAUGAUUGGACUUAUAGCUCAAGACCUAUAGAUGGACGUAAGUGAUCGCCAACGCAUUUUCUAGGAUUGCCUUUUCCACAUUUUUUUUUUUUUUUGAAUUUCCACCUCUUUUAACAAUAUUAUGGAAAAUGAAUGAGAAUAGGGGGGACUUUAGGAAUUCAAAUUGUUUGUAUUGGUAUUAGGUGUCAAAUAUUUAUCUAAUUCGACACUACAUGUGUUUAUGCGGUACACCAUUAGAUAAGUAUCACACAACUCAUGUCAACAUGAUUCGAGUUAAAUCCAUGAAGACUUAAGCGAACCAUUAUCAAAGCUGACAAUAUUUUAUCUAGUGACAACAAGGCUCAGGUGGAGUUUCUUGGCACAACAAUGUAAGAACUAGGAUCGGGAUGUUGAGCGUUUGAUCGGUGUUGGCAUUUGGUAUAACUCUUGUUUAUAAUUUUUUUUUUUUUUUUGGUGACCCAAGAUCUGCUGAGCUCAACUUUCGCUUACGCUAAUCGCCAACCCAUGGCCCGUACAGUGCGCGGUGCACCUCGGACCAAGCGUCAAUACCUAGGGAUAACUCUUGUUUAUAAUUGAUACUACUAAUUAUCCAUAUAAUCAUAACCCUAAAUUGGGGCUAUGCAUUUCAUAAAUUCUGUACAUCUCUAAUUAAAGGAAUCUGUUUGGACCUUGUCGUAGGACAUGUGAUUGUGAUCGUACAAUUUAGACUUCAAGCGUCAAGGGUUUUUUUUCCAUGUGUUGAAACUUUCAACUCCAGAUUGCUUCUGAAUUUGUGUAUCGUAUGACUUAUUGAGUUGUCGUUUCUUUUUUUUCUUUUUUUCUUUUUUCUUUUGGGCGGAUAGCGAGCAUACUGGGGUUCCUUCUCAAAACACAUGAUCAGGUGAUAUUAUGUUUAAUUUUAAUGCAUUUACUUGUAAGCUUUUGAUUCUAGAAUAAUGAGGUGGGGUUAGUCACUUACGUACUAAGCUGUUGAGCUUUUUUCAUGGCCGCUUAUCAUUUCGGAUUCUGAAGAAGCUUACAAGGCUAGAGAAGAAUGUUCGUAGUUAUGAGUAAAGAAGUUAGUAUCUGCUCUUACCUCAGGAGGUUUUAUGAGCUAAGCUGGUUUUCAGAGUAGAAAAAAAUAAGCAAACUAUAUAGCUAUAAUACCCUAGGUGCCAAAGUAAUCACACGUUGAUCUAGUGUUUAAUGCAAUCUCUCUUCAUUUAAUAGCUUCAGUCUUUCAAAUCACAUCUUCUAAUGCUAAAUAAGCUAAUGUUUGAAUACUCCUCUAUUGGGCUGCGAAAAAUCAUAUUUCGAUGAAGAACCCGUUGGCCGAGAAUGUCAGCAUGAGACAAAAAGUCCGACAAAAGAUUACAUAAAAAGGAAAAAAGAAUCACCGAAUAAUUAUUCGAUUACUGAAUAUUUUUUCGAUUACGGAGAACUGUUGGCCGAGAUUAAUGCAGCACCGAAAGAAUAAAAUCAAUGUAAAAUGUUAAAAUUAUUAAUUUAAGGAGAGAGAUAAAAGAGUGACUUGGGUGGAGGGUAGUGACUAAAUAAUCUUUAAGCAUGAUAUAGCAUGGAGAAAUCUAGUUUGAGAAAACCGUUUUGGAAGAGAUUUAUUUUGAGAGUUACUUUCCCAGACGAAUCUCUUUCACGAAAUAAAUGAUAAUCAGACUGUGGAUAGAACAAAUAUAUGCAUUCCCCAAACUUUCAUUAAAAAUAAUCCUCGGGGACCAACCGAAUCUCUUGUCCGCACAAGGAGCAUGGGAGCAUUGCCGGUUUGUUAUAUUUUCUAUGUUGUUUACUGAUAAAAAAGUCCAGCCAAGUCAAGACAGCGCUGGAUCGCAAAUCUCAAUGAAAGCACCUUCCGCAUAAUGCUCAGCAUCGGUGCAGAUCAAAUCACAGCAGGAGCAUGUGAGUAUUGCUCGUCAGUUAUCUUUUCUAUCUUUACUUAUUAACAUGCAAAGCAGAGCCGAGUGACGAUGCAUGUGAGCACGUGCUCACUUGCUCGUUGGGUUCCGCAAGAUGCUGCGGAAUUUACGCGUGCAGUGUCUCUUUCUCUCUUUUCUUUUUUUGCGGCAUGCCUCACGGCGGUUUGAUUAUUAUGAAGAAUAUUGGACCAUUGGAUGGCAAUAACUCAACAUUUUUCAAUAGAAAUGAGCGCGUUAUCAAUGAAUUCUGUUUCACAUUACAAAAUUUACUGUUGCUUGUGUUUUUUUAACAUCGGAGAUAACAUUAGCUCUCCAAAGUAAAGGCUUAAUGAAUGCUACUUUUCCAUUUCAUUUCACAUUUGAAUUUUGUCUUUGGCCGGAAAUUGGACCCAAUCUUGGUUGUUGGCAGUUCUAAAAACCUAUUCCUAGGAAGCUUCAUUUAAAUAAGACAACGUUACUUUUAUAUCCUCAUUCAUCUCCAAGCUGAUGUCGUGAUGUCAUUUCAAUAAGAAACUUUGUUGUGAUGUUAUUUCUCUUUGAAGUUUCUAUUGCGAGAAUGUGUUUGGUGUCAACUAGUUAUGACAUCUCUCAACUCUUGGUAAGUAUGAGGAUAAUGUGUUUCUUCGACAACUCUACUAAGAUUUGGACUUGAUGGAGGUUCUCUUUACGUAGUCUCUUCCCAUUUGCAUUUUACUAUUGGUGGUUCCAAAUGGCAACUUAGAAUUAUUUCUUUGUCUAAUUUGUUUUCUCUUUUAUCCUCUAAUUGGCAAAUUAUAGAAAUCAUCACACAUUCCCCAUUAAUCUCCACAUUUGAUUGAUAUCAUCAAUCGGUUGUUAUCUGAAAUCUCUUUUCUCUACAAAAGAAAUAGGAUUUGAAUAUCUGUCAUAGAGUGAAAUGGGAAAAGAGUGACUCCUAUGGGAACCAUUGAGUAGUUCUUGAACUUCAAUUCAUUUCAUGGAACAUGUCUGAAUGGAACGAAAACAAAAAUGCUUCGCCCCUUAAGUCUUCUAUUACAUUUUUAUGCAAAUCUCAAAGUCUAGAAAGCAUUAGCUGAAUGGCAGACCCUCAAGGAAGGAUGAGAAGCAACUUGAAUGAAAAGUUAUCUUGUUUUCACUCUGAAAACUCGUUACAUCAUUAAUAUCGGUGUCUGGAGCUUUGGAUACUUCUUCUUCUUUUUUACUUACUUUUUGCAAUUUAAUUGUACAAAAAAGCUCACGUUGAGGACGGCAGUCCAAAGUUGACAUAAGUGCAAAUAAUAUAGAUGAGAAUUGCACAAUUAUGUACAGUUGAUUAGGAACAUCGUGUUGAAUGCCUUUUCUAAUUUUACAUUUGAGUUAAUAGAAGAGUCGUCCCGAGUAGUAAAUUUCUGAUCAAGUCGAAUUCGAGAAAUUUUAUCCAUAAUCCUAUAUACUAGCAAUAAUGAACCCUCUAUGUUGUUGGAAUUCAGACAUCACUGCCAUACCCGGAGAACAUUUGGGUACAUCCGACAUUGUAGAUCGAUUUACAGGUCUCAAAGUUGUAAGUUUGGGUUAAAGUAGUGUACGGGAAGGAAUUUGAAAAGUACUCUUGUAAGAAUGACCAAGGUAAAGCCAAUGUCGAGGGCGUUAAUAAACAAAAAUUUGGGAUGGACGGACCAAAUUAUUGACGUUUUCCGUUAAUUAUUUAUCUGGACCUUGGGAAGCCUCAAUUGCUUUCAUUUACAGUUUGAGACCUAUGGAUGGAUAUAAGUGAUCGCUGACUCAUUUUCAUUGCUUUGUUUUCCACGUAUUUUUCAAAUUUCCAAUAUUUUGGAAAAAGAAUAAAAAAUAAGGGCAAAUUAGGAAUUCGAAGUGUUUGUCGAUUUUAGGGGUCAGAUAUUUAUCUCAUUCCACAUCACCUAUACUUGAAUUGUUGCACUGGUGAAUUAGUAUUGUACAAACUCAAAUCGACAUGACGCAAUUUAAAGCUGUCCAGACGUGAGUGAACCGCUACCAAAGCUGUGCAAGCGUGAUAGCAAGGCUUGGGUCGAGUUGCCUAAUACAACAAGAUUAGAAUCGGGACUAGGAUGUUGGGUGUCGUAUCUGUGUUGGCAUGCUAUGCUAUUUUUUCUAUUGCCAAUUAAUACUAUCUACAACAAGAUCUUCAACUAAUCAAAUCAAAUCGUGGCAUUUGGUAUAUCUCUUGCUUAUAGUAGAUAGUAUCAUGAUCCUUAGUUGGGGCUAUGCAUUUCAUGCGUUCUGUAAAUCUUCAAUUAAAGUAAUAGUUUGGACCUUGUCGUAGGACAUGUGAUUGUGAUCCUACAAUUGAGAUUUUGAGAGACAAGAUUUUACCUAUGUAUCGAAACUUUUUUUUUGUAAUGCCAAGGAUCCGGCCUAACUCAUCGGCCUAGUUCACAUUCGAGAGCACAACACCAACUAGACCUCGAGAGAAAUUAGCCCAGCAACCCACUGUCGGGGCUCCCUGCUUAAAUCACGGAACUAUUUUGAGAGUUGUGACAACUCAGGGAGUCAAACCCUUGACCUGGUGCCAAAUCAGGAGGUAUGCCUCAACCAGCGCAGCCAUGCGUGGGUGGGUUAUGUAUCAAAACUUUUAAUUCCAAGUUACUUCUGAAUUUUUGUAUUACAUAACUUAUUGGAUUUUCUUUUCCUUCUCUUUUUUGGAAAGCGAGCAUAUAGGAUUUCCUUUUCAAAUCACUUGUAGAUCAUGAAGUAUAACGUUCAAUUUUAAUCUUCUUACUCGUAAGUUUUUGAUCCUAGAAGGAUGGGUUCCCCAAGAUGCUGCGGAAAUUACGCGCGCAGUGAGUGUUCUUUCCAAGGCACCCCUUACGGCGAUUCGAAUAGCAUGAAGUAUUGUUGAAUUACUAUUCAAUUACAGAGAUUUGUGAGCCGAUAAUUUACUAACGUGACACCGAAAGAAUAAAAUGGAUGUAAAAUGUAAAAAACUAUUUAUUUAAGGAGAGAGAUAAAAGUGGCUUGGGGGUAGGGUAAUGAUUUGAUAAUUUUUAAUCACAAAGUAGUGUGGAGAAAUCUAGUUUUAGAAAAUUAUUUUGAAAAAGAUUUAUUUUAGUGUUACUUUUCUAGACAAAUAAAAAGAAGGUUAUGCGUCCUGAAGACUUUUAAUAACAAAAUCCCACGAUUGAUAUGCUUUUGUCAUUGGCUCAUGUAUAUUAGCGGCAUAUUAGAGAAUGAAAGCAAGUCAAGUCAAGAUAAUGAAAGCCCAUAGAUAGGUUCCAAGCUAGGUAGCAUGGACACAGUGUCAUGGACACGCGACGCGACAUGACACGACACGACAUGCGACAAAUCAUUUUUUAAAAGGUAGAGAAUUUCGAUACGUUUCGACACGUUAAGUAUUAAAUAAAUAUUUUUAUAUAUACUUGAUUAAUUAUUAUGUUUAAAUUAAUUUAUUCAAAUUCAUAAAUAAAUAAAUAAUAAAUAAAAUCUAUAAUAAAUCUAUACUAAUAACAUGUAUUAAUAAAGUUAUUCAACAUACGCAAAAGCUCUCGAUCCGUUUCUCUCAUCGUCUUGAAAAGAAAGAGCGAACUUUUACAGAAUUAAUAAAGUUAUUUAAUGUUUAAUAUUUCUUUUUAGGGUUAAAUGGUCCCAUCCAUUUAUUUCCCCCAACCCACCCACCGCCUGCACACGUCUCUUCCCAAAGUCACACUGCACGAGUGUUUCUUUUUUCCCCAAGAAGCCGUCGACACAUCCUCUCUCUCUCCUUGCUCUUCUUCCUAAAAUUGAAAACCCUAGCAAUUGGCGAUCGCCUUCCGUCUCCUCCCCCUCGCUCGGUCUCCACCUCUCUCACCGCUGCCUCGCCUCCGUUCCCCCCUUUGCCGUCUUAGCCUCGCAUCCAGCCCUCCAUCACGGCCUUUCCGUUUCAAAUCUCGGCUUUGCAGUCGGCGGUCGCAGCCAACCAAGACGAUCGAGAAGGCUUCUCAGUGUUGCAGUCGGCGGUCGGAGCCCUCCCUCGUCGUCGCUCGCGGCGUCGCCUCAGUUCCCUCACCCUUGCCUUCACCCUCCGUCACUUUCUUCCCUUCGCACCUGCGGAUCCGCCCACAAACCUCCGGACACGCGCGUCGGAAAGAGUUGACCACGUGUCGGAAACUUCGACACGUGAUAACCGCGUGUCCGAGCGUGUCCGACCGUAUCCGAGCGUGUUGGAUAGAUACGGAGGCCCUCUGAACGUGUCCGUGCUUCCUUGGCUCCAAGCACAGCAGGAGCAUGUGAGUAAUGCUCGUCAAUUCUCUUUUCUACUUUUUCUUAUUAAUAUAAAAGGCAAGUCAAGUCAAGUCACGAUGCUGCGGAAAUUACGCGUGCAAUGAUAGUUCUUUCCGUGGCAUGCCCUGCAGCGAUUCGAUUAGCUUGAAGAGUCUUGGACCAUUGGAUAGCAAGAACUCAAACAUUCUUCAAGCACACAUGGAGAAUGUUUUGUGUCGGUAAUCCAACUUCAAAGGCUGAAAAUCGGAGGAGAUCCCGAGGCUCUGUUGUUUGAGCAUUCGUCAGGUAGUCGACAACGUCUUACUCUUUCUCCGUUUCCUGUUCUGAUUGCUCCAUUUUCUUUUGAUGAGUUAUGUAAGAGUUUCUAUUUUUGUUUGAAUGUAGCUUCGAGUUUGACUACCGAGAGACAUUUCUGCUAUUCCCAGAUCUGGGAUUUUGUGUAUCUCUCCUCCGUUUCCUACUCCAUCAGUCUCUUUUAAAAUCCUCUUGAGAUGAAAAGAAGAGAACCCACUCAUUCAAAAGAUUCGAUCUACGAGGCGUCUUCCUCAUCAACCUCUCCACUUUUAGGUGAUUAUGAAGGAAAAACUAAAAGGCCAAAAGGAAAUUACUACGAUGUGUUCUUGAGCUUCAAUGGGAAAGACACUCGCAAAAGGUUCACCGAUCAUCUCUAUGAAAGGCUUGUCAAGGCGAAAAUUUGUGUGUUCAGAGACGACGAUAAGCUCCCUGUUGGUGGGAAGAUUGGUCCGGAACUUCUUCGCAGCAUUAGGCAGUCCAAGAUCUCGAUUCCGAUUAUCUCCACGAACUAUGCUUCUAGCAAAUGGUGCCUUCGGGAGCUAGCUUGGAUGUUGAAGUGUAAGAGAAGCGGAGGGCAUAUAGUGUUGCCCAUCUUUUACAACGUGAAUCCCUCGCAUGUGCGCCAUCUUACAGGAAGAUUUAGAAAGGGUAUCGAGGCACAUAAAGAGACAGUAUAGACAGUAUAGACGAAAAGAUUUUGAAGGAAUGGAAAAAAGCGCUCAAAGAAUUGAAGGAAUGGAAAGAAGCACUCCAAGAAGUUGGUUCUUUGAAAGGGUGGGAAUCUAAGAAAUAUAAAAACGGGUACAUUAUUCUCAACCAAAUCGUUGUUUAAUUUCUCACAAAUAGAUUUUUUUUUUUUGAAAAAGGAUAUAAAAUAAAUAUAUAUCCCCUCAUAUGCUGAAAUUCAUUGUUAUUUGAUAGGCAUGAAGGAGCAUUGGUCGAAGAAAUUGUCAAAAUUGUCAAAAAUGUUCUGAAUGAGUUGAGAAGAACUUCUCAGAUAAUUGUUCCCCAACAGUUGGUUGGAAUUGAUGACCGUAUCGAUCUAAAGGAUUUAAAAAGAACUUUUCAGCUAAUCGUUCCCCAACAAUUGGUUGGAAUUGAUGAUUGUAUUAAACAUAUUAUGAGCUUCAUAGAUGCCAAAUUCAAUGGUACAUGGAUUAUUGGAAUUUAUGGGAUGGGCGGUAUCGGUAAGACGACUCUUGCAAAGGCGUUAUACAACAAACUCUUCAGUCAAUUUGAGUAUCAUAGCUUUGUGGCAGAUUACCGGGAAACAUUGCAGUGCAAGGGUAUUGCAUGCCUACAAAGGCAACUCUUAUCUGGCCUUGGAAGUGCAUGUGAUGUGUCUAGUGUGGAUGAGGGAACCAAUCUUAUCAAAUCUCACUUUGCACAUAAGAAAGCCCUCAUUUUUCUUGAUGAUAUAGGUGACGAUGCUCAAUUGAAAUAUUUGGUCGACCGUGCUUGGUUUGAAGCAGGAAGUAUAAUCAUCAUAACAACUAGAGACAAGAAUACUCUUAAUAAAAUUAGGGCAGACCCAAUGUACGAACUCCUUGAGUUGUCUCAGGAUAAAUCAUUGAUUCUUUUUAGUAGACAUGCAUUUCAACAGGAUUUCCCUCCGAGUGAUUAUGAGGCUCUCACUCAUGAUGUCGUAUCUACCACUGGAGGGCUUCCAUUAGCUCUUGAAGUUAUAGGCUCAUUGUUAUAUGAAAAGAAAAUAAAAGUAUGGCAAGAUAUAUUACAGAAAUUGAAAAAAACGCCCAAUAAGACAGUGCAAGAGAAGUGAAAAUAAGUUAUGACGCAUAAUNNNNNNNNNNNNNNNNNNNNNNNNNNNNNNNNNNNNNNNNNNNNNNNNNNNNNNNNNNNNNNNNNNNNNNNNNNNNNNNNNNNNNNNNNNNNNNNNNNNNCGACAAGGAAACCAUUUGGAAAAGGUAAAAGAGCUGAAUUUCCUCUGCAUUUAAUCCAUUAUGAUGUAUGUGGUCCAAUGAAUGUGAGAGGAAGGCAUGGGGCUGUUUAUUUCAUCACUUUUAUAGAUGAUUAUACUCGAUUCGGAUAUAUCUAUUUGAUUUCUCAUAAAUCUGAAGCAAUAAGUUGUUUCAAAAUGUUUAUGAACCUGGUAGAGAAUCAAUUAGACAAGAAAAUAAAAGCAUUGAGAUCCGAUCGAGGUCGAGAAUAUUUAUCUGAUGAGUUCAGAAAAUUAUGUGAUGAAAAAGGAAUAGAAAGACAGUUGUCUAUUCCAUAUACUCCUCAACAAAAUGGUGUUGCGGAGAGAAGAAACAGAACCCUACUGGAAAUGGUUAGGUCCAUGAUGGCGCAUGCUAACUUACCUAUUACUUUUUGGAGUGAUGCGUUGUUAACUGCUGCCUAUAUACUUAACCGUGUGCCUUCCAAAUCAGUUACUUCCACUCCAUAUGAGUUAUGGACAGGUAGAAAACCGGACUUAAGUUUUCUUAAGCCAUGGGGUUGUGCUGCCUAUACACAUGAGUCAUUUCACAAGUUUGGGAAAUUGGGUCCCAGAGGAAAGAAGAGUAUUUUCAUAAGAUACUCGGAACACUCGAAAUGGUAUGUGUUCAUAGGUGAGCAGGAAAGUGGGAGUAUAACUGAAUUUGAAUCACGGGAUGUCACAUUCUUAGAGGAUGAGUUUCCUAAGAAGGGCGAAAUAGGGGAAGAUUACUCCAUAUUUGAAACCUUGGAUCAAGAUAAUGANNNNNNNNNNNNNNNNNNNNNNNNNNNNNNNNNNNNNNNNNNNNNNNNNNNNNNNNNNNNNNNNNNNNNNNNNNNNNNNNNNNNNNNNNNNNNNNNNNNNNNNNNNNNNNGUGGGAGCAUAAUGGGGAAUGAUGUACAAAGUGUACAAUCUCCCAUACGGCGAACAAAUCGCCAAAGUAUUCCCCGUCAACGGUUUGACAUUGAAGGGGAAACUUUUAUGGUUGCUCCACAAGAUGAGGAUGAGCCAAGAAAUAUUAAUGAGGCUCUGAAUUGCCCUAGUAAGGAAAAAUGGAUUCAUGCAAUGGAAGAGGAAAUGGAGUCAAUGAAAUCAAACCAGGUCUGGGAACUGGUUGAUCUUCCAAAAGGACGCAGAGCUAUUGGUAACAAGUGGAUUCUCAAAAUAAAGCGAAAGGCUGAUGGCUCGAUAGAAAAGCAUAAGGCUCGCCUUGUGGCGAAGAGGUAUAAUCAACAGGAAGGAAUUGAUUAUGAAGAUACAUUUUCUCCUGUAGUGAGAUUUACCUCGAUUCGCAUUAUUCUGGCAAUAGUAGCUAGUAUGGAUCUUGAGUUACAUCAAAUGGAUAUAAAGACUGCUUUCCUCAAUGGAGAAUUAGAGGAAGAAAUAUAUAUGGAACAACCUGCUGGUUUCAUAGUGAAAGGCCAAGAAGAAAGGGUAUAUCAACUUUUGAGAUCGAUAUACGGCCUUAAGCAGUCAUCGAGACAAUGGUAUAUACGUUUUCAUAAUGCCAUAAUGGCAUAUGAUUUUACGAUGAUUGAUGAGGAUCAUUGUGUAUAUAUCAAAAGAUCCAAGGAUCAAUUUGUGAUCAUAUCAUUAUAUGUUGAUGAUAUACUGAUUGCCGGAAGCAAUAUGGAGUUUGUUAAUACAGUCAAGAGUUGGUUGUCUUCCAACUUUGAGAUGAAGGAUAUGGGUGAGGCUGCAUACAUUCUUGGAGUUAAGAUUUCAAGAGAUCGUUGUCUCUUUCGCAAGAAACAUAUAUAAAUAAGGUUCUUGAACGAUUUCGUAUGCAAGAUUGUAAACCCAUAGACACUCCUAUUGCAAAAAUUGAAGGAUUGAGCCAUAGACUGUGUCCAAGGACUCCACAAAAUAAGGAACAAAUGAAACAUGUUCCUUAUGCUAGUGCUGUUGGGAGCUUGAUGUACGCUAUGAUGUGUACAAGACCCGACAUAUGUUUUGCAGUUGGAAUGGUGAGUAGAUACCAAUCCAAUCCAAGUCCAGCACAUUGGAAAGCCGUUAAGAGAAUACUGAGGUAUCUGAAGGGAACUGCUGAUUUCAAGUUGAAUUACCAAGGAAAGGAUCUGCGACUUGAAGGCUAUUCAGAUGCUGAUUGGGGAGGAGAUUUAGAUGAAAUGAAAUCUACCUCUGGAUUUACUUUCUUACUAAACAAUGGCGCCAUAUCAUGGAGCAGUAAGAAGCAAACGUGUAUAGCCUUGUCCACGAUGGAAGCUAAGUUCGUGGCAUUAUCAGCAGCGGUACAAGAAGGAGUUUGGCUUAAGAGAUUUUUGGAUCAUUUAGGUGUUAUUGAGAAAGUUGCAAAUCCAUUGUUUGUUAACUGUGAUAGCCAAGCAGCUAUAGCGUACACCAAAGAUCCAAAAUAUCAUGGCAAGGCCAAACAUAUAGAUACCAAGUAUAACUUUGUCAAGGAUAUGGUUGCACGAAAGGAUGUGAACUUACAGUACAUAUCUACGCAUAGAAUGGUAGCAGAUCCUAUGACAAAGCCAAUACCUAGAGAUGUGUUUUGUGGUCAUGUAAAAUCUCUAGGAUUGCGUAGAGUCUGAUGUACUGGAUUGUAAUUUCCCUGAGUUGUUCACAUUUAUGAACUAGUGUUGUUUCAUUAUUAAUGCCUAUGAAUCUUUGUUUGAUCUUUAUGCAUCUUAAUGCUCAGUGAAUUACUUUAAGUUGAGGAAGUAUGUCGGACAGAUAAAAGAUUAGCCCACUCACACGGGUAAUCGCCUCUAUUUACUGUGUGAUAAAUAGAGAUGAGACUAUAUUUAAGCUUAUUAUCUAGGCGAUAAUCGAGAGCUCAAGCUUAAAAUACAUAUGUCGCCUUAACUAAGUGUUAAGAUGAAGACAUAAUACUUACGAUGUCCAAAAGUAAAAUACCCCACAUAUUUUAUUUUAUCUGUCUAAGAUGCCAGAUGUGAGUUCUGAUGAAUUUUGUAAAUGAGUAGAUACGUGAACUCAAGUUAGACAUUGGGUAUGUCUGAACUAUCAUUUGUACGGUAUUGAAAAAUGUAGACAUACGCUCCAUGGGAAAGGAGUUAAUACCGUAAUACGUAUUUCAUACUACGUAUGCAUGAGACAACCAAUAAGAGUGGCAAAAAGUUUGAUCUCAACUUUUAUGACGUGUGAGACUCUUGAGGAAAAAAGUUCCUCAAUUUUUAGUGCCCUCAUGACUUUUACUUAUUCUCAAGAUUUCUAUUUAGUGUUUGCUAUCUUAGGAUGUUGCCAAUGGUCAUGAAUUGAUUCAAUCUAAUUGGACAUUUCUAGAAAAGCAAGCUAAACUGAAAUUGAGAGUUUGAAGGAAAGAGGAAGAUCGAUUUUGGAGAAUCACAUUGUACUUUUGUAUUCACUGGUCGACCAAUUAUGACUGUUUUUGUGAUAACUGUAAUUGUGAAUACAAUAUAUAUAUAUAUAUAUAUAUAUAUAUAUAUAUAUAUAUAUCAUUGUUUAAAGGAGAUCAAGAGAGAUAUAAAUGUGAUUGAUCGAUCUAGGGUACUGCAUACUAAAUCUACUCAGAGUAUGACGCCCAAUAUGAGCUGCUAUAUAUUCCUAACAGAUGUAUAGCAACGAGCUCUCAAAGUAUGCUGGUUGCACGGAUUAUUCACCGGUAUGAAUGUUGAAGAGAGGUCAAGAGAAUCAUAUUCCGCCCACCAUGUGCGAGUGGGAGAUGAUGGUUUUAUUAGUGAUGGGCUUAAGGCCCGUCCGCCCAUGUUGGGCCUAAAAACCCGGCCCACAGAAUUAGGGCCCGUGGAUGGAGGGACGUAUAAAAGGGAGGAGAGAGAGGGAGAACGCACCUUUUGGAAAUCAGAACGUACGUACGUCUCCCUCUCCCUCUCUCUCUCUCUCUCUCUCUCUCUCUCUCAAAAGGAAAACAGUAAGGCUCCAGCAACGUUUUUUCUUCCCUUCAACCACGAUUUGGCAUCAUCACAUCGAACAAGGGCUAAAUUCUCUUCCUCUUAUCUGCGUCGGUGUUUAAUCUGUGGCUAACAAGGUACGCUUGAAUCCGUGGUGUGCUUGAAUCCGUGGUGUGCUUUAGGAUCGGUGAUACAUGAUUUUCCCGGGCUUGUCUUCCGCAUUCGUUUUAGGGGUUCGAUUUAGUGUCGAAUCCGGUUUUCGGGGAUCCGUUAAUUCCCAACAGAUCUUGUGUGAUAUCAAUUUGAAUAUUUCGUUAUCUAAUUUGAUUGAUUUUUGUUAUCUUUGUCAGUAUUGUCAUAUCCAAAACAAAUUUCGAGCAUCGGUGAAGUAGAAUAAUUUCCUAAUUUUCACAGUCCAAUUUCAUGCACGGAAUACAACUCAUGAUCGCAUGGAAAAUCGGUCAAUCCAAUCUCUCGCUUGAGAUACGACUUGCAAUUGCAUGGAAAAGCACAUGAUUUGAUUUGUUUCGACCGAUUAUCUUAUUUUUCGUUUAGUUGGUGAUGGAGUUUAGGAUUAAAAUGAUAAAGUCAAAUAUGCACGAAUUCACAUUAGUAUUAUGAUGCAAUUAAAUUAUUUUUUUCUCAAUAAUUUUGAAUGAAUAGGCCUCUCUCUAUAUAAUAUAUUUAAAAAUAUUCAUGUGCAAAAGACCUAGUGAAGUCACAGCAAGACUUGCUGAAAGCAACAGACGCUUGGGGGCUGGAAUCGAAAAGUGGCCAAAUAAGAUCGACUGUGUUUAAUUGUAAGAUGAAAAUUACGAAAGUUAUAAGCCGCUAAAGUUAGAUGCCACACACUUCUUAUGGAAGAAAUCUUAUAAAUUUAUUUGGUAAUAUUAUGCUAAUUAUUUGGAAAUUGCAUGCUUGGGUUCCGAAGCUAAGUUAUUAAUUUUAUUUUUGAAUUAAAAAAAAAGAGAGAUUUUGACAAAGGGUUGGGCUUAAACCAGCUCUCACUUGGUGUAAUUAAUUUGGUUUGAGUCAGUUUAGGUUGAUUCAGGCUAAAAACACUCUUAAGCUAUAUUUGGUAGUCUAGAUUUUUUACCAGAAUAUGAUUUGAUAUGAUAAGAUAUGAAAUCUAAGAAUUUUAUUAUAUCCUAUUCACUUUUUGGUGAUUAGAGUAAUAAAAUCAUAUAUAUUUACAUCAUAUUAUGUACAUUAUUUGGUAUAAAUGGCAUAUUAAUAUAAAUAAAUAAAUAAAUUUACAAACGAAAAUGUUUAAAAAUCUCUCAGACCACUCUUGUUUACUCUAUUUUAUUUGCUUGUUUAUUUUAUUUUCCUCUCUUUUUUAUGAAUUUCUUUUUUAUUUCUUUUUAACCCUCCCAUCAUUCUCUAAUAAAGAAAAGCUUUAACCUUCAAAAAUGUUAGGAAGGACUUCAAUUAACACGGAAAUGUUAUAAUUAAAGAGAAAUGAUUUGGUGACAGUUUUUAAUCUACAAUGAGAAUAAAAAUAUGUUCUAGACCACAAAAAAUCAAAUAACAAAUAAUUAUAAAUUGCAGUGGGUUCAUUCCUUCAAGAAUUUGGGGCUCACAAGUUGUUAUUCUCACCGUAGACUAGAUACUGUUAUGCUAGCAAAGCUCUUAAUUAAAUAAUGAAUUUUUGUUCCAUGGUAUCCAAUCUCACAUCAUCCUAAAAAAUUGAAAUUUGAUCAGGCAGAACCUAGCUCUAGAGAAUCAAUUAGGUAGAGAGUGAGAGAGGGGAUAAUAUAAGCCGAUUGCGUAUAUAAAUUAGUUGGGCAUGAAGGCCGAUUGCUUGAUUAUCAAGGCCCAUUAAACACCACUAUCUGAUUUAUAGUUAUGAAAAUAUCCGACUUCUUAACCAACUACACAAACCCUUAAAAAGGGAUUGAGCUUACAAUUUAUGUUGACUUAAUUAACACGUGGCCCAAAAUAUAUUUAACCUUUGUGUCACCUUCUAUAUAAUUUGACAGACCAUGUAUUUUUCAAAUAUUAUUCCAUUGCUUUAGUCAAAACCAACAUCUAUUUUUUUAUUAAAAAGAUGUGUAGAAGUCAUUGGUUUUCUUUCAUAUUCCAAUUUCAAUCUCCCCCAAUGACCACAACCCAUGGAAGAUCCAUAGCUUUCAUACUUUCUUGAAUGUUGGAGAAUCAUAAUAACAUUCGGGUCCCCACAUCCAUAAAACCGAAUUAUGUGAACACAGCAUGGAGUUGAUGAGGGUUUCAAGGGGGCUCACUCGAAAACCCGUCGGAAGUUUCUUGCAUCUUAUUGGAGCAAAUUCAUGGUGUCUUGCUCACUUCCCUUCACCUUCCCAUUACAUUUCCCCAACGAUUCCAUUUAUUUAAUGGAAGAGCAAGUCAAGUCUUGCUGGAUCUCAAAUUUCAAUCAAAGAAUUUGCGUAGGUGACGCGGUGGCACCUUCCACAUAAUGAUGACGAAAUCACCGGUGAGUAGCUCAGCAUUCUUCAAGCACUCAGCAUUGUUCAGGAGCGCACCGUAAAAAAAGCAGGGAUUAGGAGCACCUUUAUUGCAAGUUGGUCUUCUUUUCUAAUUUUUUUCUACUUUUCCUUUAAAAGAAAAAGAAAGUGAAGAAGCACUUGCAUAGGUUCCCCGCAACUUCCGCAUAAUGCUGCGAAUAUUACGCAUGUGAUGACUCAGCAUUCUUUAAGCACUCCGCAGUCAAUACUCUUCAAGCACGCACAGUAAAGAGUGUUUUGUGUUGGUAAUCCAACAUGUAAGGCUGAGGAUCGGAGGAGAUGACAGCACUGAGUGGGUUGUUUUGUUCGAACACUUCUCAGGUUGAUUGAUUUUCGUUAUCUUUGUCGGUCAUAUCCAAAAAAAAAAUUUAGUACUGGUGAAAUAGGAUAAUUUCCUAAUUUUCACAGUCCGAGUUCAUACCCGAAAUAUAAUUCACAAUUGCGCAGAAAAUCAUCCAAUUCGAUCUUACGCUCGAGAUACAACUCAUGAUCACACGAAAAGCACAUGACUUAAUUUGUUUUGACCAAUUAUCUUAUUUUUUGUUUAGUUAGCAAUGGAGUUUAGGAUUAAAUUGAUAAAGUCAAAUAUACACACAAUUCACAUUAGUAUUAUGAUUCAAUUAAAUUAUUUUUUUCUCAAUAAUUUUGAAUGAAUAGGUCUCUCUCUCUCUCUCUCUCUCUCUCUCUCUCUCUCUCUCUCUCUCUCUCUCUCUCUCUCUCUCUCUCUCUCUCUCUCUCUCUCUCUCUCUCUCUCUCUCUCUAUAUAUAUAUAUAUUUAUAAAUAUAAUAAAUUUAAAAAUAUUCAUGUUCAAAAGACCUAGCGAAGUCACUAGAAACUUGCUGAAAGCAGCAAACACGAGGGUGCUGGAAUCGAAAAAUGGCCAAAAUGAGGUCAACUGUCUUUAAUUUUAAGAUGAAUGUUAUGAAAGUUAUGAGCCGUUAAGGUAGGUGGCACACACUUCUUAUGAAUGAGAGUUUAUGAAUUUCUUAGGUAAUGUUAUGUUAAUAAUUUGGUAACUGCAUGCUUGGGUUUCGAAACUAAGUUACUAAUUUUACUUUAGAAUUAAAAAAAAAAAAUCGACAUAGGGCUGGGCUUAAACCAGCUCUCACCUUAUGUAUUUAAUAUGGUUUGAGUCAAUUUAGGUUGUUCAAACUUGAAACACUCAGUCUAUAUGCUCUUGUGUCUAGAAGCUGGGUAAUUCUGAUCGUAUUUCUUUGUAGAAGUUUGCACUUUCAAAAUCUAGGAAGUUAGUAAGUCAAUAGUGUUGUAAGAGAUACUCGUGUUUUGUAGAAUCAUCUACUAAGUUGUAUGUAAAAGUAGCAUCCUUUACAAAACCGUAAAAUCUCGAGUGUUACUCAGCCUUGUUGCGAGAGGAGUAGGUCAGGUGGAAGUUCAAGCCACUAUAAAUCUGUUUUGCAUCUCUUCGAUCUCUCUAACUCCUUUAUUAUCAUUUGGACAGAAAGGUACCGCCUCUGCAUGACUGUUUUCUUCCUACACCAAUACACAAUACCCGUUCUUCAUGAAAAAAAAAUAUUAUUUUACUUAGAACAACCAAUUCACCCUCCUACAGCAGCAUAUUACUUCACAUCUUUUCCAUGAAAGAGUUUCAAUUUUCUUAAAACAAUCAAUUCAACUCUCCUCAAUCGUUGCAUUAAUCGUUUCAUUAAUCUCUUUUGUUAAUAAGAGCAAUGAAAGAUCUAUCUCACUGGCCAAAAUGAAUCUCUUAAAUAAUCCUUUCUAGAUGACCAUCUUAGUAAGUGGGAAAUUACCAAAAUCACAUGACAAUAUCUUUUUGUUCUGGGCUAAUUUAAGGGAACUCAUAUGACACAUACCAUGAUUGACAUUUAAUAGCAUUAGAAUUAAUGAUUAUCUCGUCUGACAUUAUAAAGGACAAUGCAAAAAAAAAAAAAAAAAUUAAGGAGGAAACCUCGUUGAAGCUUCUUGUAGUUGGAGCUACCGAUUGAAAAGAACAAUGCCUGUAGCUUAAAAGAAAAGCUUCAACCUUCAGAAAUGUUAGGAAGGACUUCGGUUAACACAUAAAUGCUUUAAUUAAUUAAUGAAUCUAUGUUCCAGAGCACUUAAUCUCACAUAAUUAAAAACAAGGGAAAUUUGAUCGGGCUGAACCUAGCUCUAGAGAAUCAAUUGGGUAGAGAGCUAGAGAGGGGAAAAUAUAAGCCGGCCGCUUGUAUAAGAUAGUUAGGCACAGAGUCCGACUGCUUGAUUACUUGAAGGCCCAUUAAGCACUACACUUCGAUUUAGAGCAGUUUUAAAUAUGAAAAUAUUCAACUUCUCAACCAACUACGUAAACUCUUAGAAGGGAUUGAGCUUACAGUUUAUGUUGGCGUAAUUAAUACAAGGCCCAAAAUAUUUAACCUUUGUGUCACCUUCUAUAAAGUUGGAAAACCAGAUAUUUUUCAAAUAUUAUUCCCUCGCAUUGGUAAAAAAAUGGACAUUUUUUUUUAUUAGAGGGAUGUGCAGAUAUAUAUGGUUUCCUUUCAUAUUCCAAUUUCAAAUCCACUCAAAGAUCACAACCCAUGGAAGGUUCACAAGAAGUGGAAGAUGCUCUCACUUUAUCAUCUUUUUUUUUAUAUAUAAAUAAUUUCUACCGAGAAGAAGGCAGAACUAAGGCUCAUUUUUAGUCAUCAAUCCACAACAAUCGCGCAUCCAUCUCUGCGGAACUUGCGUCUUGAUUUUAUUAAUCUUCCCAAAAUAUUUAGUCGCCGAUUCUCUUUUGUGGGUCUAAUCCCAUAGCUUUCGUACAUUCUUGAACAUCGGAGAAUCACAAUAACAUUCAGGUCCCCAUAUCCAUAAAACUGAAUAAUGUGAGCACAGCAUGAAGGUAAUGAGGAUUUCGUGGAAGCUCACUCGAAAACCCACCGGAAGUUUCUUGCAUCUUAUGGAAGCAAAUUCAUGGUCACUUCAUGACCCUUUCUGGUGUGGUUUGACAAGUGAUUUUCAUGAAAAAUGCCUCGAAAUUAAAACUGAAAUCAGCUAAAUGUGUAAUAUUUGAAAAAAUAUAGCACUUGAAUAGAUCUGUCAUCACCCAAAAUAAACCCAACAUUUAUUUCAUCGUUUAAAUAGGCAAUGUGAGAUAAUAAUUUCACUAGCGGAGUUUACGCAACGACAUACAUUCAAUUUAACAAUCAAUGUUUAGGCAAUGACCCAUAUUCGAUUUUUAUUUUUAGCAAGCAUUUCUAUUCCAUAAAUGAAGUGAUAUUCUAUUUGUUCGUGUAAAUAGUUAUCUAAAUAUAACUGCUAUCUCUUUAUGUAAAAAUCCUCUUUUGAAAAUCUCAAAAGUUUAUUGAUUAAUGUGGGACAAGUUGCAAACAGUUUCCUAAAACGAUUCCAUCAACAAAUGAAUAGAGUUUAGCAAGACAUUCAUCAAAAUGAAUAGAUAAAAGUCAGCUUGCUACGAGCGAGAGCUAUGGACAAUCUGACAUAAAUUAUGUUGACAAGAUUUUUCAUACGAGAGCCACGGGUUUUAUUUACAGAUACCGGUGAGAUGUUGAAAAUGCAUUUGUCCAAGCCUUUAAGUUAGCUUUGGAGCUAUUCUUGUCAAUCCUCCACAACCUCUACCGAAAUGCACUACUGAAUUCCAGAAAUUCCCUGCUUAGUCACACCAAUUUUCCCAAACUCCCCACAUGGCUUGUGCUUCACACUACUUUACCCUUCCGUUUUAGCAUGCAGCAGCGGAAUCGUGAUGUCCUGCUCGCUUCACCUUCGGCUUCCUAUUACAUUUCCUCGACCAUUCCAUCUAUUAAUGGAAAAGCAAGUCAAGUCAAGUCGUGCUGGAUUCCAAAGUUCAAUCAAAGCACCUGUUACGUGGCACGCACCUUUCGCAUGAUGCUGACGAAAUUACACGUUCAAGCGUGUACUGUAGAAAAAGCAAGGACUAGGAGCAUCUUUAUUGCAAGUGGGUUUUCUUUCCCACUAAGGCAAGUAAAGUCAAGAAGCACCUACACAGGGUCCCUGCAACUUCCACGUAAUGCCAUGAAUAUUACGCGUGCAAUGACUCAGCAUUCUUGGAACACUCUGCAAUCAGUAUUCUUCAAGCAUGUACAGUAAGGACAAACAAGGCUUAAUACUGUGCAAAGGACAAAUGCACUUUGGUGGAGAAGCCGUUGGCUGAAAAUGUUAAUAUGAAAUAAAAAGCUAAGCACCAAAUUAAAUAAAAAAAGGUAACUGGUAUUCACUAAAUAAUUAGUCGAUAGUGCAGAGAACCCACUGGCCAAGAAUUUCUAAAAGUGACACCAAAUGUAUAAACUCGCAACUCCACCAACUCAGGAGGAACCAACUCUAAAUGUCUUGUGAGUCCAUGAAAUGAAAAGAGAAUUGGCGGAGUCACCUCAUGUAAGUAAUUAGAUGGAUUUAACAUAACGCUAGUUGUUGAUUGUGCAAAUAAGAUCAUCAUAAUUUUCUAACUUGCCCUUGCCCAAGUGAUGACAAAUAAAACCUUUCAUAUUUACUAUCAAUCGACUAUUAGUUUCCCCAAUAAUUCUCGUAUAUGGUAGAUUCUCCGGUCAUUACUGAUAUAUCAAAUGUCCGAAUAUGCUUGUAGCUCGAUCCAAAUCUGGAAACAGUCUCACCCAAAUCCAGUCUUUCGUGGAAUGUGUGCACUAAUCUUCGGCCGACCUCACUCCGAGCAUCAGCAUUGGUCGUUGGUUUUCUUUUCAAUUCUUCAUUUACUUGGAAAAGCAAGUCAUGUCAAGGUACAACUACAUAGGUAGGUUCAACGCACCUUUCGCAUAAUAGUGCGGAAAUUACGCCUGCAAUGGUGCUGUUUGCUUUUUAUUUUCUAGUUGUUUUAAUAAUAGAAAAGUCAAGUCAAGUUGAAGUCGUGCUUACUUUAGAAAAAAAGCGCCUGCAUAGGCUCUACGCCCCUUCCGCGCAAUGCCGUGGAAAUUAUGCAUGCAAUAAUUACGCUUUUCGUGCAGCAUGCAUCGCAAUCGCAACGGUUCGAUUAGUUGAAGAUUCUCGGACGGUUGGAUGGCAAGAACUCAGCAUUGUUCAAGCACGCGCAGUAGAGAGCAUUGUGAUGUCAUUUCUCUAACUUGCUGUUGCCGGAUGUGUUCGAUGUUGACUAGCUUUGACAUUUCUCUCAACUCUUGGCAUGUAUGUGAGUAAUACAGAGAGAAGCUUGAAAUAUUGAGGAUGAUGUGUUUCUUCCACGACUCUUAUCAAAUUUCAGAUUUGCCAGAAGUUCUCAGUACAAUGUCUCUUCCCAUUUUCAAUUUACUAUUGGUGCUUCCAAGCGGCAACUUAAGAUGAUUUCUUUGUCUAAUUUGUUUUCACUUUUAUCUUCUAGCUGGCGAAGCAUAGAAACCAUCACAUAUUUCCUAUGAAUCUCAACAUUUGAUUGACUUCAUCAAUCAUUUGUUGUUUGAAAUCCCUUUUCCUUAUGGAGGAAGAUGUAGAGGGUUUAAAUAUCUGUCAUAGAGUGAAAUGAGAAAAGAGUGACUCCUAUGAAAGCCAUCAAAUAAUUCUUGAACUUUAAUUUGUUUCAUGGAACACGUUCGAAUGAAACAACAAAAGUAUGGUUCACUCGUUAAGUUUUCAAUUAUACUUUUAUGGAGAUUUCCAAGUCUAGUAAGUAUCAAAUGUAUCACAGACCCUCAUGGAAGUAUGAGAAGCAACUUGAGUGAAAAGUCAUCAUCUCUUCUUCACUCCAAAAGGUGAUUACUUCAUUGAUAUCGGUGUGUAGAGCUUCGGAUACUUCAUUUCUUUUUAUGUUUUGCAAAUUAAGUGUACAAAAAGGCUUAUGUUGAAUACGAUAGUCCGAAAUUUACAUCAACUCAAAUAAUAUGAAAGAGAAUAUGCACAAAUAUGAAUUAGUUGAUUAGGAACGUCAUGCAGGAUAUGUCUUCAAUUAUAAACUUGUGUUGAUAGAGUGUUUGUACCUAUGAGUAAAGAAGUGAAAACAUGCUGUUAGGAGGUUUUAUAAGCUAAGCUGGUUGUCAGAGCAGCAAAAGUAAGCUAAUAUUAUAUAGCUACAAUACACUAGGUGUGAACGUAGUCACUCCUUAGUGUCGUGUUUAAUGCAAUUCCUCUCCAUUUAAUAACUUCAGUUUUUCAAAUCACAUCUUGUAAUGCUAAAUAAGCUGAUAUUGAAUCCUCGUCUAUCGUGCUAAGAAAAAUUAUAUUUUGGUGAAGAACCUGUUGGCCGAGAAUGUACAUGAAAUAAAAUGUCUGACAAAAGAUAAAAUAAAAAGGGAACAAAAGUAUCACUGAAUUAUUAUUCGACUACGGAGAAUUAUUGGCUGAGAAUUUAUUAACGCGACACUAAAAUAAUAAAAUUUAUGGAAAAUGUUAAAAACUAUUAAUUUAAGGGGAGAGAUAAAAGUGGCUUGGGUGGAGGAUAUCCACUUGAUAAUUUUUAAGCAAAAAGUGGUGUGGAGAAAUCUAGUUUAAGGAAAUUAUUUUGAAAAAAUUUAUAUUGGAGUUACUUUUCUAGACGAAUAAAAAAAGGUAAUGCGUCCUGCCGACUUUUAAUAACAAAAUCCUCUAUAACCCCUAAUUUAUACGCUCUUGUCAUGGGCUCAUGUACAUUAGCAGCAUAUAAGAGAAUGAAAGCAAGUCAAGACGGUGAUGGAUCUCUCCAAUUUCAUUGAAAGCACGUAGAUAUGUUCCCAGUACCUUCCCCGUAAUAUGCUGAGAAUCGGUGGAGAUCACGGCAGAAGCAUGUGAGUACUGCUCGUCGGUUCACUUUUCUACUUUUUCUUAGUUAUAUAAAAAGCAAGUCAAGUCAUGAUGCUGCCGAGCAUUGCGUGUCUCCAAGUCAUGAUGCUGCUUCGACCCACAAAACGAAAAAGUCAUGAAGCUGCGGAAACUACGCGUGCAAUGAUUGUUCUCUCUCCGGCAUGCCUCACAGCAUUUUGAUUGGCCUGAAGAGUCCUGGACCACUGGAUGGCAAGAACUCAGACAUCAUUUGAGCACGCAUAUUAGAGAAUGUUGCGUAUUGGUAAUCUGACUUCAAAGGCUAAAAAUCGGUGGAGAUCCCAGGGUUCUGCUGUUUGAGCAUUCCUCUAGUAAUCAACGACGCCUUCCUCUUUUUCUGUUUCCUGUUCUGAUUGCUCCAUUUUCUUCUGAUGAUUUGUCUGAGAGUUUCUAUUUCUGUUUGAAUGUAGCUUCGUGUUUGACCACUGAGACAUUUCUGCUAGUCCUAGAUCUGGGAUUUUGCAUCUCUCCUCUGUUUCCUCCUCUAUCAAUCUCUUUACGAUCCUUUCGAGAUGAAAAGAAGAGAAUUCACUCAUUUAGAAGAUUCGAUCUACGAGGUGUCUUCCUCAUCGACUUCUCAAAAUGUAGGUGAUUAUGAAGGCGGAACCAAAAGGUUGAAAGGAAAUGAUUACGAAGUGUUUUUGAGCUUUAGAGGGGAAGACACUCGCAAAGGCUUCACUGAUUAUCUCUAUACUAGCCUUGUUGAGAAAGGAAUUCGUGUGUUCAGAGACGACAAUGAGCUUCAUGUUGGUGAGAAGAUUGGUCCGGAGCUUCUUUGCAGCAUUAGGCAGUCCACAAUUUUGAUCCCAAUUAUCUCCGAGAACUAUGCUUUCAGCAAAUGGUGCCUUCGCGAGUUGGCUCAGAUGUUGAAGUGCAAGAGAAGUAGACAACAAAUAGUGUGGCCUAUCUUUUACAAAGUGAAACCCUCGCAAGUGCGCCAUCUUAAGGGGAGAUUCGAAGAUGCUAUCAAGGCACAUAAAGAGAAUGGGGAUGAAAUGGUUUUGAAGGAAUGGAAAAAAACGCUCAAAGAAGUGAAGGAAUGGGAAGAAGCUCUCAAAGAAGUUGGUUCUUUGAAAGGAUGGGAAUCAAAUAAGAUUCAUAAUGGGUACAUUAUUCUUCACCAAAUUGUUGUUUAAUUUCUCACAAAUAGAUCUUUCGUGAUAAAGAACAUAAAUGUGGCCGUUCUAUACUAAAAUUAAUUGUUAUUGUGGCAGGCACGAAGGAGCAUUUGUUAAAACUAUUAUCACAAACGUUAUGAGCGAGUUAAAAAGGCUUUUUCUACUAAAUGUUCCCAAGCAAUUGGUGGGAAUUGAUGAUCGUAUCAAUGACAUUAUGAGCUCAAUAGAUGAUAAAUUAUAUGACACAACGAUUAUUGGACUUUAUGGAAUGGACGGCAUCGGUAAGACAACUCUUGGAAAGGUGUUAUACAACAAGCUCUCUAGUCAUUUUGAGUCUUGUAGCUUUGUGGAAAAUAUUCGAGAAACAUAUCAGCACCAGGGUUUUAAAUGCAUACUGAAAAAACUCAUUAAAGAUAUAAUAGGAAGUUCGAGUCACUUGUCUAGUGUUGAUGAGGGAAUAGGUGUCAUCAAAUCUCUAUUUACAAGAAAGAAAAUCUUAGUUCUACUUGAUGACAUGGAUGGUAGUACUACUCAGUUAAAUGCUUUGGUCAAAGACGGUAGUUGGAUUGGAGUAGGAAGUAUAGUCAUCAUUACAACCAGAGACGAGAGGAUUCUCGAUAAGGCUAAGGCAAGCUACAUGUACCCACUCAAUGAGUUGUCUAUAGAUCAUUCAUUGAUCUUAUUUAGUAGACAUGCAUUUCGAGAGGAUUCUCCUCCGAGUGAUUAUAAGGUUCUCUCUCGUGAUAUCGUAUCUACUACUGGGGGGCUUCCAUUAGCCCUUGAAGUUAUAGGUUCAUACUUAUGUGGAAUGAUAAGAGAAGUAUGGGAAGAUACAUUAGAAAAAUUAAAAAAGGCACCCGAUGAGAAAGUGCAAGAGACAUUGAAGAUAAGUUACGAAGCAUUAGAUCAUGAGCAAAAACAGAUAUUUUUGGAUAUUGCAUGCUUUUUCAUUGGAUCACAUAAAGAAGAUCCAAUUUAUAUGUGGGACGCCAGUGAUUUUCUCCCGAGGAGGGGGAUUGAAGUAUUGAGUCUUAUGUCCCUAAUUAAAUUUGACGAAUACAACAUGCUAGUGAUGCAUGAUCAAUUGAGAGAUCUUGGAAGGGAAAUUGUUCGUCAGGAAAAUCCAAAGGAGCCUCAAAAGCGUAGCAGAUUAUGGAAUUACAAGGAGGCCAUAGAUGUGAUUGAUGGAAACAAGGUAAGAGUUUUCUCUACUUGUUGUAGUAAGUGAAUGUGGUUUCAUCUUCCCUUUCUUGUUUGAAAUAAAUAUACUUGUUGGUCUUGACUCCCCAAAACUAACUGAUUCUACUAGCAAAAGAGUAACAUGAUUAAUUGCUAUUUUUGCUUGAUUCUGGAACAUAAUUUAGGAUCAAUUUCUUGGUUAUGGAUAAAGGAUAUAUAUCUUUGCCCGGUAGAAUUUUGUUCAGGAUACUCUGCUCUUGGUAACUUUAAUGCAACAGCAAAACUACAAAAGCAGAAUGUUUGACAAUUACUUUUAGAGAAAACCUGACAUUUAUAAAUUGUUGCAGCCAUAUUUGUUUGAUGCACAUGUUUGAUGUUUGGAUCCGUCAUUUGGUUUCCAGCGAGGCCUUUUUUUUAUUAUUUUGUGACGAUUUAGCUAUCUUGCUUCCUGUAUUUAUUAAGUUGGGGUAAGUUUAACCCCUAAAUAUUAUUGGCUGUGCAAUUUAGUCCCCCAUUUAUUUUUUGCUUUUACUCAAUAUAGUCCUCUAACUUUCACUUUUUCAUGCAAUUGAUUCAUUUGUGGUCAAUCGUUAGCACUGUCAAUUUGCUAAUGUGGCAUGAUUAACUGCGUAAUUUAACCCUCUAAACAUAUAUUAUUUUCAUUGUAUAUACUUUUUAGGAUAGUGGAUAGUUUCUUUUUAUGAAUCUGGUAAUACCUUUUCUCUUUGUGAUAAUGGAUGAUUUUUUUAUUAAUCUCCCAGUAUUAUUUAUUUGCUAAAUGUAGGCUAUCAUGUUAUAAUAAUAAUUUGUUUAUUGUUCAAUUCUUGGUGAGAAUCUUACUUAGCAAAGAUAUAGUCAACAUUAAAAACAUUAUCUUAUUUUUGUGAAACGAAAACUAGUUUGAGGUAAAUGUGACACGGGUCUAUCAAUUUGGAACUUUUUGCGACAUUAAAAUUAGUGUAUGGUAAAUGUGGAACAAAUCUAUGGUUUGAGACUUUUGGCAUUAUUAACCGAGGUAUAUAUGGUUUUGAAUUUUGUGUGAUGAUAAAUUUUCAUUAUCAGCAUGAAAGUUAAAAGGGAAUCCACUAAAAGCAAUUAUAACAUAUGGAAGAUUUGUACCAGCAUCAAACAAGCAUGUGAAAAUGGCCACGAAAAUCGUUAAUUAAGAAAAACUAAACACAAGCAUGGGGAUGCAAAACAUAAUGAUAAACCAAAACUAUUGAAUAAAUGCUUCCAAUACUUUCGGCGAGCAUAUUUUCGCACGAAGGAAAAUGUAAUUAACUGAAUAGAACAUUGCUUAGAAGUGAAAAAAAAAAUGGUAUCUAUGAAGUUGUCGACAAAAACAAUAAAGACACAAGAAACUUUUAAUGAAAAAACAAGUAGGGAUUCAUAUGAAAGAAUAAAAGUUUGAAGGAAAAGUUGAAACCACCAAUGUGUAAUUCGUCACCUAAAACAAGAAACAAAUUUGAGUUUGUAAAAGAUUAGGUUACAAUAAAAGAAAUAUGCAGAAGACUCGAGUUCCUUACUAAUACAAAUUUUAUCAACUUUUAUGUCCAAUCUGUUCAUACAGAAGAUCUCAUUAAUCCAUGGCAAAAUUGAUCAAAAUUAGAUGACUACCACUUCAAAAUAAAAAAAGCAACAUGACAACGAAAAUAUAGCAUUAAACAUUUGUAGUGAUAAAAAGAAAAGUAAGGAUCAUGUAUAGAACAUUUGAUGUUAUUAAUUUUCCUUCCACAUACAACGAAAACCCUCGUUGAGGGAACACACAAUGAGAAAGGAAUGUAAAACAUACGUAUCUUUUGCGAUGACAUUCUUGUUUUCAUUUUGACAUUGACAAUUGCAAACAAAGUAAACACCAAAAGUGAGGAAAUUCUACAAUUGGGAUUCUUUAAUUUUGAUACUUAUAUCGAUGGGAAGUUUGAUAGAUGCACUUGGAUGGUUAGAGUUGUAUUGGUUUGCAUAUACAUGAUAGGAGUAAAGGAAGUGUUAUUUCACAUAUAAAGGGUAUGAAUUUUGAUAAAUAUAUAUUUGAAUUACAAUAUGCAUGAAGAGAGGCCUUCAAUUGUAUUUGCAAAUGGACGCAAAUUUUGGAAAUUCAAAAGGUGCAAAAUGAGAAUGGUAUAGGUGGAUGAGGAAAAAGUUUGGAGACAACCACUUGAGCUUCUCAUCUUUACAUAUAUUAGAUAAAUAAAAUGCAACUACAACCUUUCAUUUCGCAAAAAUGAAAGGUAAAAGCUUACGCCAUAGUAGUAUGAUAGCAAAUUGAAAUCAAUGCAUUUUAUUUUAUAUCAAUUGGUAUCAUCUCAUCAUUCAAAACUUAUGGUCCACAAUGUUUCCAAGUUGUAGGGCACCAGAAAGAUCGAGGCCCUUUCUUUUAGCAAAUGUCGUAAGGGAAGAAGAUAUGCAGCCAAACAGUUUAAAAAAAUGACCAACUUGAGGUUCCUUCAAGUGGAUGGUGCUAAUUUCACUGGAGAUUUCCAAAGCUUACUUCCUGAGUUAAGAUGGCUUUGGUGGAAUGGUUGUCCCUCAUAUUUCACUAUGGCCAACUUUCAUCCAAAGAAAUUAGUCGUACUCAAUCUGUCAAAUAGUGCAAUUUCGGAGGAUUGGGAAGGAUGGGAUUCACUCAAGGUAAGACAUAAAGAAGGCAUUGAAGUAUUUUUUAACAUAACUUCUUUUUUCCUUGUACAUUUGAAAAUUUAUUUUCAUAAUUAAAUUAGCCGUUUCUCCUUAAUUUGAUACUAUUGAAGGAAAACAUAGUGCCCGAUUAAUGUAUCUCUCUUCCACUUGAAUUUGUCAUCUAGUUUUUUUAUAAUAAAAGUUGCUUAUGUCUAAUUAGAAAAUAUCUCAUUUGAAAUUUUAUUCGAAAAUAAAUGCAAUUAGCACUCGUACACUCUAAUAUUCUUUUGCAAUUGAUGUGCUUAAAAAACAUUUAUCUAUUGACGGGACCAAACAUUACGAAAAGAGGCAUUUAAAAUUAAAUAAGACAACCGUGAAAGAGUAGAGGAGCAUGGGUAAUUUUUUAGGAAUUCUAAAAUGUCAAAAACAUGAGUAGCAAAAAAUCACAGGUUGCGACAGUCCAAUUACAUUGACGUAUCCUUUCUUUCUUCCAGAUGGCAACCGAGCUCAAAGCUCUCUUCCUCGACUUUUGUCAAUUUUUGAAAAGAUCUCCCGACUUGUCCACUUUCAAAAGGUUGGAGAUUUUACAUCUUGCAUUUUGUAAGAAUCUAGAAGAGCUUCAUCCUUCUAUUGGAAAUUUGGCAUCAUUGAUCGAGCUAGAUUUAUCAUGCUCAUCGAUUAUGAAAUUACCCAAAAGCAUUGGGAAUUUGCAAAAUUUGAGGAUCUUACGUAGUGAUAUGUCUAACAUAACGGAAUUGCCUUAUGCCAUUGGGACGUUGGCAAAACUCCAACAGUUGGAAGUUGGUAAUUGCCCAAAUCUUAAGCGACUACCUAGUAAUAUAUGCAAACUGAUUUCGCUAGAGGAGCUUUCCGUUUCAGGUUGUAAAAAGAUUCAGAAAUUACCUGAACUGCCCUCCGGCUUAACCGACCUAUUGAUCACCUGCCAGGGGCAGUCUUUGCCCCAUCUUUCCCAGCUAAUCCGUCUCAAGAUACUCCUUAUUGUUGGUUGCGGUCGGCUUGAAUGUGUCCCAGAGCUUCCCAUUGGACUAUCGGAUCUUCAAAUUAGACAAUGUGGAAAAUUGAAAGCCUUGACGAAUUUGUCAGAAUUGAAACACUUGCGAUAUUUCCAUAUAUUUAAAUGCCCAUCUCUGGAACGAUCGCCCGACGUGUUGAAUUUUAGGCGUACGCAGAUGAGAGAACUUGGCUUGAAAGAGAUCCCCGACUCUUUUUGGGGCUUAGAAUUCAAGCGUUAGCAGACGUGAAGAGCUACGGGGGGGUGGGGUGCAGAAGAGAAGGAGGGCUAGACGUCCGUGAAUCUCUCUCUCUCCGUCGCUACUAGUCAGUCGCCCUACUGGUUUCCAAGGCCCGAAGAUCGAAGCCAUCGUUCACACCGCCCAUCCACCGCAGGCAAGCGGGCAGGUCUGUCGGCGCGAUGGCGACGGCGACGAGGCGACGGCGACGAGGCGACGCCACGGCUGGCAACGCCCUCUCCAUCCACUCCAGGUAAACGCACCCACGCAUGCGUCUCUCCAGCUUUCCUGCGGUCUCUCAGCUUCAGCUGCAUUUUAGAACCCCGGUCAGACUGCGUCACUUCGGCCCGCGAGCUCAUCGAUUGUUCGGAUUGGAGAUUUUAGUUUGCUCGUAGUAGCUAGUGCAGUAGCUUUCUGGGAAUUGAUGGGAUUUUUCCCCCAAUUUUCAGGUGUUCUUGGCGAUGUUUCUGUUCGUCUAGUGUACUGCGAUAGAUCUGAUGGAUAAGACCACUUAUAGAAAGAAGAAGAGAGACUCCGAAACGAUGGUGCUCGCGGACUUUUGAGCCGAUUCCUCGAGCUCGCCCUUCCAAUUUCGAUGCUUGAUUCGCCUACUUGGGUACUUCUUUCUCUUUUUUCUUGAAUGAUGAUGAAAGGAAGGUUGGGGUUGAUAUUCCUGUGGAAGUUUAACGGUGGCGCCUCUGUAUGUGUAUACAAAGAGAUAUGCAAUAAAGCGAAGAGAUUAGCCUGUGGAGAUAUCCUUUCUGGCAGGGUAUAAGUGAGUCUUCAGCGCCUGACCGCUUAGCUUUGGAGCAGACAGGGAACUCAACAAGUACAAGUCAGUAGCUGUGGCAUGUGGAUGAGCUGAGUAGGAAAGUGGUGCACAAAGCUCUGGAUAAGCUGGACAUAGUUGUUUGGGGUACUAUCUAGGAAAAUACUUUGGACUUGUACAUCUACAAGAUGGGCCCACCCUCCUUUUCACUUGAAGAGAAAAAGGCGCUGUCUUAGUGAAGUAAUUUUUUUUUGCUUUAUCGCCUUUUCAGGGUUUAGUGAAGUCGGGAGUUGGGGCUCCUCUUUGUUUUUUAUUCUGCUUAGUAGAUGUGUUUUUGGGGUCUGCAUUAUCUUUUAUAGAGAUGGAUAGGUAUUUCCUCGUUGCCUUACUUAUACUUAUUGCAUAACAAGGAAACCGAGGAGAAAAGAAAUUGAGAUUGGGUGCCGGAGGAGCGAUUUUUAAUACUAAUUCAGGGUAGAUGUUCGUCUACCCACUGACAAACUAAUAUGCAAUCAAUUAAAAAUGAACUAUGAGUACGGGUUGUAAUUGCAAUAAGGGUUUGCCGCUGAGUUUCUCCCUUCCAUGAACAUAGCAUGUGUUACGUUUGCUGGAGAAAGAAAUAUUGAAAAAAGUGCAAGCCAAGAUUAUUGUGUUUGGUCACCUACCUGGUUCUUGGGGCUUGAACUUUCGUCUCUGCCUUCCUCUUCAAGUGAUAUAAAGGAGUCACAAUUAUUUGAUGACACUGAUACUUGGAUAUUCAUACAUUUAAAUUGUUUUACCUGUAUUUAGUUGCUCCCAAACUUUCUUGUAAUGAAAGAAAUAUCUUACACACAUUAUUAGAGGUAAAUUGGUCAUCGAGGAUAACCUAUGUCCGAGUAUUUGCCUUCUCAUCUCUGCUUUUAGGUGAAAAGCUAGUGGAAUUUUCACUCUUCAUUGAUGGUAUUUCAUUGUUGUGGUAUGCUGAAUGCUGAUAAGUUCCUCUGGAUUAGUCAGAGCAUGAUGAUUGGUGGCUAUUAAUUAUACCCAUGCGAGAUCUUUACCUUGAAAGUUGGUUUAAGGAUUGCUAUCUAUCUAGAAUGCAAUUUAAAAGAUGGAAGUUGGUCACAUCAAAAUCAUUCCCAGUUUUGAUCAGGAACGGGAUCGUUGGAGAUGUGGAAUGGGAUUCUCACUCCUUGUCCCAGAUAUCCUACUUUGCCUAUUUAAUUGGGACUCAAUCUCAUAGUAAGUCAAAUGAAGCCCCAGUUCUCAUUGUGCAUGACCCAUUGUACGUCUAAAACAAUAUUUAAAGGCCAAACCUACUAAGUCAGGCUAACUUUGGGGAUUGAAAUACAAGGGGACUUAAAAUGAGAAUGAGGUGUUGCCCUCAUCCUGAAUUAGAUUGCAUGGAAGAUUUGAUGGCUGGUUAUGACAAGGCUGAAGAUACUUUCGAUACAGACUUGGGAGAGUCCAUAAGCUUUCAACUGGAUUAACCUUUUAUUGCUGGAGUUGGAAGUGGUAUCUACAUUCAUGAGAGGGUGCGGUAAAUAGAAGGUCUGCUGUGCCUCCGCAAACAGCAGUGCAGCACAAUGCCCUAACCUUUGUAUGGCAGCAUCUCUUCUGGCUGGGGACAGAGUUCGUUUUUCACAUCAUAUCAUAUAGCUCUUCACCUUGUCUAUUUCUUUCAUCCUCUUGUCUUCCUCUUUUCACUGCCAUCGUCUGGUUUUGCAUUCGUUUUGCUCACUUUUGUACUUUUGCCCCAAUGCUUCUCGAGAUAGCUUUCUCGAGAGGUACAGGAGCUUCCUCAGUGGUGUGCUUCUGUUGUGGUGGUUCUUGUGCUUUUGAUUUCUACAUUUGAGCUUCAUUUCCCUUUUUUAAAAGAUAACAUGUAGGUAUUAGUGCAGAAAAAAAGAUUAACAAUCUAUUUCUUUAGAACUUAAUUUUCUGUAGAGUCUUAUGAUCAUUGAUCCAAAGUAUGUUCCGAUUUCAAUCAUGUGGGAUUGAUCUUAACAACCUUUAACUUGAGGGUUAAAUUUAUAUGUAUUUAUACUACAAGGACUGCCUCGCAUAUGCGAACUGAUUAAAUCUUCAACUGUUGUUUUGGUGUAGCUGCGAUGUGACAUCUAUGUAUUACUAUCUGAAAAAUGAAUGUCCUUAGCAUAUCUAUAUGGGAAUUGGUUCUAGGCAAUCCAUCAAGAUUCAAUAUCUUAGUCUUAGGGCUUGUGCUUUACUAUGGUGGAAUCCUCUAGAAUCUAGUAUGGUGGAAUCCACUGGAAUCUAGGAUUGUGGAAUCCUCUUCUGUUUCUCACCUUGUGUUUCUUGAUUCUUUCACAAGAUUGCCCCAGAUUUUUACUGAUUCUUGUUCUUCUACCUUCGUGUGAAUCACAUACAUCUUUUCGGGUCUAGUACAGGACAUGUUUCAUGAUAUGUCCUUUAUGGGGAUAAUGGUGCAUGUGCCGUUUGCAAGUUUUCAAUUGGCUGGGAUUCUCUUGAUACAGAUACCUAUAUUCAUAUUGCACCUUCCUAUUAUCCCUUUUGAUUUCUUCUUUGACUAUUUCUUCAUGCUAGAAUGAAACAUCUUCCGUGCUGUUAAUCAAAUCAGUUCAACUCUAAUAAUUGUGCUCUAGGCAGAAUCAAGUCAUUGACUUGAUUAGAUGGUGACCAAUGUGCCGCUUUUUUCUCAUCAACAGGCUGUGACAGCAAUGGUGUAGCAGACUAUGCAAUAUAUUGACCAGACACCUGAUUUUGAGACAAUGAUAGAGCUUAUUGAGACACUGUACUCUAUUGCCCUGUGAUGGUUAGUAUGUGAAAAGAAACCCUAUUGCAGAUUAUGUUUAUGAGCAAUCUUUUUUUUUUUCCCCUUCCCCGUGGUUUCUAUAGCUAGUUUCGUUAUGCAGAUAUAUGUCAAAAUUGAGAGAGCACCGUCAAUUAAGAAGCUUGCAAAAGUAAAGGAAGAACAGGUUCUUAUAGCAGAAGCUAUUGACUUUAUGCAGGAAAUUGCAGUAACUAGAAGCUGACUACUGUUGUCCCUGAUCUUGUAAUUGAUUUUUCCUUGUCCAACAUUCCUAUGAUGGGUUUAAAUUGCAGGUAGAAACUUUUGAAGCAAUGGCAGAGACGGAGAAAGUUGCCUUUAUCCUUGAACAAGUAAAGGUUUUCUGUAUUGCUUUAAGCUGCUUAUGCACUAUUGCUAAGAUUGGUUUUCUAAUCGAUGGAUUUUGCAGGUUCUUUGUGCUUAGAUCACAGGGAUUAUGUCCAUGCACAGGUCCUUUCCAGAAAGAGAAGCUGUUGACUUUAUGCCGGAAAUUGCAGUAACUAGAAGCUGACUACUGUUGUCACUGAUCUUGUAAUUGAUUUUUCCUUGUCCAACAUUUCUAUGAUGGGUUUAAAUUGCAGGUAGAAACUUUUAUGUUGUGUCCACUAUCUUUUAACUAAAUUGUUUUCACCAAUCAAUUGCUACCUGGUAUUCAAGUUAGGGUUCAAACCAUGAACUUCUAUGGCUUUAUUUAGUUGGUACAUACUCUUCUUCCUUUCUAGCUUUACAGCAAACUCUGACGAUCAAGAUGUGCUUAAUGGAUCUAAACAUACAUCUCAGUUUACCUAGUGUUCAUGUUGUUAAUGAUGUAGGUAUUGCUCACAUCACAACAAUUACCUCAAGAUAUGUUGAUGCUAUAAGGCCACACGGUGAAGGGAAACCCAGAGCAAUUGAUACUGGUGAAGCUCUAUUGUUGUUGAGUCUUCACUGAGUGUUUUGAGGCACGGCUGUAGGUUCUAAGGAAAAUCUACUGGUACUUGGUUCUAUCACCACAUAAUCCUAUGUAGUCAAGCCUUCUUAAUGCCGCUUUAAGGAUCAAAAUCUCUCAUAUAUUACCCAAUUCAGGUACCAUUUUUGAAUUGUUCUGGGUAAUUGGUUGUACAUCUUGCAACAUCUCAAUAACGUGCCAUAGAAUUUGGUUGACCAUGCCUUUGUUACUUCAACGCAGGUUGCUUCUGAAACAAUUGGUCACACUAGAGGCUAUCCAAUGGACUGCUCUUUGGAGUACUUUUAAAGAUGAAUUUGAGAAUGAGAAAAACAUGCUCGGAGGUGCACUUGUUGAGAAGGCAGCAGAAGAUCUUAGACAGAGAAUCAUUAAACGUGUAAUUACAGAACUUUGUCAUUUGUGACUCACUCUAUUUUCUGCAGAAUAUUAUUGUUGUUUCAAAGUAUUACCCGAGGAUUAUUUUAAAUAGACUUCCAGAGCUGUGAUGCCUUAGUAUUUAGAUCUGAUUAUGGGGAACAUUGGUUUAUGUUUUCUUAUCAAUGUCAUCUUUAUGAAUGAUUUUCAAGACCCCACAUUUAACCCUGAGCAGCCUCUCUGCCUGUAAUCCCUGAUUGCGACAUGGUUGCCGGACUUGGAUACAAAUUCUAAAAUAGUGGAAACGAGGUUUAGGUACCUUGAAAGCCGAAGGCUUGUCAUACUAUUGAAAAUGUUGUCUUUGUAGUUUCGUUCCGUAAACAUUUCUGAUCGACAUAUACGUGUGCACUUGGCUUAGUCAACUUCUGCUCAUAAAAUUUUUAGCUGUGUGAUUGUCUGGUAUUGUGAAACCAUUUCUUGUCCCAUGGAGCCGAUGCCCUUUGGAAGGGUGGGAGGAGCUGUGCUAUAUUGCUAAAAUAGUUAAGCAAGUUUUUUCUGCUAGUAUUAGCACUCACCGUUUCUGGCAUAUAAAAGUAUGUCCCACUGUUGGAGCUUUCUUAAUGUGUUUAGAAAACCUACGUGGCUGAAUCACUCAGGGAGAAGAGCUCUCUUCUCGGGUUUCUAUUACUGCUGUUGUAGAGCAUUUUAAUCGUUCACAUGCCUCAAUUGAUAAAAUCAAUGCUAUCAUCUAAUAGAAAGAUCGCCCGACGUGUCGAAUUUUAGUAUUCGAGCGUUAGCAGACCUCAAGAGUUAACCGUGGGGGGGGUGUUGCAGAAGAGAACGACGGCUGGAUGCAACGCCCUCUCCAUCCGCUCCAGGUAAACACAUGCACGCGUCUCUCGAGCUUUCCUGUGGUCUCUCAGCUUCAGCUGCAUCUUAGAACCCCGGUCGGACCGCGUCACUCCGGUGCGCGAGCUCAUCAAUUGUUUGGAUUGGAGAUUUUAGUUUGCUCGUAGUAGGUAGCCCGAUAGUUUCGACAGCAAUUGGGUAGGCGGUUGAAGCAAAAAGUCGCGCUGGCUGCCAAGGUUCUGUCGAGAUUUGGUGAGUUGACCAAGGUCACGAGCUUAGGUUUGCUGUUUUUGAGCUGAGGCUAGCACGUACUGUUUAGUCAAAUUCCUGCAUUAGUGACGCUGUGAAAGCUCUAAAUCGGCCACGAGUAGAUGUGUGGGGGCGUGAUGCAGAUGAUCGAUCAAUCGCAUUUGAAGUUUAGAGUCGAUCCAUCUCAUGACGUAAAUUUGCAAUUGCAGAUAGUUGGGGUGGCGGUGUUCAGUUUCCUAGCAGUGGCCUUCUACAUCUUCCCAGGACUGUUGCUUGGGAGUAGAGCCGCUGAAAUCACUGUGAUGACAAUAGUCUCUUUUGUGGUAAUUCCCUUAGCGUUUACUUUGUGCCAUGAUGACAUUGAUUGCUUUUCUUUUGUCAGUUUUAGGGAAUUGAAUUAUAAGGGGAUUAUAAAUGAGAAUGAGGUGUUGCCCUCAUUCUGAAUUAGAUUGUAUGGAAGAUUUAAUCGGUGGUUGUGGCAAGGUAGAAUAUACUUUAUAUACAGACUUGGGGGAAUCCAUAAUAACCUUUUAUUGAUGGAGUUAAAAGUGGGCUCUACCUUCAUGAGAGCUUGGGUUGGGGUAGAUGGAAGGUCUACUGUGCCUCCACAAACAAUAGUGCAGCACAGUGCAGUACAAUGCCAACACCUUUGUACGACAGCCAUCUUUUCUGACUGGGGACAGAAUUCUCUUUUACAUCAUAGCAUAUAGCUCUUUACCUUUUCUAUAUUUUUAUCCUCCCGUCCUCUUCUUUUCACUGCCAUUGUCUGGUUUUGCGUUUGUUUUAUUCUCCUGUACUUUUGCCACAGAUGCUUCUCUAGUUAACUUUCUCUAAGAGGCAUGAGAGCUUCUUCAGCGAUGUGCUUUUGCUGUGGUGGUAUUAGUGCUUUUGUCUUCUACUUUUGAGCUUCAUUCCCUCCUUUUAAAGAUAACAUACACGUGUUAGUACAGAAUUAAGAAUUUGAGAAUCUAUCACUUUGCAUCUUAAUUUUCUGUAGUCUUAUGAUCAUUGAUUCAAAGUCCAAUUUCAAUCAAUUAGGAUCAAUCUUAACAACCUUUACCUUACGGGUUAGAUUUUAUACUGUAGGGAUUGGCUCCCAUAUGAGUACUGAUUAGAUCAUGAAAGGUCGUUUUUGUGUAGCUAUGACAUGCCACCUAUGUAAAACUAUCUAAAAACUGAAUGCGCUUGGUGUAUCUACAUAGGAAUUGGCUCUAGGCAAUCUGUUGGGAUGCAAGAUCUCAAGCCUGGUGCUUGUUCUCUAGAAACUAGUAUGGUGGAAUGCUCUAGAAUCUACUAUUGUGGAAUUGUCUUUAGUUUCUCACCUUGUGUUUCUGGAUUUUCUCCCAUGAUUGCCCCAAGUUUUUACUUUUUGUUCUCCUACUCAUGUAAUCUCAUUACUUUUUUUUCAUGUCCUGUUCAUGAUAUAUCCUUUAUGGGGAUCUUGUGGUGCUUGUGAUGUUUGCAAGUUUUCAAUUGGCUGGGAUCCUCUUCAUAGAGAUACCUGUAUUUGUAUUAUACCUUGCUAUUGUCCCUUUUGCUUCCUGUUUUUACCAUUAUUUCAUUCUAGACUGACAAAUUUUCCGUGUUGUAAGACCCUACUUAUAGCAGAAGCUACUGAUUUGAUGCAAAAAAUUUGAAUAACAAGAAGUUGACUUCAGUUAUCACUGAUCUUGUACUUGGUUUUUCCUUGUCCAACAUUCCUAUAAUGGGUUUGAAAUGCAGGUAGAAACUUUUGGAGCAACGGCAAAGACCUGGAAAAUUUCCUUUAUUUUUGAACAAGUACGAGUUUUUGUAUUGCUUUUAGCCAUUUAUGCACUAUUACUAUGAUUGGUUUUCUGAUUGAUGGAUUUUGCAGGUUUGUCUAUGCAUAGAUUGCCAGGAUUAUGUCUGUGCACACAUCCUUUCUAGGAAGAUCAGGCCCCAAGUGAUCAAUGCAGAUCCUUCCAAAGAGAAGAAUAAGCCUAAAGAAAGCGCCAGCUGAUAUUCCGUCUCUUCUGGAGUUGAAACAAUUAUACUACGACUCAUGACACGGUAAACUUGUGUUUCACUUUUUCUAAUGUUGUAUCUACUAUCUUUUAACUAAUUUGUUUUUGUCGAUCAAGUGGCACCUGGUAUUCUGGACCAUGAACUUGUAUGGCUUUAUAUAUCUAGCACAUACUCUUCUUCCUUUCUAACUUUAUUGCAAACUCUGACUUCCAGAUUUACUUGAUGGAUUUGAACUCGCAUCUCGAUAUAUCUCGCAUUUAUGUGGUUAACGAUAUCGGUAUAAAUGAUUACCUUGAGAUUUGUUGAUACUGUAAGGCGAUAUAUGAGAUUCCAUUAGUGAAGGGCAACCCAGAGCAGUGGAUAUCGGUGAAGCUCUUUCCUUGUUAAAUCUUUACUGAGUUUUUCAAGGCACAAUUGUUCAUUCUGUGAUUUAAUGAAAUGCAGGUUCUAAGGAAAAUCUGCUCGUACUUAGUUCUAUCACCACAUGAUCCUGUACAAUUAAGCCUUCUUAAUGCCACUUUAGAAAAUAAACAUCUCUCAGAAAUUCCCAUUUCAUCUUUGAAUUGUUUUAGGUUAUUGGUUGUACAUCUUGUAAUAUCUCAAUAAUGUGCCAUAGAAUUUGGUUGACCAUGCCUUUGUUAUUUUAACACAGGUUGCUGCUGAAACAAUUGGUCAUGGUGGAGGUUAUCCAAUGGACACCUCUUUAAAGUACUUUCAAAGAUGAAUUUGAGAAUGAGAAAAUGUGCUAGGAGGUGCACUUGUUGAGAAGGUAGCAGAAAAUCUUAGACAGGGCCCAAUCAUAGUCAAAAGAAGAAUUUCUGCUUCUCCUGGGUGAGACAAGCUACCUUUGGCUAGGGGCCUCAUCAGAGAAUCAUUGAACAUGUAAUUACAGAACUCGUUGUUUUUCUUCUUUUAAUUGGAUCAUCACUGAGAUGUGACUCACUCUAUUUUGUGCAGAAUAUUAUUGUCAUUUUGAAGUAUUGCUGGAGGAUUACCUUAAAGAGACUUGCAGAGCUGUUAUGCCUCAGUAUCCAGGUCUGAUUAUGUGGAACAAUUGUUUAUGUUCAUUAUCCAUGUCACUCUUUAUGAAUGAUUGCCUAGACCCCUCAUUUAACCCCGAGCAGCCUCUCUCCCAUGAUCCCUAAUUGGGGCAUGGCUGCUGAUCUUGGAUACAAGUUCCAAAUGUGUAAAGAGGUUUUGGUGCGUUGAAAGCCAAAGGCUUGUCAUGGAUUUGAGAGUGUUGUCUUCAUAAUUUUGUUUUGUACACUUGGCUUAGUCAACUUCUUGUUGUAGUUGUGUCAUUUUCUAGCAUUAUGAAGCCAUUUCUUGUGCCAUGGAGCCUGAAAUUCUAAUGCACUUUAUAAGGGUGGGAGGAGCUCUGUUAUAUUGCUAGAAAUAGCUAAGCUAGCUUUUUCUGCUAGUAUUAACACUCACCAUACCAUUUCCUGCGUUACAAAAGUAUAUCUCGCUGGAGAUCUUGAUUAAUGUGUUUAGGAAAUCUUUGAAGUUAAAUCACUCUAGGAAAAGAGCUUUGUUUUUGGGUUCUCUUACUACUGUUGUUGAGAGCUUUAAUCAAUCACAUGCCUCAAUUUAUUAAAUCAACGCUAUCAUCUAAUAGAGAGACCAUAUAAUGAUAAUUAUUCAAGCUUUUGUGAUAUUCUAUCAGCAUGACCUCUUACUUCUAUAUUACCAUUUUAGGAAGCUGAGAAGCAUCUCUCCUUGAUGGUUGUUUCCAAGUCCCUAAUGGCAAAGAUAGACUGGCCAAAGGGAAUUGUUAGUUUCAAAAUGACAAAGGACAGCAAUGAGAUUUUAAACUUAGAGGAGACAAUUUUGGAAAAGCUGCUUCUUUUUGUUAAGAAAAGUUGCCACCAAAUCCCAAAGGAAACUGCAGUUCAUAAGGCUGCCUCAAGAGCUUGAAGAUGUUUUCAUUUGAAUGAAUGAUCUCUCCUCAAUGAAUGCUGUUUCACAUUGUGGUCCAAAGUGUGGACGGGAGAUAUUCAUCAUUGAACUCUCACAUGGCUGUCUUAAACUUGAUUGCAUAUUUUGCAAGAUGACCAGAUCUUGGCUUUGUUUCGGAUAUACUUAAUACGCUUUCAAAAUAGGAAUGUAGUUUGGUUUUUUCAACUUUCCUCUUUCCCCCAUCAUUUUAAUUGAAGAUUUAUGGGCUCAGGUCCGAAACUUAUAUCAAUGGAACAGGUAUUAGCACAAGAUGUGCACUCAUUUGGACUGAAAUAAGUGCCUCGUUACUAAAUUCUGUUUCGCAUUACAAAUGUUGCUAGUGCUUGUGUUUUUCUAACAUCGUGAAUAACAUUAGCUCUCCCUAGUAAAGGCUUAACGAAUGGUACUUUUUCCAUUUUAUUUCACAUUUGAAAUGAGCACCCUGUUUCUAGAGAACUUCAUUCCGAUAAGAUAACUGCACAUUUUAUCUCUUCGAGAGACGUUUUUUUUCUUCAAGUUGAUACUUGAUAGAAGAUGGAGCUUGUUUUUUAGAUUUCCAGCUCCCUUAUUUUCUUCAUGGAAACUGAAAAAUUUGGGAAAAGCUAUGGCCAUGAUAUCUUUUGGCUAUGAAAAUAGUUGUGCCCCAUAAGUGAAAAGCACCAUUUUACUUUCUUCACCAAGUAAACGUAUUUAUUAUUUUGUUAGAGAAUGUGAUUAUAGAAAUUACUUAGCAUAAUUUAAAGAAAAUUCAUGAUUUUUACUAUAGUAACUUUUCUUGUUAUAUGUGCCGUUAAUGGAUUGGAAAUUACAUAAAUCAUCAUAGAUACACUUAAAAGUUAUUCUUGAGGUCCUCAUUAACACGAUCAAUCAUUUAGGAGAAAUAAAAAAAAUUUCUUCAAAAUUUGAUCCUCAGUUUAAAGCAGCCUGGAACUUGUUUUACUACCUCUAGUUAACUUAAUUAGUGUUGUAGUGUAAUUAUCAACGCCUUAUUUCAAGUGCAGGGAAAAUUCGAGAUAACGCAAAAAUCAAUUUUUUGGUCAAUAUUUGAAGAUCUCUUUUUGUCCCAUACUUGAGAACUAAUUAAAAUUCUGAUAGGAAAAAGAUUACUAUAAAGCAUUCAAAACAUUUGAUUUGACAAAAAUUAAUCAUUACGGUAAGGGUGGUGAUCGUAUACUUGAAGAAGGAGGCUCCAUCGAUUUUAAUCGACAAUUUUCCACAAAUUAGAGCGGUACCAAUUUGAAAACCCUAAUGCAUUUUCGCUUUUUUGUUUCUUUAUAGAACCUCAAGCCCCAUCUUCCCUUUCUUUUAUACAAUUCUCUCAUUUUCAAUUUGUUUUUUCCUAUUUUUGCCUUUCCGUCCUACCAAUAAUGGCGUCAUGCCUUGCCAGGGAGCCGCUUUCCCGGGAGGCCGCCUUGCCUUCGCGAGCGACCCUCCUCUCUCCGCGUGCUACGAUCUUCGGAGAUGAAAAAACGUGACCCCAAAUUUUACUUUCCUCCUUAGAGGUUCGAGUUCGGCCCAUGUCGAGAAAUCGCGAUGGUUUCUGAAUGUGGGUUUCUCCGUUUGCGGAUUAAAAUCAGCGCGGCUGAGACGAGAAGUACCAGCGAGAGGAAAAGCGCUCGUCCCUACCGAUCUGAGCAUCGCAGUACCCGAAGGAACAUGUGCUCGAGUAGCUAAUGUGCAGCUUCUCAUCUCGAAACAUCGUCUCAAUACCUUGUUUUGGAUGAUUGACGAGGGCCGAAUCGAAUCGCGUGUGCAUCUGUUGCUUCAGCACCUGAUAUCGGGUUUGGCGUGGAAGCAUUAGAUCGACGUCUGUGUGGGCGUGAUCGAUGCGGACUACAGAGGCCCGGUUGGGGUGAUCCUGUUCAAUUACUCGGACGUCGACUUUGAAGUGAAGGUGAGUGACAAGACCGCGCAACUGAUCCUUAGUCCGUGAUGAUAGAGAUAAGGCAUAUUGUUUAAGUUAAGUAGUUUUAUUUUGUUUUAUCAUCUUUUCCUGGUUUAGUGAAGUCAGUUAUUGGUGGUCCACUCUGUUUUUAUUCUGGUUAGUAGAUUUGUUUUAGGAUUUGAGUUAUCUUGUAAAGGGAUGAAUUCUUUUUGGUUUAGAUGGAUAGGUAUUUCCUUGGUGCCUUACUUAUUAUACCUUUUACACAACAAAGAAACCGGGGAGAAAAGAAAUUGAGAUUGGGUGCCAGACUAGUGAUUCAAAAUACUAAUCAACCGAAGAUGAACAAUAAGUAUGGGUUGUACCUCUCCAUUGCAAUAAGAGUUUGUUGUGGAGUUUCUCCCUUGCAUGAACAUAGCAUGUGUCAGGUUUGCUGGUGGCGAAAGGAAUAUUAAACAAGCGAGAGCCAAGAUUAUUGUGUUCAGUCGUCUACUGAUUUCCUGGGGCAUGAAUUUUUGUCUUCCUAGCUAUAAGCACUCUUUUCCUUCCUCAUCAAGUGCUUGAGUCAAAAUUAUUUGAUGACACUUUUGAUACUUGGAUAUUCAUACCUGUUAAAAUGUUUUUCCUGUAUAUAGUAACUCCCAAACUUUCUUUACCAAAGAAAGUAUCUUACACUCAUUUGAUAUGAGCAAAUUGGAUUGUCUAGAUUAACCGAUGUCUAGGUAUUUGCCUUUUCAUCUCUGCUUUUGGGUGAUAAGCUGGUGGAAAUUUUGCUCUUCAUUGAGUGUAUUUCAUUGUUAUGCUGUGCUGAAUGCUGAUAAGUUCCUCUGGAUUAGUCAGAGCAUUAUGACUGGUGGCUAUUUAUUAUACCUGUACCAGAUUUUUACCUUGACGAUUGUUAUUAGGAUUGCUAACUGUAUAGGAGGCAAUUAAAAAGAUGCAAGUUGGUUGCAUCGACAAUCAUUCCCAGAUUGGAUUAGGAGUAAGAUCACUGGAGAUGUAGGAUGGGAUUCCUAGUCCCAGUCCACCUACUUUGCCUAUUUAAUUAGGACUCGACCUCAUAGUAAAUCAAAUUAGGCCCCAUUUCUCAUUGUGCAUGACCAAUUGUAUGUCUGAAACAAUAUUUAAAGGCCGAACCUGCUUUUUGGGCUAACUUUGGGGAUUAAACUGUAAGGGGAUUAUAAAUAAAAUUGAGGUGUUACCCUCGUCCUGAAUUAGAUUGGAUGGAAGAUUUAAUUGGUGGUUGUGGGAAGGCUGAAAAUACUUUCUAUGCAGACUUGGGAGAGUCCAUAUGCUUUCACCUGGAUUAAGAAUAACCUUUUAUUGCUGGAGUUGGAAGUGAGCUCUAAUUUCAUAAGAGCUUCGGUUGGGGAUAUGGGAGGUCUGCUGUGCCUCCACAACCAGCAAUGCAACACAAUGCCAUCACCUUUGUACUGCAACCAUCUACAGAAUUCUUUUUUAGGUCACAGCAUACAGCUCCUCACCUAGUCUAUUUCUUUUACCGUCCUCUUGUCUUCUUUUCAAUGCCAUCAUCUGCCUUUGCUUUCAUUUUGUUUUCUUCUUUUCUUUUGCCAUCAUCAGCAGUGCAGAGUCUUAUGAUUAUUGAUCCAUAGUGUGGUCCAGUUUCAAUCAUUUGGGAACAAUCUUAACAACCAUUACCUUAAAGGUUUUAUUUAUAUGAACUUAUACUGCAGCCAUUGCCUCCCAUAUGUGUACUGAUUAGAUCAUAUGCUGUCGUUUUGUGUAGUUGUAAUAUGCCAUCAUGUAUGACCAUUUGAAAAAUGAAUCUCAUUGGCACAUCUAUAUGGGUAUUGGCUCUCGGCAAUCCCUAGAGGUGCUAGAACUCAGGCCCAGUGCUCAUGCCGUUUGCAAGUUUUUUCAAUUGGCUGGGAUCAUCGUGAUUGUAUUUGUAUUGCACCUUGCUAUGACCCCUUUAAUUCCUCUUUUUACUCUAUUUUCUUUCUAGAUGAAUAAUUUUUCUUGCUGUUAAUCAGAUAGUUCAACUGAAAGUUAUAAUUGUGCCCUAGAAAUAAUCAAGUAAUGAAUUAAUUUGAUGGUGACACUUAACUCUGUUGCUCCUAGGAAGGUGAAAAUGUGAAAUCAAACUCUAUUGUGGCUUAUGUUCAUGAGCAACCUGUUUUGGUUUCGUGGUUUCUAUAGCUAGUUUCAUUAUGCAGCUAUAUGUCGAAAUUGAGAGAGUGCGGCUGAUAAAGAAACUUGCAAAAGUUAAAGGAAGAACAAGGUCUUACAGCAGAAGCUGCUGAUUUAAUACAAGAAAUUGCAGUAGCUAGAAGUUGACUUCUGGGUUCACUGAUCUUGUAAUUGGUUUUUCCUUGUCCAGCAUUAUGAGUGGUUUGAAUUGCUGUGGAAAAUUUUGGAGCAUUGGCAAGUACGGAGAAAAUUGCCUUUAUCCUAGAACAAGUAAGGGGUUUUCGUAUUGCUUUUAGCCGUUUAUGCUCUCUUACUAUGAUCAGUUUUUUUAUCAAUGGUUUUGUAGGUUCUUUUGAGCUUAUAUUGCCAGGACUAUGUCCAUGCACAGAUCCAGAAAAUCAGGCCCCCAGUGUUUGAUGAGAAGAAAAGGCCUAAAGAAGGGGAAAGUAUUGUGGAAGAAGCGCCAGCUGAUAUUCGGUCACUUCUGGAGUUGAAACAGAUAUAAUCAGAACCCAUAAUAUGGUGAAUUGGUGCUUUACUUAUUCUAAUGUUGUAUCUACUAUUUUUAUAACUAAAACUUUUUGGCCGAUCAAGCACUACCUGGUAUUCAGGUUGUGGUUCAAGCCAUGGUUUUAUUCAUCAGUUGCAUUCUCUUUUUCCUUUCUAUCUUUAUUGCAAAUUCUGAUGUAAGAGAUGUACAUAAUGGAUUUGAACACAUAUCUUACCUCACAUUCAUGUGGUUAACGAUGUAAGUAUUAUCCACAUUACAUGGGUUACCUUGAGAUUUGUCAUUGCUAUAUGGCAAUAUAUGAGAUUCCAUCAGUGAAGGGGAAACCCAGAGCAGCGGAUACCAGAGAAGCUCUUUCGUAUAAGGCUUUGUCGAGUCUUCACUGAUUUUUUCUAGGCACAGCUGUUCAUUCUGUGAUUUAAUUAGUUGCAGGUUUUAAGAAAAAUCUGCUGGUACUUAGUUUGGUCACCACAUGAUCGGUUGCAGUCAAGCCUUCUUAAUGACACUUCAGAAGAUAAAAAUGUCUCAGAAAUUUCCCAAUUCAGGUACAUCUUUGAAUUGUUUCUUGUAUUUGGUUGUACAUUUUAUUGCGAUAGGUCGAUAAUCUGCCAUAGAAUUUGGUUGGCCGUGCCUUUGUUAUUUUAAUGCAGGUUGUAGCUGAAACAAUUGGUCACAAUGGAGGUUAUCCAAUUAACUGCUCUCUGGAGUACUUUUAGAGAUAAAUUUGAGAAUGAGAAAAACAUGCUUGAAGGCGCACUUGUUGAGAAGGCAGCAGAAGAUCUUAGACGGAGAGUAAGUGAACAUGUAAUUAUAGAACUUUGUCGUUUUUUUUUUCCUUGUUUUCUUUGGAUCAUCAUUCAAAUGCGACUUACUCUAUUUUCUGCAGAAUGUUAUUGUCGUUUUGAAGUAUUACUUGAGGAUUACCUUGAGGAAACUUGCACAGCUUUUAUGCCUCAGCAUCCAGGUUGAUUAUGUUGAACAUUUAUUUAUUUUUCUUAUCAAUGUCAAUCUUUAGGACUGAUUGCCUAGACCACUCAUUUAACCCUAGUAGCCUCUCUGCCCCUGAUACCUGUGGAUUAUGGUUGCUGGACUUGGAUACAAGUUCCAAAAAAGUGGAAAAGAGGUUUUGGUGCCUUGAAGGCCAAGGCUUGUCUUGAGGUAGAGAAUGUUGUCCUUGUAGUUUUUUUUUCUGUGAAUAUUUCGGACCAAUAUAUAUGCAUACACACUAUGCUUAGUCAACUUCUCAUAAAAUUUAUUGUAGCUAUUAGUGUCAAUGUCUGGCAUUGUGAAACCAUUUCUUGUCCCAUGGUGCCUGAAAUUCUGGUGUGCUUUAGAAGAGUGCAAGGAGCUCUGCUAUGACUCACCAUUUCCAGUGUUACAAAAGUAUUUCUCGUGAUUAGAGCUUUCUUAAUGUGCUCAGAAAAUCUAUGUAGCUGAAUCACCCAACGAAAGGAGCUCUGUUUUUGGGGUUCUGUUACCACUGUUGUAGAGAACUUUAAUCAUUCACAUGUCUCGAUCUAUUAAAUCAACACUAUCAUCGGUUAGAGAGACUACAUAAUAGUAAUUGUACAAGCCUGUAUGAUAUUCAAUCAACAUGACUUGUUAGUUCUAUGUCCAUUUUAGGAAGCUGAGAAGCAUCUCUCCAAAAUGGUUGUUUCCAAGUCCCUAGUGCGAAAGAUAGAUCUGCCGAUGGGAAUUGUCUGUUUCCAGACAGCAAAGGAGAGCAAUGAUGUCUUGAACUCAUGGCCUACAAAUUUGGAAAAGCUCCUUGAUCUUGUUGAGGAAAGCUGCUGCCGAAUCCACAAGCAAACUGUGGUUCAUAUGGCUGCUUUGAGAGCUUGGAGAUGUUCUUAGUUGAAUGAAUGACCUCUCUCCCCUCAAGCCUCCCUCUCUCUUACCAAAAGAGAAAAGCUGAAGAGUGCGGUUUCAAGUUGUCCUCUGAGGUGGGGACUAAAGAUAUCACAGAACUCUUGUUUAGCUGUCUUAAAUUUGAUAGCAUAUGUUGCAGGUGGACCAGAUCUAGGCCUUGUUUUGGACUGAAAUGGUACACUGAAUACUCUUUCUACGUGGGAAUAUAUUUUGGUCUUUUCAUCUUUCCUCUUCCCCCCUCCUUGUAAUUGAAGAUUUUUGGAUUAUCAGGGUCCAGAACUUGUACCGAUAGAAUUGGUAUCAGAACAAGAUGUAGACUCAUUCCAACAGAAGUAAGCGCCUUGUUACUAAACUCUGUUUCCCUUUACAAAUUUUGCUGGUGCUAGUGUUUUAUAACAUCAGGGAUAACAUUAGCUCUCAAAAGUAAAGGCGAAUGAAUGCUUUUUUGUAUUUCAUUUCACAUUUGAAUUUUGUUUUAGCAGGGAGAGCUUGUUUCCUUUGGACUUAAUCUUGACUGAUGGCAGUUCUAAAGACCUCUUUUUAGGGAGCUUAUAUAUUGUCAAUAGACUUAGCUUUUCUCCAGGUUGAUGUUGUGAUGUCAUUUCAAAAAGACACUGUUGUGAUGUCAUUUCUCUCUAAACUUUCAGUCACUGGAAUGUGUUUCAAUGUCCACUAGUUAACAUUUCUCUCAACUGUUGGCAUGUAUGUGGGUAAUAAUACAGUAAGAAGCUGGAGAUAUUGAGGAUAAUGUGUUUGUUGUACAACUCUAUUCAGAUUUGGGCCUAAUGGAAAUUCUCUUUACAUAGUUGCUUCCCAUUUUCAUUUUACUAUUGAUGCUUCCAAGUGGCGACUUACGAUUCGUCCAAUUUGUUUCCAAUCUUUUGUGGCUGGCGAAAUAUAGAAAUGAUCACAUUUUGCCUAUUAAUCUUGACAUUUGAUUGGUUUCAUCAAUCAAUUGUUGUCUCGAAUCUCCUUUCUUUACAAUAGAAAAUGUUGAGGGUUUAAACAUCGAGUCUCAGAGUAAAGUGGGGAAUGACUUCUAUGGAAAUCAUGAAGUAGUCUUCGAACUUUAAUUUGUGUCGAGGACAAAUUUAACUGAUGAAUGAAAAAUAGGGAGGAAAUUAGAAAUUGAAAAUGUUUGUGGUGAAAUUAGGUGUCAAAUAUUUAUUUGAUUCGACACUGGCUAUGAUUAGACAAUACAUUAUAAGAUAAGCAUCACACAAACUCAAAUCGACAUGACACGAGUUAAAACCCACGGAGAUGUAAGCAAACCAAUAUCAAAGCUGACAAUAUUUUAUCUAGUGACGGCAAGACUCGGAUGGAGUCCUCUAGAACAACAAUAUAGGAAUUAGGAUUAGGAUGUUGGGCGCCUGGUCGGUGUUAGCAUUGGGCACAACUCUUGUUUAUAGUUGAUACUACUAAUUAUCCAUCCAAUCAUUGGGGUAUGCAUUUCAUGCAUUCCGUUCCUCUCCAAUUAAAGGAAUUCGUUUGGAAAUUGUCGUAGGACAUGUGAUUGUGAUCGCACAAUUGAGACUUCGAGUUUCCCGGGUUUUUUUUUUUUUUUUUGAAACUUUCGAAUCGGUUGAUAAUGUGAUACAAUGUUCCAUCUUAAGCUAUUAACGUAUAAGCUUUGGAUCAUAGAAUAAUGAGGUGUGGUUAGUCUCGUGUACUAAGCCGUUGAGCUUUUUUUUGUCUCCUGUUGUCAAGGCAAGAGGAGAGUGUUUGUAUCUUUGAGUAAAGAAGCGGGUGCCUGCUCAGUAGCAGAAAUAAGCAAACUAUGAAGAUAUAAUAAAACAGGCGUCAAAAUAAUCACACGUUGAGCUCAUGCAAAUUGCAGUCUCUCUCCAAUUAACAGCUUCAGUUUCUCAGAUCACAUCUUCUAAUGUCAAACAAGCUAACAUUUGGAUCCUCUAUCGCACGUCGAAAAAUACCAUAUUCUGAUGAAGAACCUGUUGGCCGAGAAUGUCUAAAAUGAAAUGAAAAGUCUGACAACAGAUGACAUAAAUAGGAAAAAAAAAAGUAUCAUCGAAUAAUUAUUCGAAUUUGGAGAAUCGUUGGCCGAGAAUAAAUAAAUGCAGUAGCGAAAAUAAAAUUCACAUAAAAUGUUAAAAACCAUUGAUUUAAUGAGAGAGAUUAAAAUGACUCGGGCGUAGAGUAACGACCGGAUGAUUUGCGGGCAUGACAUGGCAUGGAGAAAUCUAGUUGGAGAAAAUCAUUCUGAAAUAGAUUUAUUUUGAGAGUUACUUCCCUAGAUGAAUCACUUUCGAUGAAUAAAUAGUAGUUAGACUGUGCAUAGAACAAAUUCAUGCGUCCGCAGGACAUCAACAAAAUCCUCGAGGACAGAGGGAAUCUCUUGUGAGCACAAGGAGCAUGGCAGCAUUAGCUUUUUUUUCUAGGAGAAAGGGAAUCUCUGGUUAGCACGAGAAGCGUGGGAGCAUUUGCUGGUUAGCUUUCUUUUCUAUUAUUUUUAGUAAUAGAAAAGGCCAGCCAAGUCAAGACAGUGCCAGAUCUCAGAUCUCAAUGAAAGCACCGUCCGCAUGUACUGCUGAGAUCACGGCAGGAGCAUGCAAGUAUUGUUCCUUAGUUUUCUCUUCUAUUUUCGUUCAUCAAUGUAAAGAGGCAAGUCAAGUCAAGUCGCGCUGGAUCUCGAGCUUCGAUCAAAAGCACCAGGAGCAUGUGAAAGUUGCACGUUGUUGCAUGUGAGUAUUUGCUUGUUGGGUUCCCCAAGAUGCUGCGGAAAUUACGCGUGCAGUGAGUGUUCUUUCCAAGGCACCCCUUACGGCGAUUCGAAUAGCAUGAAGUAUCGUUGAAUUACUAUUCAAUUACAGAGAUUUGUUAGCCGAGAAUUUACUAACGUGACACCGAAAGAAUAAAAUGGAUGUAAAAUGUAAAAAACCAUUUAUUUAAGGAGAGAGAUAAAAGUGGCUUGCGGGUAGGGUAAUGAUUUGAUAAUUUUUAAUCACAAAGUAGUGUGGAGAAAUCUAGUUUUAGAAAAUUAUUUUGAAAAAGAUUUAUUUUAGUGUUACUUUUCUAGACGAAUAAAAAGAAGGUUACGCGUCCUGAAGACUUUUAAUAACAAAAUCCCACGAUUGAUGUGCUUUUGUCAUUGGCUCAUGUACAUUAGCGGCAUAUUAGAGAAUGAAAGCAAGUCAAGUCAAGACAAUGAAAGCCCAUAGGUAGGUUCCAAGCUAGGUAGCAUGGACACGGCGACAUGAACACACGACACGACACGACACGCGGCACGUCAUUUUUUAAAAAAUAGAGAAUUUUGACACGUUAAAUAUUAAAUAAAUAUUUUUAUAUAUACAUGAUUAAUUAUUAUGUUUAAAAUAAUUUAUUCAAAUUCAUAAAUAAAUAAAUAAUAAAUCAAUACUAAUAACAUGUGUCAAUAAAGUUAUUCAACGUACGCAAAGGUUUUCGAUCCGUUUCUCUCAUCGUCUUGAAAGAAGAGAGAACUUUUACAGAAUUUGCCAAAAAAAAUAAAAUUAUUUAAUGUUUAAUAUUUCUUUUUAGGGUUAAAUGGUCCCAUCCAUUUAUUUGCCCCACCCCACCCACCGCCUGCACACCUCUCUUCCCAAAGUCACGCUGCACGAGCCUUUCUUUUUUCUCCAAGAAGCCGGCGGCACAUCCUCUCUCUCCUUGCUCUUCUUCCAAAAAUUGAAAACCCUAGCAAUCGGCGAUCGCCUUCUUUCUCCUCUCCCUCGCUCGGUCUCCACCUCUCUCACCGCUGCCUCGCUUCCGUUCCCCACUUUGCCGUCGUAGCCUCGCAUCCAGCCCUCCAUCGCAGCCUUUCUGUUUUCCAUCUCGGCGUUGCAGUCGGCGGUCGCAGCCAACCAAGACGAUCGAGAAGUCUUCUCAGUGUUGCAGUCGGCGGUUGGAGCCCUCCCCUGUCGUCGCCUCAGCUCCCUCACCCUUGCCUUCACCCUCCCAUCACUUUCUUCCUUUUGCACUUGCAGAUCCGCCCACAAAUCUCCGAACACGCUCCGACGCGCGUGUCGGAAAGAAUUGACCACGUGUUGGAGCUUCCGACACGUGUUGACCGCAUGUCCGAGCAUGUCAGACAUGUGUCGGGGUAUCUGACACGACACGGAGGCCCUCUGAACGUGUCCGCGCUUCCUGCUUCCCAGUAAAAUUCUGACUGCUGGUGGAGAUCGCGGAAGGAGCAUGUGACUAUUGCUAGUCAAUUUUCUUUUCUACUUUUUCUUAUUAAUAUAAAAGCAAGUCAUGAUGCCGCCGAGUAUUGCGGGUCUCCAAGUCAUAAUGCUGCUUCGACCCAAAAAAGCAAAAAGGUCGCGAUGUUGCAGAAAUUACGCGCUCGAAUAGCAUGAAGAGCCCUGGACCACUGGAUGGCAAGAACUCGGACAAUGUUCGGGCACGCAUAUUGGAGAUUGUUGUGCCUUGAUAAUCCUACUUCGAAGGCUGAAAAUCGGUGGAGAUCCCAGGGUUCUGUUGUUUGAGCAUUCCUCGGGUAAUCAACGAUGCCUUCCUCUUUCUCUUUUUCCUGUUCUAAUUGCUCCAUUUUCUUCUGAUGAGUUGUCCAAGAGUUUCUGUUUUUGUUUGAAUGUGGCUUCAUGUUUGACUACUAAGAGACAUUUCUGCCAUUGCUAGAUCAGGGAUUUUGCAUCUCUCUCCUCUGUUUCCUACUCCAUCGGUCUCCUCUACGAUCCUCUCGAGAUGAAAAGAAGAGAAUUCACUCAUUUAGAAGAUUCGAUCUACGAGGUGUCUUCCUCUUCUACCUCCCCACAUGUAGAUGAUUAUGAAGGCAGAACCAAGAGACCCAAAGGAAAUGAUUACGAAGUGUUUUUGAACUUUAGAGGGGACGACACUCGCAAAGGCUUCAGUGAUCAUCUCUAUACUAUCCUCUUCGAGAAAGGAAUUCAUGUGUUUAGAGACGACGAUGCGCUUCAUGUUGGUGAGGAGAUUGGUCCAGAGCUUCUUUGUAACAUUAGACAGUCCAUGAUUUCGAUCCCGAUUAUCUCCGAGAACUACGCAUCCAGCAAAUGGUGUCUUCGCGAGCUGGCUCAAAUAUUGAAGUGCAAGAGAAGCAGAGGGCAAAUAGUGUGGCCCAUCUUUUACAAAGUGAAUCCCUCGCAAGUGCGUCAUCUUGAAGGGAGCUUCGAAGAUGCUAUCAAAGCACAUAAAGAGAAUAGGAGUGAAAUGGUUUCGAGGGAAUGGGAAAAAGCGCUCAAAGAAGUGAAGGAAUGGGAAGAAGCGCUAAAAGAAGUUGGUUCUUUGAAAGGAUGGGAAUCGGAGAAGAUUCAUAACGGGUACAUUAUUCUCCACUAGAUCAUUCUUUAAUUUCUCACAAGUAGAUCUUUCGUGAAAAAGAACAUAAAUGUUGCCAUCCUAUACUAAGGGCUUGUUUGGUAACAUGCCAAACAAUGCCUGAUUCUGAUUUUUUGUUUCCAGAAUCAAUUUGGGACGAGAAUUGCGUUUGGUUAAAAUUUUUGUUCUUGGGAAUAAAGUUGUUCCCAAAAACAGAUUGAGAAAAGAAUUGAGAAUAAAAAAAAAUGUGAUUCUCCGUCUGAGAAUCAAAAAAAGAAUCAAAACAAUAAAAGUCUCAUUCUUUCCUUCCGACAUCUCAUGAUUGCCGUCCACCACCACCUGCUGCCGUUCGCGGUCGCCGGUCGCUGUUCGCCAGUUCGGCGAGCUCGCCAGGCUAGUGCGAGGUCCGGUGAGCUCGUCGGAGGCAAGUCCAGCCACCGGCAGGGCUUGGGCAAGCCUCGUCAACAACUGGGCGAGGCUCGCCCAACCCCGCCGAGGCUCGGCCUUUCUGGUGGCUAGGCGGGCCUCACCCAGCCCAGCGAUGCUCGCUCGGCCACCGGCGAGGCUCGCCUAACCCCGCCUGGCCACCGGCGAGGCUCGACCUCGCCAGAUUUGGCGAGGCCGAGCAUUGGCAGGGCUAGGCGAAGCCGAGCAUUGACAGGGCUAGGCGAGCCUCGCCCAACUGCCGGCGACGCUCCGGUGAGCGUCGCCAGCCCUCAUUUGGCCGGUCGCCGGUCCGGCCAAAUGAAGAAGAAGAAGAAGAAUAGGAGAAAAGGAAAAAAAAAAGAAAAAAAAGGAAAAAUGUAAAAAAAAAUAUUUAAAGUAUUUAAAAUUAUUUAAAAAUUAAAAGAAAUUAAUUUGGAACAUAAUCAAUUAGCAUGGUAUCAAACACAAUUCUAUUCCAGAAUAAAAAAUUUUGGACAAUUACCAAACGCAUUUUUAUUUAUUCAUAAUCAGUUCCUGGGAACAGAAUCAUUAUCAAACGCACCCUAAAAGUAAUUGUUAUUUUGGCAGGCAUGAAGGAGCAUUGGUUAAAACUAUUGUUGGAAAAGUUAUGGGCGAGUUAAAAAGACUUUUUCUACUAAAUGUUCCCAAGCAGUUGGUGGGAAUUGAUGAUCGUAUCAAUGACAUUAUGAGCUUGAUAGAUGAAUAAUUAAACGAUACAAAAAUUAUUGGACUUUAUGGAAUGGGCGGCAUCGGUAAGACAACUCUUGCAAAGGUGUUAUACAACAAACUCUCUAGUUAUUUUGAGUAUCGUAGCUUUCUGGAAAAUAUUCGAGAAACAUCUCAGCACCAGGGUAUUGAAUGCGUACUGAACAAACUCAUUUAUGAUAUAAUAGGAAGUUCGUGUCGUGAGUCUAGUGUUGACGAGGCAAUAGGUGUCAUCAAAUUUCGAUUUACAAGUAAGAAAGUCUUAGUUUUGCUUGAUGAUAUGGACGAUAGUACUACUCACUUGAAUGCUUUGGUCAAAGACGGUAGUUGGCUUGGAGUAGGAAGUAUAGUCAUCAUACACCAGAAACAAGAGCAUUCUCGAUGAGGCUAAGGCAAGUUACAUGUACCCACUUAAUGAGUUGUCUAUGGAUCAAUCAUUGAUUUUAUUUAGUAGACAUGCAUUUCGAAAGGAUUCUCCUCAAAGUGAUUAUGAGGUUCUUUCUUGUGAUGUCGUAUCUACUACCGGGGGGCUUCCAUUAGCUCUUGAAGUUACUGGUUCAUUCUUAUGUGGAAAGAGAAGAGAAGUAUGGAAAGAUACAUUAAAAAAAUUAGAAAAAAUACCCGAUAAGAAAGUGCAAGAGACAUUAAAGAUAAGUUAUGAAGCAUUAGAUCAUGAGCAAAAACAAAUAUUUUUGGAUAUUGCAUGUUUUUUCAUUGGAUCAUCAAAACAAAAUCCAACUUACAUGUGGGAUGCUUGUGAACUUUUUCCGGAGAGGGGGAUUGAAGUAUUAAGUCUUAUGUCCCUAAUUAAAAUUGACGAAAACAGAAGGCUAUUGAUGCAUGAUCAAUUGAGAGAUCUCGGAAGGGAAAUUGUUCGUCUGGAAAAUCCAAAGGAGCCUCAAGAGCGUAGCAGAUUGUGCAUCUAUGAGGAAGCCCUAGAUGUGCUUGAUAACAAUGAGGUAAGAGUUUUCUUUACUUGUCUUAGUUGGUGAAUGUGGGUGCAUCUUCCCUUUCUUGUUUGAAAUAAAAAUAACUGUCACUCUUAAGUCCCCAAAACUUGUUGCAUCAACUAGCAGAGGAGCUCUUUUGAUUAAUUGCAGUAUUUGCCUGAUUCAAGAUCAUAAUUGAGAAGCAAUUUCUUGGUUAUGAACGAUGUAUAUAUAUCUUUACAUGGUAGUAUCGUGAUGAGGAUACUCUCCUUUUGUAACUUCAAUGCAAAAACAAGACAACAAAAGCAGAAUGUUUGACAGGGUACUCUUAGAUAAAACCUGACAUUUGUAGAUUCUUUCGGCCAUGCUUUCCGCAAUAUUUAUUUGAUGCAUUUGUUUUAUGUUUAGAUUAGUCUUUUCGUCUUUUGGGAGGUCUUUUCUUUCUUUUUUCUUUUACUAAGUAUUGACUUCUUAUGAGUUCUGGUAUCAUAAAUGAGACCAUCCGUGACGAUUUAGCUAUCUUGGUUCCUUAUUUGUUUAAGUUGUUAAGUGUAUCCCUUAGGUAUUAUUGGUUGUGCAAUUUAGGGCCUAUUUGUUAAUGUUCUUUGUUUCUGUUUAUGAAUAAAAUUUCUGUUUUUUUGUUCUAGGGAACAAAAAAAGAACAUAAACGUGUUUGUUUGCGCUUUUGUUCCCAAUCUAUUUUUUUGUUCCCAGGAACACAUUUGGAACAGAAACAAGAAACAAGAAAAACGUGUUUCUUGUUUCUGAAACAAUUUUUAAGAACAAAAUUUCUCUCUCCUCUCUUUUUCUCCUCUUUUUUUUCUUCUUUUCUUUUUCUUUUUUCUUUGGCCGGCGACGCCAUCAAGGGCCGGCGACCUCGCCAGAGCGUUGCCGGCCUUUGACGAGGCUCGGCCUCGCCGGGGGCCGGCGAGCCUCGCCAUGGCUAGGCGAGGCCGCUAGCCCUCGUCGGCCGGUCGCCGGCCAUGGCCGAGGCCAGCAACUGGCCAAAAGAAGAAAAAAAGAAAAGAGAAAAAAGAAAGAAAAAUAAGAAAAAUAAAAUAAAAAUAUUAAAAAUUAAAAGAAACAAAAAAGAACACAAAUUUACCAAACGUGUUUCUGUUCAUUUUUUAUUCUCAGAACAAGUUUACCAAACGCGUUUUUUUAUGCAAAAAUUGUUCUCCAGAACAGAAACACUUUUUUCUAUUUCUAUUCCCUAGAACAAUUUUUAAAUAGAAAUGUUACCAAACGCGCUCUUAUUCCCCCAUCUAUUUUUGUUUUUGCUGAAUAUAGUCCUCUCACUUUUUUGUGCAAUCGAGUCAUUUAUGGUCAAUCACUAGUUGACACCACCCAAUUUGUUGAUGUGGCAUUUGUAUUUAGUUAUGAUACAUGAGCAACCAUGCAAUAUUACCCCUUUUAAACAUACAUUAUUUGUGUUGUAUAGACUUUUUCAUAGUAAUUGAUAGCUUCUUUUUAUAUAUGGCAGGGUUGGUAGAUGCAUUUGAACGGUUAGAUUUGUAUUCGUUCGCAUAUACAUAAUGGGAGUAAAGGAAGUGUUAUUUCACAUAUAAUGGGCAUUAAUUUUGAUAAAUAUAUUUUAGUAUAUGCGUGAAGAGAGGCCUUCCAUUGUAAUUGCAAAUGGACCCAAUUUUUGGAAAUUCAUAAGGUCCAAAUUGCAAAAGGUAUAGUUGGACAAGGAAAAAGUUUGGAAACAACCACUUGAGCUUCUCAUCUUUACAUAGAUUAGAUAAAUAAUAUGCAAUUACAACCUUUCAUUUCACAAAAAUCAAAGUGAGAAGCCUACGCCAUAGUAGUAGGACAACAAAUUGUUUUCAAUGCAUUUUAUUUUAUAUCAAUUGGUGUCAUUUCAUCAUUCAAAACUUAUGGUCCACAUUGUUUCCAAGCUACAGGGCACCAAAAAGAUCGAGGCCCUUUCUCUUGGCAAAUUUAGUAAGGGAAAAAGAUUCGCAGCUGAACAAUUUAAAGAAUUGACCAACUUGAGGUUCCUUCAAGUGGAUGGUGUGAAUUUCACCGGAGAUUUCCAAAGCUUAGUUCCUAAAUUAAGAUGGCUUCAGUGGAAAGAGCGUCCCUCGGAUUUCACUGCGAACAACUUUCAUCCGAAAAAACUAGUUGUACUUGAUCUAUCAUACAGUGCCAUUUUGGAGGACUGGGGAGGAUGGGAUCCACUCAAGGUAAGACAUGAAGAAGGCAUUGAAGUAUUUUUUAAUGUAACAUUUUUUUUCCUUGUACAUUUGAAAAUUGAUUUUCAUAAUUAAACUAGCUAUUUCUCUUUAAUUUCAUACUACUGAAGGACAACAUGGUGCCCAAUGAUUGCAUUUCUCUUUCAUUUGGACUUGUCAUAGGCUUUUUUGAUAGUAUAAGUUGCUUAUGUCUAAUAAGCAAAUAUCUCCUUAGAAAUGUUAUUCGGAAAUAAAUGCAAUUAGCACUUGUACACCCUAACAUUCUUUUGCAAUCGAUGUGCUUGACGUGGCCAAACAUUAUUGAAAGAGGCAUUUAAAAUUAAGUAGGACAACCACCAAGGAGUAGAGGAGCAUGGAGAAUUUUUGAGGAAUUCUAAAAUGUGAAAUACAUAAGGAGUAGCGAAAAAUCACAGGUUGUGACAGUCCACUUACACUGACAUAUCCUUUCUUUCUUCCAGAAGGUGACUGAGCUCAAAGUUCUCAACCUCGAGUGGUGUCAAUCUUUGAAAAGAACCCCCGACUUGUCCACUUUCAGAAGGUUGGAGAAUUUGAAUCUCCUAUGUUGUAAGAAUUUGGAAGAGCUUCAUCCUUGGGAUCCUCUAGAGUCGACAGAUUUCCGGGACUUAAAAGGGACAUUGAUUACUACAUUCCUGAAAGCAUUGGGAAUUUGCAAAAUCUGAGGGUCUUGGAUAUUUGUAGAACUGGCAUAACAGAAUUGCCUGAUGACAUUGGGAUGUUGACAAAACUCCAAAAGUUGGAAGCUUGUCAUUGCAAAAACCUGGAGCGACUACCUAGUAAUAUAUGCGAAUUGAUUGCGCGAGAGGUGCUCCACCUUUCAUGUUGUAUAAAGCUUCAAGAAUUACCUGAAUUGCCCUCCAGCUUAACGGAACUAUGGAUCACCUGCCAGGGGCAGUUUUUGCCCCGUCUUUCCCAGCUAACCUGUCUCAAGACACUCGAUCUUUUUAAUUGCAGUCUUGAAUGUGUCCCAGAGCUUCCCAUUGGACUAAUUGUGCUUGAUAUUGCUAGUUGUGAAAAUUUGAAAGCCUUGACGAAUUUGUCAGACUUGAAACACUUGCGACGUUUCAGUAUAUGUGGAUGCCCAUCUCUCGAAGGAUCGCCCGACGUGUUGAAUUUUAGGUGUACGCAGAUGAGAGAGCUUGGCUUGAAAGAGACCCACCCCCAUCCGAAGUACUUAGUAUUCAAGCGUUAGCAGACGUCAAGAGCUACCGGGGGGCAGAAGAGAAGGAUGGUUGGAUGUACAUGGAAUCUCUCUCUCUCUCUCUACUAGUCAGUGGCCCUACUGGUUUCCCAGGCCCGAAGAUCAAAGCCACUAUUCGCACCGCCCAUCCACUGCCAGGCAGGCAGGCAGGUCGGUCGGCGCGGCGGAGAUGACGACGGCGACGGCAACGCCACGGCUGGCAACGCCCUCUCCAUCCGCUCCAGGUAAACGCACACACGCGUCUUUCGUGUGGUCUCUCAGCUUCAUCUGCAUUUUAGAACCAUGUCGCUUCGGCGUGCGAGCUCAUCGAUUGUUGGGAUUGGAGAUUUUAGUUUGCUCUGUAGUAAAUGUAGGGCAUGAUGCAGAUGAUCGAUCAAUCGCAUUUGAAGUUUAGAGACGAUCCAUCUCAUGUCGUAAAUUUGCAAUUGCAGAUAGUUGGGAUGGCGGUGUUCAAUUUCCUAAAGGUGGCCUUCUACGUCUUCCUGGGACUGUUGCUUGGCAACAAAGCUGCUGAAAUCACUGUGAUGACCAUAUUCUCUUUUGUGGUAACUCCCUUAGCGUUUACUUGUGUCAUGAUGACAUUGACUGCUUUUCUUUCGUCAGUUUCUGGGACUUGAUGGGAUUUUCCACAUUUUCCCCUAUUUUAAGGUGUUCUCGGCGAUUUUUGAUUCGCCUACUUGGUUACUUCUUCUCUCUUUUUUCUUGAAUGAUGAUAGAAGGAAGUUUGGGGUUGAUAUUCCUGUGGAAGUUUAAUGGCGGCGCCUCUAUAUAUGCAUACAAAAAGAUAUGUAAUAAAGCAAAGAGAUUAGCCUGGGGAUAUAUCCUUUCUGACAGGGUAUCAGCGAGUCUUCAGCGCCUGACCACUUAGCUUUGGAGCAGACAACGAACUCAAUAGGUAGAAGUUAGUGGCAUGUGGAUGAACUGAGUAGGAAAUUAGUGCACAAAGCUCUGUGGAUAAGCUGGAUGUUAUUAUUUGGGGUACCAUCUAGNNNNNNNNNNNNNNNNNNNNNNNNNNNNNNNNNNNNNNNNNNNNNNNNNNNNNNNNNNNNNNNNNNNNNNNNNNNNNNNNNNNNNNNNNNNNNNNNNNNNACGUUCGUCUGCCCACUGACUACUAAGUCCGAAAAUUAAAGAUGAACUGUGAUUAUGAGUGGUACCUCUCCAUUGCAAUUAGGGUGUGCCAUGGAGUUUCUCCGUUGCAUGAACAACAGCAUGUGUUAGGUUUGUUGGUGGCAAAAGUCAUAUAAAAAACGCAGGAGCCAAGAUUAUUGUGUUCAGCUGUGUACCUAGUUCUUGGGGCAUGAACUUUUGUCUUCCUAGCUCAAAGCACUCUUUGCCUUCCUCUUCAAGUGAUACAAAGGAGUCAAAAUUAUUUGAUGACAUUGAUACUAGGAUAUUCAUCCAUGUUAAAUUGUUUUCCCUGUAUUUUCUUGCUCCUGAACUUUCUUGUAUGAAAGAAGCAUCUCAUACACAUUGUGAGGAGUGAAUGGGGUCAUCGAGGUUAACCUAUGUCCAAGUAUAUGCCUUCUCAUCUCUGCUUUUGGGUCACAUGGUGGAAUUUUUGCUCUUUGUUGAUGGUAUUUCAUUGUCAUGGUUCAUUGAAAGAUGAUAAGUUACUCUUGGAUUAGGCAGAUCAUUAUAAUUAGUGGCUAUGAAUUAUACCUAUGCAAGAUUUGAAAAUUGUUUCAGGAUUGCUAUCUGUGUAGGAUGCAAUUUAAAGAUGGAACUUGGUCACAUCAAAAGUCAUUCCCAGUUGGGAUCAGAGUAGGAUCAUUGGAGAUGUAGGAGGGGAUUUCUAAUCCCAGUCCCAAAUAUUCUACUUAGCCUAUUUAAUUAGCAAUCAAUCUCAUAGUAAACCAAAUUAGGCUCCAGUUCUCAUUGUGCAUGACCCAUUGUAUGUCUAAAACAAUAUCUAAAGGCCAAACUUGCUAAUUAGGGCUAACUUUGGGGAUUGAACUAUAAGGGAAUUAUAAAUGAGAAUGAGGUGUUGCCCUCAUCUUGAAUUAGAUUGGAUGGAAGAUUUGAUUGGUAGUUGUGGUGAGGCUGAAGAUACUUUCUAUAUAGACUUGGGAGAAUCCAUAAGCUUUUUGCCGGAGUAAGAAUAACCUUCAUGAGAGCUUGGGUUGAGGUAAAUGGACCGUCUGCUGUGCCUCCACAAACAGCAGUGCAGCCCAAUGCCAACACCUUUGUACAGCAACCACCUCUACUGGCUGGGGACGGAAUUCUUUUUCAUGUUACAGCAUAUAGCACUUUACCUUGUCUAUUUCUUACAAUUUCCUCUCUUCUUUUCACUGCCAUCAUCCGCUUUUGCAUUUGUUUUAUUCGCUUCUUUACUUUUGCCUUAGAUGCUUCUCUAGUUAACUUCUUUGAGAGGUACGAGAGCUUCUUCAAUGAUGUGCUUAUGCUGUGGUGAUAAUAGUGCUUUUGUCUUCUACUUUUGAGCUUCAUUCCCUCUUUUCAAAGAUAACAUACAGGUGAUAGUAUAGAAAAAAACGAUAAAGGAUCUAUCACUUUAGACCUUAACUUUCUGUAGGGUCUUACAAUCAUUGAUCGAAAGUUUGGUCCAAUUUCUAUUAUUUUGGGAUCAAUCUUAACAACCUUUACCUUAAGGGUUUGAUUUUAUACUACAGGGAUUGCCUCCCAUAUAUGUACUGAUUAGAUCAUGAAUUGUUGUUUUGUGUAGCUUUGACAUGCCAUCUAUGUAUAACUAUCUAAAAAAAAUAAUGUGCCUGGCAUAUUGACAUGGGAAUUGGCCCUAGGCAAUCUAUUGGGACGUGAGAUCUCUGGCUUGGUGCUUGUGCUCUAGAAUCUAGUAUGGUGGAAUCCUCUAGAAUCUAGUAUUGUGGAAUGCUCUUCAGUUUCUCACCUUCUGUUUCUGGAUUCUCUCCCAUGAUUGCCCCAAAUUUUUACUUUUUGUUCCCCUAUUCAUUUAUGAGUCACAUUACUUCUUUUUCAUGUCUAGUUCACGAUACAAUUCAUGACAUAUCCUUUAUGGGGAUCUUAUAGUGCUUGUGCUGUUUGCAAGUUUUCGAUUGGCUUGUAUCCUCUUCAUAGAGAUACCUCUAUUUGUAUUGUACCUUGCUAUUGUCCCUUUUGGUUCAUUUUUUGACCAUAAUUUCAUUCUAGAGUGACAAAUUUUUCGUGCUGUUAAUCAAAUAGUUCAAAUCAAAGUUUUAAUUGUGAUCAAGGCAUAAUCAAGUCAUUGACUUGAUUGGAUAGUGACCUACAUGUCACUGUUUUCUUAUCCACAGGCUGUGACAACAAUGGUGUAGCAUGCUUUGUAAUAUGUUGACGAGACACCUAAUCUUGAGACCAAGAUAGAGCUUAUUAAGACACUCAACUCUGUUGUUGCUGGGAAGGUGAAUAUGUGAGAAAUCAUAUCCUAUUGCAGCUUAUGUUCAUCAGCAAUCUGCUUUUAUUUCGUGAUGUAGCUAGUUUCGUAACUCAAGUAUAUGUCAAAAUUGAGAGAGCAUGGUUGAUCAAUAAACUUGCAAAAAUAAAGGAAGAACAAGGUUGUGUAGCAGAAGCUACUGAUUUGAUGCAAGAAUUAAGGAUAAUUAGAAGUUAACUUCUGUUGUCACUGAUCUUGUAAUUGGUUUUCCCUCGUCCAACAUUCCUAUGACGGGUUUGAAGUGCGGGUAGAAACUUUUGGAGCAAUGGCAAAGAUGGAAAAAGUUGCCUUUAUUUUUUAACAAGUGCGGGUAUUUUGUAUUGCUUUUAGCCGUUUAUCCAUUAUUACUAUGGUUGGUUUUCUGAUCGAUGGAUUUUGUAGGUUUGUUUGUGCAAGGAGUAUGUCUGUGCACAUAUCUUUUCCAGGAAGAUCAACCCCCGAGUGUUUGAUGCAAAUCCUUCCAUACAGAAGAAAAAGGCUAAAGAAGGUGAAAACAUUGUGGAACAAGUGUCAGCUGAUAUUCUGUCUCUCCUGGAGUUGAAACGGAUAUACGAUGACUCAUGAUAUAAUAAAUUGGUGUUUUGCUUUUUCUAAUGUUGUGUCCACUAUCUUUUAACAAAUUUGCUGUUGCUGAUCAAAUGCCACCUAGUAUUCGGGUUAUGGUUCAAACCAUGAACUUAUAUGGUUUUAUAUAUCUGGCAAAUACUCUUCUUUCUUUCUAGCUUUAUCGCAAACUCCGAUGUUCUAGAUUUACUUGAUAGAUUUGAACUUGCAUCUUAGUUUGCCUCCCAUUCAUGUGGUUAACCAUGUAGGCAUUAUGCUGAAUGCUGAUAAGUUCCUCUGUAUUAGUCAGAGCAUUAUGCCUAGUGGCUAAUAAUAAAACUAUCCAAGAUUUUUACCUUUCAAAUCAUUUUUAGGACUGACUAUCUGUAUAGGAUGCAAUUAAAAAGAUGGAAGUUAGUCACAUCAAAAAUCAUUCCCCGUCCAAAUAUCUGACUUAAUCCCAGGAUUGGGGCAAAUUUUUACUUGUUCUCGUACUCAUGUAUGAAUCACGUUACUUUUUUUGGGGGGGGGGGGGUGUCUAGUUUAGGAUACGUUUCAUGAUAUGUCCUUUAGGGGGAUAUUAUAAUGCUUUUGCUGUUUGCAAGUUUUCAAUUGGCUGGGAUCCUCUUCAUGGAGAUACCUGUAUUUGUAUUGCAUCUCGCUAUUGUCUCUUUUGGUUCCCUUUGUGAACAUAUUUCAUUCUAAAGUGAUGAAAUUUUCGUGCUGUUAAUCAAAUAGUUCAAAUCAAAAUUUUUAAUUGUGUCUAGAUGUACUUGAUUGGACAGUGACAUACAUGUAGCUAUUUUCUAAUCAACAGGCUGUGACAGCAAUGGUGGCAACAAGCUAUACAAUACAUUGAUCAGACCGCUGAUCUUGAGACCAAGGAGGUUAAUUAAGACACGUAACUCUGUCACUGAUGGAAAGGUGAAUAUGUGAAAUCAAACUCCAUCGCAGCUUAUAUUCAUUCAUAAUCUGUUUCUGUUCCGUGGUUUCUAUAGCUAGUUUUUUCAUGCAAAUAUAUGUCGAAACUGAAAGGGCGCGGUUGAUCAAGAAACUUGCAAAAAUAUAGGAAGAUCAUGGCCUUAUAGCAGAAGUUACUAAUUUGAUGCAAGAAAUUGGGAGAUGACUUCUGUUGUCAUUGAUCAUGUAAUUGGUUUUUCCUUGUCUAGCAUUCCUAUUAUGGGCUUGAAUUGUGGAUGGAAACUUUUGGAUCAAUGGCAAAGACAAAGAAAUCGCCUUUAUAUUCUAACAAGUGAGGGUUUUUGUUUAGCCUUUUGUGUACUAUUACUAUGAUUGGUUUUCUGAUUGAUGGAUUUUGCAGGUUCGUUUGUGCUUAGAUAGCCAAGAUCAUGUCUAUGCACAGCACAUAUCUUUUCCAAGAAGAUCAGCCCCGGAAUGUUUGAUGCAAUUCCUUCCAAAGAGAAAAAAAAAAAAGCCUAAAGAAGGUGAAAGCAUUGUGGAAGAAGCUCGCUGAUAUUUGUCACUUCUGGAGUUAAAAUGGAUAUAGUAUGACUCAUGAUACGGUAAAUUGGUGUUUUGCUUUUUCUAGUGCCGUGCCCACUAUCUUUUAACUUAUGUGUUUUUGCCGAUCAAGCACCACCUGGUGUUCAGGUUGUGGUUCAAACCACGGCACAUUCUCUUGUGCCUUUCUAGCUUUAGCGCAAACUUUGACGUUCCAGAUGUACUUUGAUAGAUUUGUACUCGCAUCUCAGUUUACCCUACAUUUAUGUGGUUAACGAUAUAGGUAUAGGUAUUGCUCACACAACAAUGAUUAACUUGAGAUAUGUCGAUGCUACAAGGCAAUAGGUGAGAUUCCAUCAGUGAAGGGAAACCCAGAGCAGUGGACAUUGGUGAGGGGAAACCCAGAGCAAUGUACAAUGGUGAAGCUCUUUUGUUGUUAAGUCUUCACUGCGUGUUUCAAGGAACAGUUGUUCAUUCUGUGAUUUAAUUUAAUGCAGAUUCCAAGGAAAAUCUACUGGUGCUCGGUUCUAUCACCACAUGAUCCUAUGCAGUCAAGCCUUCUAAAUGACUCUUUAGAGGAUAAAAAUCUCUCGGAAAAUUCCCAAUUCAGGUACCAUCUGUGAAUUUUUGUGGGUAAUUGGCUGUACAUCUUGAAAUAUCACAAUCAUGUGCUAUAUAAUUAGUUGACCAUGCCUUCAAUAUUUGAACGCAGGCUGCUUCUGAAACAAUUGGUCAAGUUGGAGGUUAUCCAGUGGCCUGCUUUUUGGAGUAAUGAAGUCGAGAAUGAGAAAAACAUGCUGGAAGGUGCACCUGUUGAGAAGGCAACAGAAGUUCUUAGACAAAGAAUCGUUGAACUUGUACUUGCAGAACUUUGUCUUUUUUCUUCUUUUUGGAUCAUCAUUCAGAUGUGACUCAAUCUAUUUUCUGCAAAAUAUUAUCUUCAUUUCAAAGUAUUACUCGAGGAUUACCUUGAAGAGACUUGCAGAGCUGUUAUGCCUCAACAUUCAGGUCUGAUUGUGUUGAACAUUUUUUUUUUUAAUUGUAUAUCAAUGUCAAUCUUUAUGAAUUGUUGCCUAGACUCCUCAUUUAACCUGAGCUACCUCCCUGCCUUCAAUCCCUGAUUGGGGCAUGGUUGCUGGACUUGGAUACAAGUUCCAAAUUAGUGGAAAAGAGUUUUUGGCAUAUUGAAAGCCAAAGGCUUGUCAUGAAUUUCUGACUGACAAAUAUGGGUACUCUCGGCUUAGUCGAUUUCUGCUGAUAUAUUUUUUUUUGGUAAAAGGUAAGAAUAUUUCUGCUGAUAUACUUGUUGGGGCUAUAAGUGUCAUUGUCUGGCAUCGUGAAACCAUUUCUUGUCCCAUGGAGCCUGAAAUUCUAGUGCACUUAUGAAGGGUGGGAGGAGCUCUACUAUAUUGCUAGUAUCUACACUCAUCACUACCUGUGUCACAAAAGUAUAUCUCACUAUUAGAGCUUUGUUAAUGUGUUUAGAAAUUCUGCAUAGAUGAUUCACUCAAGGAAAAGAGCUCUGUUUUUUUGGGUUCUGUAACAACUAUUGUAUGAUUCACUCAAGGAAAAGAGUUCAGUUUUUUGGGGUUCUGUUACCACUGUUGUAGAGGGCUUUAAUCAAUCGCAUGCCUCAAUUUAGUAAAUCAACACUAUCAUCUAACAGAGAGACGAUAUGAUGAUAUUUAUACAAGCUUGGAUGAUAUCCUAUCAGCAUGGCCUGUUAGUUCUAUAUUAUCAUUUUAGGAAGCUGAGAAGCAUCUCUCCUAAAUGGUUGUUUCCAACUCCUUGGUGGCAAAGAUAGACCGGCUGAUGGGAGUCGUCUGGAAUAGAUGACAAAAGACAGCAAUGACAUCUUGAACUUGUGGACAAAAAGUUUGGGAAAGCUGCUUGAUCUUGUCGAGAAAAGUUGCCACCAAAUGCACAAGGAGACUAUGGCUCAUAAGGCUGUUUGGAGAGCUUGAAGACGUUCCUAGUUGAAUGGAUGGUCUCUCUCCCCUUGAGCGCCCGCGCGCCCCCAAACAAAAAAACAAAAGAGAAGCUGAAUAAUGUUGUUUCACAUUGUGGUCUGAAGUGGGACCGAAGAUGUUCAUCAUAGAACUCUGAGUAGCUGGCUUCAAUUUGAUUGCAUAUUUUGCACAGGGGACCAGAUCUGGGCCUUGUUCUGGAUUGAAACGAUAUACUGAACAAACUGCAUAGGAAUGUAUUCUGUCUUUUCAUGCUUCCUCUUUCCCCUCUUCUUUUAAUGGAAGAUAUGUAGGAUUUUAGGGUCCAAAACUGGUACCAACGAAAUAGGUAUCGCCAACAAGAUGGGCACUCGUGUGGACUGAAAUAAGCGCCUCAUCGCUAAAUUCUGUUUUGUAUUACAAAUUUUACCAGAAAUUGCAGUAACUGGAAUUUAGGAUGUGGUUCAAGCCAUGGCUUUAUUCAUCUGUCACAUUCUCUUUUUCCUUUCUAUCUUUAUUACAACUCUGAUGUUAGAGAUGUACUUAAUAGAUUUGAACACACAUCUUACCUUGAAGUCAUGUGGUUAACGAUGUAAGUAUUACUCACAUUACAAUGGUUACCUUGAGAUUUGUUGUUGCUAUAUGGUGAUACAUGAGAUUCCAUCGGUGAAGGGGAAACCCAGAGCAGUGGGCACAAAUGAAGCUCUUUCAUAUGAAGCUUUGUCAAGUCUUCACUGAUUGUUUUAAGGUGCACUGUUCAUUCUAUGAUUUAAUUUGUUGCAGGUUCUAAGGAAAAUCGCUGGUACUUAGUUCAGUCACCACGUGAUGAUGAUGCAGUCAAGCCUUCUUAAUGCCGCUUUAGAAGAUAAAAAUCUCAGAAAUUUCCCAUUCAGUUACAUCUUUGAAUUGUUUCUAGGUAUUUAAUUGUACAUUUUGUUGCAAUAUCUCAAUAAUCUGCCAUAGAAUUUGGUUGGCUGUGCCUUUGCUGUUUUAACACAGGUUGCAGCAAAAACAAUUGGUCACAAUGGAGGUUAGCCAAUUAACUGCUCUUUGGAGUACUUUCGGAGAUGAAUUUGAGAAUGAGAAGAACAUGCUUGAAGGCGCACUCAUUGAGAAGGCAGCAGAAGAUCUUAGACGGAGAAUAAGCAAACAUGUAAUUACAGAACUUUGUCGUUUUUUCUUGAUUUCUUUGGAUCAUCAUUCAAAUGAGACUUUCUCUAUUUUUUCAGAAUGUUACUCGAGGAUUACCUUGAAGAAACUUGCAUAGCUGUCAUGCCUCAACAUCCAGGUUGAUUAUGUUGAACAUUUAUUUAUAUUCUUUAUCAAUGUCAUUCUUUGACUUAUUGCCUAGACCCCUCAUUUAACCCUGAGCAGCCUCUCUGCCCUGAUACCUGCAGGGUAUGGUUGCUGGAUUGGGAUACAAGUUCCAAAAAAGUGGAAAAGAGGUUUCGGUGCAUUGAAGGCCAAGGCUUGUCUUGAGGUUGAGAAUGUUGUCCUUGUAGUUUUAUUCUGUGAACAUUGCACACUAUGCUUAGUCAACUUCUUCUCAUAAAAUUUGUUAUAGCUAUAAGUGUUGAUGUCUGGCAUUGUGAAACCAUUCUUGUCCAAUGGAGCCUGAAAUUUUGAUGCCGCUUUAGAAGUGUGGGAGGAGUUCUGCUAUGACUCACCAUUUCCAGUGUUACAAAAGUAUAUCUUGUGAUUAGAGCUUUCUUGAUGUGCUAAAAAAUUCUAUGCAGCUGAAUCACUCAAUGAAAGGAACUCUGUGUUUGGGGUUCUGUUACUGCUAUUGUAGAGAGCUUUAAUUAUUUACAUGCCUUGAUCUAUUAAAUUAACACUAUCAUCUGCUAGAGAGACUGCAUAAUAGUAAUUAUACAAGCCUGUAUGAUAUUCUAUCAGCAUGACCUGUUAGUUCUAUGACCAUUUUAGGAAGCUGAGAAGCACCUCUCCAAAAUGGUUGUUUCCAAGUCCCUGGUGGGAAAGAUAGACCUGCUAAUGGGAGUUGUAUGUUUCCAGAUGACAAAGGAGAGCAAUGAUACUUGAACUCGGGCUACAAAUUUGGAAAAGCUCCUCAAUCUUGUUGAGGAAAUCUGCCACCAAAUCCACAAGCAAACUAUGGUUCAUAAGGCUGCUUUGAGAGCUUGAAGAUGUUCAUAGUUGAAUGAAUGAUCUCUCUCCCCUUGAGCCUCCCUCUCUCUUACCAAAAGAAAGGAGCUGAAGAAUGUGGUUUCAUGUUGUCUCUGAAAUGGGGACUAAAGAUAUCAUAGAACUCUCGUGUAGCUGUCUUAAAUUUGAUUGCAUAUUUUGCAAAUGGACCAAAUCUGGGCCUUGUGUUGGACUAAAAUGAUACACUGAAUACACUUUCUACAAAGGAAUAUAUUUUGGUCUUUUCAUCAUUCCUCUUCCCCCCUCCUUAUAAUUCAAGAUUUUUGAGCUCACAGGGUACAGAACUUGUGCAAAUGGAAUUGGUAUCAGAACAAGAUGUUUACUCUUUAAAAGUCCUGUAACUUUUGUCUUUCCAGCUCAAAGCACUCUUUGCCUUCCUCAUCAAGGGAUAUUAAAGGAAUCAAAAUCAUUUCAUGACACUGAUACUUGGAUAUUCAUAUGUGCUAAUUUGUUUUUCAUGUAUAUAGUUGCUCCUGAACUUUCUUGUACUAAAGGAAGUAGCUUACGCUCCUUUGUUAGGAGCGAAUUGGAUAAUGGGGAUUAAACUAUGUCCAAGUAUUUGUCUUUUCAUCUCUGCUUUUGGGUGAUAAGCUGGUGGAAAUAUUGCUCUUCAUUAAUAUAGUCAUUGUUAUGCUACGCUGAAUGCUGAUAAGUUCCUCUGGAUUAGUUAGAGCACUAUGACUGGUGGCUAUCUAUUAUACAUACACCAGAUUUUUACCGUCACUAUUGUUAUUAAGAUUGCUAUCUAUAUACAAUGCAAUUAAAAAGAUGGAAUUUGGUCACAUUGAAAAUCAUUCCCAGUUGAGAUUAGGAGCAGAAUCAUUGCGGAUGUAGAAUGGGAUUCCUAAUCCUAGUCCCAAAAGCCUACCUUGCCUAUAUAAUUAGGAGUCAAUCUCAUAGUAAACCAAAUUGGGUCUCAGUGCUCACUGUGCAUGACCCAUUGCACAUCUAAAAAAAUACCUAUAGGCCGAACCUGCUAAUCAGGGCUAACUUUGGUAAUUGAACUAUAAGGGGAUUAGAUGGGAUGAACUAUAAGUGAGAAUGAGGUGUUGCCCUCAUCCUGGAUUAGAUGGGAUGGAAGAUUUAAUUGGUGGUUGUGGAAAGGUUGAAUUUACUUUCUAUGCAGACUUUGGAGAAUCCAUAAGCUGUUCAGUGAGUAAGAAUAGCCUUCAUGAGAGCUUGGGUUGGGGUAAAUGGAAGGUCUGAUGUGCCUUCACAAACAGCAGUGCAGCCCAUUGCCAACACCUUGUCUAUUUCUUUCAUCCUCCUGUUUUCCUCUUUUCACCGCCAUCAUCUGGUUUUGUGUUUAUAUACUCUUUUCUCUACUUUUGCCCCCAGAUGCUUCUCUAGUUAACUUUCUUUAUGAGGUACAAGAGCUUCUUCAGUGAUGUGCUUCUACUGCAAUGAUAAUCGUGCUUUUGUCUUCUGCUUUUAAACUUCAUUCCCUCUUUUCAAAGAUAACAUACAUGUGUUAGUACAGAAAAUAGAUUAAGAAUCUAUCACUUUAGCCGUUAACUUUCUGUAGAGUCUUAUGAUCAUUGAUCCAAAGUAUGGUCCAAUAGCAAGCAUUUAGGUUCAAUCUUAACAACCUUUACCUUAAGGGUUAGAUUUUAUAUGGCAGGGAUUGUCUUCGUUAUGCAUACUAAUUAGAUCAUGAACUGUCAUUUCGUGUAGCUGUGACAUGCCAUCUAUGUAUAACUAUCUAAAAAAUGAAUGUGCCCGGCACAUCAACAUGGGAGUUGGCUCUAGGCAAUCUGUUGGGAUGCAAGAUCUCAGUCCUGGUGCUUGUGCUCUAGAAUCUAGUAUGGUGGAAUCCUCUAGAAUCUAGUAUUGUGGGAUCCUCUUCAGUUUCUCACCUUGUGUUUCUGGAUUGUCUCCCAUGAUUGGCCCAAAUUUUUACUUCUUGUACUCAUGUACGAAUCACAUUACUUUUUUUUUUCAUGUCUAUUUCAGGAUACAUUUCAUGAUAUGUCCUUUAUGGGGAUAUUAUGGUACUUGUGUUGUUUGCAAGUUUCCAAUUGGCUGGGAUCCUCUUCAUAGAGAUAUCCAUACUUGUAUUGCACCUUGCUUAUGUCCCUUUUGGUGCCUUUUUUUUUUUUUUCCAUAUUUUCAUUCUAGAGUGACAAAUUUUCUGUGCCGUUAAUCAAAUAAUUCAAAUCAAAGUUUUAAUUGUGAUCCAGACAUUAUCAAGUCAUUGACUUGAUUGGAUAGUAACCUAAUAUUGCUGUUUUAUCAACAGGUUGUGAUAGCAAUGGCACAGCAGGCUAUGCAUACGUUGACCAGACACCUGAUCUUGAGACCAAGAUAGAGCUUAUUAAGACACUUAACUCUGUCAUCGCUGGGAAGGUGAUUUUGUGAAAUCAAACUCUACUGCAGCUUAUGAUGAUGAGCAAUAUGUUUUUGUUUUGUGGUUUCUAUACUAGUUUUGUUAUGCAGAUAUAUGUUGAAAUUGAGAGAGGACAGUUGAUCAAGAAACUUGCAAAAUAAAGGAAGAACAGGGUCUUAUAGAAGAAGCUGCUGAUUUGAUGUGAUAAAUUGCGGUUAUUGGAAGUCGACUUCUAUUGUCACUAAUUUUGUAAUUGGUUUUUCCUUGUCCAACAUUCCUAUUAUGGGCUUAAUUUGCAGGUAGAAACUUUUGGAACAAUGGCAGAGGUGGAGAAAAUUGCCUUUAUCCUUGAACAAGUAUGGGUUUUUUGUAUGUCUUUCAGCCAUAAUGCGCUAUUGCUAUAAUUGGUUUUCUGAUCGAUGGAUUUUGCAGGUUCAUUUGUGGGCAGAUCGCCAGGAUUAUGUUCAAGCACAGAUCCUUUCCAGGAAGAUCAGCCACCAAGUCUCUGAGGCGGAUCCUUCUGAAGAGAAGAAAAAUCCUAAAGUAGGUGAAAAUAUUGUGGAAGAAUUCGUCACGUCUGGAGUUGAAACGGAUAUGCUACGAACUCAUGUUUCAGUACGUUGUCGUUUGUCUUUUUCUAAUAUCGUGUCCACUAUCUUUUCACUAAAAAAAAUUUGGCUAUCAAGUACUACCUCGUAUUGAGGUUGUUAUUUAGACCAUGAAUUUGCAUGGCUUUAUUUGUCUGGCACACACUCUUCUUCGUUUCUAGCUUUACCACAAACUCUAAAUUUAAGAUGUACUUGAUGGAUUUGAGCACCCAUCUCAGUUUACCUUGCAUUCAUGUGGUUAACGAUGUAGGUAUUACUCACAUAACAAUGAUUACCUUGAGAUUUGUCCAUAAUGUGAUAUAUGAGAUUCCAUGAGGGAAGGGAAACCCAGAGCAAUGGAUACCAGUGAAGCUCUUUCUGAUGAGGCUUUGUUUUCAUUGAGUUUGUUAAGGCACAAUUGCUCAUUCAGUGAUUUGAUGAAGUGCAGGUUCUAAGGAAAAUCUGUUGGUAAGGGUCCUUUGCUUUCGCGGAAAAUAUCAUGUUUCCGGAAAACAUUUUCCUAGAAGUCAUUUUCCAAAAAAAUGACUUUAUUUUCCGGUGUUCGGCCGAAAUCUAAACUUUAAGUGGAAAAUAUUUUUCAUCGUUCAUUAACUAAUUUAAUUAUAUGGGAAAAUUUAUCAAAAAUUAAAUUUUAAGAUUUUUAAUUGACCAAAAAAUUAGUUUUAUUUUAUAUAUUUUUUAAAAUGAAUUUUUAAUUAUUUGUAUUUUAAAAAAAAUAAAUUUUUUAUCAUUUAUUAUUUUUUCUUUCUUUUUCUUUUUCUUUUUUCCUUUUUCUUUUCCUUCCUCCUUCCUCCUCCUUCCUCCACCGUCACAUGCCUGACAAUGGCCGGUUGCCCGAUAGCCGACCAAGACCCGGUCGCCAGAUCCGGCGAGCUCGAGACUCGACCAAUCUCGCCUGAGCUCACUAGAGCCCGGCGAACCUCUGGCGAGUUCAAGCGAGGCCCGAGCCCCGCCCAGCUCGCCUGAUCUAGCGAGGCUCGAGCUCCGCCCUAGGCCAGCAAGAGCUCCACCUCGCCCGAUCUGGUGAGGCACAAGCUCAACUUCGCCAGAUCGGGCUAGGCGAAGCCUUGCCAGCCUGGGGCGAGGCUCGAGCGAGCUUGUGGCCGGUCGCCAGCCACCGCCGUGGUCGGUGACCGACCAAGGCCAAGAGAGAUGAAAUGAAGAAAGAAAGAAAAAGAAAAGAAAAAAGAAAAAGGAAAAAAAAUUAAAAACUCGAUUUAAAAAAAAAAAGAUAAAAAGAUAAAGAAAGCAUAAAAAUAAAACAAAAAUGUAUUGGUAAAAAGAAGUAAGAUGGAAGAAGUUAUAGAAAAUGUUUUCCACUUCUAAAGGUUGUUUUUUCCAAUGAUGGAAAACAUUUUCCUUGACUAGUUCAUUUUCCAUUAAACGAACGCUGGAAAAUCCGGAAAAUGUUUUUCCAAAAGUCAUUUUCCACAAAACGAAUGUGGAGGGCUUUCACAAGGGGUAAAUUGGUUGAUUUUUCCAGAAAAAAAAAAUCAGUUAUAGGACAAGAAAGGAAUAGAACUAACAAAUACCACUAAAAAUCCUUAAAUAAGUACACCCACACUAUUUAUUUUUCAUUAAUUUUUUUGUCACAAAGAAACCCAAUUAUAUAGCCGGGCAUCAUUUACUCCAAAUUAAUGUUUGUGUUAUAAUAAAUUUCAAGUUGGUAUAUAUGUGUCAUAUUUAUUCCAAACUAAUUUUCACAUCACAAAAUUGGACAAAAGUUAAUGAGGAUAGCACUUUGAGAUUUUCCUAGCAUGUGAAUUAGUUUGGGAUAUAUAUAGGACGGGAGUACUAGUUUGACAUUUUUUAUGACACAAAAAUGAAUUUGGGGUAAAUGGGGCAUGAGUGUACUAGUUUAAAAUUUCUUGACACAAAAAUUAAUUUGAGUAAAUAUGGCACAAGUGUACCCGUUUAAAAUUUCUUGUGAUACGAAAGUUAAUUUGAGUAAAUAUGGCACAAGUGCAUUGGUUUGCUAUUUUUUGUGUCAUUGACUAUAACAAAAUUUUGUGAUAUUUUCAAGUCAACAUCACAAACCUCUGUUGAUAUCAUCAAGUCGUGAUAAUUUGCGUCAUGUAAUUUGCAUCAUGGCAUCAAGUAGAUCAAUUAAAUGGGCAAAUCGAGUCUGGUUUGGGAUGGAUUGAAAAUUGUUCGACUUAAAUAGACCCAUCUAACUCGGUUUGAUCUAUUACUAUGUAAUGCAAAACUAAUGACCUAUACCUGACCCACCACGACCCAUAUUACUAAAGCACUUCUAUGUCUAAUUCAAUCUAGGAAAACUUAUGUGUAAAGUGACUAAGUGCGAGAUUGAGUAAGAGCAAGAAAAAAUGAUAAGAGAAUCAUGAAGCUGGGUUAGGUAUAAGAAAAUCAUGAAUCCAUUGAGGACCCAUUUACUACUCAAAUCUUUUGGAUACCCUUGAAUUAGAGAUGCCAGUUGGCUUGCUAACCCAAUUGACUUGAUGGGCUAGCAAGUCACAAGGCCCGGAUGGGAUUGGGCCGGCUCAAGAUCUUAGGUAUGUCUUUGUUGUUGAAUAAACUUAUCUGGCAAAACAAUUAUCCAUUAAAGGUGUGUUCAUUUCAUGGAAAAAUAAAUUAUUUAGAAAACAUUUUUCAAAAAGUAAUUACUUGUAUCGUUUACAAGAAUAAAUGAAUAGAAUUGUUUUUUUCAUCGUUCAUGAAAAUAUUGGCAUAGAUUGUUAUUAAUGAUGAAAACAUUUUCUACUGUGAUGCACUUCAAAAAUCUUAUUGCAAAAAUCCUAAAAAUCUGCUAGCUGGAAUAACAUAUGUCUUGAUCAAUGAAUGGUGGAGUCUUAUUGUUUGAUGGUAAUUUCCAAAAUAUAUGUAUAAUUUCAUGUUAUCAAAUUUUUAUAUUUUCAUUAUAUAGUAUUAUUAAAAGCAACAGUAAAUUCAAUUUCGAUUUUAAGUAAUAUAUCCUCCCAUCUCAUCGUCAUCUCUCUGCAACAAGUCAAACAGCGACAUGAAUCAACAUCCAAAAUCGAGAUAACUACCUUGUACCACUUGAUUGGUCUCCGGCCAAAUGGAUUUCAGCCGAGUCAAACCUACUCAGAAUUCUCCAAAGAAUCACUAAAACCAAAUCAAUCACUACCUUAUUCCGAAGAAGCAAUGAAUUCAUCCACUCUAUGUGAUGUAACACGAUCUACCAACAUCUCCAGCUCUUGUAUGAAAUCAUUUGAGGUUUGCCCUUCCAUAGGAAAACGUCAAGGUGACCCUUUAUCGCCAUUUUUGUUCUUGUUUGCAGCUGAUGUCUUGUCCAUUAAUUUAUCCCUAAAUAAUGAAGAGAUAACAAAAUAAAAAUCGAUCAAUUACACAUUAAUCAAUAUUCAAUUUAUUGGUCUGAGCUUAUGACAACGUACGACCCAUUCUUUUACUUUAUAUGGAUUCUCUUGAACCACUAGGGCAUUUCUACAUGAACCGGUUCUUACAUUGUGAUUUUGAAUCAUAAGAGAUUUUGAGAAAUGGCAAAUUGUACAGCAUAUGCCAGUGGUUUUGAUAUAAGUAGUUGUGUCUUGAAUCGACCGUGAGGGCUUCGCGAUCUUGGAGUGCAUUUCCGCGAGCCAAGGGAAGUAAGCUUAGUCAAUGCCGUGCAGGAAGGUCAGAACAAAGGCAUUAAACUGAAGAAGGAAAUGUAGAAAUUAUUCUCAUAAACAAUUAAUCUUUUCAUAACAAACGGAUCCAUACAUGAUUGUAAAACACCAAGAUCAAUAAAUACAACGGAAUUAAAGCGUACCUGUUUGAGCCAUUGCUUCAAUUGAAGAAAACUAGAUCACUCUGAUAAUCAGGGAUCUAUUGGAAUAUCAGAUCUUCCUCUCUAUGACCUAUUUCAAUAUAGCAUAUUUUAAUGGGAUUAAAGCAACUUAUAGGUAUAACACACCCUUUUAUAGGCUAGAGAGGGGACCUAGCAAACCCUAAUCAAUAGCGUGUCAACUGGGCCCUUCCCAUUACGGGCUUCAGUCAAACACAAUUGCCUACACUUUGCUGCUCAACUAGGCCCGUUAACAAUAGAUGCCAAUACCCAAUUCAAUCAGAUCACUGUAGGGUUCAACAAAUAUUGGAAUAUCCAUUAACCCGAUUAUUUAAAAUAGAAAAUCAAUUAAUUAAUGUAAGCCCAUAUUAUAGGAAAUUUCCAACAUUCUUCCACUUGGGCUACAUUAAUUAACUUAUUUUAUUUUGAAAAUUUUUUAUAUUGAAAACGACACUAUCGGGUUAAUAACUAAAAUUUUGUUUUAUGUGAGCACAACUUAAAAAAAAUAAAUAUAUAUUCCAAUAAUGGCAUCUCAAUACCAAUCCAAUCCUAUAUAACCUCAAUAUAGGACUAUGGAGAUCAAUGUGUUAAGAAAAUAUCACAACACAAGACCUUCCAUAAUCACAUAUAAUAAGUAUUAUAUUUUCAUGGAUCAUGGGCCUAGUAGUGUAGUAAGAAAUAGUGCCAACAUGUGAUGAAAAUAUACACUAUUUCUAGAGAGGAAAUUGCCUCAGUGCGAUUUCUAAAUAACAUGAAAUUGCCUCAGUGCGAUUUCCAAACAACAUGAAAUUGCACAAUUAUGUCACAAUCCAACAUGAGAUCUCAUAAUCAGUGACAUCCAGUCAUCUUUAAACAAAAUUUGUUUAAAGAUAUUGUUUUAUACUUCCAUUUCUCAAUCAACAGGAGAAAGGAUAACAAUAUAAUCAAUAACAACAGUUAUUAAAAUAAAUACUUUAAUAAACAUCAUAAAAACAUUAUCAAUCUGUAUAUAACUAUAAUAUCCAAAAAUACAAUUUGUAUAACUCCCACUAACAAAAGAAAUCAAAAGAAUCUAAAACACCCAUAUUCUUUACAUGUUCUUUAAAUAAAAUGGGUCGUAAGCCUUUUGUUAGAGGAUCGGCCAAUAUGGACUUAGUUCUAAUAUUCUCAAUUACAAUAUAUCCCUUUUUGACCAAGUCCUUAAUAGUAUAAUGUUUUAUCCAAUUAACAUUUCAACCAUGGCAUUGUUGUUAUUUAUAGCAAAAAUAACUUUUUGUCACACAUAAUGCAAUAAGAUCAAUUAUGGGCAAUAAGUAUUUUAACAAAAAUAAUUAGUACAUUAUAAACUCCAUUUUGGGCAGAGUGUAUAAUGCACCAUUAUUUUUCACAGCAUGAAGUUUAUAAAGUAACAAUAAGGAGAAUUACAUAUAAUUGUCAAUGAUCCAUCCCCUUUGGGCAAACAAAUCAUUUAAAUUAUACAUCUCCAUGAUAUCAAUAUAUAGAUAUGAUAAAAGAGAAUUACAUAUAAUCUUCAAGGUUCAAUCCCCUUUGGGCAGACAAAUCAUUUAAAUUAUAUAUAUCUCCAUUAUCUCAACAUAGAGGGGAAUUACACAUAACUCUAAAAAAUGGGGAUAAGUACACUAAUGGUGCCAUAAGUUGUGUACGGCGCUCACUUUGGUGCCAAAAGUUUCUGUCGGAUCACUUAAGUGCCAAAUCGGAGGAAAAACGCUCACUUUGGUGCCACCGGCGAAAGAUUCCGGCCGUCCGGCGAAAGAUUCCGGCCAAAUGAUUUUUUUUUAAAAAAAAAAAUUGAUAAGCCUUUAAAUGACGUCGUUUUCGGUCCUCCUUAAGAAAACGGCGUCGUUUUGCCGUCCUACGUGGAUGGCUUCAUGGAAACGACGCCGUUUAGCUCACAUGGGGAAGAAAUUAGGGUUUCGGCGAGGUCGAAGCCGUGGCCGUCGUCGGGGCUGGGGUCGGAGUCGGGGUCGAAGCUGCAGCCGCCGAGUGGCCAUCAUCGAGGUCGGGGUCGGGGUCGGGGUCGAAGCUACGGCCGUCGAGUGGCCAUCGUCGAGGUCGAGGUCGGAGUUUGAGCCGCGGCCAUCGUCGCGGUCGGGGUCAAGGUCGAGGUCGGAGCUACGGCCACCGAGUGGCCAUCGUCGGGGUCGAGGUCAGAGCCGCUGCCGUUGAGUGGCCAUCGUCGGGGUUGGGGUCGAGGUCGGGGUCGAAGCCGUGGCCGCUGAGCGCAAGGACCGUCGAGGACGGCGACGGCCGGAGAUUAGGGUUUUCGAAUUGGGGGAGACACCAAACGGCGUCGUUUUGGUGUUUGGAUGUUGACUCAGCUCUCCGACGAGCCACGUCGGCGUAAAAAAUUAAUAAAAAAAGGCCACAUCGGAUUUCCGGCCAAUUUCGUCGGAGUUGGCACCAAAGUGAGCGUUUUUCAAAUUUUUUGGCACUUAAGUGAUCCGACGGAAACUUUUGGCACCAAAGUGAGCGCCGUACACAACUUAUGGCACCAUUAGUGUACUUAUCCCCUAAAAAAUGUAUCCCCUUUAGGCAGAUAAACCUUUUGAAUCACACAUCCCCAUCAUUCAUCUCUAAUAUAUCAAUAUAGAGGGGAAUUACAUAUAACUUUCAAAAAUUUAUCCCUUUUGGACAAAUAAAUCUUUUUGAGUCAUACAUCCCCAUCUUUUAAUUCUGGAAUUUAUCUUCAUGCAAUUUUCAAAUUAAUAUACACAAUAACCCCCUUUGGGCAAGUAAUUGUAUAUACUAAUUUUUAUCAAUAGGAAACUCCAAAAAACCAAAAUUCAUCUAACAAUAUGAAGCACUUUACGACAUGUGCUUCCCAAGAUCAUAUUGCAUUUAUCAAGCAAUAAUUUUUGCCACAAUUUUUUUUAAAUUAUUAUUUUAAUAUUUCGGACUCAUGGAAAAACAAGAAUGGAUAUGAAUGGUUACUAGAAUUAAAGGGAGCCAAAAAUUUCAUAGCUAUCAUUAAUCAUUACAUCAAAAAAUCAUGAGGAUAAUCUUUAUCUCACACUUCCUCACUGUCAACCCUUGGUUGGCAUAUUUAAAUUUGGUAUCUGUUAAAUUUGGGAAAUUUCAUAGUCAUGCAAUAACUCAAUCUCCACCUAUUCGACACAACCAUAUCAUUUGAAUUUAGAAGUAUCCUUCAUGCAUGUUAGCAUGAAACCCACAAGAGAUCAAGCAAAAUCUCUAUAAAAAGAACUUCUAAACCUCAAUCAUGUUAAGCCAGUCCACUCUGAUAAUUUGUGGUAAAACCACACAAGAAGACAUGAAAGGUCCGUUUGGUUUGCCAGAAUUUUCAGUAAUAUUGAUUAAUUUGUAUUUUGACGCUAUAGUCUUCCGUUAGUCACCGGUCCAAAUCUAAAAAAGAUUGUAACCUCGAACAAAGCCAACAUUCAAAUUUUCUAUGGUCCUUUUGCUCUUCUACUUCAUAAAAAUUCUCUAAAAGUGUUACGAGAUUCACCAACCCUAUUAAUCAAACCGCAUCUCCUUUUUUUUUCUUUAGUGUAAAUCACUUCUCUGCUUAAUUGUACCCAUCAAGUUAAAAGGGAAACAAAACUUUGAAAUUCCUGAAAUUAUUAUUAGAAGGAUAGCAUCUAUUUGAAAACCCCAAAAUUUCAUAGCCUCCAACUGACAAUUCACAACUUAUCCUGUGGGAUUAUGGGCCAGCGGACAAGCAGAAAAAGAGGUCAAAACCAGGAUGUCACAAAUCCAACGACAUGACAAAAAACAAGCUCAUCUCUCAAAGACGCUAAAGAGUUUCCAAAGAUCAAACCGUUUCAAUACCAUGUUACCAAUUUCCAAAGCAUUCCACAUUCAAAAAUCCCGAAGAUCAAAUCUUUUAGGAAGGAAUUUCUCGAAAAACCGAAGCGUACAUACAAUCAGCAACAUCAAGAUCACAAGGUCAUGACACGACGAGGAUCAAGCAUUUGAAUUUGCAUGAUCUCGACUAGGAACGACCUCAAACCAUGCGAAUUACAACGAAGGAAGAAAAUAAAAAACAGGAUUCUUUUUCCCUCACACGAACUUCACGAGUCCGCAAUUCAUCCUACAGACCCUCUUCCAUGUAUGCAUCGAAAUGAGAUGGACGAUCGAGCAACAACCACGGAAAGAACUACAUGCAAUGCGUUUGGACUAAUCUACUAACAUGAAUCUCAUUGAAAAACCCAGAGAUCAAAUCAGCAAAAUCGGCCGAAACCCUAAUCCGAACUCAUGAAAGUGCAAAGCACUCCAGUGAGGGCCAGAUUUGAACGCACGUCAAGUCAGAAAGGCAGCUCCAUCCAAAAUACAUCAUCUCCGUAAGUUGUCUUGACCAUGUAAUCAAUGUAACUAAAAUCAUAAUCUUAAGAUGCACAUACAAAGGGACAGAACCCGCCAGGGACAGGUUCUCGUGAAUAAGAGUUCUUGUAUUUACCAUCACAUAACCCAUAUCACUAACUCAUGUAUUCAUGAAUCAUCGACUAUAAAAAAUCAGAAACUUUUCCACAGACAAAAAAAACUCACUUGCUGGAAAAAGAAAAAAAAAACUUUUAAAAGAGCCGUUUUGAUCAGGUAUUAACCAAUUGACUACAAGCAACAAAUCACCUAUGUUGGUCUCUGCACAAAGUACAAGCACCCUCUUCAAAGAACUCUCAUUCUGCAGGAACAAUCAUCCAUAACAAGGAGACAAAAGCAAUGCAGCCAAUCAAUAGAUCAAUUGAGCGCACUAAGAGCAUAACCACCAUCACUAACAGACUGUUUAACUUCAUACCCGAAAAGCAAACCCCAAACGCUCGCCAAAGGGGAACAAACAAUCAGCUAUAAUAAUCUCCAAACCAACCGUUGCUACCGUUAAAUUGAAGAGAAAAACGAAGGUAAAACAAGAAUGUAACUUGAAAUUUUAGAACCUUUUAUGUAUAAACCCUAGAAUUUCAAAUUUAAAAUUCUCACUUGAUUCUCAACGAAAUUAUACAAAUUAUAUAUGGUUGGAAGAUCUCGACAUGUAGAACAAAAGCCCUAUGAUUUCAGGAUCAAUCAAGCAAAAAAUCCACAUGAAAAAGUAAUGCUCAUAUUCGGCUCAAAGAGGAAGAUUUCGAAUUUGUCAUGAAAAAGAUAAAAUUUGGAUUUUACAAUCAUAUAUGACAAGCUCUGAUACCACAUGUAGAAAAUUUAUUCACAGGAACAAUUAAUCUUUUCAUAACAAAUGGAUCCAUACAUGAUUGUAAAACACUAAGAUCAAUAAAUACAACGGAAUUAAAGCGUACCUGUUUGAGCCAUUGCUUCACUUGAAGAAAACUAGAUCUCUGAUAAUCAGGGAUCUGUCGGAAUACCAUAUCUUCCUCUCUAUGACCUAUUUCGAUAUAACAGCUUUUAAUGGAAUUAAAGCAACUGAUAAGUAUAACCUACCAUUUUAUAGGCUAGAGAGGGGACCUAGCAAACCCUAAUCAAUAGCGUGUCAACUGGGCCCUUCCCAUUACAAGCUUCAGUCAAACACAAUUGCCUACACUUUGCUGCUCAACUAGGCCCGUUAACAAUAGAUGCCAAUACCCAAUUCUAUCAGAUCACUGUAGGGUUAAAAAAAUAUUGAAAUAUCCAUUAACCCGAUUAUUUAAAAUAGAAAAUCAAUUAAUUAAUGUAAGCCCAUAUUGUAGGAAAUUUCCAACAGGAAUGCCCUCUGUUGUCUCAUCUACUUUUUGCAAAUGAUUCACUCUUUUUUCCUACAGGCUGAUGAGGAUAAUUGCAGAUGUUUAAGAGGCCAUGGUGCACGAAAGUCAUAUUAGCUGGGGGAGGAAUGAAGAUAGAGUGAUCUGGCCCUAGAAUAGAAGUAUAGCUUUCUUCGUUAAAUUUGCAUACCACUUUGCAAUUUAAUAGAAGAUGAAGCAGAUGACAACAACCCAAAGUCUUCAAGCUGCUCCAGAGUGGUCAGUGAGGUAUUGGAAACUUGUGUUAGAACAUUGUCUGCCCCCAGAGAUGAGAUUCUCUUGUGGAAACUCUGCUGCAAUACUGUUCCUACAGCUGAUAACCUAAGAAAUUUGGCCUUUCGUUGCUUGUAUUUGUGGGAAUUAAGGAAUGAUUGUUGGUUUUUUCCGGGGAAAGUAGCAGAUCAUAACAAAAGUGCCCAUUGGAAACAUCUUCGUUGUUUGAUUAAUUGAUUUCUGAUGGAGAUGAAGAAACUCCUUGAGAUUUUGACUGCUUUGGUCAUGCAGUGAAGUUUUGUUUCAUUUCCUGCUUUUCUUUUCAUCGUUGCAUGGCAUAUGACAUUCACAAGCAUCGCGAGGAAACCUUCGUUAUCUUCAAUGGGAAGGUGAUGGGGAAUGAGAACUCCAAGAUCACGAUUCACAUCAUCAUUUCAUCUUCCGCAACCAGAAUAAUGAAAAUAUGAUGACCAAAUUAAUGACCAAAAAAAUGACUCCGCCAAAAUCACGGAAAAGCGAACAGAGCUACGGCUGCUGUCAAAAUUACUGCAGAAACGCCGGUGAUGCUGAGUGAUGCUGCCAAGUUCCCUGGGGCAGGAGGAACUUUAUCUCCUGCAGGAGAUGCCGCUACCGCUGAGAGAGCCAGCACUGAAGAUGGUGGAGAAGCCGUGCUAGAGGGCAGCAGGGUGGCGGAGAGUGAUGGAGUCGCAGCUUUAGGCGGAAGACUCACUGUGGAAGGUGUCGGAGUCACAGUGCCGCUCGGUGAAGAAACAGUUGGGGAUGACGAAGUGGAGGCGGAGGGCGACGGAGUCAGAGUGGCGGUGGAGGACGUUGGGGUAGAGGCAGAGUGAGAAGGAGUGGCUGCCUUGUGGGGCGGGGCGGCAGAGGAGGACGGUGGCGGCGGAGUGGCAGAGGGGCUUGGCGGUGGUGACGUUGAUGGCAACCUUUUGGCCAGACGAGCAGUGGCCAGGGACGGUGCAGAUGAAGAAAUGCUGGCCAGCGGUGGUGAGGGUGAUCCUUGCCAGCGGGACGGUGGAGAUCGAGAGGGGGUUGGCCCCGUCGCACGAGCCAAAAGCUGUCUCCGUGACUUCGGCCACGUCCCGCGCUCCAUUGUUGAAGUUGAAGACUGCAUGAAGAUCAGAGAACAAGCUGUUGAUUAAGAUGGAACAAGUUUUUGGCGGUGGAACUAAACAAAAAGAAGAGCAUAUGCCGUAAAUACAAAGAAAAUCUCACACAAAAUGACCUUUUCCCACUGUUAAUUUUAGAGAGUGAAUAGAUAUAAUACUAAAAUCAAUUAUAGACAACAUUAUUUAUGUAAAAUAUUUAGUUAUAGUGACAAAUAAGCUUUAUUUUUUAUUAUUUACUUCAGAAAAAAAAAAUCAAUACAUUGAGAGUUUGAGUAGGACAAGCCAAAAAAAAAAGAUCAUUUUAAAAGAAAAAUGUCAAAAGAAUAUCCAUAUAAGUAAUAUUGACUAUUUUUCGAAAGUUAUGUAUUUUAUUUAUGACAUUGAAAACAGAUGAAACUUUCGAAAUUCAAUUUUUUUUUUUUCUAAUGAGCAUUGGAAAUUGCUUCUUCUAUCUUCAAGUUCUUAGCAAGAGGGAUUGGCCUUCUGACGUGCCAUUAGCAACCACAACAAUAAAGCCAAACAUUUUAUGAGUCUCUUGCAUAUAGGAUGCUAUUCGGUGUAGUAAAUGUUAUUCAAUUUUAUACUAAAAUGUCAUUUCUCGGCCUACCUAAAAUGUCUCCGACUUCAAAGGUAUUGCUGUUAGCUUACGCAGCAGCCCCGCUUGCGGGUAUGGUCCACCCCAUGACGUUUCUCACGGUGUAUGUCACCGUCCCUUUCGGAUGUUUGGGCGGCGGCACAGGUGUCGGCGCGGCAGAUCCCAAUAGCAAAGUCAUAAUCGCUGUCACCGUAGCGGCCACUGCAAAAGUACAACCAUGCGAAUGCCUUGCCAUUAGCCUCUCCGUUUUUGAAUUUGAACACCCUUCUUUGCUCUUAAAGCAUCCAGGGCUCCAACUUUUAUAGAAUCGUUUCUCACUAAAAAAAGAAAAAUUACAGGAGCUCGUGGAAUGAUCACAGUCGUGCAUUGCGUUGACCCCUUGGUGGAGCCCCCACUGUUGGAUAUGCGACAGGUGGAACGGGUCGGGUCAGCAGAAUCUUGGUGCUCCUGUAGGAUGUUGAUGACGUGGGGCUUUCACGUCGAUUGUAUUUUAGAGGGGAAUACUUCAUAUAUUUCGUGAAAAUAUGACUUCAAAAAAUAUUUAUUAAAAACAUAAUUGUUUGCAUCAUAUACAAAAAUGAAGAAACGAAAGUAUUGUCAUCGUUAAAAAAAUAGUAAGAUGAAUUAUUGUUUAUUAUGAAAAUAUUUCUCAUUAAUUCAUUACAUUAUCCAAUACAUGCAAUCGUGCUUAAAUUAUUCAUUUCUCGUUAAUUAAUUAUUUUAAACAGGGAGCCUCUGUAACACAUUAUUUUUAGUGUGAUGCAACGGAAUGAAUCUGUCCUCGGAGCAUCGACCAGCUGAGCAAAUCUUUUUGACUUUUGGGAAUCGAUUUUGCUACGUAAAGUCCAUCUCAAAAUUUUAUUUAAACAGUACAAAAGCCUAAUCCCAUUGAAAUAAAAGGAAAAAGCUCUAAGAAAAAAUAGAAGAAAUCGUAACGAUGGAAGAGAUAAAAGAAGCAAUGAGAGCGUGGAAGCACGCUAAUGUAUUUCUGGGGCCAACGCCACAAAACAUCGCUAGAUGUCGUGGAGUCUUGAAAUCUUGUGUCGUGCCAUCAACUCCAGUUGAAGACUGCUCUUAGGAUUAGGCAAUUUGGCUGUGGGGACGUCCAUCCGAAAAAACUAAUGUUAUAAAGUGAAAAGGAGAUCAUAUGUAUAUAAAAAGCAUUUAAAUCCUGUUAUCAAGUGAUAUAAGACAUUUUUCACAUCAUUCUCAUGUGUAAGCCCAAUAAGAAGAUUUUUCAACGUCUCCUUUCAUAUGCAAGCGGGUUUAGAACCUUUAAAUUGCUUAACCUCGUAGUUGGAGCAUAUAAAUACUAUUGCCAAAAGCAAUAUGUGAGAUUUCGACAAUGGUCAUCGGAUGUCAACACAAUGUAUCGUUCCAUUAUCUUUUUCUUUUUCCUAAUUUCAACAAGUCUCAAGUUGAAGGUAGUUUAAUCAAGGGAAAAAAUUAUCAAAAACUCCAAAUUAUACUCAUUGUGACACAAUUAAUCUGAAUUUUUUUGUAAUACCAAAAACCUAAACUUGUACUUGUGUGACCUUUGUCAAGGUUCCAUCAAUGAGCAUCAUUAAACAUUUGCCUACAUGGACAAUGGAAGACAACUAGUGUUUACAUGGUGCUCACGUGGCUUAAGUGAAAUAAUAAGACGUCGUCAUUUUGGCUUAAAAAAUCAUCUAACAAAAUCUUAACAAAUGGUAAAUGUGUCACUGGGCAUAAGUUUGGGGUUUUUGAUAUCCUAAGAAAAAUUUUAAGGCAAACGUAUCACAAUGGACAUAGUUUGGAGUUAUUGAUGUGACAAAAUAAAAUUCAAGAUAAAUGCAUAAUUUGGAGCUUUUAGUAAAAAUUUAGAGCAUCCAAUGUUGAAGAUACUUCUAGAAAAUUAUCAGGCUCCACCGAGGUAUUCACCCCCACGUCAGCUUCUCGCAAAUUCUCCAUACUUUGAGCUAUGUUCAUUAUAAUGAAAAAUUGAAACCAAUUUAGAGUGCGCUUGGUUUGAAGAUACUAGUGUUGCUUGGUUCGGAUGCGUUGGCUCUUGUGUUGAAAUUGAAAACCACUUAUCACGGCAUGUCACGUUCUGUAUAAUUCCACGAGUUGGGCCGGUUGCCUCGUACCGAAAGUGGACCCUUAUUUGAUGCAUUGAACGGGACUAUUAGUGUGGAACUUUAGGUUAUCAAUUGUCAAUUUGCCAUAUAUUUCCUUGCGUGGCCUCUCGCAUAAAAGUUUUAACUCUUAAAUUUUUAUUAUUAUUGAAGGUUACUGAGUUAUUUUAGCAAACUUGGUUACUGCCUGUUAGUUCCAUUCCUUCACUCUGCAUUACUUUCUCAUUUUUUUUUCCAAAUUUAUGCAAAUAUCGGAAAGCAGACUUUUAUUUUGCAGACACGUGUGUGUUGAUUACUAUUAGUUCAAAAAUUGAAAAUAUUUUAAUGGUCCGUCAAACUAGUCAACCAUAUAAGGGCCAUCCAACUCGGAUGAUCCGGGUGAAUGACAUGGCGUGUGGGCCAAGAUAUUUUGGUAACGUUCUAAUUAGAGAUGUCGAUAGGCCGGGCUGGCCCAUUUGACUUGACGGGCUGGAACUAGACAAGGUCCAUGUUGGGUUAGCCUAGCCCAGCCAUGGUCAGACGAAUGGGCUGGGCUGUGGUCCAAGCAUGGUCGUCUCUUGUCCGGCAGGGCCAGCCCAUUGGUCGCCACCGAUAGUAAUCGUAAAGAAGCAUUUGUUAAUUUUGCUUGAGUGACUACGUUUAGCAAAAGACUAGUAGUUUCCUUGCAAGGGAAGCUGCUAACCAAUUCAUCAUUGUUCCUCUCAGUUUCAAAGAAUUCUGUGAUAAGCUCAAACCACAAGUUAUCUCACCCAAAAAGAAAAAAAAAAUUUGAAGCUAUCAAGCUAAUGUAUGUAUGUAUGUAUGUAUGUAUGUAUGUAUGUAUGUAUGUAUGUAUAUGCUAAGUAUUCUCUUGUUGUCUGAUUUUGUUGCUGAAAUCUUCAUUAAAAAUUAGAGAUCUCAUCAAUUUAUUCAACGAUGGAUGUGCUAAUUGAAUGGUGUCGACGAUGCUUUUAUGUAUCGAAAAUCUUAUAAAUCCGCAACAUCUUUUGAUUGGUGAAUGAUAAAGUCUUCUUAUUUGAUGGUACUUGUCAAAAUAAAUUAGUAAUUUCAUGUCAGCAAAUUUCAUCAUUGUAUUAUUGUAUAGUAUCUUCAGAAGUUCUAGUAAAUUCGAAUUUGUAGUAAUACCUCCUGUCAUCGUGUUCUCUUUGCAUCAACAAGCCAAACGGCGACAUAAAUCAAGAUCCAGGGCCGACUCAAUCCAACUCAAGAUUCUCCAUACUGCUUAUUGAUUAUUUCUAUCUCACGAACGCCACUGUCUUAUUCCAAAGAAAGGCAAUGAAUUCAUCCGCUAUGUCUUCUGCAACAGCAUCUCACAAUGUACCAACAUUUCCAACUCUAUCUAAGAGAAGAGCAAACACUAAAUCCAUGAGAAUGGACUCAAGCAGGACUAGACGUGCAAUACCGAGAGACGAGCCAACACUUGGCGUAGAUGUGGUCGCGCCAGUGGUGGGGGAUGGCGGCGGUGGGGAUCCCGGCGGGCUGGAGGUUGGGCCGCUUGGAGGCUCCGUGACGGUGAUGGCCAGCUUUUGACCCUGGGAACAGUGGCCUGCGGUGGUGUAGAGGAUGUAAUAGUCGCCGGCGGUAUCCAGGGAGUAAUUAGCCGGAGAAGUGGACAGGACUGUGAAUGGGGAGUCGGUGUUGCAGGCGUCAUAGUCCUCCUUGGUCACGUCCGCAACAUCGUUGUUGCUCGAGUCGAAAUCGAACACUGCCCCCAAAAAAAGGGAAAAAAAAAUUGAAGGAUCAUGAGCAACAAAGAAUGAAAGCUUAUCGAUCAUGGUCAACGCAAGUACCCCAGAUCAGGGGCAGAGAUGGAUUGGUCUGAUCACAUUCAAACCUUUCAUUUCUUGACGUGUUGACCAGAUCUGUGCUCAAACGUCGUUUGACUUUCUGAUGAGAGAUCUACUUACAAAACAAGCUCAAAAGGUGCACGAACUGAAAUUGCCAUAGUUCUGGAUCUUCUUCAACGUAAAUUUAGAUAUCACGCAUACUUUGCACUCACAAAUAUACAUCAAUUCGAAAGAUUAAUGUUGGGCGAGAACCGAUUUCCAACUCACCUAGAACGUCGCCGACCUCGAAUGUGUGUUGGCUUGCCCAGUCGGAAUAUGCGCCGGCGCUAGAAGGGAUCUUCCAUCCCUCAGAACCUCCCACUGUGUAAUUCGUCGCCUCGGCGCACGAUAAAAGUGCGACCAUGACUCCGAGCAAACAGGCUGUGAUUCCCUAUGCAAGUAAGGCCCCACCAGUACCACCACCACAUCACCUCAUCCGCAGCGCAACACGGAGAAAAUAUUGGGUGGUCCGGACCUCCACAUCAGCGUGGUCCCCGGCCACUCACGAGGUGCCAUGUGGAUGGUGGGCCCACUUGGUGUCUUCUGCCCUCUUCCCCUCUCUCUCUCCUCUUCCUAGCCUGCCGACGCCCUCUCUCCUCCUAGCCUGCACGCUCUCUCUCCUAUCAGAGCAUUUAUUGCGGGGAAAAACUUUUCUCUUUCCUUCGUUUGAGAAAGAAAACGGUCGUUCGUUCCUCUCGUUCCUCUGUCCCUCUCUCCAUUUGUUUCCUUUCGAAAUUUUGAAUCUGAACUUUUCUCCCUCUCUCCGCGCUCGUUGCUGCUCCGUUGUGCAUCAAACAGCCGUUCCCUUCCCGUCGCCGACGGGCCGCCCCUACUCCGGUGCCCGCUCGCUUCUCUCUUCGGGCUCGUUGCUACUCCAUCGUUCGUUCCGGUGUUCCCAGGAUCGCAGAUGCAGCACGGGGAGGAGAAGCAGGCCUCUUCGAGCUCCCCUCAACGUCGGCUCGCGUCGCCCGCCGAGCGAGACCCCCACACACUGGAGGCUCGGAGGCGAGGUUGCUGGAGAAGUUGGUGCUCCAGAGGAGUAGUCGAGGGAGCUGAGAAGGAGGCCGCGAUGGAGUAGUCGAGGGACUUGACGUCGACGCGGCGAAGCCUGAGCUCGGGGCUCUUGACGCGGACGGUGAGGGCAAACCCGAGGAAGGCGGCGCGGAGGAUGAUGAUCGGGGUGAGGGCGUAGACGAAGCACUUGCUGCUGCUGCGCCUCUGGUUGUGGCAAGGCAGUAGCUUGGCGAAGUGGGCGAGCUCCACGUCAUCGCUACGGAGGCAGGGUCCGGAGGGCACGAUUGGGCUGGUCGGAUCUUCUUUAGGCAUCACGAAAGUCGGAGUUCAAGUGAAUGCGAGAGAGCACGGUACCGAAAUCUCUUCGACAUGAUAGUCGACGCGGUGAUCACGGCCAAGGCGGUUGCAGGGCAUGAGAACAUCCCGGUGAUUGUGGCCGAGACAGGGUGGCCAAACUCGAUCCUCGAUGCAGCAGAGAUCGACGCCAACGAGCUCUACUCCGAAAUGUACGUGAAGGGCCUGUUGGGGCACUUGAGGUCGGGGCAAGGGACGCCAUUGAGGAAGAAAGGCGUUGCGGAGGCUUACGUUUACGAGCUGGUCGAUGAGGAAGCAAAAGAGACGACGAGCAGCCAAGCUCGCGCGAGGAACUGAGGGAUCUUGUAUGCGAAUUUGAGCGAGAAGUAUGAGGUCCAAUUCUCUUGUGCCGCCCGCUAUUGUAGGUCGUUGGAGGAGCUGUUGAUUGGGUUCGUGUUGAUGCUGCUGAUUCUGGUCUGGUUGAUAUGGUAUAUACCGAAUUCCCCAUGGUGAUUCCGUUUCGACUGGGGUUUGAUUUCGUUCUUGCUCUUUCUCUUCGAUGGAGCGUGUCCCUCUCGAAGAAGAUGAUUUCUUCACGUCCGCGUUCUGGGUUUGAAUCUUUGAUGGUCUAAAGCACUUGCAACCGGCUGAUUCUGUUGUUUCGUUUUUUCUCUGUUCUUAUGAUAUGAUAUUGAUCUUGAUCUUGAUGUAAUUCUUUUGUUCUUUUAUGGGGGUUCUGGAUGUGUUAGAGAUGGAUUUGAAAUCAGUGGUAAUCGGAUGAAAAGUGGAGUCAUCUGGAAUCUUGCUCGAUCGAGCAAAUUCUUUGUCUUUCUUUUCUUUUCCUAGCGAGCCAGAGGAUUUAUCUUGUUCUUUUCCCUACUGUUGUUUAGCUCGAAGCAAGAAGUUUCUGCAAAUUUUAAUUGAAUGCCAUGGCUCUGCCGCUGUUACUGGUUUCCUGAAUGCGAAAUGGGCGGAGUCAAAUCGAAUUUUUCGUAGCAGUACUUGAACUCAAGGUGGGAAUUCGGAAGAUUUAUGCAUGCUAUCGAGAGUGUGUGGUAAAAUGCAAUGCCUCGCAAAGCUCGAAUCUUUUUAGGUAGAAGAAGAGUUGUAUGCGCAGGCAAAGCAUAUAAUAACAACUGGGCAUUGCUUUGUGCUCAGCGUGAUAGAUCAGCGGCCCCAAUUUGAAUUUGAUUGAAGAUAACCCAAGCUCGAUGCAGCAUAAUGCGAAAGAGGAGAUCGAUUGGAGUUUUUGCUAACCACAGGGCAAUGAUCUGAGAAUCUUUGAUCUUUCACUUUUCUAAAACAAAACAAAGUCAGAAUGGAAUUCGGAAAAUCAUGACAAAGAAGGGAAAUUGCUUUUGGUGCGGUUCUCAAUCCCGACGAUAUUCACGACACCUCAGAAGAACAAAAAUUUACUUGUCACUUUUAACAGUUUCUUUCCCUCUCUUGCAAAAACACUUUGAUGGAGUGACAGGGGAAUGGUGGUUUUGUAAAUUGUCCACUUGCUAGUCAGAAUUCGGUUCGUCAUCACCCCAAAUAUCUAACUAGGACACGAGAAAGAAGACAUAAGAGAGACAAAAUAUGCCAAGAAAUCAUCGGAUAAGGCCUCGAGAUUUCUUCAGACGAUGAAAAUUAGCUUUCACCGAGUACAGUGAAUCAACUUGGGCAAGCAUAACCUAGCAAACUAUCAUUCUAGUUCGCAAAACUAGGAUUUUUGUACAACACUGCUAUUUCCUACUAAAGUUGCGCAUGAAACCUAAAACAAGCCAGCUAAUCUUUCCUCAUUGCACACCCCAACAUAUUCAUACAAGCAGAUAGACAUGCACCCCUAUUCACACACGCGCAAGAGAUUAUGAGCUCAGAGAGAGAGGGAGAUUACAUAAUACAAUCAAUCGCUAUUUACAUUUGCAAGAUUUUAGGAGUUAGUGUGGAUGACCAAAUCCAGAUCCAGCAGAAAGUCUUAGUCCUCUCUUUUUCCCAAAACCAAAUGAAUCUCGUCCUCAAUCUUCAAUCUGUUUCCUUUGUGGUGAAAUGAUCCUGAAAACAUGCUCUUGGCUGUGCAAUUGUCCACCAUAACUACCCAUAUGCUCUUCUUCCUCUACCCUCCGCUGCCGUCGAUCUUGUCUCAGGCUUUAGCACCUUCCUACGCUGCCUCGAACACCCUGCGCGGGUCAUCACCGGCAGAGGUUCAAAGAGCAACAGCGACAGAGCAGCACAACACAGCACAGACCCACUCAAACCCAGCUUUCACACGGUCCCGCAUGUCCGACUGGCAAAAACCUCGGACGAUGACAUAGGAACACAUCAAUCCGCUCAGUGAGUGACCCGUGCUCUCUCGCAUUCACUUGAACUCCAACUUUCGUGAUGCCUAAAGAAGAUCCGACCAGCCCAAUUGUGCCCUCCGGACCCCGCCUCUGGAGUGACGACAUGGAGCUCGCCCACUUCGCCAAGCCGCCAUCUCACCAUAACCAGAGGCGUAGCAGCAAGUGCUUCAUCUACACCCUCGCCCUGAUCGUCAUCCUCAGCGCCGCCUUCCUCUGGUUCGCCCUCACCGUCCGUGUCAAGAGCCCCGAGCUCAGGCUUCGCCGCGUUGACGUCAAAUCCCUCGACUACUCCACCGCGGCCUUCUUCUCAGCUCCCUCGACCGCGUCGCCGGUUGGGGAGGCUAUCCUUCGGAACACUAAGAGAGCAUCUUCUUUGCCGUUGGGCUUCCGCUCACUUGCGAUUCGCCGUCCUCACCGUCUCUGUAACAUGUUCUACAUCCGGAAAUGGCAAGCGGGGACUUCGGCGUCACCCGUAGAGCUUGGGACGUGGUCCACCUUGCGCUGCUGUGGCCGAGGAGAGGCGUUCAGGUGGCUCCUCGCGGUCAAGUUCUGUCUCGCCGUGGUUGGAUUCGUCAAGAGCAUCAGUGGCAGUUGUGGCUACCGCAACUCAAUGUCCAUCCGUUACGGGGAGCGCGAGCUCUCAUUGGACAAGACCCUAGUCUUUCACGUCAAGAUGCAUCGACCCGGAGCAUCCAUGAGGUCCCGCUUUCGCCUCCCUCGCAUCCCCUACAUUAGCGACAAGGACGGCGACUGGGAGAGGAAGAGCCCGGUCACCGUUGAAGAUGGAGGAGAAUGCAGAUGCGGAGGUGGCAGAUGAGGUGGAUACGUAAGUGCGGCGGCGUGGUUUGUCGAACGGCAGGCUCUGUCGUUCCUCGGAGGAGCAGCGUGACGAAGGGGCAGAAUGGACGAGAAAAUAUUAGCUGUAGCGCAGAUGCAGCGGCAGUCAACAAUGCGAAAGCGGGGGCGGUGGCAUGAUUCGUCGGACGACGGCUCCGCGUCCGAUCGGAGAAGAAGCGGAGGGCAAAGCAACCAGGCGCAAGUCAAACGAAAAAAUGGAGAGAGAGAAUUUGUAAGAGAGAAGGAUUGCUAUUACUUCCUUGGGAGGAGAGAGAGAGCCGAAUUUUUCAAAUUUCCCGAGAGGGAAAAGUUUCUGGUGGGCCCAGCAUAGCUUGUCGAAAGGUCAGGAGAAGGCUAGUGUAGGCUAGUGAGAGAAAAAAGAAAAAGAAAAAUGCAGAAGACGGCAAGCGGGCCACGCUUCCACAUGGCGCCACGUGAGUGGUCCGGGACCACGCUGAUGUGGAGGUCCCGAACCACCCAAUAUUUUCUCACGAAACACAUAGCACUUCGCGACCCACAACCUGAGCGGCUCCCGCCCCCGCACCGAACCGCAGCACGACACGCCCUGCCCCUACUCAUCACCUCACGAUCCCAUCGCCACCCACUGCGUCGACCUCGCUCCGCCACUAAGUCAACGCAACCCCUAACAUCCUGGGACAUGUCCGAUGAUCCGCGAGCUCGGGACGGAGCACCAGAUGAUUACGGCUUUCUGUUGGGAUUGUUGGAUUCCCUGAAAUUGGAUUCGACACUAAAUCGAACCCUUAAACUUGUGCGGAAGACGAGCCCGGGAAAAACACAUGCAUCGCCGAUCCUAAGGCACAUCACAAAAUCGAACGUACCUUGUUAGCCACAGAUUAAACACCGACGCCGAUAUGAGGAAGAGAAACUUAUCCUGUUUGAUCCGAUGACGUCAAUUGGCCUUGAAGGGAAAAAAGUGUCAUCUCUUUUUCUUUGUUCUUUCUUUUGGAGGGAGAGAGGGAGGAGGAACGUACAUACUGCCAAAAGAUGUGUUCCUCCCUCUUUAUUUCCCCCUUAUAUUCGUCUCCUCAAAAAAAAAAAAAACGUGUUCCUUCAUCACAUCCCUCUAUCCAUGGGCCCUAAUAUUGUGCGCUGGGCUUUUAGGCCUAACAUGGGCGGACGAGCCAACUUAGGCCCAUCACAUUAAUAAUUAAAAUCAUCAUCUCCCACUCGCACAUGGUGGGCCGAACAGGAUUCUCUUUAACCUCUCUUCAACAUUCAUACCGGUGAAUAAUCCGUGCGACCAGUAUACUUUGAGAGCUCGUUGCCAUAUAUCUGUUAGGAAUAUAUAGCAGCUCAUAAUGGGCAUCACACUCUGAGUAGAUUUAGUAUGCAGUACCCAAGAUCGAUCGAUCACAUUUAUAUCUCUCUUGAUCUCUUUUAAACAAUAAUAUAUAUAUAUAUAUAUAUAUAUUCAUAAUUAUGAUUAUCCCAAAGACAGUCAUAAUUGGUCGACCAGUGAAUACAAAACUACAAUGUAAUUCUCCAAAUUCGAUCUUUCUCUUUCUUUCAAACUCUUAAUUUCAGUUCAGCUUUCUUUUCUAGAAACGUCCCAUUAGAUUGAAUCAACUCAUGACCAUCGGCAACAUUCUAAGAUAGCAAACACUAAAUAGAAAUCUUGAGAAUAAGUAAGAAUCAUGAUGGCACUAAAAUUGAGGAACUUUUUUCCUCAAGAGUCUCACAUGGUAUAAAAGUUGAGAUCAAACUUUUACCACUCUUAUUGGUCGUCUCAUGCAUACGUAGUAUGAAAUACGUAUUAUGGUAUUAACUCAUUUCCCAUGGAGCGUAUGUCUACACCUUCAAUACCGUACAUAUAAUAGUUCAGACAUACCCAAUGUUUAACUUGAGUUCACAUAUCUACUCAUUCACAAAAUUCAUCAAAACUCACAUCUGGUAUCAUAGACAGAUAAAGUAAAAUAUGUUGGAUAUUUUACUUUCGGACAUAGUACAUAUCAUGUCCUAAUCUUAACACUUAGUUAAGGUGACAUAUAUAUUUUAAGCUUGAACUCUCAAUUAUCACAUAGAUAAUAAGCUUAAAAACCGUCUCAUCUCUAUUUAUCAUAUAGUAAAUAGAUGCGAUUACCCGUGUGAGUGGGCCAAUCUUAUAUCUGUCCGACAUACUUUCUCAACUUAAAGUAAUGCAUUGAGCAUUAAGAUGCAUAAAGAUCAAACAAAGAUUCAUAAGCAUUAAUGAUGAAAAACACAAAUUCAUUAAAUGUGAACACUUCAGGGAAAUUAUAAUAUUCAGUACAUCAGCCUUUACGCAGUCCUAGAGAUUUUACAUGACCACAAAACACAUCUCUAGGUAUUGGCUUUUGGAUCUACUACCAUUCUAUGCGUAGAUAUGUACUGUAAGUUCACAUCUUUUCGUGUAACCAUAUCGUUGACAAAGUUAUACUUGGUAUCUAUAUGUUUGGUCUUAUCAUGAUAUUUUGGAUCUUUGGCUAUCACAGUUAACUAACAAAAAAUCUACAGCACUUCCUAUAACACCUAAAUGAUUCAAAAAUCUCUUAAGCCAAACACAUUCUUGUAUUGCUGCUGAUAAUACCACGAACUCAGUUUCCAUCGUGGACAAGGCUAUACACGUUUGUUUCUUACUGCUCCAACAUAUGGCGCAAUUAUUCAGUAAGAAAACAAACCCAGAGGUAGAUUUCCUUUCAUCUAAAUCUCCUCCCCAAUCAGCAUCUAAAUAAGCUUUGAGUUGCAAAUCCUUUCCUUGAUAACUCGGCGUAUAAUCAGCAAAUCCUUUUAGAUACCUCAGUAUUCUCUUAACGGCUUUCCAAUGUGCUUGACCUAGAUUGGAUUGGUACCUACUCACCAUUCCAAUUGCAAAACAUAUGUCAAGUCUUGUACACAUCAUAGCGUAUAUCAAGCAUCCCAACAGCACUAGCAUAAGGAACAUGUUGCAUUUGUUCAUUCUCUUGUGGAGUCCUUAAACACAAUCUAUUGCUCAAUCUUUCGCCUUUUGUAAUAGGAAUUCCUAUGGGUUUACAAUCUUGCAUACGUAAUCGUUCAAGAACCCUAUUUAUGUAUGUUUCUUGCGAAAGAGACAAUGAUCUCUUCGAACGAUUUCUUGAAAUCUUAACUCCAAGAAUGUAUGCAUCAUCACCCAUGUCUUUCAUCUUAAAGUUGGAAGAUAACCAACUCUUCACAGUAUUUACAAACUCCAUAUUACUUCCGGCAAUUAGUAUAUCAUCAACAUAUAAUGAUAUGAUCGCAAAUUGAUCUUUGGAUAUUUUGAUAUAUACACAAUGAUCAUCAUCUAUCAUUGUAAAAUCACAUGUCAUUAUGGCAUUAUGAAAACGUAUAUAUCAUUGUCUCGAUGAUUGCUUAAGGUUGUAUAUCGAUCUCAAAAGUCGACAUACAUUUCCUUAUUGGCCUUCUUUAAUGAAACUAGCAGGUUGUUCCAUAUAUAUUUCUUCCUCUAAUUCUCCAUUGAGGAAAUCAGUCUUUACAUCCAUUUGAUGUAACUCAAGAUCCAUACUAGCCACUAUUGCCAGAAUAAUGCGAAUCGAGGUAAAUUUCACUACAGGAGAAAAUGUUUCUUCAUAAUCAAUUCCUUCAUGUUGGUUAUACCCCUUCGCCACAAGGCGAGCCUUAUGCCUUUCUAUCGAGCCAUCAGCUUUUCGCUUUAUUUUGAUAACCCACUUGUUCCUAAUAGUUUUGCGUCUUUUUGGAAGAUCAACCAGUUCCCAAACUUGGUUUGACUUCAUUGACUCAAUCUCAUCUUCCAUUGCAUGAAUCCAUUUUUCCUUACUAUGGCAAUUUAUAGCCUCAUUAAUAUUCCUUGGCUCAUCCUCAUCCUGUGGAGCAACCAUAAAAGUUUCCCCUUCGAUGUCAAAACGUCGACGAGGAAUACUUUUGCGACUUGUUCGCUGUAUAGGAGAUUGUACACUUUGCACAUCAUUCUCCAUUAUGCUCCCACUCGGAUUAGAUAAUGAUGAUAUCAUCUUAUAAUGUGGUUGUAAUUGAGAGUGAGUUGAAUUAAAUUCAUUACUUCUCAUGUUACUCCCACUUGGACGAACUCCACUAAUAUCAUUAUCUUGAUCCAAGGUUUCAAAUAGGGAGUAAUCUUCACCUAUUUCGCCAUUCUUAGGAAAUUCAUUCUCUAAAAAUGUAACAUUCCGUGAUUCAAAUUAAGUUAUACUCAUACUUUCUUACUCACCUAUGAACACAUACCCUUUCGAGUGUUCGGAGUAUCUUAUGAAAAUACUCUUCUUUCCUCUAGGACCCAAUUUCCCAAACUUGUGAUAGGGCUCAUGAGUAUAGGUAGCACAACCCCAUGGCUUAAGAAAACUUAAGUCCGAUUUUCUACCUGUCCAUAACUCAUAUGGAGUGGAAGUAACUGAUUUGGAAGGCACUCGGUUAAGUAUAUAAGCAGCAGUUAACAACGCAUCACUCCAAAAAGUGAUAGAUAAGUUAGCAUGCACCAUCAUGGACCUAACCAUUUCUAGUAGGAUUCUGUUUCUUCUUUCCGCAACACCAUUUUGUUGAAGAGUAUAUGAAAUAGACAACUGUCUUUCUAUUCCUUUUUCAUCACAUAAUUUUCUGAACUCAUCAGAUAAAUAUUCUCGACCUCGAUCGGAUCUUUUAUUUUUUUAUCUAAUUGAUUUUCUACCAAAUUCAUAAACCUUUUGAAACAACUUAAUGCUUCAGAUUUAUGAGAAAUCAAAUAGACAUAUCUUAAUCAAGUAUAAUCAUCUAUAAACGUGAUGAAAUAAACAGCCAUAUGCAUUCCUCUUACAUUCAUCGGACCAUAGACGUCAGAAUGAAUUAAUUGCAAAGGAAAUUCAGCUAUUUUCCAUUUUUCCAAAUGGUUUCCUUGUUGUUUUUCCUACUAGGUAAUGCUCACAUAUGGGCAAAUCGACUUUUUCAAUAUUGCCUAACAAGCCCUCUUUGGCUAGUAUAUUCAUACGUUAUUGGCUAAUGUGACCAAGUCUAGCAUGCCCACACUCACAUCAUUAUCAUAUGAAGUAGAAGACGUGAAAAGGGAAUAACAAACAUUGACAUCACCACAGUCAACAUUUAGUACAAUAAAACUAUCCAGAAAAUAACCACAACCAUAGUAGUUUGUAUCCAAAUACAAAUCUACACCUCUAUUAUGGAAGUUCAUAUUAAAACCAAGCUUGACCAACACUAAAACAGAUACUAAAUUUCGACGAAUCUCUGAAACAUAUAAAACAUCAUGUAGGAACAAUGUGCGUCCACCACACAUGUUCAAUUGGCAGGUGCCAAUCCCUUUAACUUCAGCUCUAGAGUUAUUUCCCACAUAGAUCCACUUAGUUCCAAUUGGUACUCAUCGGAAUUCCACGAAGAAUCCUUUAUCCUUCGCUACAUGGUCUGUUGCUCCUGAAUCUACAAUCUACAAAUGAUUGGAUUCAGCCAAUAAUACAGAACUUAACACAUAAGCAAAGUUCUCAAAUGUACAAGAGGUGUUUACCUUUUUCGGCUCACAACAGUUGCGAGCAUAGUGACCUUUCUUGUCACAAUUGUAACACCUCACCCUUGACAUUUUCUUCAAUUGAUUACGUUUUCCUUUCUUGUAUUGGUUAACUCUUGAUUUCUUGCAAUAAGGACUUGAUCAUUUGCAUUCCCACAUAUUAAACGAAUCAAUACGCUUGCGUUUAGAGCUCAAAGCCCUUUCUGAGCUAGAACCAGCAUUGCAAAUAUCUAUUUUCGGCUCAAAUGCCGUUAGGCGGUCCUCUACUAGCUUAAGGUGGCGCACGGCAUCCUCAAGAUCUUCCAUAACAUGGUCAAGAGUUUCUAGUGCUUUUUGUUUUUCCAGCACAUAUUGAAUCUUCAUAUUCAAUAUUUCACAAUUGUUGCCAUUCAUAUAAGCAAUUACGUUUUUAGUUGUUGAAACCAUCGAUCUGAACACAUUAGACAUAUAUGCACGAAUAAUUAAUGCCUAUCAUUUAUGCAUCCACUUUGCACUGACUCAUCAUAUCAAUGAAUAAUUUCAAGUAAGGUUUCAUAAUCAAAGGUCACUAUGUUUCCAAUCAUCCUCCAAAAAUCCUAACUUAAAACUAUUAUUAAUAUAAUUGUCUUAUGCAAAAUAAAUUCUAUGAAGUUGCAAAAACUUUUAUGAACUACCCACAGCAGUUAACAAUAACAGAAAACAAAUAAUAUUUGACAUCCAAUAGAAUAAUAAUGCUUUCACAUAAUACAACUAACAUAUCAGUUGCCACACCAACAAUAAUUAAGUAGAAAAGCAUUACAUGAGAUGUCCACAAAGCACACUAAACAAAGACCAGCCAAUACAUCUAACACCAAAUCAAUACACGAACUGGGAAAGAUCCUCUUUUGUUCAAUUUCUUCAUCUUUUCCCUUGUAACAGUAUAGUAAUAAUCAUUUAUAAAAUCCAUCACAAUUUUCCUAUAUGAAGCGGCUCUGUUGACAUCCCAUAUGCGAUUCAACACUCCUUAUCAUUCUGGUGGAAGAGUGUUCAUGAAAAAUCGCACCAUCUCAGAUUGUGGCAAGGGACGACCAUUCCAUAUGACCUUUUGAAUUUUCCCAUUGACUUCAAGAACGUGAUCAAUUAAGUCACCACUCUCCCAUCAAUGAUCAGUCAGCUCAGCUAUUAACUUAGAAAGCUUUUCCUUUUGUUCAUCGGUAAUUGCGCGAAUAGGUGUGCGCAACUUAAGGGGAGGCAUUGUUCCUGCAACAAAUGCAGAACAAAUAAGGGAUCACAUAUAAUCCACAUAGACUUAAUUGGAAAAAGAAACACAUUCUUUGCCUCUCCUUUUUUUUUUGUCAACAGUCAAUAGUCAAAGUCAACGGGUCAACGGUCGGAGUCAACGGUCGGAGUCAACGGUCGGCGGGUUGGGCUGGUCGGACCGGAUGGGCAAACCGACCGGCACGUGCGGCACGCGUGUGCAGCUGAUGUCACGAUGACAACUAACGUCACGAUGACGUCAGCUGGCGCAUGCCGCGCACGUGCGACGCACGUGCCUGUGGCUUCGUAUCGGUGCAUGCGCGCGCAGGUGUGACGCAUGUGCCUGUGGCUUCAUAUUGGCGCGUGCGUUGCACAAGCCGAAGACGCCAGUUUGUUCCGGCUACGCGUAUGGGCGCGUCCGGCGGCCUUUGGUGGCAUUCCGCCAUUCGUCGCACUCGUCUCGACCAGACCUUCCAUCUAACGCCAUCAAAAAUAGAUUUCUACUUACAGAAACUUAAAAAAAUAGAUGAACAGUGCUCGGGUGUCGGGAUUUUUCCGCCCCGAUUGGUGUCGGCCAAUUAAUUUCACAAAAAAUCAAUAAGAAAUCAUCCAUAAACAUAAGAGGGGUCGGGAAAAAUAUGGAAAAAGAUCGGGAAACAAGAACUACGGCUCUGAUACCAAUGUUGGGAUUGUCGGAUUCCCUGAAACCGGAUUCGACACUAAAUCGAAUCCUUAAACUUGUGCGGAAGACGAGCCUGGGAAAAACACGUGCAUCACUGAUCCUAAGGCACAUCACAAAAUCGAACGUACCUUGUUAGCAACAGAUUAAACAUUGACGCCGUUAUGAGGAAGAGAAACUGAUCACGUUCAAUCCGAUGACGUCAAUUGGCCUUGAAGGGAAGAGUGUCGUAUCUUUUUGUUUGUUCUUUCUUUUGGAGGGAGAGAGGGAGGAGGAACGUACGUACUGCCAAAAGGUGCGUUCCUCGCUCUUUAUUUCCCCCUUAUAUACGUCUUCUGAAAAAAGAAACGCGUCCCUUCAUCACAUCCCUCUAUCCAUGAGCCAUAAUAUUGUGGGCCGGGCUUUUAGACCCAACAUGGGCAGACGGGCCAACUUAGGCCCAUCACAUUAAUAAUUAAAACCAUCACUUUCUGGCGUGGAGGGGCCCCCGCGUCAUCGUGAAAGUCUGUGGAAAAACAAUACUUUUCGACGGCAGCGAGAGGAGAAUCGAAGGACGCGGGACACCUGUCUUUAGCGUCCUUGGCUUUCUCUGUCUCUCUUAAUCUUUCUCCUUCGUAGGGGUGCCAGGAUCUCGGGGCCCCCUCUUUUCCCGGAAAAUGGUCUCGGUUUGACGAAGGAUCUGUAGGAGACUCUCAGUUUGGUAAAUGGACCUGAUGAACAGCAAAGCUUUUGCGUCGCAACUUCACCGCAAUUCAAACAAUAUUUUCUCUUCGUAGUACAACCCAAAUCCUUACUUGUACUUGCUUUGCUGUACACCCGCAUCCUUACUUGCUUUAGUAUGCAGCCCAUAUGAGCACUAGCACGACAUUAAAGACAAUGUCCUAUGAAAAGGUAGUUGGACAGAGGGAGGGUGCUUUGCUCGUUCUAGAUUUGGCUAAUUGGCUUAGUCAAAUGCACAAGUAGGGGAAAAGGUGUUUGGAUACCCUUCUCCGCCUGUCCUCUCCAUCUCAAGAUGCCUCAUGCGAGUAUUGACUUCGGCGAGGGACAGAGAGAGGGUGCUUUGCUCGUUCGUAGGUGCAAUCUAGAUUUGGCUAAUUGGCUAAAUGCGGCCAAAUGCAGAAGUAGAGGGAGAAAGGUGUUUGGAUACCAAAUGCGGCCAAAUGCAGAAGUAGAGGGAGAAAGCUGUUUGGAUACCCUUCUCCCUCCGCCUGUCCUCUCCAUCUCAACAAGCCUCAUAUGCGAUAGAUAGCAUCUCUGGGGAGUGAGAUCAGUUUGCGUGAAAGUAAUUCAUUAGAUGGCCACACACCAAGUAGCCACGGCGGCUCUUGCUUUCGGCAUUCUAGGUGAGUAACCUCCGCCUACUAACUGUUGAUCUUCAUCGCCAGUCUUCCUACUCAUCAUGGUUGCAUGCUUUCCUGCUCUCUGAGCUUUUCGUUUUUUUUUUUAUCACGACCUACUGACGGACAAAUGAGAGUCAAAACACACCUAAUGGAGGUGUUGAUUAAUCCCAAAAGUCAAAGUACGACAAAAUCAAUCCUAAAUCACGAGGCUAAUCAUAAUCCUCGCCUACUUACUAGCAGACAUCACCUUCAUUUUUCUUUUCCAUCUUUUAUUAUUAUUGGGGGCUACUAUGUAAAUAAUAAUUUGUUUUGAGCCAUAAAUUUUUAAAGGAUUUGAUCCCAAAAUAAUUUAUAACUAUUCGUUGAAUGGAUUUCACGUCUAACUGGAGUAAGGGCCAAUCAAGAAUAGCAGCCAAAGAUAGUAAAAUACAAACAUAAUUUAUCUUUGCAACUGGGGCAAAGGUCUCUGAAAAUUCUUUCAAGUUUGUGUGGGCACAAGAUCUUUAGUAAUUAGGGGAAGGAAGGAUGUGGUGGAGACGUCCUUGAGGAAAUAAAGGCUGGAUAUUAUUAUCUUUCGGCAGAGAAUAGGAAAGAAAAGGACAUAGGCAAAACUUUUUCUCACAUUUGAAUUAAUUCCAACUCAUGUUCUGGUCAUUUUCUUUUCGGCGGGGUCAAGUCAAGCCCUCAAAGUCUGGAUCACAAAAUUCUCACGUCUGAUAAGAAGUUGUUCGAAAGGUCAUAAUAUGAUGAGGGCCUCCAUACUAGCUAAGUUACGAUGACUUUUGACUUCUUUUAAUUGUUUUGCAGGCACCGUGAUUUUCUUCAUAACCUUUCUUUCUCCACUGUAAGUUAUAUCAUCUUCCUUUGUUCACUAAAAUAAUAAUGAGCUUGUUAGAAAAUUUGGAUGUGAGUGUGCGGAAGCAUGAUUUUGGAAUUGAUGAUAAUUUUUUAUUAAUGAUAUUGUGUGCAAGUGUAUGAUAUAAUUUGUAAUGGAUGGAUAAGGGAUAAACUAGGAUAAUUGAAGGAUAUAUGAUAUGAGAUAUGAGGGAAAAUAAUUUUAUUAAUUGUAGAAAAUAGUUUGAUGAAGANNNNNNNNNNNNNNNNNNNNNNNNNNNNNNNNNNNNNNNNNNNNNNNNNNNNNNNNNNNNNNNNNNNNNNNNNNNNNNNNNNNNNNNNNNNNNNNNNNNNNNNNNNNNNNNNNNNNNNNNNNNNNNNNNNNNNNNNNNNNNNNNNNNNNNNNNNNNNNNNNNNNNNNNNNNNNNNNGCUUCUUUGAGAACAAACAUCUGAAUGUCACUGAUUUGAUGAGAUGUGCUUUAUUUUUAGAAGUGGAAUUAUUUUCCUCUCACUUUUGCCUUAUCUUGGUAUGGUAUUUUGCAACUUGCCUGGUCUAGUCUGGGUGUCAUAUUCCCAUUUCACCAGGCUGAGACAUUAAAUCUUCAUUUUCAUGCAUGUUGAUUUUUUUUUUAAAUUUUCCUGGUAUACAUGAAUAUUGGUCUUGAAUUGAGCUGUGGAUGGCUGUGUGUAGGCAAAGAACUACUGAGGUCACUCUUAGGUGUUGUUGGAGAGGUGCCGGGGUACUAAAAGAGAAGUUGUAGAAGAGUCUAAUGAUCUCAUGAUAGUGGUUAGUUUGUACAUGAGCAUGCCUCUUCCAUCACUUGAAGUGUGGUUAUUGUAUAGUACACUGCCCACUUAGUACCAGAAGCUUCUUCAUCAUUUGAGAGUCUUCAAGACUUGGCUUUUCUUGCAUGCACGUGAAAUGUUGCCGACUCAUUUCUUCUCCAUUAAGCAUACUUAAUUCUUUAAGCAUGUAUAGUCUAGUGUGUUCUAGAUAUUUCAAAAAUGGAUCACAAUUUCUACUUGGUUCGAUGGUAUGUGUGGCAGGCCCACUUUCUACGGAAUUUUCAAGAGAAAAUCAACGCAGGGAUUUCAAUCAAUCACAUACGUGGUGUCACUCAUAAGUGCAAUGCUUCUACUGUAUUAUGGAGCAGUUAAGAAGGAUACCCUCCUAAUUUCCAUAAAUGGAAUUGGCUGCAUUAUCAAGGCUGCUUAUGUGGUUGCUUACCUCAUCUAUGCCUCGAGGAAUGAUAGGGUAAUCCUUCUUGUUAAGAAGCCAAUGAAGGAGUUGGUAUUCUUUUAUGCUUAACCGAAUAGACUGUGAUUUUGUAGAUGUUGACCUUGAAGCUUUUCCUGAGCAUGAACGUACCGGGGUAUGGUGCAGUAUUCUUCACCACUUUCUUCUUAUCAAAAGGAGCAAAGCACGCACAUAUUAUUGGAUAUAUCUGUACAAUAUUCUCUGUAGGAGUAUUUAUUGCUCCUCUAUACAUCCUGGUGAGAAAUUAAUUAAAUUUGACGAAAUCUGGAAGCACGUACAUUUAUAGACAAUUUGCAUAUUUUUACACUAAUUCCAUUAUUAGUAGACCGACUCACUUUGUCAAUUUUCGCUACUAUUAUUGACUUCAUUUUACUGAAAUAGAAUGAAAAUAUAUGGAUGGGCAAGGAAAAGUCAUAAAAACCAAGAGUGUGGAGUUUAUGCCGAUAACUUUAUCAAUCUUCCUCACCCUCAAUGCAAUCAUGUGGUUUUUCUAUGGCUUUCUCAAGAAAGACUUCUUCAUUGCGGUAAGUGGCAAACUGUCGACCCCACAAUCCUUAUUUCAUUCCAAUAAAUCUUGCUUUUUUAUCUGCUUAAUGUAUCCAUACAUGACACAGGUACCAAACGUGUUGGGAUUUCUACUAGGAGGGGUUCAGAUGGCGUUUUACGCCAUAUACAGGAAGAAAAGGGAAGUGGUAGUGGAGCAGCUGCAGGGAGCAGCAGGAAGUAGAAGUGGUAGUGGAGGAGCAGCAGGAAGUAGAAGUGGUUGUGGAGGAGCAGCAUGAAGUAGAAGUGGUCGUGGAGUAGCUGCAGGAAGUAGAAGUGGUAGAGGAGCAGCAUGAAGUAGAAGUGGUAGUGGAGCAGCUGCAGGAAGUAAGGGAGGAGAUAAUCGACGUGGUUGAAGCUGAGCGGAGCCGCGUGUCCACUGGGUAGCACCAUACAUGGCAAUGUUUUUAGUUUUUUUUUUAAUAGAAAUGUUUUUAGUUGAUCAGGCGUCAUUCCAAGAUCUCCAACUACAUGACAAGGGUGGAGAUGACUGACUUUACGUUUUGCUGUUGCUUGGGACAUAUUAUGCUGUAGUUUCUGCUAAGGCUCUUUAGGCCAUCUUAGUCAGACUGUAAGUGCGAGUGAAAAGGCAGAAAGAGCUUUUCGGCCUGUGGAGAGAUCUCUAGCCAAUUCAUGCAUCAACAUUCUCAGGAGACAAGAACUUUGACUCCAAGGCAAAGUAAUUUGGCAUCCCUUACAUAUAGAAAUUGAGUCCAUGACUAACAUGGCAGUCGAUUUCCCUUUUCCUUGUAGUGUCUCUACUUAAAGGAACUACUAGUUUUACUCUGUCCAUUGGCAUUCAUGCAUUUGCCAUGGCUCUGUUGGCAAUAAUUAUCUAUGUUGAGCAAUUGAUGCAUCUCUCGAAAGGUCGAUCAUUUACAUUAUGAAUGACUUCUGCAUGUAUUGGACUUAGUAAUUUUGGUUUAUUAGUCUCUUUCUUUCUCUGUCUUGCUAAGUUGAGUCAACCACUUUUCCCAAAAGGUUAGAGAUGGGCCCACAAGGAAAUUUUCUUGAUGAAUGCAAAAUUAAGCUCCAAAUUAUACCUCAAUCUUUUCGUCUUCCUUUGAUUGCGUCAAAAUUGCAUGUAAUUACGCAGACACAUUGCUUUCAAGAUUCUUCACAUUUUGCCAUUUAGAAGCCUAACUUUUAUCGAGAAAAUAUUGGGUGGGACUUACCCUCCACGUAGGUGGAGGGUAAGUCCAUUCAGAAUCUAACACGUGGCUCUCAUAGGCGAGGGGCCCAGAGGUUCAAAAUUUGCGCGCGCCCUCCCGGGGCCCACAACUCUGACGCUCUCUCUCCUCUGCUCUCCUCUGCGAUCUGUCGAUUCGUCCUCUCUCUUUUCUUUCUCCCCGUUCUCCGUUCCGUUGCGGGGGAGAACAAAAACUGCAGGUGUGCUUCCAUUUGCUCUUCCCCUCCUCUGCUCUCUCUCCUCCACUGGUUGCUUCCAUCUCCACGCCGACGCUGCCGACGCUCCUCCGCACGAUGCCGACGCCCCUCCACCUCCGCCUCCGCCUCCACAGGUUGCCGGCGACGCCCCCGACUCCGACGCCCUUUCCACCUCCGCCGACGCCGACGCCCUUUCCAGUGAACCGCGACGCUGACGCCUCUCCGCCUCUGCCUCCGCCCCCGACGCUUCUGCCUCCGCCUUCGCCCCCGACUCCAACGCCGACGCAACCUCCGCCUCCGCCCCUGAACCCGACUCUGACGCCGACGCCGACGCCCCUCAAGCCGGUUGCCUUCGUCGCCCCCGACUUCGACGCCGACGCCCCUCCGCCUGCGCCUUCGCCCCUGACACUUCUGCCUCCGCCGUCGCCCCCAACUCCAACGCCAUCGCUGAUGCCCCUUCGCCUCCCUCUCACGACCUCCGCCUUCGUCCGUGUCUGUUCUGACGGUAUUAUUGCUUGGGAGGAGCUCUGUUUUACUAUGGUAUACUAGUAAGAUAUCCCAUGUAUGAUGUGAAGGUGCCCUACGUUAUUUGUAAUGAGUUAGUAAAGAUCAGCUGUUUGAUCUUGAGAAUCUUGUCUUUUCAUGUAAAAACACCACUCUUUCUGGUUUUUCUUGAGAAGUCAUAUGCUUUUUUUGCUUGGGUAAUAUAGCAAGUGCUAAAUAGAUCAAAGAUCAUUAUAGUAAGUACGGGCACUUCCAUGGAUAGAACGGGAUAUGAGUGCAAACUUUGGGGUAUUUUAUUUGGACAGCCACAUCUAUCUAUAUGAGUUCUUCCUCUUCUUAGUUCUCAUUUCAUGUUUACUCCAUCACUUAUCUAACUUUAACAUGUUAUCUGUGUAGUUGCAGAUGAGGAGCAGAAAGGACCCGUGAAUCCUUAUGAUGGCAAGGUGUAUGUUCGACGGGAUGCCAUGUCAAAUAAAGUUAGUGGCUUCUUUUCCCUGUUGAGAUGUCUUUGUUGUUGUUGUUGUUUGAACAAUAAAGAAAAUUCCAUUAAGAAGGGUACCAAAGGGGGUACUGCCCCUAUACAAAACAGCUGCAAAGAAAAGCCACACAUAUGCAAUUUUGUACAGAAAGAGGAACACCUUCUAGUAUGUUGAUCAUUACUUGGCAUAUGGAGAUUGUGUGACGUUUAAUUUGUUAUUUGCUGCUAUUCCUUGAUGUAGUCAUCUUCCAAAGGUUUCCAUCUUUUUGAAGAGUUGUGCUGACUGUNNNNNNNNNNNNNNNNNNNNNNNNNNNNNNNNNNNNNNNNNNNNNNNNNNNNNNNNNNNNNNNNNNNNNNNNNNNNNNNNNNNNNNNNNNNNNNNNNNNNNNNNNNNNNNNNNNNNNNNNNNNNNNNNNNNNNNNNNNNNNNNNNNNNNNNNNNNNNNNNNNNNNNNNNNNNNNNNNNNNNNNNNNNNNNNNNNNNNNNNNNNNNNNNNNNNNNNNNNNNNNNNNNNNNNNNNNNNNNNNNNNNNNNNNNNNNNNNNNNNNNNNNNNNNNNNNNNNNNNNNNNNNNNNNNNNNNNNNNNNNNNNNNNNNNNNNNNNNNNNNNNNNNNNNNNNNNNNNNNCGUUACAAAUAUUUUUAUGAUAACAUGAGUGUUCUGCUUGGAAAAAUAUUGAAUAGUUUCAGUCCCUUUUAGUGCAGUUAUCAAGAACUGUUUGGUACUAAUACUUUGUUGAGAAUUGGAGGGGAUGUAAUUCUCAAUUCAAACUUACCUUUUCAUGUCAAUUUUCUUUUGAGAGGUUGAUGUAGGUAGUUGCCUAUAUACUUACACCCUACAUGUCCUUUCUCGAUACUUUACAAGUUUGUUCUUCUUGUCUUUCUGUAUGAAAACUGGAAUUGUCUUUUUUAAUUUUAAGAACUUUUACUGCUCUUAGAAGAAUCUAAUAAAAUUCUGAUGAUAGUUUCGCUUGUUAACAUUCAAUUUUCGAAGUCAUGUGGUUUGCCAAUGUUUGUGUUAUGUGUGAUUAUCCAGGCUGCUUCAAGACUUCUCCACCAUGAGUAUCAGUUGCUGCAUGACCAGCCUGCAAGAUACCAUACCCCCUGGACGGAUUGCCCAAACUCACUAUCUUGAUGUCCUAGUGGAUGGGCCAACUACCAGAGUGUCAUCUAUUCACAGAAGUGAGAAGCUGCCUAGUGUUGAUGGUGUUAGAGGUCACCGACUGCGAGUAUGCCGUGUCUUGCAAGAAGAUGGAGAGUGAAACAGUUUUUUAUCCCCUCUGAGAGAUGAUCAUUCCCUUCAGCCAAGAGAGUCUUUGUUAACAUUCAAAUGGAUGCUCACCAAGGAAGCCAUCCAUUUAUCGGUCAAGAAGAUUCUUCUACCCUGCCUGACAGGACAAUUUUGCAUGAUACUUCUGAUCUGCAUGUCAAGAGAAAACGCAAGGUAAUUCUUAUGCUUCUAAGAGCAGAGUAUUGUCAUCACUUUUUGAUAUAGAUUUAGGGUGACCAAAAAUGUCAUUUUGUUGCAGAUUGAAGAAGCCCAGAUUGCUAGGGAAGUUGAAGCUAAUGAAACCGAAUUCGCAAAGCACUAGAGAAAGAAAAUAUUUUGAGGAGAAAGGUUUUCAUUUAUCACUUAAGGAUAUGUGAGCUUUGUGGAGAAAACUUUGGCAUGUACUGAUAUCCUGUAUUUUUCUAUUGCGGGCUGAGGAAUGAAUGAGGAAAGAGAUGGAAAGAUUUGAUCGUGAAAGAAGGAAGGAAGAAGAAAGGUUGAUGCGUGAACAGCAGAGAGAGGAGGAGAGAUUGCUACAUGAGCAAAGGCGAGAAUCAGAGCGACGGGAGAAGUAUUUACAGAAAGAAUCUAUUAAGGUAAGUAUUUGAGCUUGAUAUUGCAUUUUCACUAGUUAGUUUCUUUUGCUUUAUUUGAUUGGUUAAGCAGCACCUCUUCUUUUCUCUUUUCUUUACCAACUUCUCUGGUUUUUUUGUUUGGAAGGCGGAGAAAAAGAGACAAAAGAAGAGUUUCAUCGAGAAAAAGAAGCAGAGAGAUGAAAAGCUGCAGUGGAGAAGGCCACUGCUUGCAGAAUUGCCAAGGAAUCCAUGGAGCUUAUGAAGGAUGAACAGCUGGAGCUGAUGGAAUUGGCCGCUGCAAGCAAGGGGUUGCCUUCAAUCAUUAAUCUCGAUCAUGUCACUAUGCAGAAGCUUGAGUUGUUCAGAGGUAGCUUUUUUAUAGCGAUUACUGUUAAGACCAGUUUCACUCCAUUGAUUCAUUGAUUGUGUGAUAUUGUUGUUUUAACUAGGAUUCUAUGGCAGCUAAGACAAGCUUUUAAAUUCCUAUGCUCUGUUUUUCUCGUGUACCUUAAAUUCAGUAGAAAGGAAAUAGGGCCUGAUCCUUUCUAGAAAAUUUACCGGCGUUCCAUUGUUGUCAAGAAUAAUUCUAGAUAUACUAAAGUUAUAUAAUUACCAUCAUACUAAAUGAUGUUAACAUUGGAUAUAUGAAUGAGUCACAUCUUGUGAUUUGAAUCUACUCCUGUCAUCACCAAUUUAAUUCAUGUCACUAUCUUGUGAUUUGAAUCUACUCCUGUCAUCACCAAUUUUAUUUGAUAGUUGUAUUUACUAUAUCUAAUCAUGUUCGUUGAUGCACUACUGUAACCUCUCGUGUUUGAUGUUUAUGUAUGGAUCUUCACGCUGAUGAGUUCCUUUCCAUAUUGUCAAGACAUUCGAGUCUGAAGACUGCGGUUAUAGGCACUUCUAAAUGUUUGAAUGGGAGAGUUUUUUUGGUUUUUCUGACGAUGUUGGAUUAGUUAAUUGCUAUAUGUUCAAAUAGUGCGGAUGUUUUGUCUUUUCUGUUUCUGAACGAGCGCUUGCUGUGAACUCAUGCUGUCACUUUGCAUUCAAUUUUGUCAAUCCAGUGAAACAAAGUGAUAAAUACAAUUGACUAUUUUUUUUUUCCUAUUUGCUAAGUGCUUAUCACAAAAUGAAAUCAUUGGCUCAAUAGGACCAGUAAAGCUACAUUGACCAAUAAUUUUGAUCGGAACAGUAUAGAAUUUUUGGUCAAUUAUGCAUUGUGAAAGUGCAAUUUGGAGGCUUUACAUGCAUUGUUAUGACAUCGGUCAGUAAACAGAAAAUGCAACUCAGUACUGGGAGUUUACAAAGUUGUAAAGGCAUGUCACCUGGUGGCUGAUUGUUCAUUUGCGAGUCCAAGUUUGACAACCAACGAAAGCUGUUUACCAUUGAUUAUCGAGUUAAGGUAGGAGCCUGGAUUUCCUGGAGAAAAUGGUUCCUCAAUUAUUACAGACAUCAGCAUAAAUCCUCGUCAAUCAUUCGCUCCAUCAUGCAAGAAACCGGCCCUAUAAUUGCCCUCGACCUGGUCUUUCAGCUGCUGUGUCUGAAUAAUUGGACAAGAACAGGGACGGGUUUGAGUUUUGCCAAGAACAUAUUGUUCUUGCUUAUUCGUCAGUUGUAAUACAGAGAGAGGGAGAGAGAGAGGCAGGAAGAAUGGGGAAAGAGAAAGCGGGUUUGGUCGCGUUGCUGAUAAUUGUGUCGAGCUGGUGUGUAUCGUUGUCCUCCGACUCCUCUUCUUCUUCUUUCAGAGGUGAUCUGAGCAGAGGCAAGGUGCCCUUGACUUUCAGGUUGGUGUCGUCGUCUCUAUGAAUUUUUGUUGAUAAUCCUAAAACUUUGCUCAGAUGUUUGUUUCGAAGGGUCUCAUGAUGUUAUGCAGGUGAUAAGUGCUAAUAACUUCCCAUCAUUUUCUUAUUGCAAACGCAACAUCCGCUUUAUCGACCCAACAAGGACCUAGUAAUCUGCNNNNNNNNNNNNNNNNNNNNNNNNNNNNNNNNNNNNNNNNNNNNNNNNNNNNNNNNNNNNNNNNNNNNNNNNNNNNNNNNNNNNNNNNNNNNNNNNNNNNGUGACCACCCAGAGCAAUGUGACUACGAGGUGGAAUCAGAUGGCGGCUCUUCUCUUGGUGUAAUUGUAAAGGAUGUCGUUUCUUUCAGGUCCUACAGCAACAGCAGGGUUCUUAGUCCUUGUGUCACCCUUGGGUAGGUGAAUUCACAUGCUCUCCCAAUUAUGUUUGGCCAGGCUUACUGACUAUACCAACUCAGCAUUUUAUGAUACCAUGCUUUCUUUUGGCCAGACUGGAAAUUCUUCAUUAAUGUCAGAGAAUUUUACCUUUGUAACCAUUUCUUAUGUGGUGAUAGUUCCUCUACAGAUGUGGAUAUGAUCAGAUACCUGGUCCGUCCAAUCCUUUCUUAGAUGGAGUGCUUGCGCUCGGUAAGGGAAGGUCCAGCAUCGUAUCACAGCUAAGUAGUCAAGGUUUGGUGGGUACUAGGCCACUGCUUGAGUACACGUCGUGGUGGAUUUCUCUUCUUCAGUGAUGAUCUUUAUGACUCCUCCCGCAUCACAUGGAUGCCUAUGUCUCAUGAUUACUCGUAAAUUCUCUGUUCCUCCAUUUUCUCACCAUCUCGAUAUCUCUCAUCUCUCAUAUACUAAAAUUGAACUUUGUUAUAUGUAUCUCAGAAAGCACUAUUCUCCUGGGACCGCAGAGCUCCUCUAUGCAGGGAAACCUACUGGACAGAAAUUAUGAAUGUGAUUGGAGGUAAGAGUCUUCCAUAUGGUGGCAUUUUUAUUGUAAAUUUAGUUUUGCACCCAAGACAUUGUCGUGGAAAAUUUGAAGAGGAAGGAAAUCAUCGAAGAUAUAUGAUUAGACAACAUAAAAUGUCCUCAGAGAUCAUAUCCAUUCAGAUGUUCUGCACUAUUGUGCAAAGCAGAUUUAUUUCAUUUAGUUUUCAUAUCUACCCUCGUUUGUUGGUUUUGCAGACAUAUCGAUGCAGGACAAGAUGGUGAUCUACGACAAUGAGAGGCAAUUGCUGGGAUGUGAAUCUAAAGAUUGCAGUAGACCUCCAAAGCCCAGAGCAUUCGCAGCAAUUGACAGGAAGCUCCUUGCCGUAUCUCUGUACUUCCAGAUCAGAAUCAUGGAAGCGCCGUGCAUCAAACCAAGCCUUCACCUAGGAAGCUCAUCAUUGCCAAGUCACUUGUAAAUAAGCCCUGAUUAAUGUUUUCCUUUGUCUUUACUGUACUGGAUGUUACAAAAUUGCUUACGGGUAUUACCCCAAGUGAACUCAAUUACAGCCAUUCUUAAUAAGUAUUGCCAUGUUGAGGAUCAGUAGAAACUGAUCCUUGUACAUACUUUACCUUCUUGUUCAGCCCACUAUUCCAGAUUUUAUUUACCUGCAGUUGAGCGAAACUCAAGGCAUAUUCCACAACAAGAAGAUGAAUUGUUCUUUGGUAGAAAUAGGAGUUAAGAUUGCCCUCGUCUUCCUUAACAACUAAUUCACACUGAUAAAAUUGAAAACUGCAGCUGGGCUUGCUGUUGCAAUGUUACUACGGUCCUGUUAAAAAAAGGCAUAGGUGUACUAAAUUGGAAAAUCAGCAUUUCCUCCUGCAACGUUCUCUUGUCAAGUAGAUUUCACAUUCUUCUCAUAGUUCACUACUAAUAUUGUGAUAGUGAUCCUGCAGCCCAUGUGAAAAAUUGUACGCCAACCAACUGAAAAAUUUAAAGUCACAGCCCAUCUUAUUCCACGGUCACAGCCCAUCUAUUCCACGGGAUGUCAAUACUUUUCCCUUUCAACCCACCCCAAAUCACAGGGGGAAAAAUGUCGAUCUUUAUCCCUUCACUGAUGAGCUUUAAAACUCCAAACGAAUGGUCAAAACUUGAUAAGGGAUACACUGUUGAAUCAUUUGUAUAUACAUAUCAUCAGUUUUGUCCAAGCCAUGGACAUUAAUUACACCAAACCAAAGCGAAACCCCAACCCCAUCCCUUAAUAAAUGAACAGUCUUUAUACCAUUCUGAUUUCUGACAGCUAUAAUGAACUGGAACAAGUCCAAAAUAGGAGAUCUAUGAAAGAAUUUAAGACAAUCCUAGGACAUAUAGAAGAAUGUUCUCUACAUGAACUAGCUCAAACAUGAUCCUAGGCCUCCACGACGAGCCAACAACCUAAUGGAACAUCGGCCACAGGAUUGAGCAAAGUUCAACGAAUCAAGGCCGCUGCAAUGACACCCAUCCGCACCUCUUGAAUAGUUACCAUCUUUUGUUCAAAGUCCAGCACAUCCAUCAUAGCCAACCCAACCCAUGUAAUGAUAACAAGUUUCAGACUGCUGACCUAACAAGAAUCUAAUACUAGCCUAACAAGAAUGGGGCGAGAUGAUCUUGCUUCGGAAGUGUUUGCUGAUGAUCCCCUCCAAGCCCGCUCUUAGGUGUAUCACAAUAUCCUAUGCAUGGACUCCACCGUCAUACCUCGUUUGGGUGUUGAGCAGCUCCAUCGUCUCUAUGUGAAAACUACCGGCCAUUUUGACUAGCCGUGCAAUCUCCGCCGGAGACGCAGGAUACAAUGGGAUGUUGAAGCAAUCCACUUGCUCUUCACUUAUUAUUCCCUGCAGUGAAAAGCUCGCCCAUUUGUGGGUCUCCAUCAGUUGAAUGAAGUUAAAAGUUCAUGCAGUCUAAUGUUGAUCUCUCUAAUAGAUGACUAUCAUGGGAAAAAUUUUUAGUGGCCUAACAGAUAAGCUGCCAAAAAAGCACAUACUAUAUGAGGGUUCGUCUAGGCUAUUUAUGUUGUGACCGUGCAUUAUCUAUGCUUUCACAGGGGCCUCCGGAUUCAUUCCUCCCAAGAUGUUGAAAAGAGUUUGAUGACCCUUGUACAAGAAAAUGACAAAUAUAUUAAUAUUUAUCUAAAUAAUAUGCUUAGAUAAACUCUUCCUACUCACAACUCGCAUAUCUAAUCCAAAACCCAACAAUUAGUUCCCAUGAACAGUGAUAUUCUUCAAACCAACAUCCAAGACACGUCACUUUACUCUAGUACAGUUUGAGAUCAUUUACGCACCGUAUAUACGAGGGGAAAAAAGGGCGGCUCCUAACAGCUGAAUAAGUAAGAAAACUAAUGCAACAAAAGGUGUUUAAACCAAAAACUGCCGAGUCCCUAACCAGUUUUCGAGAUACAUGAAUAGAAAAAUAUGCAUGGGCACUUAUAAUCCUAUGUGUAUUCCUCAUAGUACACCAUGACCAAGUAAAAAACAACCUAUUUUAAUACCUUCUCCAACAUAACUCCAAAUGUUAGGAAACCAAAUGACAGACCCAUUGAAGACAGAACAAUUAACUUACGGAGUUAAAAGUUCUUUCCAGAAAGGGCUACCGUCGGUGAAGAUAGUGUAGAGAAGAGUCGCCAGCAUCAAACCACCCAAAACAAUGAAAGCGAUUCUAGCAAUUAUAACAGGAAAAUGCUGCUUCUUCUGUUCUACGCCAUCCCUGAAGAAAGAAAUUGCUCAGAUAAAAAGGUAUUCCAGCACACCCAAAAUCAUAGUUGGAAAUGACAUAAUUAGCACAUUAAAACUUUCCAUUUGUUCUUCUCCUCAAGAAAGGGACUGCAGCUCAAAAUUGAAAGCAUAAUUUUGGAGUGGUUGGGCACAUUAGUAACCCGUUAUUAAAACUGAAUAUGUAGAGCAACCUAAACAAUGUCUGAAAGACUCUUAAGAUUUAUAGCUCCAGAGCAGAAAAUUGUUCAUUUACCGUAGUCCGGUGAAGCCAUGAGCUCAUAAUGUCUCCGUAAAGUACUGUAUCCAGAAUCCCGUAGAAACAACAAUGAUAUAAUAAAAUGGAGUGCAAACAUACUUGCUAGAAUGCUGCAACAGAACAUGGUAGAUGGGAUCUUGUGAAGACUCUGAGGUGAAGAGCUUGAGAAAUUGCAAAAGAAUGUANNNNNNNNNNNNNNNNNNNNNNNNNNNNNNNNNNNNNNNNNNNNNNNNNNNNNNNNNNNNNNNNNNNNNNNNNNNNNNNNNNNNNNNNNNNNNNNNNNNNNNNNNNNNNNNNNNNNNNNNNNNNNNNNNNNNNNNNNNNNNNNNNNNNNNNNNNNNNNNNNNNNNNNNNNNNNNNNNNNNNNNNNNNNNNNNNNNNNNNNNNNNNNNNNNNNNNNNNNNNNNNNNNNNNNNNNNNNNNNNNNNNNNNNNNNNNNNNNNNNNNNNNNNNNNNNNNNNNNNNNNNNNNNNNNNNNNNNNNNNNNNNNNNNNNNNNNNNNNNNNNNNNNNNNNNNNNNNNNNNNNNNNNNNNNNNNNNNNNNNNNNNNNNNNNNNNNNNNNNNNNNNNNNNNNNNNNNNNNNNNNNNNNNNNNNNNNNNNNNNNNNNNNNNNNNNNNNNNNNNNNNNNNNNNNNNNNNNNNNNNNNNNNNNNNNNNNNNNNNNNNNNNNNNNNNNNNNNNNNNNNNNNNNNNNNNNNNNNNNNNNNNNNNNNNNNNNNNNNNNNNNNNNNNNNNNNNNNNNNNNNNNNNNNNNNNNNNNNNNNNNNNNNNNNNNNNNNNNNNNNNNNNNNNNNNUACCACCAAGAAAUUCAUUGAAGCGUGACGAGAAUGCUCCGAGAGAGUACUAAAAUAGCCCCCCAUCACAGUUCUCACAGAAAAUUAUCGCAUUUCCCGCUUCUUUCUCACCUCAUAAAUAAUAAAAAACUCGCAUUUUCGAAGGCUCCAAUUAGCUCUUUCAAAAUUUCACCCCACAAUGCAAUCUACAGAUUUCUGUACAAGUCUGCAAUAUAAGCAUCAUUUGCAUAGAACAGUCCCCCGACAACCCAUUCUAGAGUUUUUCUUAUCCAAAGUGCCAUGCUCCAUGAUAGAAUUAACUGAGAGCCUUGUUGAUGUAGAGAAACGGCACAAAAAGGUUCAUUUUCCCUGAAUUCCACUUGACACGUUCUUGAGCUCACAUAAUACACGGUUAACCAGCAACACUAAGCAACCUAGAAAAAAGUUCCAGUUUCUCCAUCUUGGACAUGUCUCUAAAACUGACAAGCUAGUCUCUGUCCUAACAGUGCAUGAGAUGUUUAGCCAAAGUUUGUGGUAGUCAAGGCAAACCAGCCCUAAAAUCUAGGCCCCCACCUUGAAUUCACCAUAUGAAGUUUGAAGCAACAUUGCCAGUAGAGCUGUACCUUAACCUGUGUUUCAAAAUCCAUAACUACUAUAUGGGAACAAAACCACCAAAUUAAAUAAAUAAAUAAAAAUUGCCCACUUAUUACCUCUGUCAUUUCCUAAAUCCUGACUUUGCUGCAAAUUAGAAGAUAUUUGGAUGAAAUCAUCUUAAAGCUGAAGUAUGUGGGACAUAUAUUUCAUUUGGCAAAUUCAAAUUCAAAUUUGCUCUACUCAUAACAAAUGGAAGCUACGGAUGAGAAGCAAAAGUUUCCAAGGCUGAAGAAUUCAUUCAGUCAGAAGUAAUCUUGCACAUAAAAGGUCCAUGAUUAUCAAACUCCAGCAGCUACGAUACAGUCAAAUCAUCAUUCCAGCAAUUGAUUUCCCACUAUCUAACAGAUGAUGAUCCACACAGUCAACCAGGGAACCCAACGAUAAAUUCCCACAACUCGAUUGUCAGGAUAGAACUCAGGCCAAGCUGAGAUACCAAUGUGCUGCAAUACAGGUUGCAGAGGAACAGUGCCAUCUAUAUCAAGAAUAAUCUCUCCUUCAGCAAGCUGGAGGUUAUAUAAUGUUGGUCCUGAGACAUUCUUUGCAGCCUUAAUCACUCUGCAUGGAUGGAACAAAGUAGUAGUUGACAACCAUUUGCUAGUGAACAUCCAAUCCAUUAAAAAGUGCGAAAUAGCAAUCAAGAUGCAUAAUGAAUGUGCAACACUUGAAAUAGUAUGAACGGUGCCUCUCGUGUAGUUGUAAAAACUAUAUUCUUCUCAAAAUGAAAAGAAAGCAACAAAAUCUUCAAAAUUUCACCCCACAAUGCUCCUUCCGGGAACUAGCAAGAAAAAUUAAUGCCUAUGGCUCUAUAUCAUCACUCACGAUGCUUGACAACGAAAUUUUUCCAUCACCUGCCUCCAUCUUGGCAAUAUAUCUAGUCAAAAUACUACAAUGAAACCAAAAUAAACAUCCACGAUCAACAACUGAUUUAAGUUGGACAGAAAUUACAUUAAACAGCAGUUUACCCUCAGAAGGCCAGGGGUUCGGUCCAAAAUGAGCCUUCUACACACGAGGAUCGUCCUCUGGUACUUCCACUUGUAUGUAGUAUCCCUCCUUAUAAUCUCCUACAAAACGUCAAAAAAUUCAUUACUGCUCGAACAAUCUUCAGAAGAUGAUAAGCAGAUAGGUAAUAACAAGUUUCAGCCAAAUCUCUGACUUGAGUUCAUGGUCGUGUGUUAGCAAUUCAAACUCCCAAUUCAGUGGCAGUUCUCUCCAAGAAUACAACCGAAAACAGGAACAAUAACAAAUUGAUCUUCCUUUUCUAGGAAAUGCGACUCAACCACCACCUGAAUACAGACAUCAAAAUCACCAGCUAUUCAUCUAUGUCCACUUUAAGCAGUAAAAUCUUCAGCAGGAUGAUCAGACACAAACCGUUUAUCUGAUUUGCGGGGUCAAGGACUUGAUCGAACAGAGGAGUGUAGCCUCAGUGCUUCUCGUUCCUCGGCAGCUUCAUCUUCUCGCUCAAAGGCAGACCGAAGAACCGCCUGCCCUGGACGAAGACCUCCUCCAUCAAGUCCUGGCUGACUCCAUGAGUUGAUCACGUAGGGAAGGCCGGAAUCCAAGCACGCCUGAGGCCAACGGAUUGGAUUCAUCCGUCAGCGUCCCCCUCGACUAGAAAAAUCUCGGUUUCCUCGGUUUCAUGUACCAGAAAUCGAACUAAACAUAGUGGAAAAAGGCGGGAGAAUCGAAGACUUGUUUGAGUAGGGACGCCGACCGUCGGAUAUCGGAGCUCGAGAGGUCGAUGAGGUCGAGAGUGGAAGCAGGAACUCCGGCAACGUCGACGGCGUUCGCGUCAUCCAUGGUCGCCGUCCGUUCGCCUGACUGAUUUCACGGUGAUGAUGACGACCGACGGGAUCGAGGCCAGACGGGAAUUUGAGUUGCGGGUGAUGGAAGACACGGGGCUGAGAAAAAGAAGAGGAAAAACGACGGCGUGGGACGUUUAAAGAAUCGGCACAGAUAUUCGGUGCGGCCAUCGGUGACGUCCUCGUUCCCCCAUCCUAAUGCUUUCUACAAAUUUUAAAGCAUUCUAGCUGAGUAAUUAUUAUAUUCGAUAUAAAUAAUCAUUUUUUAAAUAAUUCAUUUAUUCUCAAAAAAAUAAACAGCCCUUAAAAUUUGAAAAACCUUACAAAUAUUUAUAUUUACAUGCAUGUUUAUUCUUUUUAAUUUAUUCUUGUGAUAUUUAAUUUUUGAAUGGCUAAGAAAAAUACAGAUUCUAGAAAAGCUAUUCCAUUUUCUGUUGCUCUUCCAAACUAGCAAGGCCUUAUCUCAAAUGAAAAGACGUUUGACCGAUACGACUCCAUGAAGCGUAUUAAUCACAUUCCAUCAAUCAUAUGAAUUACAUGCAUGCUCAUCCAAGUACAAAAAAUGCACGAAUGCCUACACUUUAACUGACGCUUUAUGUAAUGUACCAAGCAACGGUAAAAUGAGUCAAUACAAAAAGGGUAGCCAUUGGUAUUUGCUCCAAUGGUUAAAUGUAGGAAGUAGUUAAAAAAAGUCUUUUUCCAUUUGUUUGCGUGGGACAUUUUGAGACAGAACAUAUGCUUUUAGGAUAUCGAUAGUGUAUAUCCUAUAUCUAUAUCUAUUUACAUACAUAUAUAAGAAUAUUCAAUCGUGGAUAAUACUUUUAGCGCGAAUUAAAAUAGGGACAAUUAAGAAUAUCCAUAAAUGGAUCUUAAGUCUGGCCCUGCCUAGCUUGACACGCAAGGCUCAUGGGCUCUACCUGGCGUGACGCGAGAAGAUGUAGAGCUUCAAGGAAAUAAAGUUCGUCACUCGCAAAUUUACCAACUCUAGAACAUGGAAGCUGCUACACCUUCUGAAGUUGGACAUGAGUUAGACUCUCGAUUGCAAAUCUAGUCGGGGUUUGAAAUGUUUUCCUCUAAUUCAAAAAGCUUAAAAGAAGAUUAGGAACCACCUUGUAUAGUCAUACACACAAUGCAAUAGAAAUGAAAUUACUAAGUACAAAAUAUGAAAAUGCUAUGUUCAAAUUCUCUGAGGUGCUCUCAGCCUUGUUUUCUUGUCAAGGAAGUGACAACUCGAUCUUGUUGAGCUUAACCACGACAAUUUUCCUGUCCAUUAUUUCCUCAAGCAAGUCCUUUGAACAUUCUAGCCAUAACUUUAGUAUCAAGAAGACUAUGCUAUUGAAUUUCGAAAGCGUCGGAUCUUCAUAUUUUGUGCAAAGGAUGUUGUUAUCCAUAAGCACUCUCUCUGGAAUUGUUGCACCUACCCAUUGCCUCAAACUGAGACCUGCGUUGAACAUUUCACCGGUUGGCUUCUUCCCAGUAAUCACUUCCAACAACAAUAUGUUGAAGCCGUACAAAUUUCCUUUGAAAGAGACUUUUCCUUCCGAACCAUACUCUGAAAGCAUCAUAGUUUGUGACAUAAGAACAUCAGCAAUUGAUCUAUUUCCUUUUAGGACAUAAGUAAUAAGAUCAAGAGGCAUACGAGUGCUAAUAUAUCUCUAUUACAUUAUACCAUUAUAUUGGCAAUCAAAUGCUUGAAUUAGCUAAUAUUCGGCAAAUGUACCUAGAGCAAUGUAACCAAUCGUGUCGAGAGUUUGGGUUUAUGUUUCAAGCUUGUUCUCAGCCAAAAUCUUGGCAAUUCCAAAGUCACAGACUUGUGCGACUAGGCCCUCAUUUAGAAGAAUAUUGCUAGGCUUCAAAUCGCAAUGCACAAUGGGUUCCAAUUGGUCAUGGUGGAGAUACUCGAUUGCCGUUGCGGCGACAACCAUUAUCUUCACUCGCUGAUGGAGAUCCAAGUUGUAAUUGUUAGAGUACAACCACUUCUCUAAGCUCCCACAAGGCAUGUAUUGCAGUGCCAAGGCUCUCAGAUUUGCAUUCGUGCAAGUGCUAAUCACCUUGACGAGAUUGCGAUGCUGGAUCAUACGAAAAGUGUCGCAUUCUGCAUCAAAACAUUUCAGAGCACCUUCCAUAUGGAGAUUUAAUACUUUGACCGAGAUGUCUAUCCUACCUUUAUAUACAGAGGUGAAGCUUCCUGCUUUGAGCAAAUUACUUUCACGGAAGUUGUUAGUAGCCAAGCAAAGCUCCCAAUAUGAUAUCAUCGGGUGGUCAAUUAUAGGCAAGUUCUCCAUCAAAUUGAAGCUUUUUUUACUGGUACUCCCACUCUUUCUAAGCAAGCAAAUGACGAGAACUAAAAGUAUAGCUGAUAAAAUUGGCACAACAAUGUAUAGUAUAUGUAGCCACUUGUCCCUUGAUGAUUUCAUUCCAUUUUCUUUGCAUCGUGGGACUUGACAAAUAGCAUUUCCAGAAAGUGCUUCAUUCCCAAUGAAAGGGAGAGCCAGGAAAUUUCCAAAGGGCCCACAAUUAGGAAUCUCUCCUAAUAGCUUAUUAAUGGACAAGUUCAAAAUUUGUAGAUAUGCAAGUCCUUCCAAGGACUCAAGUAUUGUGUUUGAUAACUUAUUGUAGGAGAGAUCGAGGAACUCCAACCCUUUGAGAUGGCCAAUAGAUUGUGGCAUGGAUCCUUGAAACAAGUUCCUCAACAAGUUGAGAGAAGCAAGGCUCUCAAACUCUUGGGUGGAACUCGGUAUGGCACUAGUAAGUCGGUUCCAAGAAACAUCAAUGCUCUCUAUAUCUCUCAUCUUCCCUAUUUCAAGUGUUAGUCCUCCAUUGAAAUAAAUGAGUGACAGAUUGUGGAAGGUGAAUUCUUGAAGGCCCCACAAACUAAAUGGUAUAACCGAUGUCAUGUUAUUCAAGCUUAUGAGAAAACGUAUAAAGGCUGCUAAAGUUUUGAAUGCAAUUCGGGAUUGAUCCUAAUAUCCUAUUUUGCCCAGGCACCUUUUCUCCUAAACCUAUCAAGUUGCCUAUCUCAUCGGGGAUCGGUCUUUCGAGAUGAUCGUUAUCAAGACACAGCCUUUGCAACCUUUCUAGUCCUCCGAUCGAUAAUGGGAUGUUACCGUCUGAAGCAUUAUUGCCCAAAUCUAGCAAAGUCAGUCUCUUCAAGAAACCAUUUCCUCGGGAACACGACCUCUUAUUUGACAAUUGGGAGCAAUUAGAAUUUGUAGGGAACUAGAGAAGUUUUGAUAGAUUCUGGUAUGGAGCCACGAAGCGGGUUGCCUCCUAACGACAAGACUUGUCGCGACGGACAAUUAGAUAAAGCGGAGAGAAAACCAAGCUCCGAAUCAUAUGUCUCUCCUAUUAGCUAACUUAACACAGUAUUAAAGAAUUCGAGGCUCUUCAAGUUGCCCAAACCCGUAUGUAUGGGUCCGCUAAGUUGAUUGUCCUUGACCUUGAAAAUGAUUAGGGUCAAAAAAUUCAAGAAAUACUCUGGGACGUUGUCUCCAUAGCCAUUGCAUGCUAGAUAUAGUUCUUCCAAAUUCGGAAGGCUUAGAACUCUACCUAAGGGAAGGCUUCCAUAGAGGGAAUUUUCCAUCAAAUAAAGCACGAAAUAUUAAAAAUCUCUUGAGGUACUCCACCGGUUAGCAAAUUAUCCGCAAGGCCCAUUAGUUGCAGAUUGACCAAAUUGCCAAUCUCACUCGGAAUCUCCCCUUCAAUGUGGUUAGCUGCGAUGCCUAGCAUGUGCAAGCUCGACAUGUUACUGAUGGUUUGAGAAAUCAUGCCAGUCAAGUUGUUAGCAUAGAUAUAGAGCUUUUGCAGCUUUUGCAAACUGCCUAUAUCUCAAGGAAUGCUUCCCUGAAAACGAUUGUAUGACAACCCCGAUAUGAUAAGCUCUUUGCAUUGGGUUAGCGUCUUUGGUGGCAGGCCACUGAAUUGAUUUUUAUUCAGGGCAAGCAUCUGAAUGUUAGACCAACGAUAGCAAAGAUCGAAGGGAAGACUUCCAGAGAGAUCAUUAUCCAUCAAAUUCACCCAUGUGAGCGAUCUAUUGAAAAGUGCUGAAGGAAUUGAACCUGUGAAAGUGGCAUUGACCAAUAUAAUGACUUGCAAUGUGGAUAUGUUGCCUAGGGAGCUUGGAAUUUGACCUCAUAAGUCGUUUGAGCUAAGACUCAGUUGUUGCAACUUAGGGAAGGCAUCGAAUUCUCUUGGUAUGCCACAUGUUAGCCUGUUUGUCGCGAGUGACAUGACUUCGAGGUUCUGGCAUUGGGUUAAGAUAGGAGGAAUGUUUCUUUUGAACUGGUUCAAUUCAAACAUAAGUUCUUUCAGGCGGCAUAAAUGACCAAUUUCUAUCAGAAUCAUGCCAUAAAAACUGUUGCUGCAGAGAUCAAGAGAAGCCAAGAGAGAAAGAUUCUCAAGGUGGGGAGAGAGUCUUUCCUGGAGACCCUUGUGCGAGAGGUCUAAAGCUAUGACUCUACCCGGUUGCUACAAACAACACCAAUCCAUUCACAAAAACUUGCUUCCACCGUCCAAUUGCCGCCUUUCAUGGUGUUCGUCGGGUUGACUUCCAUCAUCGAUUUGAAGGGGAGGAGAGAAUAUUGAUCUGUAAAGUUGCUGGAAUAGAUGACGGGUUGAAAUAUCAAUAGGAAAGCCAACAGAACAUCAAGAUUGCAUCAAUAAAUGGUUCCCUAAUUUUGACAUGUUCUUGGUGUUCAAUACCAAAACCUACCAAAUGGUUGUCUUAAUUAGGGAAAAAAACAACGUAAAAAAAGACUAACAAUCAAAUGAUGUCCCACAUCACGUCUACGGCAUGUUCUUUACGUUUACACAUUCAAACUUACUUUCAACUCUAUGAGGGUACAAAAGGACCUUUAGACCAAUGCUCUAAGGCAUGAAUGUGAAUAGGGUUUGCAGGGGCAAUAUCAAGUGUCUCAUUGGAAGUUGACUAAUUGAAAGUUCCUAUUAUUGGAAGAGAUUACAUUACUAGUAGUUUGUCAAAUUUUAUCCAUGCUUCAUGUCAUACUUGAACUUUCAAUCGAUUCAAUUAAAUCACUUUUGAUAAAUGUGAAUAUCUUCCCGCAACUUUCAAUUGGUCUAAUUAAGUCCGUAAUAUAUUUAAUAUGCUUUUUGUCAUCCUUUCAUCUAUUAAUAUAAAUGAAAUAUGUCAUGGAUAACAAUUUUAUGUAGCCGAUGUUUGAUGGAGAAAGUUAGGCGGACUUUGUGUGUGUCAUGGUGACUUUAAAUUGUAAAAAUUAUAAUACUCGUUCCUUCGCCCUCGCCCAGAUUUGGCGAAACAUCAAUAGGGAAGCCAAUAGAACAUCAACAAAUGCUAAAAAGAUGAACUUCUCCAUAAUAAGCAGGGUCUCUAUUGAUUGCAUCAAUAGACAGCUCACUAAUUUUGACAUAUUCUUAGUGUUCAAUACCAAAACCUACCAAAUGGUUGUCUCAACCAGGCAAAAAAAAAAAAAAAAACAAUGUAACUAUCAAAUGAUGUCCCUCAAUCACGUCCAUGGCCCGUUCUUUUCGUUACUUUGAACUCUUUGUGUACAAAUGGACCUUUGAACCAAUGCUCCAAGGCACGAAUGUGAAAAUGUUUUGUGAUAACUCUCAUGACCUUCUUGCAUGGGCAAUAUUAAGUGUCUCGUGGGAAGUUGACUGAUUGAAAGUUCCUACUACUGGAAGGGAUCAUGUUACAAGUAACUUGUCAAAUUUUAUCUAUACUUCAUGUCAUAUUUGAACUUUCAAUCAAUUCAAUUAAAUCACUUUUUAUUAAUGUGAAAUAUCUUCCCGCAACUUUCAGUUGGUUUAAUUAGAUUUGUAAUAUAUUUAAUAUGAUUUUUGUCAUCCUUUCAUCUAUCAAUUUAAAUGAAAUAUGUCACUGAUAACAAUUCUAUGAAGUUGAUGUUUGAUGAAGAAAAUUAUACGGACUUUGUGCAUGUCAUGGUGACUUUAAAUUGUAAAAUUAUAAAGCCCGUUCCUUCGCCCUCGCCUAGAUUGGGCGAAAUAUCAAUAGGGAAGCCAAUAGAACAUCAACAAACGCUAAAAAGAUGAACUUCUCCAUAAUGAACAAAGUCUUUUGAAUGCAUCAAUAGACGGUUCACCAAGUUCGACCUAUUCUUAGUGUUCAAUACCAAAACCUACCAAAUGGUUGUCUCAAUUAGAAAAUAAUAAUAAUAAUAAUAAAUAAUAAUAAAUAAAAGGAAAACAAUGUAAAGAAUAACUAUCAAAUGGCAUCCCUCAACCAUGUCUAUGGCCAUUAUUUACGUUUACACAUUCACACUUACUUUCAACACUAUAGAGAGAGGCAGAGAGAGAGAGAGCCAAGCCUUUGUGUCUAAAGCAUGUUUCUGUGCUUAGAUAGUCAAGAGUCACAGGAGUUUUGAGAAGGAACUGAUAUAUAUAUAUAUAUCUUUUAGAAACAUCUCAGAAAGAUUUUUCGGCAAGUAGAGGCCAACGUGGCUAAAGUGGCUCACGAUCUCGGUAAAUGCACUUGCCAAUGCUGCUCAUAGCCCCAUCCACAUGGAAAUUUUUGGUCUCUCUUCCUCAGCCCGUUCAAUUUUCAAUCCUUUGUAGGCUUAGCAACACGCCCACCUCGUCCAGAAAAAUCUUGUCAAACACGCAGAAAGUUGCAUGUACAGUGCAAUCUAUGUAACUAUCGUGGAAAAGCUGACAGACCCAUCCGUUGAAUCGCAGGAGAGUCGGUGCUCAGACGUGUGUGGCAUUUCCUUUUCAUUUCCUUUCUUAAAGUGUGGCAUGUACAAACAGCUAAUUUAGGGGCAAAAUAAGGCGGAAGCGGCUGAACUAUUGCCUCAAUGCGUAAACAUAAACGGAUUAUUGAUUGUAUAUGAUGUAGGUACCCCAUCGGAUGCUCUUCUCUAAGUUCAUUAUGCCCAUUCGUACGAGUUCUCAAAGUAUACCCCUACUUCAGGCAAGUGCGGGUUGACAGGCUUCCACUCUUGCUGGCAAACUCUAAGCUCCUUCCCUUCUGUAUACAUUUAAAUCAGCAUGAGUAUCGUCUAAUCUUUGGGACAAGUAGGUCUGACACUGGACAGGCGGAAACCUGCAAAUUGAUGCGAUUUUGAACAAACUUAGGAUCCCAUGCUGGUGUAAAUUUGCUAAUUUGCACCAUGUAUAAUCACUAAUGGAGUAGCUAUGUUAUACGCAGCGCCCAAAUCCCCACGCAAAAAGGAUCCAACCCUGUAAAGAGAGCACGCGAGCAUGUGGUUGAUCAUUUCAAUUCAUCAGAUCCGGGACAGGUCAAUGCCUAAUUCAAGAGUAAACAUACUUUCCUCAUGAAUCAUGGAGUUAAACUUGAUGCAGUCCUCCUAACAGUGCCUGAAUGAUCCAUAGAUAUGCAAUAUCCACUUCAACAUGCAUUCAAAGCAGAGCACCAGCUAAGCACAAUGCAUAAAGACAUUCAAAUUGGGGAGGAGAACUAGAUCUUAGGACUGAGAACUGAUAAGAGAGGAAGUAGAAUUGCGGUAUCUUGUUUUUUUUUUUUUGGUGAAAAAUUGCGGUAUCUUGUUUAUAUAUAGGAAAGUAACUAAUUUGCAGAAGACAACUUACUUCGGAUCUUUAAAGAGUUGUNNNNNNNNNNNNNNNNNNNNNNNNNNNNNNNNNNNNNNNNNNNNNNNNNNNNNNNNNNNNNNNNNNNNNNNNNNNNNNNNNNNNNNNNNNNNNNNNNNNNUAAGAAUGGAGAACGUAAUGAACGAAAGAUGCUAACUAGGGAAGGCAAAACAAUUAGGCUUCUUUUGCAAAAACCAACGUGGAUCAUCCUUGAUUAUAAUCUCAAGCUGAGAAGAAUUUCCUAAGAGUAUGAUCACAAGUUCAACUGACUUUCCCCUAGAUUGUGAUCUCAAAACUAGGACCUUUUUUGAAUCAGCUUACACCUAUCCAAGAUCAGCUUCAACUGCCCUUUUUCUGGUUGGAGUAGUCACAACUUCGGUCACCAAUCAAUCAGACUUUUUUCAAUACAUUCGACAAUGCUUAAAAGUUCUCUUAAAGGCAUUUGAAGAAUAUUUCAAAAGAUGAGGAGAAAUGUAAGUUUGUGUGUGUGGGGGUGUCUCUGUGUGUCUCUGUGUGCGUGUGCGUGUGUUUGGGGAGAGAGAAGGCCUUACAGAAUACCGUUCUUGACCAUUCCCUAUAACUAGAUGGAGCGUGGACCUGAUUGCAAAAGCAAAAGCAAAAGUUUAGAUGUGACAAACUGAAGGGGAAAAAAAAAAAAAAACAACAGCAACUCAAAUUCAAAAAAAGAAAGAAUAGAGAAUAGCAGGACACCAACUAGAUUCAAGCAAAAAGCUCAUUUCAUAUAUCAUUUAAACAUGUUCCCGUGCAUGAUGACAAUGCAUGUUAAGCCAUUUCCAUGGUCAGAGAUCCCAGAACACAUGCAAAGUUUAGUAUCCAAAAGUUGACCAGUAAGAGUUGAGUGAUAAUAAAAGCACUAGAAUAGCAAAUUUAUGGUUUGAUAUUCAUAAAUUCGUCUCCGUGUACAAAUUAAUGCAGGUCACCAAAAUAUCAUACCAUCUUCAACAACAGUGUUUAACACGGAAAUUUUUCCUGACCAAUGCCAAGAGUAGAUAAUCUUUCGUUACUAAUGGGCCACUGAUAUCAGAAAGAGCCAAGAAAGUGUAACAGAAGAAAUUCUAUUGGAGUUUGGGAAAGGUUAACAAUAUAUAGUAGCCUGCCAUAAGUUAAUCUCCAACCUUCAUGUUCAAAGCUUUCCUCAUGCCAACUUAUCUAUAUAGACUGUUAUUAAAGCAUAUUACCCGAAAAUACAAUUGCUCCAUCGUUCCGCAUAUCACCAAGAUUCACUAUGAAUGCUCUGUACAAAAUGGUCACAGAAAGAAUGUUACUUUUCAGGAUUACUGUGAGAUUCUUCUGUUCCGUACUUGUGAUGAUUAUGUAUAACUGAAUCUAAGCAAUAAUCUGAACAACUAACAGAGGGUAAUUACAUAAGUAAUUUUAGAAUUCAUAUGAUGUGUGGUAGUUCUAUGACUGUCGACCUGCUCAAAAUUUUUACCAGGAAAGAAUGGUGCAAUACCAUUAUGAGCAUGUGUGUAAGAGUGUUUUCUUGCCGAGGGAGGGAGGGAGGUUCACCAGCAAGGCAUCAGAAGGAUUAAACUGAUCAAAGUUAAUAUGUACACUUAGAUGCAAAUUGCAGAAAGGAAUAUAAAUGUGGAUGAGGGCAUCUCUCUGAGUUAAUAAAUGGAAAUCCAUCUUUAUCACCCAUCUGACAAUAUUACUUUCUCUCUAAACUGGCAUAUCACUGCCUUUGUACAAACAAGAACUAUAGUAGUAGAUCAGGGUCAGACAAAGAAGGAUUUUUGUCAAAAAGCUGUCACAAAUAUUGGGGUAGUAUUCCACGCAACAUUGGCAUGAAGCAAUCUUCCAGUCAUGCGUAUAAGGGGAAAUAGUGCACAUUCCCCAAUAAACCAGAAGUACAAGAUUAAAAUAAAGUUAUUGCAAGUCAUAUUUGUAAGCCAUGAAUGAUAAGAACAUAAAUCCUAACAUGAUGAUCUUCCACCAAAAGCGUUACUCUAAAUAUGAAAUCUCUAACAUAAUAAUCUCAAAUUCCCCAUAGUAAUGCAGUUGGCCUUUACCCUCUCAUAGGUUGCACAUAUUCCCAUGUCGGAGGUUUAGCAUCCUUGUUCUUGCAAAUCUGAAUAAGUUCAAAAAGUUUCAUGCGUUAUAACUAGGCAUAAAGUCUGCACCAACAGUUUUAUAGGAGAAAAUUUCAUACUUGGAGACCUGGGACAUCAUCUGUUGCCAACAAGGUAAUAAAUCCAAAGUCCGAAUGUGCCCCAGCUCCAUAUAUUCCUUUAAAGGGAUCAAAGACUAGACCUAAACAAAGAAAAGAAUUUCCAUUGGAUGAGAAGAAAAAUUUGCAGGGUUUAAUAUAAAGUUUAUUGAAGUAAAAUCUACCUUCAUAGUGCAACAAGCGCAAGGUUGCAAUAGGCUCACCAAGUAUUUCUGGCUUGUCAAAAAAAUCAGCCUCCAGAUCAAGUGCUAGAGCAAUGAUCCUUGUAACUACUUUUGCCACAUUUCUGAGUGUGCACAUUUACAAAUAAAUAAAAAAAAUUAAGAAAUUGACUACUGUCGCUAUGUUUAUAGCAACAAAUUACACUUAAUCUUGCGACAAAGAUCAUCUAGGCAUCACUGUUGGAUCUAAAAGUCAAAUGAUUUAGAGUUGGAGACCCUAUUGACUGUAAUAUCAGCCAUCCCACUGUAAGCAAUUAGACACUUGUGUUGAGGCUCUUGGUCAGUGUGAUUAAUGGUAAAUCUUGACGGCUAAAAAUAACUGGUUCAUAUCGUAGCAUAGUAGCUUUAGAACAAUACCCCACAAAAAUGUUUAAUCAGCCACUACAAAUAACCAGAAGAGUUUUACUUUGGCCAACAUAGGAUGAGAGACCAAGAGAGCAUAUUGUUGGAAAUUAUGAUCCAUUUUCUAGAAUUUCCUAGAAUUGUUAAACUUCUAGAAUUCUCUAGAAUUCCCUAGAUGAAUUUUCUAGAAGAAAGAAGAAAACAUUUUCUAGAAGAAAUAAGAAAUGUCCAACAUGUAAGAAGUCUCUAGAAAAACUAGAAUCUAGAAUUUCCUAGAAUAAGCCUAAGUGGAUAACAUUCCCCAUUGUUCUAGAAUGUUGUAUUUAGACUCUAUAAAUAGGAAAGAAGGGGGAGUGUAGCAAACUAACAAAUGUAAGAGAGUGAGAGGAGCAUGAGAAUAUAUUCCAUAUCAUGAAACUCCUCCACCAACACUUCCGACACUUCCUUGUAAAAUUAUUUUAUCAAACUAAUGAAACUAUUUCCCAUAUCCCAUGUUAUUUGUCUUUCAAUUAUCCUAGUCUAUCCCUUGUCCAUCAUCCAUAUACUACACCAUACACUUGCACACACGCCACUAACCAAAAACUAUCAUCCAUAACUCACACACGCUUCCGCAAAACACUAACAUGGUAUCAGAGCUAGUUGCACCCAGGUUCGUAACUGAGCCAGGUGUAAAGGAUCGUGAAGCCAGAGAUAGGCACAUCGGAUGGUUAUGGUCGUUUGUCCUCACCAUCCUCAACUAAGAAGGCCAGAGCCCGAGCGAGAGCCAACGGAGCCAGAGCCGGAGCCAGAGCCAGAACCAAGCCGGAGCCAGAGCCAGAGCCUACGAGAGCCAGAGCCAGAGCCCGAGCUAACAACUACAACUAAGAACAAUUUGAUGCCCAAGACAUAUGGGUCAUCGUUGAAGAGAAGACAUGCGCAUUCGAAGGCGGGUGCAAGUGUUCCGACAAGAGAAUGCAAGGGAUUGCGGAACGAAAAUGGAAUAAAAGACAUGGGAUAAACUACAAUAUCCGAAGUAUCCCGAAAAUGGAUCAAGGGGGAGUGUUGGAAAUUAUGAUCCAUUUUCUAGAAUUUCCUAGAAUUGUUAAACUUCUAGAAUUCUCUAGAAUUCCCUAGAUGAAUUUUCUAGAAGAAAGAAGAAAACAUUUUCUAGAAGAAAUAAGAAAUGUCCAACAUGUAAGAAGUCUCUAGAAAAACUAGAAUCUAGAAUUUCCUAGAAUAAGCCUAAGUGGAUAACAUUCCCCAUUGUUCUAGAAUGUUGUAUUUAGACUCUAUAAAUAGGAAAGAAGGGGGAGUGUAGCAAACUAACAAAUGUAAGAGAGUGAGAGGAGCAUGAGAAUAUAUUCCAUAUCAUGAAACUCCUCCACCAACACUUCCGACACUUCCUUGUAAAAUUAUUUUAUCAAACUAAUGAAACUAUUUCCCAUAUCCCAUGUUAUUUGUCUUUCAAUUAUCCUAGUCUAUCCCUUGUCCAUCAUCCAUAUACUACACCAUACACUUGCACACACGCCACUAACCAAAAACUAUCAUCCAUAACUCACACACGCUUCCGCAAAACACUAACACAUAUUCAGUUCAGAAGUCAGAGGCAAUUUAACUCCCAUUGGGCCACCUUCAAUAUUACAAGAACUUGGCAAUAUCUGAUGCAUAUAGAAGGGGAAGAUGGUGACUAUCAGGUACUGAGAAUGUCCAAAAUACCCCAUCAGAGAAACAGAAGAUCUCUGUAUUAUCUUUUACUUGGAUGGAACAAUAUUUACAUCCUGGAACUAGCAAGAAAAAUUAAUGCCUAUUGCUCCAUAUCAUCUAUAGUAAAAACUCACAAUGCUUGACAAUGAAAUUUUUCCAUCGCCUGCCUCCAUCUUGGCAAUAUAUCUAGUCAAAAUACAACAAUGAAACCAAAAUAAACAUCCACAAUCAACAACUGAUUUAUGUCGGACAUAAAUUACAUUAAACAGCAGUUUACCCUCAGAAGGCCAGAAAUUUGGUCCAAAAUGAGGCUUCUGCGCACGAGGAUCGUCCUCUGGUACUUCCACUCCUAUGUGAUAUCCCUCCUUAUAAUCUCCUAUAAAACGUCAAUAGAUUCAUUACUGCUCGAACAAUCUUCAGAAGAUGAUAAGCAGAUAGGUAAUCACAAGUUUCAGCCAAAACUUUGUCUUAGAGCUUAGCACUUCAAACAACUAGCUCCUUCUUCUGUGUCAGCUCUCUCCAAGAAUACAAUAAAAAAUAGGAAUAAUAACUUCAGACAAACCGUUUAUCUGAUUUGCAGGGUCGAGGACCUGAUCGAACAGAGGAGUGUAGCCUCGGUGCUUCUCGUUCCUCAGCAGCUUCAUCUUCUCGCUCAAAGGCAGACCGAAGAACCGCCUGCUCUGGACGAACACCUCCUCCAUCAAGUGCUGGCUGACUCCAUGAUUGAUCACGUAGAAAAAGCCGGAAUCUAAGCACGCCUGAGGCCAACGGAUUGGAUUCAUGUACCGGAAAUCGAACUGAGAAUAGCGGAAAAAGGCGGGAGAAUCGAAGACCUGUUUGAGCAGGGACACCGACCGUCGGAUAUCGGAGCUUGAGAGGUCGAUGAGGUUGAGAGUGGAAGUCGGAACUCCGGCGACGUCGACGGCGUUCGCGUCAUCCAUGCUCGCCGUCCCGUUCGCCUGACUGAUUUCACGGUGCUGAUGACGACCGACGAUGAUCGAGGCCGGACGGGAAUUUAAGUUGUAGGUGAUGGAUGAGAAGUGGCUGAAAAGAAUGGCAGAAACGACGGCGUAGGACAAAUAAAGAAUCGGUAAAGGCGUACGGUGCGGCCAUCAGUGACGCCUUCGUUCCCCGUCUUAAUGCUUUCUAUAAAUUUUAAAGCAUUUUUUCUAUCUAAUUAUUCCAUUUAAUCAUUUUUAAGAAAAUAUCUUUUAUUUUAUUAUACGAAAUAAACGGAUCUUAAAAUUGGAAAGACCUUUAAAAUAUUUAUAUUUACAUGCAUGUUUAUUGUUUUUAAUUUACUCUUGUGAUACUUCAUUUUUGAAUGGUUAAAAAAAAAACACAGGUUCCAGGAGAGUUAUUCCAUUGCUCUUGCAUACUAAUAAGGCCUUAUGUCAAAUUAAAAGACUUUUGAAGGAUAUCAACGUUAGUAUUUUAAAAUCUCUUAUUUAAUUCAUCGUAUAAGAUGUCAUUGUCUUAAUGCUCUAUUUUAUGUAAUGCAACUAUAAAAUGAGUCAAUACAAAUAGGGGUUAGCAUCAAGACCGAUUCAACUGACAAAUCGUAUUGAAUUAGUCUAGACCAACUAGUUUAAGGUUGAAUUUAAGGAGAAUCAGUACGAUUUCCACUUCAACGAACUUAGAACCAACCUAAGAUCGGCUUGGUUCCUAAUUCCAAGGUCAAAAUUGCCAAUUCUACCCAAGAAUCGACAUAGACAGGUUCCUUGUGUUGAACCGCAAAUUGAAUUAUGGUCUUCACCAUGAAUAAACAACCACAUUUCUAUUUCACCAAAUAUGCUAUGAAGUGAAAAGGUGAAACUAUUACACUUUAUUGUAGGAAUUUAAUUUUUUUACACAAAAUAUAAAAAGUGGACUAAUUUCCAAGUAGAACCAAGAAUCAAUGGGAUCAAGAAGCACUGGUUCCAUAACCAAUCGAUUUAGUUCCCAGUAUCAAAAAUUUAAAAACUGAAAUAGACCUACUCGAGAUUGUCACGAUUUUGAGUGUAAGAGGUGGAAUAAUAAAUAUCAUAACAUCCGUUUCCACUACAUAUUUCCAUUUCAAUCUCUUGCAUAAUCUAUUAAGUCUAUAGAAUACAAGAAAGCUAGAAGAGUAUAAUUAACUAGUUAACUGCUAAUUUAACUCACUAUUACUCUACUCGGGCGUCGGGAGAUUUUGCACCUACAUUGAGGACAAAGAGCUAAAGAGGUAGCUAAAUCUUUGUCUAAUGCUCUGUUUCCAAAGCUUGUUCCUGUGGUUUAACGUAGCGGAAGCGUUAGCCAGUCAAGCGCAUCACGGGAGGACUUCGAGAUCGGACUGAUCUAAUCCCACCUUCGAGAAAGAUCAGAAAGAUUUUUUGGAAAGUAGCAGCCAGCGUAGUAGCUAAAGCGGCUUACGAUCUCAGAUUGUGCUCUUGCUAAUGCUACUCCUAGUCCCACCCACACGGAAAUGCCUGCUCUCUCCUUCUUUGCCCGUCAUAUAUUCAAUCAUUUGUGGGCUUAGCGACACGACUAGCUCAUCCAAGAACCUUGUCAAAUAGCCAAAAGUUGCAUGUACAGUCCAAUCGACCGAAGAACGGCUGAAGCCACUGAACUAUUUCUUCCAUGCAUAAACAUAAGCAGAUUAUUAAUUGUGUAUGCAUAUGCAUGUACGCGCACGUACCCCAUUCGACGCUCUUCUCUAAGCUCAUCAUUGUUGAAAGAAGAUAUGUCUUGAAGAUAUAGAAUUCAGAUAUAGAAUCGGACUGAAUAUUGUGAUUGAUUUGGAUUGUAAUUAAUUUAGGACUAGAAAUAUUUGUUCUCUUAGGAAUAUUUUCUUUACUUUUUUAUUCAAUCCAAUUGUAUGAUAUAUACAUCUCUGUAACACUAUUCAAUACAAGGAAGAACGAUACAAUUCCUACAAUUCCACUUGAGUUUCUUACAUGGUAUCAGAGCCCAAAAUGAGGAUAGAAUCCAAUGGCUACCGUGGCCCAAGUCCAUACGGGCCAGACGGCCCACGUGGGCGAAAUUCUCUUUAUUUCGAUGGGCCGCGAGGAAAUUUCGCGGGAAUCUCCGAUGGGCCGUAUGGAGCAACGACGGCCCAUGCCGUGAAUAGGCCCAAUUCAUUCGGAAAAAAUUACCAAAAGGGCAAGGGGAAGUUGUACUGUGAUUACUGCAAACGCCCACAUCACACAAUUGAAAAUUGCUGGAAGCUCCAUGGCAAACCCGGGGAAAAGGAGAAAGGAAAAUUUUCAACUAUUUCACAAGUAUUGGGCAAAUCAGCAGACAAAUCAAUUUCCCAUGGAGAAUAUCAGGAGCUGAUGGAAGCUUUAAAGAAAUUAGACGCUUCUGACAAAGCAGGGAGUUUCACAGGUAUUUCUUAUUGUCUGAUGAACUCAAUUGCAAUGGAUGCAUGGAUUAUUGAUACUGGAGCUAGUGAUCAUAUUGUCUGCAAUCAAAAAAAAUUUUCCACUGUUGAGAAAUUAUCUUUUCCUAUAUCAGUACAACUCCCGAAUGGAAAUACCACAAAGGUUGAUAUGACAGGAACUGUAAAUCUUAGCCCACUAAUUACCCUUAAAAAUGUCCUUUAUGUCCCUAGUUUUCAAUUUAAUCUCAUAUCUAUUUCACAAGCCUGUCAAGACAACUCCUGUCGUGCCUUGUUUGACUCUAAGAAAUGUCUAUUUCAGGCCCUUUCGACUGGCAAUCUGAUGGGCUUGGGUAGAAUCUAUCAAGGAUUAUACUUUUGGACUGAUCUUCCAACCAAUUUUAAUUCCUCUUCUGUUGCUUUCAAUAAAUCCAUAUGUAAUGUUGACAGCAAUAAAAAUUUCCUUCAUCAUAAAAGAUUGGGUCACACUGCAUUUUUUCCUUGUCCUCAAUGUCCUAUUUGUCCUCUAGCGAAACAAACACGUUCUCCUUUUCCAAAUAGCAACACCCGUGCUGACAGCAUUUUUUCUUUAAUUCAUGCUGAUAUAUGGGGACCAUAUCAUACCGUAAAUCAUGACGGUUCACGGUUCUUUCUCACAAUUGUGGAUGAUUUCUCACGUGCCACCUGGGUUUUUCUCCUUCAAUCAAAAAAUCAAGUUCUAUCUCAUCUUAGAAUAUUGAUCUCUCUAUCCAAAACUCAAUUUGGUAAAUCAAUUCGUCGGAUUCGUACUGAUAAUGGAAAAGAAUUUUUUAGUGGUGAAUGUGCGUCAUUCUUUAGCUCAAAUGGGAUUUUGCAUGAAAGUACUUGUACUUAUACACCACAGCAGAAUGGAGUCGUUGAGAGAAAACACCGCCAUCUUUUGGAAGUGGCGCGGGCUCUUAAAUUCCAGGCAUCUAUACCAGAGGAUUUCUGGGGAGAUUGUGUAGUCACUGCAGCAUAUCUAAUAAAUCGAAUGCCAUCUAGAAUCUUGAAGGGAAAAUCUCCAUUUGAACUUUUAUAUGGGAAGAAACCAGAUUUGAGUCAUCUUCGAGUGUUUGGUUGUCACUGUUAUGUGACUACAGUAGGGCCUCGAGAUAAAAUGAGUCCUCGGGCUCGAAAGUGCAUAUUCAUGGGGUAUGUCAAUCUCAAAAAGGGUUAUCGAGUUUAUGACAAAUCUACUGGGGAUUUCUUUAUCAGUAGAGAUGUGGUUUUUCAUGAAGAUAUUUUUCCCUUCCGGAAUUCUGCUUCCAUGUCUGGAGAUGAUAUUGACACUACUCGUAAAUUUCUGUCAGAAGAAGACUUGUCUUCUGAAGGAAACUAUAUUAUUACUUCCUCUUCGCCACAGCAGACAUUACAUGCAGCAUCACCUUCGCCAAAUGAAGAGCAUUCCAUUGGCCAUCCAGUUGAGGAGGAUUUCAUUGAAGAUGAACCUCAAGUGAUCAAUUCCAUAGAACCCCCACAUAUUGAGGAAACUUCGACAGAUGUGCUGCAUGAGCCACCUCGACGAUCUGGUCGGAUCACUCGCCCACCAACUUGGACAAAAGACUAUGUCUGUUCUUCAUCAAAGUCCUCAGGUACUCGUUACCCUAUAUCCUCCUAUGUGUCUUUUAAUCAACUGUCACCAGACCAUUUCUGUUGCAUUAGUCGCAUUUCUGAGGAAGUAGAACCAUCUAAUUAUCAUGAGGCUGUACAUGAUCCACGAUGGCAAAGAGCCAUGGAAGAAGAACUUAAGGCGUUGAUUAACAAUCACACCUGGGAUGUCGUGUCAUUACCUUCUCAUCGUAAACCCAUUGGCUGUAAAUGGGUAUAUAAAAUCAAAUAUAAAGCAGAUGGUUCUCUGGAAAGAUACAAGGCCCGGUUGGUGGCCAAAGGCUUUACACAACGAGAAGGAUUCGACUACCAUGAGACAUUCUCUCCAGUAGCAAAGGCUGUCACGGUUCGUUCCUUCUUAUCUGUUGCUGCUCUUCGCAACUGGUCACUACAUCAGAUGGACGUCCACAAUGCCUUUCUUCAUGGCGAAUUGGAAGAAGAGAUCUAUAUGGAUCUUCCCCAAGGAUUACGGAGACAGGGGGAGUCUAAGGUAUGUCGUCUCCGUAAAUCUCUUUAUGGUUUAAAACAGGCCUCUCGGCAGUGGUACGCCAAGUUUACUAAUGCACUAAUGAGCGCCGGAUACGAGCAGUCCAAGCAUGAUUAUGCUCUUUUCACUUGGACAAAAGGUACGUCGUCUAUCUACUUAAUGAUUUAUGUUGACGACAUACUUAUUAUGGGAAAUAAUGAUUCCGCUGUGAGGAAGCUUAAGGAAUAUCUUCAUUCCUCCUUUCACAUCAAAGAUUUGGGGCCACCUAAAUACUUUCUUGGAAUAGAGAUAGCUCGUUCUAAUCAGGGGAUUUCUCUCAGCCAAAGGAAAUUUGUGAUGGAAAUUGUGUCAGAAUCGGGAUUAUCAGGAUGCAAACCGUCAGUCAUUCCCAUUGAACAGAAUACAAAGUUAACCAGUGUUGAUUAUGACGCUGGAAUGGCUUCUUCUGAUGAUCUAUUACUGAAGGAUCCGACAAGCUAUCAGAGACUUGUUGGAAAGCUUAUCUAUCUUACCAUGACUAGGCCAGAUAUCUGCUAUGCCGUACAGACUCUUAGUCAAUUCAUGCAUAGUCCAAAGCAAUCUCACAUGAAUGCGGCCUUGAAGGUGGUAAAAUAUCUGAAGAAAUGUCCAGGGCUAGGGAUACUUCUUUCUCAAAAGUGCAAUAUGGAGAUGAUGGCCUUUUGUGAUUCGGAUUAUGCUACAUGUCCUAUGAGUAGAAGAUCCAUUACUGGUUUCUGUAUUAAGCUUGGGGAGUCAUUGCUUUCAUGGAAGACGAAGAAGCAAUCCACGGUAUCUUUAUCAUCAGCAGAAUCUGAAUAUCGAUCCAUGGCGAAAACCGUUUGUGAGGUGGUGUGGUUACGAGGUUUACUUCAGGAUCUUGGGAUACAAGUUAGAGGUCCGACAUUACUCUUUUGUGACAAUGAUUCAGCAAUCAAACUUGCAGCAAAUCCCAUAUUACAUGAGAGGACGAAACAUAUAGAAGUUGAUUGUCAUUUUACACGAGAGAAGAUCAAAGAAGGCAUCAUCAAAACAAGAGGGAUUAGAACCACGGAGCAACCCGCGGAUAUUUUUACUAAACCUCUUUGCCAAAGACAACAUACAUAUCUUCUAAACAAGCUUGGAGUCUUGGAUAUAUACAAGCCACCAGCUUGAGGGGGAGUGUUGAAAAAAGAUAUGUCUUGAAGAUAUAGAAUUCAGAUAUAGAAUCGGACUGAAUAUUGUGAUUGAUUUGGAUUGUAAUUAAUUUAGGACUAGAAAUAUUUGUUCUCUUAGGAAUAUUUUCUUUACUUUUUUAUUCAAUCCAAUUGUAUGAUAUAUACAUCUCUGUAACACUAUUCAAUACAAGGAAGAACGAUACAAUUCCUACAAUUCCACUUGAGUUUCUUACAAUCAUGCACUUAUUUACGAGCUCUCAAAGCAUACCCUCUACUGGACAAGUGCUGGUUGACAGGCUUCAGCUCCUUACAGACAAACUCUAAGUCCCUUCCUUUCUGUAUACAUCUAAAUCAGCAUGAGUAUUGCUGUAUCUUUGGGCCAAGUAGGUCUGACAUACGAUGGGAGGAAGUUUUCACGUGAAUCAAUUUUGAAGAAAUUUAGUUUAGGAUCUGAUGCUGGCGUAAAUUUGGUGAUUUGCACCAUGUCUAAUAACAACUGAAGUCUCGAUCAAGAAACAAAUAAAAACUAAUAACUGGAGUAGCUAUGAUAAAUAAACACCUAGAUCCCCGCGCGCGAAAUGGUUCCAACCCCAUGUGGGCAUGCGACGAUCGUAUCAAUUGAUCAAAUAAGGUACAGCUCAAUGCCUAGUUCCAGAAUAAACAUUUUUCUUCAUGAAACAUGGAGUUAAAACUUAGAGGGAGUCCUCUUAACAUAAACAAAAAGUCCAGGCAUAUGAAUUUGGAUCAUCCUUGGACACGCAAUAUUUACUUCGACGUUCACGUUCAAAGCAGAGCAUCAACACUCAAACAAAAUGCAUAAAGUCAGUCAUUUGAAUCAGGGAGGAGAAGAACUAGAUCUUAGGGCCGAGAUUUAACAUCAUAAGAAAUACAAUAGCGACAUGUUGAUGAUAUAUAAGAAAGAAACUGAUCCACGGAAGACAGCUUACUUGGGAGGAUUUUUCUCUGACAUAAAUGUUGGCAAACACUGGACGAGACAAUCAUGGUUAGGCUCCAGGAAGAAAGCAAUCUGCAUUUCGUGAGAACAUGAGCAUAAAUAAUACUUUUAACAGAGAUUUUAGCCCAAAAAAAAAAAAAAAAAAAAACUCAUCAAGAAAAGAGAAGUUAGUGGAUGAAAUAUGCAAACAAGGGAAAGAAAAACAAUUCGAAUUCUUUUCCAGAAAGUAAUGUGGAUUAUCCCUGAAGAAAAUCUCGAGUUGAGAGGAAGUCCCUCACCUGCUCAACUGACUUGCCACUAAACCGUGAUCUCAAACCUAGUACCACUUUCCAAUCAGCUUACAACUGUCUUAGAUUGUCUUAGAUUGGCUUCAAUUAUACUCUACUCUUCCUAGUACCCUAACCAAUCGGAUUUUUUUUCAAUAGACUCGACAAGCUUCAAAUUUCUUUUGAUGGCUUUUGCUGAAUUUUCCAAAAGAAGAAAAGAAAUGCACAGGCGUGGGGAGAGAGCCAAAAGGCCUAAGAGAAUACAGUUCUUGACCGUUCCCUACAACUCGAUGGAGCGUGGACCUGAUUGCAAAAGCAAAACAAAAGUAUAAAUUAGUAUAAAUUUGACAAAAAGAAGCAAAAAAUCAGCAAGUCAAAUUCUUAAAAAAAAAUAAUAGAGAAUGACCUUGCUAAUUAUGGAGAAUUGCAGGACACCCAUAAAAUUAAUGCGAAAAGCUCAUUUCCUAUAUUGCUGAACACAUUCUGAAGCAUGAUGACAUUGCAUGUUAAGCCUUAUCUGUGGUCAGCAAUCACAGAACACUUACAAGGAUUAGUAUCGAAAACUUGACCAAUAAGAGCAAUAAUAACAAAAACCUUUUCUGGUUUAUUAUUCAUAAAGUGGACUCUGUGUAGAAAGUAAUGCAGGUCAGCAACAUAUCAUUCCAUUUCAACAACUGUGUUUAACUUGGACUUUUUCCCCAUGGCAACUCGGCCAGUAAUUAGGCAAUGUCAAGAGCAGAUACCCUUGCACUACUAAUGGGCUACUAAUAUCAACAAGAGCCAAGAGGGUACAACAGAGGAAAUUCUGGUGGAGUUUGGGAAAGGUUACCAAUCUAUAGUAACUUGCUUUAGAAAAUCUCCAACCUUCAUAUUCAAAGCUUUCCCCAUGCCAAUUUAUUUGGAUAGACUUCUAUUAAAGCAUAUUACCUGAAAAUACAAAUGCUCCAUCGUUCUAGCAUAUCACCAAGAUUCACUAUGAACGCUCUGUACCAAAUAGCCAUGGAAGAAUGUUACUUUUCAGGGUUACUGUGAGGUUGUUAUGUUCUGUUGAAAAGUAAUGCGGAAUAAAAAAGAUGCUUGAGCAAUGAGAUAUUCUCUCCCGAAAUUUUUCCCUCUCAAACUUCUUGCAACUGGACAUAUAUCGUGAGACAGGUUCUAAUAAUUGUGGAAUGUGUAUAAUGCUUGGUAGUUCUAUGACCGUGGACCUGCACAUGAUUAAUCAGGAAAGAAUGGUAGAAAACCAUCUUGUGAGUGUGUCUGAGGGUGUAGAGAGAGAGAGAGAGAGAGAGGGAGGAAGGGAGGAUCAUCAUCAAGGCAUCCAAAGGAUUAAACUGAUCGAAGUUAUUAUGUAAACUUAUUCAGAUGCAAAUCACAGAUAGGAAAGGAGAAGUGGAUGAGGGCACCUCUCUAAGUUUCUGAAUUGAAACCCAUUUUUAUCACCCAUCUGACAACAAUAGUUUCUCUCUAAACGGGCAUAUCGCUGCCUUCAUAUGAACAAGAACUAUAGUAGCAGAUCAGGGUCAGACAGACAAUGACGUUUGUCAAAAAGUUGUGACUAGUCUGGGGGUAGUAUCCCACUCAACAUCGGCAUGAAGCAAUCUUCCAAUAAUGCGUAUAAGGGGAAACAUGUUAUCGUAUACAUGCUCCAAUAAAUCAAAAGUACCAGUUUAAAAGCAAAGUUAUUCCAAGUUAAAUUUGUAAUCCACAAAUCACUAGAAUGAAAAUCCUAACACAAUGGCUUCCACCAAAAGUGUCCAAGUUACUCUAAAUAUGAGAUCUCGAACAUAUUCAUCUCAAGUUCUGUUGGGCUUUACCCUUUCAAAGGUUGCACAUAUUCCCAUGCCUGAGGUUUAGCAUCCUUGUUCUCGCGAAUCUGAAUAAGUUUAAAAGGUUCCCUGCAUUAUAACCAUGCAUAGAGUCUGCACCAACAGUUUUACAGGAGAAUAUUCAUACUUGGAGACCCGGGACAUCAUCUGUUGCUAACAAGGUACUAAACCCAAAGUCCGAAUGUGCCCCAGCUCCAUAUAUCCCUUUAGAGGGAUCUGAGAUUAGACUAAAGGAAUAUCAAGAGGAUGAGAAGAAAGAAUUGUCGGCUUUAUUUUGUAGUUCGUUGAAAUAAAAUCUACCUUUCAUAGUGCAACAAGCGCAAGAUCGGAAUAGGCUUGCUGAGUAUUUCUGGCAUGUCAAAAAAUCAGCCUCCAGAUCAAGUGCUAGAGCAAUGAUCCUUGCAACUACUUUCGCCACAUUUCUGAUGAGAAUAUUCACAAAUCAAAAAAUUACCAAAUUAAACUACCAUCACUUUUUUAUAUCAACAGGUUGCACUUGAUCUUGCCACAUUGAUCAUCUAGGCAUUACUCUUGAGAUAUAACCAGAUACAAAAGUCAACUGAUUGGAAGAUCCUAUGCAAUGAAAACUGUGACUACAAUAUCAGCCUUACCACUAUAAGUAGACAUUUGAGUUGAGGCUCUUGGUCAGUGUGAUUAAUAGUAAAUCUUGACAGCUGAAAAUAUUUUAUUCAAAUUGCGGCAGGGUAGCUUUUGAACAAUUUCCUAGAAAUUGUUGAAUGAGCAGUUACAUAUAACUUGAAGAGAUUUACACUUUGGCCAACAUAGAAUGAGAGCCCAAGAGAGCUUAAGCAAUUUGGCAGUCGGGCAAUUUAACCCCCUUGGGCAUUAAGGGAACUUAGCAAAAUUUGAUGCAACAGGAAGGGGAAGAUGGUCACCAUUAGGAUACUGGAAAAGGCCCAAAUUUCCAGUCAAAGAAACAGAACAUCUCUGUAUUAUCUUUUACUCAGAUGAAAUAAUCUUUCACAUCUUGCAACUCACAACAAAAUUUAAUGCCCGUGGCUCUUUAUCAUCCAUAGCAAAAACUCAUAAUGCCUAACUAUGAAAUUUCUCCAUUGUCUACCUCCAUCUUGGCAAUAUCUCUAUUGAAAACACAACAAUGAAACCAAAAUAAGUACAUAUCACCAGCAACAAUUUGAAGUUGCACAGAUAUCAUAUCAAGCAACUGGUUACCCUCAGAAGGCCAGAGGUUUGGUCCAAAAUGAGGCUUCUGUGCAUCAGGAUCAUCCUCUGGUACUUCCGCUCCGAUGUAGUAUCCCUCCCUAUAAUCUCCUAUAAAACGUCCACGGAAUCAUUGCUACUCGACUGAUCUUCAGAAAAUGAUAACCAUAGAAAUAAUAACAAGUUUCAUCUAAAUCCUUGUUGUAUUACUCAUGGUUUUGUGUUAGCACUUCAAAUAACUCGCUCCUAUUUCUGUGUCAGCUCUGGUGAAGUAUCCUCGCUCCUCCCAGAAUAGAAUUACAACCAGGAAUAAUAACUAACUAAUUGCAUCUUCCUUUUCUAAGAGCUGCUACUCAACCACCAGCCACCAGCUGAUUACAGGAAGCUAUCAAAAUCAUCAGCUGUUCAUCUAAAUCCACUAUAAGCAGCAAAAUCUUCAGUAAUCUGACAACAAAAAACGGAACAAAUGAAUACAUCUGACACAAACUCUAAAUCUGAUUCCCAGCAUCGAGGACCUCAUCCAGCAGAGGAGUGCGGCCUCUGUGCUUCUCGUUCCCCAACAGCUUCAUCUUCUCGCUCAAGGGCAAGCCAAAGAACCACCUGCUCUGGACGAAGACCUCCUCCAUUAAAUCCUGGCUGAUUCCGUGAUUGAUCACGUAGAAAAAGCCAGAAUCCAAGCACGCCUGAGGCCAACGGAUCGAAUUCAACCGCCAGCAUCGUCACGAAUAAAAAAACCUUAGCUUCCUCGGUUCCGGUACCGGUAAUCAAAUUGGAACAUCGGAAAGCUGGGCCUAGGAGCUGUGUUCAAUUCAUAGUCUGUAUAAUUUCGAUUGAUUUUCUGCCAAUUUUGUUGAUUUUUCUUGUUGGUAUAGGUGAUAUCUCAAUCAUCCGUACUCUACCAUGCACCAUUAAUACAUUAACCUGAGAUAUGAUUAAUUAUGUUGCUUUUGAAUUACUCGUAAAAGGAAGGUCUUUUUAAUCUUUUACUAUGUUUGAGAGGUGUCUACUACUCGAUUCCUGAUGCAGUAACUUUCGUUAAGGUUAUGUUUUUUGUCCGAUCUUGAUCAAAGGAAAUUUUCUCAAAUCAAAACGUGGGUAAAUCAGUGACAUGUAUCACUAUAUUAACAUGAAAAACACAGCGCCGCAAUUACUCUUAUCUCUUUCGCCCAUGGUCCGGAGGCGGAUACGCCUCUGAUGUUGGUGAUGGUCAGAUGAGCGGGCAGUGAGCACAGCAGAGGGACAGCGGCGGUAGGGGAAUAAAGGGGUAUAGACCCAUCAGUUCAUGUAACUUCAUUUGUAGUAUCAUUUCCAAAAUCCUUAUGAAUAGGCUCAAACGUUUUUUUCCUCGAUCCAUAGCUCCUCUCCAGAAUGCAUUCCUUGAAGGUAGACUCAUACAAGAUAAAAUUAUCGUGGCCCAUGAAGCAUUCUAUCACAUAAAGUUGAGGGAAAAAGGGAAAGAUGGAUGGUGAGGUAUGAAACUUGAUACGAAGAAAUCAUAUAAUCUGUGUAAAAAGGGGUUUUCCUUGAAUGUGUAAUGCCUAAAAUGGUUUUUGAAAGAAGAUGGGCGAGUUGUUUCAUGUCUUGUGUAACAUCUGUGGCCUGUGAACUAUUACUAAAUGGCAAAAAAUCUGAAAAAUAUAUCCUUUCAUAGGAAUACCCCUUUAUCUCCCUAUUUGUUCUUAUUUGUAGCUGAUGUCUAGUCAAUGCAGGAAGGUCAAAUCCAAGGUACUAAACUGAAGGAGGAAUGCCGUGUUGUGGGAAGAUCUAAAUAUGAGGCACUGGGUUAUGCGAAAGAAAGAGUGUUGGAAAAGGCUUCCGGGCUGGAAAUCUCUCUUGUUAUCUCAAGUUGGGAGAGAAAUGUUCAUGAAAACAGUGGCAAAUGCAGUCCCCGCUUGCUCAAUGUCUUGCUUUGACUUUCUUAAGAAGUGGUGUCAGCAAGUGGAUGUUGCUGGGUCUAGAUUUUGGCGCGGGCAACAGAAAAGUGGGGGAACGGAGCAGUGGAGAAGUUGGGGAAGCUCAACCGAAGCUAAAUCGGAAGGGGGCAUGGGUUUCAGGAGUCUCUCUCAGUUCAACCUAGCUCUCCUUGCCAAGCUUACCUGGAGGAUACAAACUAAUUCUUCAGAAUUCUAAGUUGGGAGGCUCAGCGGACUUUACUUUCCUAAUUGCAGCUUCAUGGAGACAAGAAAAGGAGGGAGGAUGUCUUGGGGAGUAGAAUCUUGGAAGGCAAGGAACUGAUCAAACGAGGAGCUCCAUGGAAGAUAGCCAAUGGAAAAUCUGUUGGCACGUAAAGACAGGCGGGUGAAUUCUAGUAGGGAUUACAAGGUGCAUCCAAUCAACACUGAGCUCGUGGGUAGAAGCCUGGAAUUUUGAAGUUCUCAUUGAAAAUGAAACAAAUCCUGGAACACCAAACCUAUAAGAGGGUAGAUACAUCGAGAGGAACAGGCCAUGGUGCACGAAACUCACUUUAGCCUGGGGAGAAACGAAGAUAAAAAGUGAUCUGGCCGUGGUAUAGAAGUGGAGCUUUCUUAGUUAAAUCUGCAUACCGCUUUGCAAUGUAACAGAAGAAAAAAGCAGAUGACGAAAGCCCAAGUCUUCAAGUUGCCACAUUGUGAUCAGUGAGGUAUAGAAACUUGUGUGAAAUAUUGACUGCCCCAGAAAGAUGAGAUUCUUUUUGGAGACUUUGCUGCAAUGCUGUUGCUGCAGGUGAUAACCUAUGUAAAAGGAAGAUUAGGGUAAGCUCUGAGUUUGUGUUCUGUCAUGAAGUGAAGACCUCCGAGCAUUUGGUAGGUAGCUGUGAAAGAUGUAGAUGUGUUGGUUCUUGGACUAACUUACUUAGCAGGGGAAUUCACUGCCAAGACUAGCUUGGCCCGUUAUUGCCGAGAUAACGGUCUACUUCUUCACAUCUGUCGUGCAACGCGUGCAGUCAUUGACAGACAGAAAAAUCACGUUAUACACUUCCUGGUAUAACCCAAAGCCUUAUGUAUGACCGGUGGAGAUCAUAUUCGCUCCAGUGCUGUAUUUGGUAAACUUGAAGGAGAAAGAGACAUUAAAUUGGGCUCUGUAUGAUUAAACCGUGCAUGAGAUUUGUACUGAUUUGGUCAUGCAAUGAAAGUCAAAAGACAGAAAAAUAAAAGGAGACAUUCCUUUCUUCUGCUUUUCUAUUCAUCAUUGCAUGGCAUGUAAUAUUGACAAGCAUGGUGACGAAAUAUUCUUUAUUCUCAAUAGAAGAAGGACGGGGAAUGAGAACUCCAAGAUCACGAUUCUCAUCAUCAUUUCACCUUCCGCACCCGGUAAAAUGAAGAUGUAAUAACCAAAUUAAUAGCAAAAAAUUGACUCUGCAACGAUCACGGAGAAGUAAGUAGAGCUACGGCCGCGGUCAAAAUUACUGCAGAAACUCCGGUGACGCCAAGCGAUGCUGCCGAGUUCCCUGGGGCGGGAGGAACCGCAUCUCCAGCAGGAGAUGCUGCCGCUGCCGAGGGAGCCGGGGUUGAAGAUGGUGGAGCAGCCGUGCUGGAGGGCGGCAGGGUGGUGGCCGGCGAUGGAGUUGCCGCUUUCGGUGGAGGACUUGAGGUGGAAGGUGCCGGGGUCACGGCACCGGUCCGUGGAGAAGCCGCCGAGGAUGACGGAGCGGAGGCAGAGGGCUGCCGAGUUGGAGUUGUGGUGGAGGACGUCGGGGUGGCAGCAGAUGGAGGAGUGGCUGCGUUGGGGGGAGGGACGGCUGAGGAGGACGAUGGGGGAGUGCCGGAGGGGCUGGGGGCGGUGACGUUAAUGGCAACCUUUUGGCCUAACGAGCAGUGGCCAGGGACGGUACAGAUGAAGAAAUGCUGGCCGGCGGUGGCGAGGGUGAUCCUCGCUGGCGGGACGGUGGAGAUAGAGAGGGUGUUGGUGCCGUCGCAUGAGUUGAAAGCAGUCUCCGUCACUUCAGCCACGUCGUGCGCUCCGUCGUUGAAGUUGAAGACUGCAUGGAGAUGACAAAAUCGUCAUUUGGACCCAAGAAUUAGUAUGCCAAGAGUUGUUCCUUAAAAAUUAAAAAUGUUUAUCGUGAAAUUAAACAAAGGAAAUAGUACUUUUAUUAGAUAAUUAGAGCAUACUACAUCCGCAUGUGAAGUAAAUUUCACACAAGUGACCUUAUUUCAAAGAUUAGAUAGAAAUGAUGCUCAAAUUAACGAUAGAUAAGUCUUGAAUGAAUUUUUCUUAUUAUACUCUCGAUGCUUAUGCCGAUUUUUUUGCUGCGAAAACAAACAUCAAUGCAUUUUUGUUUUUCAAAUAUUUGUGCGAUUGUACAAUCGAAUCAAAAUUUGAUUAUGACUCCGUUUCUUUCACGAAAAAAGAAUAAUUUGAAAAAUAUUUAUCUAAAAAUAAUCACUUAAAUUCGGCAUUUAUGACUCUUGCGCAUGGGAUGUACAAAAUUAGGAAUCCAACGUACUAAUAGGGCGCUAUGACAUUUCAAAGUGAAAUGUCGCUUAGUGCUCUACAAAAUUUACACUAAAAUGUCUGGUCUCAACUUACCUAAAAUGUCUCCAACCUCGAAGAUCUGACUGUUAGCCCAAGCUUCAUACGCCACCGCGCCUCCCGCAGGUAUAGUCCACCCCAUGGCGUCUCCAACCGUGUAAGUCACCACCCCUUUCGGAUGCCCGGGCGGCGGCGCAGGCACUUGCGCAGCAGAUCCCGACAAAAGAGCCACCAUCACCACUGCCGCCGCCACGAAAAUAACACCGCCCAAACGCCUCGCCAUCGCCCUCUUCGUGUUCUCAAGAAACGUCAGGUCGCCCCUGCUCUUCUCUCUAUCUCCUCCUGCUCACGAAAAUCUUCGAAUUCGAAUCCCCUUUUGCUCUUUUGCAGCUCCCGGGGCUUCCCUCUUUUAUAGAACCAUUUUGACAGGAACAAGGAAAGGUCAAAGCAGCUUUCGGAAUCAUCAUUGCCGUCGCGCACUGCGUUGACUCCUUAAUGAUCAUUCUUUAAUGACAUGGGGGCUUUUCAUCAAAUCAAACUGUCGACGGUGCUUUGAGGUUUAAAGGUUUAUAAAUUUUCGAACGGCAGAGUCAUUUUUUAAAUGUUAAUGCUUCAUGACAAUGAACAAUCAAUCUAAUCCUCAAGAGAACCCAGUUAAAGAACACUCUUUGACUUUUGGGGGGAGUUCGAUUUGCUACGUGAAGCGCAAUACAAGGGUGUGCACAAAGACUUUUUUCGAACUUUCAAUCUGUAUUUAGACAGCACAAGAAAAAGUCUAAGCCUUCAUUGGAAUACAGGAAAAAGAAAGCAAACGAGAGCGUGGAAGCACGUUACGUAUGUGAUGAGACGGGUCUGAGGAUCAGCCGGACGUGGGGGGCUUUCACAGGGGUAAAUUGGUUGAUUUUUCGGGAAAGAAAAAAAAAUCAGGUGUAGGACAAAAACGGAAUAGAACUAAUAAAUACCACUAAAAAUCCUUAAAUCAGUACACCCACACUAUAUUUAUUUCACAUUAAUUUUCCCAUCACAAAGAAACCCAACUUCUAUAGCCAGGCAUCAUUUACUCCAAAUUAAUGUUUGUGUUAUAAUAAAUUUUAAGUUGGUAUAUCUGUGUCAUAUUUAUUCCAAGCUAAUUUUCACGUCACAAAAUUGAACAAAAGUUAACAAGAAUAGCACUUUGAGAUUUUUCUAGCAUGUGUGUGUGUGCAUAUAUAUAGGACGGAAGUGCUGGUUUGGGAUUUUUUACAACACAAAAAUGAAUUUAGGGUAAAUGGGGGGUGUACUAGUUUAAAAUUUCCUGUGACGCGAAAAUUAAUUUGAGUAAAUAUGGUACAAGUGUACCAGUUUAAAAGUUCUCGUGACACGAAAGUUAAUUUGAGUAAAUAUGACACAAGUGCAUUGAUUUGGUAUUUUUUGUGGCAUUAACUAUAACAAAAUUUUGUGAUUUUUUUUAGGUCAACAUCACAAACCUUUGUUGAUUAUCAUCAAGUCGUGAUAAUUUGUGUCAUGGCAUCAAGUAGAUCGGUUAAACGGGCAAAUUGAGUCCGGUUUGGGUUGGAUUGAAAAUUGUUCAACUUAAAUAGAUUCAUCUAGCUCGUUUUGAUCUAUUACUAUGUAAUGCAAAACUAAUGACCUAUACUUGACCCACCACGACUCAUAUUACUAAAACACUUCUAUCUCUAAUUCAAUCUAGGAAAACUUAUGUGUAAAGUGACUAAGCGCAAGAUUGAGUAAAAACAAGAAAAAUGAUAAAAGAGUCAUAAACCUGGGUUAGGUAUAAAUAAAUCAUGAAUCCAUUUACGACCCAUUUACUACUCAAAUCUUUUGGAUACCCUUGAAUUAGAGAUGCUACCUGCUAACCCAUUUGACUUGAUGGGUCACCAAGUCAUGAGGCCCAUAUGGGAUUGGGCCAGCCCAAGAUCUUGGGUAUGUCUUUGUUGUUGAAUAAACUUAUCUAGCAAAACAAUUAUCAUGAAUCCAAGCGCAAGAUUGGUAUAAAUAAAUCAUGAAUCCAUUUACGACCCACUUACUACUCAAAUCUUUUGGAUACCCUUGAAUUAGAGAUGUUGCCCGCUAACCCAUUUGACUUGAUGGGCCACCAAGUCAUGAGGCCCAUAUGGGAUUGGGCCAGCCCAAGAUCUUGGGUAUGUCUUUGUUCUUGAAUAAACUUAUCUAGCAAAACAAUUAUCAGUGCGUUCAUUUCAAGGAAAAAUGAGUUAUUUGGAAAAGAUUUUUCAAAAUAUAAUUACUUGUGUUGCUUACAAGAAUAAAUGAAUAGAAAUUUUUUCAUCGCUCGUGAAAAUAUUGACAUAGAUUGUUAUUAACAAUGAAAACCUUUUCUACUUUGAUGCACUACAAAAAUCUUACUCACUGCAAAAAUCCUACAGAUCUGCGAGCUGGAAUAACAUUUGUCUUGAUCCACGUAUGGUGGGGUCUUGUAUGGUGGGGUCUUAUUGUUUGAUGGUAACUUUCGAAAUAUAUGUAUAAUUUCAUGUUAUCAAAUUCUAUAGUUUCAUUAUAUAGUAUUAUUAAAAGCAAUAGUAAAUUCGAUUUCGAUUUGAAGUAAUACAUCCUCUCAUCGCCAUCUCUCUGCAACAAGUCAAACAGCGACAUGAAACAACAUCCAAAUUCGAGAUAACUACCUCGUACCACUUGAAUGGUCUCCGGCCAGAUGGAUUUCAGCCAAGUCAAACCAACUUAAAAUUCUCCAUAGAAUCGCUAAACCAAAUCAAUCACUGCCUUAUUCUGGAGAAGAAGCACUGAAUUCGUCCACUAUAUGUGAUGUAACAGCAUCUCACGAUGUACCAACAUCUCCACCUCUUGUAUGAAUUCAUCUGAGGUUAGUCCUCCUAUAGGAAAACGUCAAGGUGACCCUUUAUCACCAUUUUUGUUCUUUUCUGCAGCUGAUGUUUUGUCCAUUAAUUUCUCCCUAAAUAAUGAAGAGAUAACAAAAUAAACAUCGAUCAAUUACAUAUUAAUCAAUAUUCAAUUGAUUGGUCUGAGGUUAUGACAACGUACGACCCGUUCUUUCACUUUACAUAGAUUCUCUUGAACUGCUAGGGCACUUCUACAUGAACUGGUUCUUACACCACGAUUUUGAAUCAGAAGAGAUUUCAAGAUAUGGCAAAUCGUACAGCAUAUGCCAGUGGUUUUGAUAUAAGUAUUUGUGUCUUGAAUCGACCGUGAGGGCUUCGCGAUCUUGGAGUGCAUUUCCGCGAGCCAUGGGAAGUAAGCUUAGUCAAUGCUGUGCGGGAAGGUCAGAACAAAGGCAUUAAACUGAAGAAGGAAUGCCCUCUGUUGUCCCAUCUACUUUUUGCAGAUGAUUCGCUCUUUUUUCCUACAGGCUGAUGAGGAUAAUUGCAGAUGUUUAAGAGGGCACGGUGCACGAAAGUCAUAUUGGCUGGGGGAGAAAUGAAGUAGAGUGAUCUGGCCCUGGAAUAGAAGUAUAGCUUUCUUCGUUAAAUCUGCAUACCACUUUACAAUGUAACAGAAGAUGAAGCGGAUGACAACAACCCAAAGUCUUCAACUUGCUCCAGAGUGGUGAGGUAUUGGAAACUUGUGUUGGAACGUUGUCUGCCCCCAGAGAUGAGAUUCUCUUGUGGAAACUCUGCAGCAAUGCUGUUGCUACAGCUGAUAACCUAAAAAUUUGGCCUUUCGUUGCUUGUAUUUGUGGUAAUCAAGGAAUGAUUGUUGGUUUUUUUUCCAGGGAAAGUAGCAGAUCAUAACAAAAGUGCCCAUUGGAAACAUCUUCUUUGUUUGAUUAAUUGAUUUCUGAUGGAGAUGAUGAAACUCCUUGAGAUUUGGACUGCUUUGGUCAUGCAAUGAAGUUUUGUUUUUUCAUUUCCUGCUUUUAUUUUCAUCGUUGCAUGGCAUAUGACAUUCACAAACAUCGCGAGGAAACCUUCGUUAUCUUCAAUAGGAAGGUGAUGGGGAAUGAGAACUCCAAGAUCACGAUUCACAUCAUCAUUUCAUCUUUCGCAACCAGAAAAAUGAAAAUAUGAUGACCAAAUUAAUGACAAAAAAAAAAAAAAAAGACUCCGCCAAAAUCACGGAAAAGUGAACAGAGCUACGGCCGCUGUCAAAAUUACUGCAGAAACGCCGGUGAUGCUGAGUGAUGCUGCAGAGUUCCUUGGGGCAGGAGGAACUGCAUCUCCCGCAGGAGAUGCCGCUACCGCUGAGGGAGCCGGCACUGAAGAUGGUGGAGCAGCCGUGCUGGAGGGCAGCGGGGUGGUGGAGAGUGAUGGAGUCGCCGCUUUAGGCGGAAGACUCACUGUGGAAGGUGUCGGAGUCACAGUGCCGCUCGGUGGAGAAACAGUUGAGGACGAUGAAGUGGAGGCGGAGGGUGACGGAGUCGGAGUGGCGGCCGAGGACGUUGGCAUAGAGGCGGAGGGAGAAGGAGUGGCUGCCUUGGGGGGCCGGGCGGCAGAGGAGGACGGUGGCGGCGGAUUGGCAGAGGGGCUGGCGGUGGUGACGUUGAUGGCAACCUUUUGGCCAGACGAGCAGUGGCCGGGGACGGUGCAGAUGAAGAAAUGCUGGCCGGCGGUGGUGAGGGUGAUCCUUGCCGGUGGGACGGUGGAGAUCGAGAGGGGGUUGGCCCCGUCGCACGAGCCGAAAGCCGUCUCCGUGACUUCGGCCACGUCCUGCGCUCCAUUGUUGAAGUUGAAGACUGCAUGAAGAUCAGAGAACAAGCUGUUGAUUAAGAUUGAACAAGUUUUUGGCGGUGGAACUAAACAAAAAGAAGAGCAUAUGCGUAAAAUACAAAGAAAAUCUCACAAAAAAUUGACCUUAUCCCACUAUUAAUUUUAGAGAGUGAAUAGAUAUAAUACUAAAAUCAAUUAUAGACAACAUUAUUUAUGUAAAAUAUUUAGUUAUAGUGAUAAAUAAGCUUUAUUUUUUAUUAUUUACUUCAGAGAAAAAAAAAAUCAAUACAUUGAGAGUUUGAGUACAACAGGCCAAAAAAAAGAUCAUUUUAAAAUAAAAAAGUCAAAAGGAUAUCCAUAUAAGUAAUAUUGACUAUUUUUCGAAAGUUAUGUAUUUUAUUUAGGACAUUGAAAAGAGGUGAAGCUUUUGAAAUUCAAUUUUUUUUUCUAAUGAGCAUUGGAAAUUGCUUCUUCUAUCUUCAAGUUCUUAGCAAGUGGGAUUGGCCUUCUGACGGGCCAUUAGCAACCACAACAAUAAAGCCGAACAUUUUAUGAGUCUCUUGCAUAUAGGAUGCCAUUCGGUGUAGUAAAUGUUAUUCAAUUUUAUACUAAAAUGUCAUUUCUCGGCCUACCUAAAAUGUCUCCGACUUCAAAGGUAUUGCUGCUAGCCCAUGCUUGAUAUGCAGCAGCCCCGCUUGCGGAUAUGGUCCACCCCAUGACGUCUCCCAUGGUGUAAGUCACCGUCCCUUUCGGAUGUUCGGGCGGCGGCGCAGGUGUCUGCGCGGCAGAUCCCAAUAGCAAAGCCAUAAUCGCCGUCACCAUAGCGGCCGCCACGAAAGUACAACCAUUCGAAUGCCUUGCCAUUAGCCUCUCUGUUUUUGAAUUUGAACACCCUUCUGUGCUCUUAGAGCAUCCAGGGCUCCAACUUUUACAGAAUCGUUCUCACUGAAAAAGGAAAAAUUACAGGAGUUCGUGGAAUGAUCACAGUCGUGCAUUGCGUUGACCCCUUGGUGGAGCCCCCACCGUUGGAUAUGCGACAGGUGGAACGGGUCGGGUCAGCAGAAGCUUGGUGCUCCCGUAGGAUGUUGAUGACGUGGGGCUUUCAUGUCGAUUGUAUUUUAGAGGGGAAAUUUUUUUAGUAUUUUAUAAUUCAUAAGCUGAUAUAGAUAGAUAGCAGAUGGCUCAAGCUGAUAAAUAUAGAUCAUGCUCCCACAAGCUGAUAAAACAAUCGUAACUGAUAUAUAUAUAUAUCAAAAGAUCAACCGUUGUGACACAAGUGUAUCGAGGUAGGCCGUGGAUUGUAUAGAGAAAGAGGGGCUAAAAUAUUUUUUUAAAAACAUAAUUGUUUGUAUCAUAUACAAAAAUGAACAAACGAAAAAUAUUGUCAUCGUUUAAAAAAAUGAUAAGUUGAAUUAUUGUCGAUUAUGUAAAUAUUUCUCAUUAAUUAAUUACAUUAUCCAAUACAAGCAAUCGUGCUUAAAUUAUUCAUUUCUCGUUAAUUAAUUAUUUUAAACAAGGAGCCUUCGUAACGCAUUAUUUUUAGUGUGAUGCAAUGGAAUGAAUCUCUCCUCGGAGCAUCGACCAGCUGGGCAACUCUUUUAGACUUUUGGGAAUCGAUUUUGCUACGUGAAGUCCAUAAGCGUCAAAUUUGUAUUUAAACAGUACAAAAGCCUAAUCCCAUUGAAAUAAAAGGAAAAAGCUCUAAGAAAAAAUAGAAGAAAUCGUAACGAUGGAAGAGAUAAAAGAAGCAAUGAGAGCGAGGAAGCACGCUAAUGUAUUUUUGGGGUCAACGCCACAAAACAUCGCUAGCUGUCGUGGAGUCCUGAAAUCUUGUGUCGUGCCAUCAACUCCAUUUAAAGACCACCGCUCUUAGGAUUAGGCAAUUUGGCUGUGAGGAUGUCCAAUCGAAACACUAAUGCUAAAAAGUGAAAUGAGAUCAUAUGUAUAUAAAAGAGCAUUUAAAUCCCUAUGCCAAGUGAUAUGAGACAUUUUUCACAUCAUUCUCAUGUGUAAGCCCAAUAAGAGGCUUUUUCAACGUCUCCUUUCAUAUGCAAGCGGGUUUAGAACCUUUAAAUUGCUUAACCUCAUAAUUGGAGCAUAUAAAUUCUAUUGCCAAAAGCAAUAUGUGAGAUUUCGACAGUGGUCAUCGGAUGUCAACACAAUGUGUCGUUCCAUUAUCUUUUUCUUUUUCCUAAUUUCGACAAGUCUCAAGUUGAAGGUAGUUUAAUCAAGGGAAAAAUUAUCAAAAACUCCAAAUUAUACUCAUUGUGACACAAUUAAUCUGAAUUUUUUUGUUAUACCAAAAACCUAAACUUGUACUUGUGUGAUCUCUGUCAAGGUUCCAUCAAUGAGCAUCAUUAAACAUUUUCCUACAUGGACAAUGGAAGACAACUAGUGUUUACAUGGCACUUAUAUGGCUUAAGUGAAAUAAAUAUGACGUUGUUUUGGCUUAAAAAAAAACACUUGAUAGAAUCUAACAAAUGAUAAGUGUGUCACCAAACAUAAGUCUGGUGUUUUUGAUAUCCUGAGAAAAAUUUUAGGAUAAAUGUGUCACAAUGGACAUAGUUUGGAGUUAUUGAUGUCACAAAAUAAUAUUCAAGAUAAAUGUGUUAUAGUGUACAUAAUUUGGAUUUUUUAGUAAAAAUUUAGAGCAUCCAAUUUCGAAGAUACUUCUAGAAAAUUAUCAGGCUCCACCUAGGUAUUCACCCCUACAUCAACUUCUUGCAAAUUCUCCACACUUUGAGCUAUGUUCAUUAUAAUGAAAAUUUGAAACCAAUUUUAGAGUGUGCUUGGUUUGAAGAUACUAGUGUUGCUUGGUUCGGAUGCGUUGGCUCUUGUGUUGAAAUUGAAAACCACUUAUCACAGCAUGUCGUGUUCUGUAUAAUUCCACGAGUUGGGCCGGUUGCCUCGUAUUCGAUGCAUUGAACGGAACAAUUAGUGUGGAACUUUAGGUUAUCAAUUGUCAAUUUGCCAUAUAUUUCCUUGCGUGGCCUCUCGCAUAAAAGUUUUAACUCUUAAAUUUUUUUAUUAUUGAAGGUUACUGAGUUAUUUUAGCAAACUUGGUUACUGCCUGUUAGUUCCAUUCCCUCACUCUACAUUACUUUCUCAUAUUUUUCUCCAAAUUUAUGCAAAUAUCGGAAAGCAGAUUUUUAUUUUGCAGACACGUGUCUGUUGAUUACUAUUAGUUCAAAAAUUGAAAAUAUUUUAAUGGUUCGUCGAACUGAUCAACCAUAUAAGGGCCAUCUGACUCGGAUGAUCCGCGUGAAUGACAUGGCGUGUGGGUCAAGGUCUUUUGGUAACGUUCUAAUUAGAGAUGUCGAUAGGCGAGACUGGCCGAUUUGACUUGAUUGGCCAGCACGGGAUGAGGUCCAUGUUGGGUUGGCCCAGCCUAGCCGUGGUCAGACGAAUGGGCCGGGCUGUGGUCCAAGCGUGGUCGUCUCUUGUCCGGCAGGGCCGGCCCAUUGAUCGCCACCGAUAGUAAUCGUAAAGAAGCAUUUGCUAAUAUUGCUUGAGCGACUACGUUUAGCAAAAGACUAGUAGUUUCCUCGCAAGGGAAGCUGCUAACCAAUUCAUCGUUGUUCCUCUCGGUCUCAGAGAAUUCUGUGAUAGGCUCAAACCAUAAGUUAUCUCACCAAAAAAAACAAAAAAAAAAAAAAUUUAAGCUAUCAAGCUAAUGUAUGUAUGUAUGUAUGUAUGUAUGUAUGUAUGUAUGUAUGUAUGUACGUAUGUAUGUAUGUACGUAUGUAUGUAUGCUAAGUAUUCUCUUGUUGUCUGACUUUGUUGCUGAAAUCUUCAUUAAAGAUUAGAGCUCUCAUCAAUUUAUUCAACGAUGGAUGUGCUGAUUGAAUGGUGUCGACGAUGCUUUUAUGUAUCGAAAAUCUUAUAAAUCCGCAACAUCUUUUGAUUGGUGAAUGAUAAAGUCUUCUUAUUUGAUGGUACUUGUCAAAAUAAAUUAGUAAUUUCAUGUCAGCAAAUUUCAUUAUUGUAUUAUUGUAUAGUAUCUUAAGAAGUUCUAGUAAAUUAAAUUCGAAUUUGUAGUAAUACCUCCUGUCAUCGUGUUCUCUUUGCAUCAACAAGCCAAAUGGCGACAUAAAUCAAGAUCCAGGACCGACUCAAUCCAACUCAAGAUUCUCCAUACUGCUUAUUGAUUAUUUCUAUCUCACGAAUGCCACUGUCUUAUUCCAAAGAAAGGCAAUGAAUUCACCCGCUAUGUCUUCUGCAACAGCAUCUCACAAUGUACCAACAUUUCCAACUCUAUCUAAGAGAAGAGCUAACACAAUAAGCCCAUGAGAAGGGACACAAGCAGGACUAGACGUGCAAUACCGAGAGACGAGCCAACACUUGGCGGAGAUGUGGUCGCACCAGUGGUGGGGGAUGGCGGCGGUGGGGAUCCCGGCGGGCUGGAGGUCGGGCCGCUUGGAGGCUGCGUGACGGUGAUGGCCAGCUUUUGACCCUGGGAACAGUGGCCUGCGGUGGUGCAGAGGAAGUAAUAGUCGCCGGCGGUAUCCAGGGAGUAAUUAGCCGGAGAAGUGGACAGGACUGUGAAUGGGGAGUCGGUGUUGCAGGCGUCAUAGUCUUCCUUGGUCACGUCCCCAACGUCGUUGUCGCUCGAGUCGAAAUCGAACACUGCCCCAAAAAAAGGGAAAAGAAUUGAAGGAUCAGGAGCAUCAAAGAGUGAAAGCUUAUCGAUCAUGGUCAACGCAAGUACCCCAGAUCAGGGGCAGAGAUGGAUUGGUCUGAUCACAUUCAAACCUUUCAUUUCUUGACAUGUUGACCAGAUCUAUGCUCAAACGUCGUAUCACUUUCUGAUGAGAGAUCUACUUACAAAACAAGCUCAAAAGGUGCACGAACUGAAAUUGCCAUAGUUCUGGAUCUUCUUCUUCGACAUAAAUUUAGAUAUCAUGCAUACUUUGCACUCAUAAAUAUACAUCAAUUCAAAAGAUUAAUGUCGGGCGAGAACCGAUUUCCAACUCACCUAGAAUGUCGCCGACCUCGAACGUGUGUUGGCUCGCCCAGUCGGAAUACGUGCCGGCACUAGAAGGGAUCUUCCAUCCCUCAGAACCUCCCACAGUGUAAUUCGUCGCCUCGGCGCACGAUAAAAACGCGACCACAACCCCGAGCAGACAGGCUGUAAUUUUCGCAUCGGCCAUUUUCAGCUUGGCUCGUGUUGCGAUUUGAAGCCCAGGUCGCCCCCCAAAAAAGACUCUGUAGCUCCUUGUUUUGUCAAGGGGGUGAUUUGAAUCCUGAGAUCAUACAGGUAACAGGCUGCAUUGAGGCACAUGAAUUGAUUGGCCUUGACUGAUUAUCUUAUUUUCCGCGCAGUCGGUGAUGGAGUUUGGGAUUGAAAUAUAAAGUCAAAUAUGCACGCACUCACACUAGAGUUCUGAUGCAGUUAAAUUAUUAUUAUUUUCAGCGAUUUUGAAUGGAUGGCAUCCUCUCUCUCUCAAUAUUUUUCAUAAGUGGCUUGAGCUCAAUUGGGUUUGGGCCCAAAAGACAUGGAAAGCCCACACUGGCCCAUACAUAUUCAAGGAAUUAAAAAUAUCUUUAAAACAGUUAAGAGUAAAAAAAGAGUUUAGAUGGAAUUAAAUAUUCAUGUUCAAAUUCAAAAGAAAACUUGCGGAAGGCAACAAACACCGGAGGGACAGGAUUCGGAAAAGUGGCUAAGAGUAUAGCGAAUAAGCUCAACUGUCUUUAAUUUUUACGAUUAAUAUCACAAAAAAAAAAAUUAUGCAAAUUGUGAUACAAAAUAUCCCAAUUUUUUUAUAUCAUCAAAAACCCUCAACUUCCCAUUGUGAUACAAUUAUAUCAUUUUUUUUUUUGGUGAAAAGGUAAGUAUUAUCAUUUUUUUUGGUGUCAUAAAAUAUCAUAAACUUACAUCAGUGUGAUAAACAUACUAUGAUAUAAUUGAAAUAGAAGGUAUAUGUUUUACAUAUAUAUGCGUUUGGGUUUUUUUGUAACAUAAAAAAUAUAGAGGGAAUUGUGUCACAAUAGACAAGUUUAAGGUUUUUGGUGAUCCAAAAAAAAGUUCGGAGUAUUGGUAAUACAGUGGACAUAAUUUAGAAUUUUUUUGGUGGUAUUUAUCCUUACUUUUAAAGUAUAUUGUGUUAAUUAUAUGGUGAUUGCAUGCUUGGGUCUUAAAACAAAAUUAAUAAUUAGGUUUUAGCAACAACAAAAGGGGAGACUUUGACAUCGGGCCGGGCUUAAACCUGCUCUCACCUGAUAUAUAACUAAUUUUCAUUUUGAGUCCAUCCUGAGAUGAUUCAGGUUUGAAAAACUCUAGCCUGAAACUUUAUGUCGUGCCUAAUGAGGGACAAAAGAUUGGUCAACUCGGUGCGUGAAGUGCCGCAACCGUCAAUGGGUCCUAUUGAGAUUGUGGCCGACGAUUUCGAGUUGGCACUGGUCAGUCCAAUGUAGCGACAAACUAUUUUGAGUAAGCGCUAAUUUGUUAGUCCAUUAAUUACUAUUUGCGUAAUAUCCAAAUCACAGAUAUUGCCCUAUGCAAUCACACAUGAUAUGGAAUCGAAUACUUCCAUCUUAUUUUUGUUUUUUGCUGCAAAUAUAGGUAUAGACAAAAUGGAUGUCCUGUAGUUGGCUCUCACAAUUUCGAAAACGCUUGCACCACAUAUGGACUAUAAAAUGGGGAAUGCAUGGAAAUCAACAUGACUUGUGUUUAUUACAUUGCCCAAUUUAGAUUGAUAAUUAUCAUAUAUAAAUCUGUGAGAAAAUUACCAAAAAAAUUUUAAACAUCAAUCAUAAAUAUUUCAAUCUAAUCAAUUUAGUCCUAACCCUCUCGACAAUUUGCCAAUGUAAUCCAUCCAACUAAUUUUGGAUAAAAAUCACUAAUGUGAACUCUGGCCAUUCUAUAUAACACGAUCGGCAUUGAUAUAGGGAUUUUUACAAAAUUUUUAAUAUUUUAUAAUUUUUUGUUUUCUUGUUUUUCUCUUUUUUUUUUCUUUUCUUUUUACCCUUCUUCCUCCACUAGUUGCUGAGCCUCUGCGAUGGUUGGCAAGGCUUGCUCUUGCCAGAUUUAGCAAGAGUCAGCCUCACUUGCUAAGUAGGGCUCACUCUUGUAGGGGCGAGGUCGUUUAAGGCUGGCGAGGAUUGACGUUACUGGCUUUAGGCGAGGCUUGACAAAGGUUGCCCCUCACCAGCCUCGAGCGUCCAUGCAGGAGGACUGGUGUUGACUAGGUUGCCACGUUAGCACUUUCCAACUAAAAUUGGUCGAAAAAACUAAAUUAACAAAUUGUUAAAAAGUUUAAGACUAAAUUAGCCUAUAGCCAAAAGGUUGAUAACUAAAUUAAAAGAUUUAUGAUUGAAUUAACUGCCGUAUAAUAGGUUAUAAUUAAAUUAGUACAAUUGAGAACUCGGUUAGCCACCACACAAUAUAUUUAGGAUUUUUUGGAUAAUUUUUUUAGUUAAUUUUUUUUAUCAGAAAAGGUAAAAUCUUGUUAAUCUCAACUACUGAAAGAUGUUAAAAUCAAAUCUUCUAAACGAGUAAUAAAAGAGAACAUGUUAACCAUAUCGGUAAGAGAAUCUUUCUACGACUUUUUUUUUAUCCAAGAUGGAUCUUUCUAUAAAACUAGUUCUUUAAAUAGAUCUCUCUUCAAACUAUUUCCCAAACUAGAGUUUCCAUGCCACAUCAUGCUUUUAGGUUGCUUGUCAUCAUGCCUUCAUCCGAGUCACUUCUACAUCUCGCCUCGAAUUAAUUUUUAGCAUGUUGCACAACCUUUCUUUUUAAUAUAUUUAUCACAAAUAUUAAAUCUGAAGAAGAGUUGCUCACAAUCAACCAAGUUUAUUUUAUAGAUUUGUUACUCCACAAAUGUAAUAAUUUAUUAACUUUGAAUUCCAAAUACAAUUUACAAGUGUGAUUUUCUCAUUUGUAAACGGCUAAAAACAAAUGUACAUUGCAAGUAAAUUUACAUACAUUCGUUUUAUCACAAGUUUGACUAGAAUUUAAAAAUAAAUAACUAUACUAUAUCUGAUCAAUAAAACUAAAUUUUUAUCCCUUAAGUUUAACAUUAUGUUCACUCAGGAAGAUUGGUCUUAAAACACCAAUUCACUUUAUGGAAAGAUUACCUUGCAAUUAAAAAAUAUUCUAUUUUAUGUGAAACUUAUAUAUGGUUAAGUUAGCUUAUUCCCACUUAAAAAAAUGGAGACAUGGAAUGAAAGCAUCACUGAGAAAAUUAAACUGGCAUAACAAAUAGAAGUUAAAUAAAAAUUCCAUUCAAUAAAAAUAAAUUGUAAUCCCUUAAGUAUAACACAAGUUUCAUUCAGAAAGAUUGCUCUUAAAAUAUCAACUCACUGUAUGGAAAGAUUACGUUGCAAUUAAAAGAUAUUCUAUUUAAGGUGAAACUAUUUAUGGUUAGGUAGGUAGCAUUAUUCCCACUUAAAAAAAAAAAAAAGAAGAAACAUGGAGUGAAAGAAUCACCAUGAAAAUUAAACUGGCCAUAGAAACUGGUCCAUUUCUAAAUUUUCAUGUGUUAUCGACUCCAAAAAAAUUGGAUCCCGAUCCUUGAUCAGGAAUAGGUAAAUUUCUAUAAUUUAGGUUUUAUGUUAUGUGUUUUGAACUUUUUAUUAUUUAUUUAAUAUUACGUGUUCAUCUUUAAGGAUUUAUGCUAUUGACAAUUGGAGAUUCUUAUUGUUGCAUUUAUUUUCAUUUUGUUUAACUAAAAAAAAGAAUAAAAAAUGAAACAAAAAAAAAAUAAGAAAAUGAAGUUGGCCGAUUCCCAAGUAUAUCUUAGAGCUGACCCUUGAAAACGGAUUGAUAAGGUAGGUUCAGGGUUUCGGGAUAGGCAAGGUACGUUCUAGAUCUAAAAAAAUCAGGGAACCAAUUCCAAUAGGGUAGGUUACCAAUUCCAAGUUUCAAGUGGUACCUGAAUCGACCCUAAAACCGCUCAUCACUAGCUAAUAGAUAAAUGGGAGGUUUGAUUGUGGGGGUUGUUCUUAUUUUGCCCAAAAGAUUUGUUUAGGAGCAUAUUGUGAAUUGAAAUCAUGGGGAGUAGUUCGUAAUCAUUUCUACUAACUUAAAGCCCCAGUCGCCAAUCCCAAUAGCUUACCAAAAACAUAGGGUCUCAUUUUGGGUUGGGUUGGGUUGGGUUGGGGGGAGGGGCUAUGAUUCUCUAUGUUUAAUUGAGCCUUUUUGUUCACUUCUCACUAUUUGAAUUUAUUUUAUUACAUGCACAUGUUAGCUUCUUUUUCUUUAUUUUUGCUAGAAGCAUAUGUUUGUUUCUUCCAUAACAAAACAUGUAACUGUGUAACUGUGUAACUGUAAGAGUGUUUCUAAUGUGGGCUACAUUAAUUAUAUUAUAAUUUAUUGUUUUAUGGGGUUAGUCUAAGGUGAGAUAGAAAGCUUUUUUUAAUUAGUCUAAUAUAGAGCUGGCUAAUGUGGGCCGAGUUGAACCUAGCCUGCAAUGAGAGGAUUUGGAUGGAAACUCUAUAAAUAGUGCUCAAGCUUAUUCUCUAAUUCUAAUUCUCAUAAUUAUCCUCAUAAAUGAGUGUUUACUUAGCACUAAAGGGUGAGAGGCUAUUUCAUUAAGCCAGUGAUACAGAGGGCAAUAGAGGAGAAGGACUUGCACUUGGAUCAUCGCUUUUCCGCUUCCGCAUCAAGAAUGAUAGAUUCCAAAACAUGUGCAUUAAUGUUUCUAUUCGAUUAUAUGUGUGUUCUUGUUCUAGUUAUGGAGAUCAUGGAUUGCACGUUUUAGCGUCUAACAGUAACUGUCAUCCUUGGCUGAUUUUUUUUCUUCUAUUUUUAAUUUGAGGCAAUAUAUUAAACAUGUUAACAAAAUAGAUUCUAGUUUAGAAAAAAGAAAAAGCAAUUCGAUGUGACGAAAUAUUAUGUAAAAAUAAAAUUGGUCAAAGUCAUGUUCUUGUAAUUUAGUCGGUUCAUAAUAUCCAGCCAACGAUCACAAAUACCAUUAACAAAAUGAUAAUCUUUACUAAAAGCUAAGAAAAAUAAGAACGUCAACUUAAAAUAAAAAGUUUAACAAAAAAAUGAGAUAAAAAGUAUCACCCUUUGGCUAGAAUUUCUACAUGUGCUAUGUAAAAUGUUGCAAAUUAUAAAAUUAAAGAGAGUGAUAAAAGUGACUUGGGUGAGAGGGUAACCUUGAUUGAAGUGGUAAUAAGGCUCAGACUUCCCGCACUUUACGUUUUAUGUUGCAAAACUUAAAGUCAAACUACACUUUUAGAAGGCAGAUUGUUAGAAAAGUCCUAAACCUAUUGCAAUGAUGUUAAUUUAGUUUUAAACCUAGUAUAAUAGUGCAAAUUUAGUCCAAAACCUUUUUGACCUAGUGCCAAUUUAUUCUUCCAACUAAUACUGACCGAAUAUUGUUGACAUGGAUAUCGAUUAGCUAAUGUGAUACAAUCAGCACUGAUGUAGGCAACUUUCAGUAAUAGCUAAAUAUUUUUUUUGAAUUUUUAUUUAUUAUUAUUUAUUAUUUUCUUAUCCUUUUUGCUUCUCCUCCUUCUUCCUCAAGCCGGUUGUUGGACCUUGGCAAUUGGCUAAAGGUGAGCGCCAACAAAGUUAAGGUCGAACUUGCUAGCCACUAGUAGCCCUCGCCAAAGGCCAUGAGGGCGGCCGCUAUUGACCUAAACUUUCCUAGUUCCGAAGAUGCCUUGUUCAUUUUGGUGGAUAAUGAUUAGAUUUCCUACAUCUAUGUGCUUGAGCCCUUGUCGAAUAUGGCGAGGCUUAAGCCCUUGCCAGAGGCCGUGAGGUUGCCUGUGAGGGCUUGAGUCCUAGCUAGCCUAGUGUGAGACCACCCUCACCAAAGGCUGGGUGAGGCUUGACCCUCGCUAGAUCCGAUGAGAGCGAGCCUUGCCGACUUAGCACAAGGCCCUCCAUGCAGCCUUUGGCGAGGGCUGCUAGUAGCCAGUUCCCAAGGUCUAGUGACUAGCUAGAGGAAGAAGGAGGAGAAGAAAAAGGAAAAGAAAAAAUAAAAUAAUUUUUUAAAAAUAUUAAAUAUUAUCAAAAAUUGUCCAUAUUAGCAACAAUUGUGCCAUGUCAGCCAACCGACAUCUACAUUAACAAUAUCAAAUCAAAAUUAGUCAGAACGGCUAAAUUGACAUUAAUAAAAGAUUUAGAACUAAAUUUGUGCUAAUGUAAUAUAUUUAGGACUUUUCUAAUACUUUUCCCCACUUUUAUACUAUCAUGGGGAUUACAGUGAUGAGAAAAACGGAAGUUGGGAUUUAGUUCAACGGAUAAGGCACGUAGCAACUUCUACAUCUCAUUGGGCAUUUGAAAAUAAAGUAGAAAGAUCGGGAAAAAUAUAAGACGAGGUUUUGAGGAUGACAUGACAAUUGUUUUAUGGGUGUCUACAAUUGUCACGAAAAAAAUAUUUUGUUUGUCCUAUUUCUUAGACCAUGACAUCAAGGAUUUCAUGAUUUAGGCAAGUUUGGUUUCGUGUACGUAAUGUGGCAUAAGUCCAUGACAAAAACCCAAGUUCUCCAUUUUGGUUGUGUUUUUAUUAAAUGAAUAAAGGCUGCUGUAAUUUCUUCCUGGUCAAUUAAAUAAAGCCGGAUUUUAAAAAUUGUUGUUGCCUGCUUUCACUUAUUUGAAUUUGCCUCUUCAAGAAGGACUCGUAUGUAUCACUUUUGCCGUUCUGCACAAACCAACUCGAAUUAAUAUCCGAUAAAGCCAGUUUUCCUGUUCCGAGGAAUAUAUAACGAUCCGAGUUAGUUAGAAUAUAUUAAGAAUUUAAUCAACUCGAGGCCAUAUUGGGGUAAACAGUCUUAUGAGAAGAAAGCAAGGCUACUCUAUAUUUCAUCCUUCCAUAUUUAUGCUUUGAUUUUCCAGGGUACUGCCUUAAUACUCAAAUUGGGAAGGAGGGGAAGAGGAGGAAAACCAAGUAAAUUUUUGUAACUUUCGCGAGAAGAAGUGAGAGGGAAUUCAAAAUUCUUCUCUCUUCCUUUACUCGAUGUAUCCAAGCAAAGUAGCUUUUCCUUUAUCACGACGGUGCAUGCUUGCUAAAUAGGCAUAGGGCAAAUUAUGCGUUGUUGCUAACAUAGGGUUCAUUAUCAAUUGAAUUCAACUACACAUUAAUUUUAUUCAACAAAUGCAUGGAACUACACUUGACUUCCAAUUGACGGGCAUCGGCCAUUAUCCAAAACAUGCUCCGGUGAACAAUCGAUGUGUCUGUUUAUGUAACAAAACAUGCCAUGGAGAGAAACAUGUUGAAUUGACCCUUGUAAGGCUGAGAUAUCCACGACCUAGCAACUUAGUCAUCUAGAUACUAUCUAUUCCCCUCUCCUCUAGCUUGUGCUGUCUAUUUGUUUUAAAAGGAGGAGGAUAUGACAGCACAAAUGAGAUUAUAGACCAACUAAUGGAGUAGUUUAAGAAAGCAAGGGGUUCUACCAAACACAGCUUGCUUCGAGACCAAAGGGAAUAAUGAGGGGGAUUUUGGGCCUUAGUCGUGGAUCCUCUUUUGUGGGUCUGAUCCUACGGCUUUUGCGCUUUCUUGAAUGACGGAGAAUCAUAAUAACAUUCAGGUUCCCACGUCCACAAAACGGAACAAUGUGAGCAUAGCAUGGAGGUGAUGAGGGUUUCAAGGAAGCUCACUCAAAAUCCCGAUGGAAGUUUCUUGCAUCUUAUGGGAGCAAUUUCAUGGUCACUUCAUGACACUUUUCUGGUGCGAUUUGCCAAGUGAUUUUCGUGAAAGGUGACAUGAAAUUGAAACUGAAAUCAGCUGAAUGUCUAACAUUCGAAAGAAACUAAGCACUUGAAUAGAUCUAUUAUCAUCCAAAAUAAAACCCAAUGUUAUUUCAUUAUUUAAAGGGUUAAUACAUUGAAAAACUCCAAAUUGGUACACAUGUGACAAAUUUACCCUAAACUUUUUUUUUUACCACCAAAAACCCCAAAUUAGUAUAUUUUUGAUAAAUUUAUCCCAAAUUGGUAUACUUGUGAUAACUUUACCCUCUAUUAAUUUUUGUUAAAUUUACAGUCAAAUUAUUAAGUUAAAUUACACGUAACAGUUAACCGGUAUACAAAUUUGGGAUUUUACGCUCUAUUUAUCACAUUUUACAAUUUUGUGAUUUUUUUUUAUGGUAUUAAUCCAAUUUAGCGAAGAGUAUAUUUAUCACAAAUUUACUAGUUUGGGAUUUUUUGCAAUCGAAUAAAUUGAUUUGGGGUAAAUUUGUUAUAAAUGUAUCAGUUUAAGGUUUUUUUUAUGGUCAGUCGGUGUAAAUUUGUCAUAGGUAUACCAUUUUUGGAUUUUUCAUGGUCAAAAAACUAAUUUGGGGUAAAUUUGUCACAUGUGUACCACUUUGGGGUUUUUCAAAAUAUUAACCCUUAUUUAAAUAGGCAAGGCGAGAUAAUAGUUUCAUUAACAAGGGUUAGGUAAUGGUCCAAUUUCGAUUUUCAUUUUUAGCAAGCAAUUCCAUUCCAUAUAUGAAGUGAUAUUGUAUUUGUUUGUGUAAACAGUUAUCUAGAUAUAGUUGCAAUCUCUUUAUGUAAAAACCCUUUUUUGAAAAUCUCAAAAGUUUAUUGGUUGACGUAGGACAAGUUGCCAAUAGUUUCCUAAAAUUAAUUGAUCAGCAAAUGAAUAGAGUUUAGCACAACAUUUAUCAAAGUGAAUAGAUAAAGGUCAGCCGCUACGAGUGAGAGCUACGGACAAUCUAGCAUAAAUCAGGUUGACAAGGAUUUUUCAUAGGAGUGCCAUGGGGUUUCAUUACAAAUACCGGUGAAGAGCAGAUGUUGAAAAUGCAUUUGUCCAGUCCUUUAAGUUAGCUUUGGAACUGUUCUUGUCAAUCCUCCACAACCUCUACCGAAAUUCACUACUCAAUCCCAAAAAUUCUCUGCCCAGCCACACCAAUUUUCCCAAAUUUCUCGCGUAGCUUGUGCUUCACACUACGUUACACUUCCGUUUUCGCAUGCGGCAACGUAAUCGUGGUGUCUUGCUCGCUUCACCUUCCCAUUACAUUUCCCUAAAGACUCCAUUUAUUAAUGGAAAAGCAAGUCAAGUCAAAUUGUGCUUGAUUUCAAAGUUCAAUAAAAGCACCUGUGUAGGUGGCGCGCACCUUCCGUAUGAUGCUAACGAAAUUACGCGUUCAAGCACGCAUAGUAGAAAAAGCAAGGACUAGGAGCAUCUUUAUUGCAAAUGGGUUUUCUUUUUCAUUUUUUUGUUAAAAUAAAAAGCAAGUAAAGUCAAGAAGCACCUGCAGAGGUUCCCCGCAACUUCCUCAUAAUGAUGUGAAUAUUACGCGUGCAAUGACUCAGCAUUCAUGGAGGACUCUGCAAUCAGUAUUCUUCAAGCAUGAAGCUUAAUACCGUGCAAAAGAAAAAUGCACUUUGGUGGAGAAGCCAUUGGCUGAAAAUGUUAUUAACGAAAUAAAAAGCUAAACACCAAAUGAAAUGAAAAAGUAAUUGAUAUUCACUAAAUAAUUAUUCCAUGGUGCAGAGAACCCAUUGGCCAAGACUUUCUAAAUGUGACACCGAAUGUAUAAACCCGCAAUUCCACCAACUCAAGAGGAGCCAACUAUAAUGCCUUGUAGGUCUAUGAAAAGGAAAAAAAGAAGAUUGGCGGAAUCACCUCAUGUACUUAAUUAGAUGGAUUUAAUAUAAUGCUGAAGCUCAAUUAGUUGUUGAUUAUGCAAACAAAAUCAUCAUAAUUUUCUAACUUGCCUAAAUAAGGACUAAGAAAAACCACCUGUAUUAUCAAUUGACUAUCAGUUGCCUCGAUAAUUCUCAUAUACUUACAUUCUCCUAUCAUUAUUGAUAUAUCAAAUGCCUGAAUAUGCUUGUAGCUCCAUCCAAAUUUGGAAACAGAGUCUCGCCCAAAUCCAGUCUUUCGUAGAAAGUGUGCACUAAUCUUCGGCCGACCUCACUCCGAGCUUCAGCAUUGCUCGCUGCUUUUCUUUCCAAUUCUUCGUUUACUUGGAAAAAGCAAGUCAAGUCAAGGUGCACUUGCAUAGGUAGCUUCAAUGCACCUUCUGCAUAAUGUCGCAGAAAUUAUGCCUACAAUGGUUUCCCUUUGGUUUUUAUUUUUUAAUUGCUUUAAUAAUAGAAAAAUAAGUCAACUUGAACUCGUGCUCAGUUUAGAAAAAAAAGCACCCGCAUAUGCUCUAUGCCCCUUCCGCGCAAUGCCGUGAAAAUUCUGCAUGCGAUAAUUACGCUUUUCGUGCAGCAUGCAUCGCAAUCGCAGCGGUUCGAUUAGUGGGAGAUUCUCGGACCGUUGGAUGGCAAGAACUCAGCAUUGUUCAAGCACACAUAGUAGAGUGUUGUGAUGUCAUAUCUCUGCCUUGCUGACACUAGAUGUGUUCGAUAUUGACUAGUUUUGAUAUUUCUCUCGACUCUUGGAAUGUAUGUGAGUAAUACAGCAAGAAGCUUGAAAUAUGGAGGAGGAUGUUUUUCUUCGAGGACUCUUAUCAAAUUUCAGAUUGGCUGGAAGUUCUCAAUACAUGGUCUCUUCCCAUUUUCAAUUGACUAUUAGUUCCAAGUCGCAACCUAAGAUGAUUUCUUUGUCUAAUUUAUAUUCGCUUUUAUCUUCUAACUGGUGAAGCAUAGAAAACAUCAUAUUUCCUAUCAAUCUUGACAUUUGAUUGAUUUCAUCAAUCAUUUAUCAUUUCAAAUCCCUUAUUCUUAUCGGGUUAUAGAUUGAAAUGGGAAAUGAGUGAUUCCUAUGAAAACCAUUAGUUCUUGAACUUUAAUUCGUUUCGUGGAACAUGUUUGAAUGGAACAACAAAAAUAUGGUUCACUUCUUAAGUUUUCGAUUAUACUUUAAUGGGGAUCUCCAAGUCUAGUAAGUAUCAUACGUAUCGUGACUCUCAUGGAAGUAUGAGAAACAACUUGAGUGAAAAGUCAUGAUCUCUUCUUCACUUCAAAAGCUAUUUACUUCAUUGAUAUCGGUGUGUAGAGCUUUAGAUACUUCAUUUCUUAUAAUGUUUUGCAAAUUAAGUGUACAAAAAGGCCUAUGUUGAAUACAAAAGUCCAAAAUUUACAUCAACUCAAAUAAUAUAAAAGAGAAUAUGCACAAAUAUGAAUUAAAUGAUUAGAAACGUCAUGUGGGAUGUGUUUUCAAUUAUACACUUGAGUUGAAAGAAUGUUUAUACCUAUAAGUAAAGAAGUGAGUUCAUGCUCUUAGGAGGAUUUAUAAACUAAGCUGGUUGUCAGAGCAGCAAAAGUAGGCUAAUAUUAUAUAGCUAUAAUACACUAGGUGUCUACGUAAUCACUUCUUGUUGUCAUGUUUAAUUCAAUUCUUCUCCAUUUAAUACCUUCAGUUUUUCAAAUCACAUCUUCUAAUGCUAAAUAAGCUAAUAGUGAAUCCUCCUCUAUUGUGCUGCAAAAAAUUGUAUUUUGGUGAAGAACAUGUUGGCGGAGACUGUCAACAUUAAAUAAAAAGCCUGACUAAAGAUGAUCAUAAAAGGGGAAAAAAAGUAACUGAGUAACCAUUCGAAUUCCGAGAGUUGUUAGCUUAGAAUUUAUUAACGCAAGACCAAGAGAAUAAAAUUUAUGGAAUAUGUUGAAAACUAUUAAUUUAAGGGGAGAGAUAAAAGUGGCUUGGAUAGAGGAUAAUGAUUUGAUAAUUUUAAGCAAAAAGUAAUAUGGAGAAAUCUAGUUUAACAAAAUUAUUUUGAAAAAGAUUUAUUUGAAAGUUACUUUUCUAGAUAAAUAAAAAAGGAAAAGCCUCUUGCAGACUUUUAAUAACAAAAUCCUGUAUAAUCCCCCGAUUUAUACGCUCGUCUGACUCAUGUAAAUUAGCGGUAUAUAAGAGAAUGAAAGCAAGUCCAGUCAAGUCAAGUUUAGCCAGUCCUGGAUCUCUCAAAUUUCAAUGAAACCGCGUGGAUAGGUUCGAAGCACCUUCCCAGUAAUAUGGUGUGAAUCGUGGAGAUCACGGCAGGAGCAUGUGAGUGUUGCUCGUCAGUUCUCUUUUCCACUUUUUCUUAUUAAUAUAAAAAUCAAGUCAACUCACGACGCUGCAGAGUAUUGCGUGUAUGCAAGUCAAUGAUGCCACUUCGACCCAAAAAAAGAAAGAGAAAGUCAUGAUGCUGCGGAAAUUACGCGUGCAAUGAUUAUUCUUUCCGUGGCAUGCCUCACAGCGGUUCGAUUAGCAUGGAGAGUUUUGGACCGUUGGAUGGCAAGAACUCGAGCAUUGUUCGAGCACGCAUAUAAAAGAAUUUCAUGUGUUGGUAAUCCUACUUCGAAGGCUGAAAAUCGGUGUUUGAGCACUCCUCAGGUAGUCAACCGACUCCUUGCUCUUGUCUGUUUCCUAUUUUGAUUGCUCCAUUUUCUUCUGAUUAAGCAAGGAGUGUGAGAGUUCUUUUGUUUUCGUUUGAAUUAACUGAGUCAUGAAAGACAUUUGUGCGAUUCGCAGAUCUGGACCGUGAAGGCUGGCUUUCUUUUAAGGCUCUGCUUGAUCAAUCUCUUAUUUUAUAACAGAAUAAGAAUCUCGUUGGUCAAUCACUCCAUGAUGUACAUCCAUUCAAGAAAAAGGAAAUUGUUCUUUCCGUUCUCUUCCUGUCUCUCCAAUUCCUUUGUUUUCUCGUCACUUCAUUUCCCUUUCAACUUAAAUUGCCAAUCGAAUUGUAAAAGAAGAAAACUCACUCACUCAGAAGAUCCGAAUUCCGGGGUGUCUUCCUCAUUGACUGCUCCGCAUGGAAGAGAUCAUGAAAGGGGAGAUGAACUGCUUAUGAAGUGUUCUUGAACUUUAGAGGGAAAGACACUCGCAAAGGUUUCACCGAUUAUCUCUAUAAUAGCCUUGUCAAUGCAGGAAUUCACGUGUUCAAAGAUGACAAUGAGCUCUGUGUUGGUGAGGAGAUUGGUCCGGAGCUUCUUUGCAGCAUUAUGCAGUCCACGAUCUCAAUCUCAAUUAUCUCCGAGAACUAUGUUUCCAGCAAAUGGUGCCUUCGUGAGUUGGUUCAGAUGUUAAAGUGCAAGAGGAGUAAAGGGCAAAAAGUGUUGCCCAUAUUUUACAAAGUGGAACCCCACCAAGUGCGACAUCUCACGGGGAGAUUGAGAAAAGCUAUCGAUGCACAUAAAAAGAAUACGGAGGAAAUGGUUGUGAAGGAAUGGGAAGAAGCACUCAAAGAAGUCAGCUCCUUGAAAGGAUGGGAAUCGGAGAAAAUUGAUAAUGGGUACCUUAUUCUCCAACAAAACAUUGUUUAAUUAUUCAUAAAUAGAUCUUUUUUCAAAAAGAAUACACAUAUUGCUAUCCUAUAAUAAUAUUCAUUGUUAUUUGACAGGCAUGAAGGAACAUUGGUUAAAAUUGUUGUCACAAAAGUUCUAAGCGAGUUAAAAGGAACAUUUCAGCUAAUUGUUCCCCAACAGUUGGUUGGGAUUGAUGAUCAUAUCGAACAUAUUAUGAGCUUGAUAGAUGCUAAAUUCAAUGGUACAUGGAUUAUCGGCAUUUAUGGAAUGGGUGGCAUCGGUAAAACGACUCUUGCAAAGGUAUUAUACAACAAGUUCUUUGGUCAGUUUGAGAUUCAUAGCUUUGUGGCAGAUUGUCAAGAAGCAUACCAGCGUAAGGGUAUUAAAUGCCUACAAAGGCAGCUCAUAUCUAGCGUAGGAAGUCCAUGUGAUGUGUCUAAUGUGGACAAGGGGAUCCAUCUUAUCAAAUCUCGAUUUGCACAUAAGAAAGCACUCAUUUUUCUUGAUGAUAUAGGUGAUAGUGCUCACUUGAAAUAUUUGGUCGACCGUAAUUGGUCUAAAGUAGGAAGUAUAAUCAUCAUAACAACUAGAAACAAGGAUGUUCUUGACCAAGCUAGUGCAAAUCACACGUACCAACUCAAUGAGUUGUCUUUUGAUCAAUCAUUGAUUUUAUUCAGUAGACAUGCCUUUCAAAAGGAUUAUCCUCCAAGUGAUUAUGAAGAUAUCUCUCGUGAUGUCGUAUCUAUUACUGGGGGGCUCCCAUUAGCUAUUGAAGUUAUAGGUUCAUUCUUAUGUAGAAAGAGAGAAAACGUAUGGAAAGAUACGUUGAAAAAAUUAAAGAAAGUGCCCUAUGAGAAAGUGCGAGAGAAGUUGAAAAUAAGUUACGAAGCAUUAGAUUAUAAUGAGCAACAAAUAUUUUUGGAUAUAGCAUGCCUUUCCCCCGUAACACGAUAUGCAACUUAUAUGUGGGAUGAUUGUGAUUUUUACCCUGGGAUGGGGAUUGAAGUAUUAAGUCUUAUGUCCCUAAUUAAAAUUCACAAAUAUGGAUUGCUAUCGAUGCAUGAUCAAUUGAAAAAUCUUGGAAGGGAAAUUGUUUAUCUAGAAAAUCCAAGGGAGCCUCAAGAGCGUAGCAGAUUGUGGACCUAUGAGGAAGCCCUAGAUGUGCUUGACAAUUGCAAGGUAUGAGUUUUCUCUACUUUUCUUAGUUAGUGCAUGUGGGUCCAUCUUCCAUUUCUUGUUUGAAAUAAAAAUAAGUAUCAAUCUUGAGUCCCCAUGAAUUGCUGCUUCUCUAAGCAAAAGAGCUUUUUUGAUUAAUCAUUGUUUUUGCCUGAUUCUAGAAAUCUAUGGUAAAAAUGAGCAAAAUUUAGAUGACUAGUACUUCAUUGUAACAAAAUCAACACGAAAAUGAAAAUAUAGCAUCAAACAUCUGUAGCAAUAAAAAGAAUCAUAUAUAGAAUGUUUGUAAUUAUCAGUUUUCCUUCCACGUAUAAUGAAAAACCCUCAUCGAAGAAAUACAUGAUAAGAAAGGAACGUAAAACACAUGCAUACCUUUUGUGAUGACAUCCUCGUUUUCAUUUUGAUAUUGACAAUUGCAAACAAAGUAAACACCAAAAAAGUGAGGAAAUUCUACAAUUGAUAGGAGUAAAGGAAGUGUUAUUUCACAUACAUAAGGGCGUGAAUUUUGAUAAAUAUAUUUGAAUUACUAUAUACAUGAAGAGGCCUUCCAUUGUAUUUGCAAAUGGAUGCAUAUUUGGAAAUUCAGAAGGUGCAAACUGCGAAUGGUAUAGGUGGAUGAGGACAAAGUUUUGGAGACAAUCGCUUGAGCUUCUCAUCUUUACAUAUAUUAGAUAAAUAAUAUGCAGCUACAACCUUUCAUUUCACAAGAAUGAAAGGUAGAAGCCUACGGCAUAGUAGUAUGACAGCAAAUCAAAAUCAAUGCAUUUUAUUUUAUUUCAGUUGGUCUCAUCUCAUCAUUCAAAACUUAUGGUCUACAAUGUUUCCAAAAUGUAGGGCACCGGAAAGAUUGAGGUCCUUUCUCUUGGCAAAUAUGGUGAGGGAAGAACAUACGCAGCCAAAAAGUUUAAAAAAAUGACCAAGCUAAGGUUCCUUCAAGUGGAUGGUGCUAAUUUCACUGGAGAUUUCCAAAGCUUACUUCCUGAGUUAAGAUGGCUUCAGUGGAAGGAGUGUCCCUCGAAUUUCACUGCGAACAACUUUCAUCCGAAAAAACUAGUUGUACUCGAUCUAAGAAAUAGUGCCAUUUCGGAGGACUGGGGAGGAUGGGAUCCACUCAAGGUAAGACAUAAAGAAGGCAUUGAAGUAUAUUUUAACUCUAACAUUUUUUUCCUUGUACAUUUGAAACAUUGAUUUUCAUAAUUAAACUAGCCGUUUCUCUUUAAUUUCAUACUACUAAAGGAUAACAUGGUGCCCAAUGAUUGCAUCUCUCUUUCAUUUGGACUUGUCAUAUGCUUUUUUGAUAUUAUAAGUUGCUUAUGUCUAAUAAGCAAAUAUCUCCUUUGAAAUGUUAUUUGAAAGUAAUUGCAGUAAGUACUUGUACAUCCUUAACAUUCUUUUGCAAUUAAUAUGCUUAACAAACAUUUAUCUAUCGACGUGACCAAACACUACUAAAAGCGACAUUUAAAAUUAAAUAGGACAAUUGCAAAGGAGUAGAGGAGCACUGGAAAAUCUUGAGUACAUCCAUGUUAUUGAAGGAAAACAUGGUGCCAGUGAUUGCAUCUAUCCUUCAUUUGGAUUUGUCAUAUGCUUUUUCGAUAAUAUAAGUUGCUUAUGUCUAAUAAUCAAACAUCUCCUUUUAAAUGUUAUAUGGAAAUAAAUGCAAUGAGCACUUGUACACCCUAACAUUCUUCCGUAGUCAAUAUGCCUAGAAUGCAUUUAUCUGUUGGCAUGGCCAAACACCACUAAAAGAGACAUUUAAAAUUAAGUAGGACAACCGUGAAGGAGUAGAGGAAUACAUAAGGAGUAGCGAAAAAUCACAAGUUGUGAAGGUUCACUUACACUGACGUGCCCUUUCUUUCUUCCAGAUAGCGACUGAGCUCAAAGUUCUCACCCUCUCGAAGUGUCAAUUUUUGAAAAGAACGCCCGACUUGUCCACUUUCAAAAGGUUGGAGAUUUUGAAACUUGAAAAUUGUGAGAAUCUGGAAGAGCUUCAUCCUUCUAUUGGAAAUUUGGCAUCAUUGAUCAAGCUGAACUUAAGACGUACAUCGAUCAUGAAAUUAUCUGAAAGUAUUGGGAAUUUGCAAAGUCUAAGGGUCUUGGAUAUUGGUAAAACUGGCAUAACAGAAUUGCCUGAUGCUAUUGGAACGAUGGCAAAACUCCAAAAGUUGAAAGCUGAAUGUUGCAGAAAGCUGGAGCAAGUACCUAGUAAUAUAUGCAAACUGAUUUCGCUAAAGGAGCUCCAUCUUAAUUUAUGUAAGAAGCUUCAAGAAUUACCAGAACUGCCCCCCAACUUAACAAAACUAUCGAUCACUUGCCAGGGGCAGUCUUUGCCCCAUCUUUCCCAACUAACCCUUCUCGAGAUGCUCACUCUUAAUGGAUGCUGUCAGCUUGAAUGUGUCCCGGAGCUUCCCAUUGGACUAUCGCUGCUUCAUAUUUGGAAUUGUGGAAAAUUGAAAGCCUUGACGAAUUUGUCAGACUUGAAACACUUGCAAAAUUUCCAAAUUAUGGAAAGCCCAUCUCUCGAAGGAUCGCCCGACGUGUCGAAUUUUAGGCGUACGCAGAUGAGAGAACUUGGCUUGAAAGAGUCCCGGGGCUUGAUGCGGAGCUUAAUAUUCAAGCGUUCACCCCGCUGGUUUCCUAGGCCCGAAGAUUGAAGCCACCGUUGCCACCGCGCAUCCACCGCAGGCAGGUGGGUAGGUCGGUUUGCACGGCAGAGAUGACGACGGCGACGGCGACGGCGACCAGGCGACGCCACGGCUGACAACGCCCUCUCCAUCCGCUCCAGGUAAACACACCCACGCGUCUCUCGAGCUUUCCUGCGGUCUCUUAGCGUCGCUCCGGCGCGCGAGCUCAUUGAUUGUCCGGAUUGGAGAUUUUAGUUUGCUCAGUAGUAGGUAGUGCGGUAGUUUCGACAGCAAUCGGGUAGGCGGUUGGAGCUGGAAGUCGCGCUGGCUGCCAAGGUUCUGUCGAGAUUUGGUGAGAUCCGUCGAGUUGGUCACGAGCUUAGAUUCGCUGUUUUGAGCUGAGGCUAGCACGUACUGCUUAGUCAAAUUCCUGCAUUGCCGACGUUGUGAAAGCUCUAAAUUGGCUACGAUUGGAUGAUCGAUCAAUUGCAUUUGAUUAUAAAUGAGAAUGAGGUGUUGCCCUCAUCCUGAAUUAGAUUGGAUGGAAGAUUUAAUCGGUGGUUGUGGCAAGGCUGAAUAUACUUUCUAUACAGACUUGGGAGAAUCCAUAAGCUUUUCUCUGAUGUAAGAAUAACCUUUUAUUGGUGGAGUUGGAAGUGAGAUCUACCUUCAUGAGAGCUUGGAUUGGGGUAAAGGAAAGGUCUGCUGUGUGUCCAUAGACAGCAAUGCAGCACAAUACCAACAGCUUUGUACUGCAGCCAUCUUUUCUGGUUGGGGACGGAAUUCUUUUUUACAUGGUAGCACAUACCUCUUUACCUUUUUCUAAUUUUUUCAUCCUCCUGUCUUCUUCUUUUCAUUGCCAUUAUCUGGUGUUGCGUUUGUUUUAUUCUCUUCUUUACUCAUGACCUAGAUGCUUCUCUACUUGACUUUCUCUAGUAGGCAUGAGAGUUUCUUCAGUGAUGUGCUUCCGCUGUGGUGAUGCUCUUGCUUUUAUCUUCUACUUUUGAACUUCAUUCCCUUUUUUCAAAGAUAACACACGGGUGUUAGUGCAGAAGAAAAGAUAGAGAAUCUAUCACUUUAGACCUUAAUUUUCUGUUGUCUUAUGAUCAUUGAUCCAAAGUCCAAGUUCAAUCAUUUUCAGAUCGAUCUUAACAACCUUUACCUUAAGGGUUAGAUUUUAUACUGCAGGGAUUGCCUCCCAUGUGUGUACAAUCAUGUAGCUGCAACAUGCCAUCUAUGUAUAACUAUCUAAAAAAGGAAUGUGCUUGGCAUAUCGACAUGGGAAUGCAAGAUCUUAGGCCUAGUGCUUGUGGAAUUCAAUCUAAUAUUGUGGAAUCCUCUUGGGUUUCUCACCUUCUGUUUCUGGAUUCUCUCUCAUGAUUGCCCCAAAUUUUUACUUUUUGUUCCCCUAUUUAUUUAUGAAUCGCAUUACUUCUUUUUCAUGUCUAGUUCAGGAUACAUUUCAUGACAUAUCCUUUAGGGGGAUCUUAUACUGUUUUCAAGUUUUCAAUUGGCGGGGAUCCUCUUUAUAGAGAUACUUGUACUUGUAUUGUACCUUGCUAUUGUCCCUUUCGGUUCCCUUUUUGACAAUAUUAUCAUUCUAGAGUGACAAAUUUCCCAUGCUGUUAAUCAAAUAGCUCAAAUCAAAGUUUUUGUGGUGAUCUAGAUGUAAUCAAGUUGUUGACUUGAUUGAAUAGUGACCUAUGUGUUGCAUCUUUCUUAUGACAGGAUGCGACGGUAAUGGUGCAACAAGCUGUGCGAUAUGUUGACCAAACACUUGAUCUUGAGACCAAGAUAGAGCUUAUUAAGACACUUAACUCUGUUGCCGGUGGGAAGAUGAAUAUGUGAAAUUAAACUCUGGCGCAGCUUAUGUUCAUCAGCAAUCUGCUUUUAUUUAGUGAUUUCUAUAGCUAGUUUCAUAAUGCAGUUAUAUUUUGAAAUAAAGAGAGCGUGAUUGUUCAAGAAACUUGCAAAAAUAAAGGAAGAACAUGGUCUUCUAGCAGUACUGAUUUGAUGCAAGAAAUGGGGGUAACUAGAAGUUAACUUCUAUUCUCACUGAUCUUGUAAUUGGUAUUUCCUUGUCCUACAUUCCUAUGACAGUUUGAAAUGCAGGUAGGAACUUUUGGAGCAAAGGCAAAGACGGAGAAAAUUGCCUUUAUUUUUUAACAAGUGCGGGUUUUUUGUAUUGCUUUUAGCCAUUCAUGCAUUAUUACUAUGAUUGGUUUUUCUGAUCGAUGGAUUUUGCAGGUUUGUCUAUGCACGUAUCAUUUCUAGGAAGAUCAACUCCCGUGUGUUUGAUGCAAAUCCUUCCAUAGAAAAGAAAAAGUCUAAAGAAGGUGAAAACAUCGUGGGACGAGCGUUAGCUGAUAUUCCAUCUCUUCUGGAGUUGAAACGGAUAUGCAAUGACUCAUGAUACGGUAAAUUGGUGUUUUGCUUUUCGAAUGUUGUGUCCACUAUCUUUGACUAAUUUGUUUUUGCUGAUCAAGUGCCACCUGGUAUUCAAGUUGUGGUUCACCAUGUACUUGUAUGGCUUUAUAUAUCUGGUACAUACUCUUCUUUCUUUCUAGCUAUAUCGCAAACUAUGACGUUCUAGAUGUACUUGAUGGAUUUAAACUCCCAUCUCAGUUUACCUCACAUUUAUGUGGAUAACAAUGUAGGUAUUACUCACAUAACAAUGAUUACCUUGAGAUAUGUCGAUACCAUAAGGGGAUAUAUGAGAUUCCAUUGGUAAAAGGCAACCCAGAGCAGUAGAUAUGGGUGAAGCUCUUUCCUUGUUAAGUCUUCACUGAGUUUUUUAAGGCAAAGCUGUUCAUACUGUGAUUUAAUUAAAUGCAGGUUCUUAGGAAAAUCUGCUGGUACUUAGUUCUAUCACCACAUGAUCCUAUGCAAUCAAGCCUUCUUAAUGCAACUCUAGAGGAUAAACAUCUCUCAGGAAUUCCCCAAUUCAGGUACCAUCUUUAAAUUGUGCUAGGUAAUUAAUUGUUUUUUUGGGGUAAAGUUAGGUAAUUGAUUGUUUUUUUUUUUUUUGGUAAAGGAGGUUAGGUAAUUGAUUGUUGAUCUUGCAAUAUCUCAAUAAUGUGCCAUAGAAUUUGGUCGACCAUACCUUUGAUAUUUUAACGUAGGUUGCUGCUGAAACAAUUGGUCACGUUGGAGGCUCCAGCGGACUCCUCUUUAAAAGAACUUUCAAAGGUGAAUUUGAGAAUGAGAAAACGUGCUAGCAGGUGCACUUGUUGGGAAUUAGACAAGGCCCAAUCAUAGUCAAAAGAAGAAUUUUGGCUUCUCCUUGGCAAGACAAGCUACCUUUCUAGGAGCCUCUUCAGAGAAUCAUUGAACAUGUAAUUACAGAACUAGUUGUUUUUCUUCUUUUCAUUGGAUCAGCACUCAGAUGUGACUCAGUCGGUUUUCUGCAGAAUAUUAUCAUCAUUUUGAAGUAUUGAUCGAGGAUUACCUUAAAGAGAUUUGCAAACCUGUUAUCCUCAGUAUCUAAGUCUGAUUAUGUGGAACAUUUGUUGAUGUUCGUUAUCAGUGUCACUCUUUAUGAAUGAUUGCCUAGACCCCUCAUUUAACCUUCAGCAGCUUCUCUGCUUGUGAUCCCUAAUUGGGGCAUGGCUGCUGGACUUGGACACAAGUUCCUAAUAUGUAUAAAAGAGGUUUUGGAGCGUUGAAAGCCAAAGAUUUGUCAUGGAUUUGAGAAUGUUGUCUUCAUCGUUUUGUUUUGUAAACAUUCUGACCAACAUAUAUGUGUACUUUUUUUUUUUUUUUUUGGCUUAGUCAGCUUCUGCUCAUAAAUUUGUUGUAGCUGUAAGCGUCAUUGUUUGGCAUUGUGAAGCCGUUUCUUGUCCCACGGAACCUGAAUCUUUAAUGCACUUUAGAAACGUGGGAGGAGCUUUGCUAUAUUGCUAGAAAUGGCUAAGCAGCUUUUUCUGCUGGUAUUGAUACUCACCAUUGCCUGUGUUACAUAAAUAUAUCUUGCUAGAGAUCUUGAUUAAUGUGUACAGAAAAUCUUUGUAGCUGAAUCACUUGGAGAAGAGCUUUGUGUUUGGGUUCUCUUACUCUGUUGUUAAGAGCUUUAAUCAAUCACAUUAAAUCAACACUAUCAUUUGACAGACAGACCAUAUAAUGAUAAUUUAUACACGCUGGUAUGAUAUUCUAUCGUCUUGACCUCUUACUUCUAUAUUACCAUUUUAGGAAGCUGAGAAACAUCUCCUUAGAGGUUGUUUCCAAGUACCUGGUGGCAAUGGCAAAGAUAGACCAGCCAAUGGGAAUUGUCAGUUCCAAAACAGCACAACAGUGAGAUUUUGAACUAGGGUGACAAAUUUAGAAAAGCCGCUUGACCUUGUUAAGAAAAGUCGCCACCAAAUCCCCAAGGAAACCACGGUUCAUAAGGCUGCUUGGAGAGCUUGAAUUGAUUGAAUGAAUGAUCUCUCCCCUCUCAAUGCUUCCUAUAGCCCUUCUCCCCUCUCUCUCACCGAAGAAUGCUGUUUCACAUUGUGGUGGGGACUGGAGAUAUGCAUCAUAGAACUUUCGCGUGGCUGUCUUAAAUUUGAUUGUAUAUUUUGUGGGGGGACCAAAUCCCGGCCUUGUUUCUGACUGAAAUGAUGUACUGGAUACACUUUAUCUAUAGAAAUGGAGUCUGGUCUUUUCAUCUUUCCUCUUUCCUCUAUACCCCCUCCUUUUAAUUGAAGAUUUGCUGGCUUUCAGGGUCCAGAAAAUGUACCGGUGGAACAGGUAUCAGCACAAGAUGUGCACUCAUUUGGAUUGAAAUAAGCGCCUUGUUACAGAAUUGUGUUUCACAUUACAAAUAUUGCUGGUGCUUGUAUUUUUUCUAACAUCGGUGAUAACUCUCUAGAUUAAAGGCUUAAUUAAUGCUACUUUUCGAUUUCAUUUCAUAUUCAAAAUGAGCACCUGUUUUUAAGGGGCUUCAUUUCAAUAAUAUAUCUGCACUUUUUAUCUCCCCAAGAGACGUUAUUUUUCUUCAAGUUGAUACCUCUUAGGGAUGGACCUUUGUUCUCUAAAAUUCCAGCUCCUUCAUUUGCUUUGUGGAAACUGAAAAAUAGGGAAAAGCUACAUCUACAUCUUUUGGCUCUGGAAAUAGUCAUGCUCACUAGUAAAUAGCACUCAUUUGUUAGUGAAAAGCACUGUUCUACUUUCUUCACAAAGUAAAUGUACAAAGACACAUAGGCAAAGGAGAGAGAUCAACACAGCUGGAUUUAUGGCGCUCUCAAUCCCCAAAAUUCGCCAGGUUCUUUCAAGCUCCUAGGGUAUGAGUUCGUAGUUUCAACGUCCUUUCAAAUUCUGAAUGAACUGUUUUUGUGUUGAGUUCAAUCCUAAGAAGAUUCACUUUGUUUCUCCAAUCUCUACGCAAUUUUCUCUUCAGCUCGUUUGUCAUUCCAAUGCUGGGAUUUUUUUAUUACUACAUUGAAGAUUUUAUUCUGGCGAGUGAUGUUCUAUUUUGACUUUCCAGUAUGCAAUUUUUUGUUUGCUGCUGCUUUCUUUUUCCUUUUUUUUUUUUCACUUUGAUGAUCUUGGUCUUCAUGAUAUCAGAACUGCGAAAAGAGCAGAGUUUCAAAAUUUAAGAGGAGCAUAAAUGUGUUUCCAAAAAACACAUGAACUAUAUUACAAGUUUGAGCAAGGUUAUCUGUAUGUAUCGUAUUGCUGGAAUGGUGAGAAGAAGCCUUUUAACGAAUUUAUUCACUUUAUGACGAGUAGCAACAUCUCACCAUCUAUCUAAAGUCCACCGGUAUUUACAAUGACCCUCAUGUGUUAUGCACUUACACAAUAAGCUUAUGGCAAUGCGCAUGAACAAGACUAGCAGUGUGACACCGAGAGAUGAAGCAUCAUUUCCAAGUGGUGGCGGAGAUGUGGUGUUGCCAGUGGUUGUGUCUAGUAGUGACAGAGAUCCCGCUGGACUAGAGGUUGGGCCAGUGGAAGUUUCACUGAUGGUGACCACCAAUUUUUGGCCACGAGAGCAAUGGUCGCCAUUAGGAAAGUGUAGAUACGAGCAAUACUCGCCAGCUGCAGCGACGGAAAAGGCCGUCGGUCUGUUUUUUAGGGUGGUGAACGGAGAAGCGGUGUAGCGGUGUUGCAGUUGUUGUUGUCAUCCUUUGACACGUACGCGACAUUGCAGUUGUCGUUGUUGGAACCUGUAAUGAACACUGCAAAAAUGAUGGAAGAUCAUCCGGCUUUGAAGAGUGACACUCAAGAUUGAUUGCAGUUACAAGUAAUCGAGAAUGGACUGGUCAGAGCAAAGUCAUUAAAAAUUACGAUAAGCGAGUAUAUGAUUCCUACUCGAAGAGCACCAAAACGAGAAGGGCGUGUUGGUUCACCCAGUCAAAGGACAUGGUGGUGUUGGAAUGGAUCCUUCUUCGCGCAGAACCUCUGAUUAUUAGUUCUUAGCCAUUUUGGCCGGGCUUCUGCCAUAAUCUCAGGUCGGCCCCUUAGAUCUCCAUUCUUUGUCGAGGGGGUGAUUUUUUAGCGCAAACGAAGGUGGGAAGUAGAUGAUGCGAAUGAUACACAUGGACUGUAUAGUGAGUUACUAGCUUAGUUGCUUCAUCUGAGUAAUAAUACUUUCUUGAGUGGUUGAUGACUGAGAUUGCGAUCGAAAACGAAGAAAGCCUGUACUUAUUGUUUAUUCCCUUUUAAAAUGAUGCAUUCACAACUGUCUUUUGAUGGGAGUGAAAUUACUCAGGCUCUAGGAUGUUGCCGAAACAGAUAGCGGGAUGGGGUGGCAAUGAACGCGAUGCCAUAAUACUCAAACCAAUUAUAAUUGGAUUAAGAAGGACGAUUUGAUCAUGGGCUGCAAUCUCUUAAAUUCUUUAGUCUCUAUUCUAUCCAAUUUCUUGAUCAUUCCAGCCACCGACCAGAAUAUUUUGACUAAUUAAUAUCUAUAAAAGUUCUGCGUUAAAACUAGAUUAGAACAUAUCGCGACUCAGAUCACUUGUAUAAAAUGUCAUAUUGCUUAAUCUGAAUUUCCACUCUGGGCAGUAAAAUUGAUUGCUUUAUGAUCUUGCUGGACCAAUAUCGCAGCUAAGAUGACAUCAGUGUGUUAGCUCAACAUCUCUACAUGAACAGAAGAUCCAUUAGAAACAACUCUCAUGACGAGAAAAGAUCAACGCUGCAUCACAUGGAUCUCAUAUCUAUACUUCGCAAAUUCCAUGAAUAACUCGCAUGAUGUGAAAAAGGGGAUCGGGCGCAUUGCGAGUCUUUCCAAAAAAAUACAGAGAAGAAUUGGGACUCAAAAGGCAUUUUCAGUUGAUGUCGUUUAGGAAUCAAUUGAGCUUUGUUUGUACCAAGCGUCUAACCCUCAAAGCUAGAGAACAACAUUAUAGUGUGUGAUGUCAGCAUCUAUAUAUAAACAUUUGCCCCGAAACGCAAAAUGCAUUUGCGAUAGAGAAAACCAAUAGAAACAGUUCUCAUGAAGAGGGAAGAUCGUUGUUGCGUCACACUAAUCCUAUGUAUGCUCUUCACAAAUUCCACUGAUAAUCCCGCACAAUUAGCCAUGAGAAAAUGCAAUUUUGGAAGCCGAAGAUGACGAGAACAAAAGUUUUUUAUCAAGGCAAAGUGUCAAAUAUAGCAUAACCGUCGUUGUGGGAAUAUUUUCUCGAGCCAAAGAUCAGAAAAGUUGUUGAUCAAGUAGCAUCCCGUGUACUCCCAAACCUGCCCUUUUGAAUUGACGAAACAAUGCAUCAUGACAAGCGAAUCUUUUGAGAAACUGUAAAAAGAGGCCAAACCACACAAUGCAAUUCUAUGAUUUGAACAAUGAAAAAGAACAACGAGAAUUUCUCAGAAAUUUUCAAAUUCAGACUUCAUCAAUAUGGAAUAAGAUGUUGUUCAAAAGGAACUAUGUUUUGAGGAGGGAAUAUAGUAAUAGCAUCCGUCAACCGACCAAUAUCAAUUGAGAAACUGAAUGUUGUGUUUACAUACAAGAUUGUAUUGCUAGUAGUUGGCCGACCGUUGUCAAGAAUGGUUACUUAAAAGGCUUCUUCUUACUCUUUUGGCAUGAAAUUUCUUUUUCUUAUUUGAAUAAAGGACACAAAUAGUAGUCUCGUACAAUAUUAAGAGGAAAAUAUAUCAAUCGGCUCAACAUUCACUAAUAUAUUCAAUUCAAGCGAUUUAAAUUUCUAAUCCUAUUUCAUUUCCGAUUUUAUAUUGAACAAGUGAGCUUUCGUUUCUCACCUUUACUCUAAAUUUCCAACCACCCUUUUGAUUUCCGUUCACAUGCAAAGUCAAAUCAAGUGUGAAAUCUGAAUGGUGUAGAUGGCUGCAACCCACCGGUCGCCUUGGAGGAAAAGAAAAGAAAGGAGAUCUCAUCUUCAUUGCAAAGCAGGCCAGCCCAGCCCAAGUAAUUCUCAGGCUCCAUGGGCCGUCUGGCGAAGAUUUGGGCCAGAAUCUCUAUCGGUUGUUGGAUCUUUUCCAAGGACAGGGACGGGCCAAUCCGAUUCGGAUUGGAUUCGCUUAUGUUUCGGAUCCCCCGAUUUCUCCUCCAUUUUCAUCCAUUUUCACUUUUAUUCCCCUGUGCUCUUUUAUUUAUUUAUAUUAUUUAUUUUUUGCUCUUUUAUUUAUUUAUUAAUUUAAUUUGCUCUCGCAUCAGUGUGUUCAAAGAGGAGGAGGAGGAGAGAGGAGAGGGAGAAACAGACGAGUGGAAGUUUUCGCGAGUGAGGGGUUCACCGGGGCGCUCUUUCUCUCUCCUCUUUCUUCCCCUUUCUCCUAGGUCUCCGAAUCGAUUGUCGUCGGAGACUCUCGCCGAUUGAGAUGGUGAGUUCGCGUCCCCGCUUUCAGAUCUGCAGCGAGUCCUAGGUGGGUGGCAUUGGGGCAACUCAAUAAGGGGGUUCUUAGCGUGUUUUCACCUCAACUUGGUGGUUUAGUACCGUGAGUACUGAAUGUGCGUGACAUUGUUGAGUUAGUGGAUGCGCUAUAUUGUAAAUGAUUUUCUUUCAAGGUCUGACACUUUUUUUUUUGCAUUAUCUAUUGAAUCCAACUUCUCACGGGUAACGAAAUAUUCAAGUUGGCGAGAUUUGGAAGAAUUGAUUAAAAAGAUGUGCUUUUGGGUCCCUUUUGUGGAAGCUUGGAGUUUAUCUCUGUGGAAGAAUUGAUAAAAAGAUGUCUUUUCGAAGUAUUACUCAAGGAUUACCUUGAAGAGACAUGCAGAGCUGUUAUACCUCAGCAUAUGGGUUGAUUAUGUUGAACAUUUGUUUAUAUUCUUCAUCAGUGUCGAUCUUUAUGAAUGAUUGCCUAGAGCCUUCAUUUAACCUUGAGCAGCCUCUCUGCUUGUGAUCCUUGUGGGGCGCGGUUGCUAGACUUGGAUACAAGUCCCAAAAAUGGAAAAGAAGUUUUGGUGCCUUGAUAGUUAAAGGCUUGUCAUGAGGUUGAGACUGUUGUCUUCAUAGUUUCGUUUUGUAAACAUUUCUGACCAAUAUAUAUGUCUAGACUUCACUUUGUCAACUUCUGCUCAUGAAAUUUGUAGCUGUAAGUGUCAUUGUCUGGCGUUUUGAAACCAUUUAUUGUCCCAUGGAGCCUAAAAUUCCAAUGCCCUUUAGAAGGGUGGGAGGAGUUUUGCUAUCACUCACCAUUUCUCGUGUUAACAAAGUAUAUCUUGCGAUUAGAGCUUUCUUAUCGUGUUCUGAAAAUCUAUGUAGCUGGAUCACUAAAGGAAAAGAGCUCUGUUUUUGAGUUCUGUUACCACUAUCAUUGAGAGCUUUGAUUGUUCUAUAUUACCAUUUUAGGAAUCUUAAAAGGAUCUCUCCAAAAUUGUUGUUUCCAAGUCCCUAGUGGCACAGGUAGACCGGCCGAUGGGAGUUGUCUAUUUCCAGAUGACAAAGGACAGCAAUAUCAUCUUGAAUUUGUGGGCGACAAAUUUAGAAAAGCUCCUCAAUCUUGUCAAGAAAAGCUGCCACCAAAUCCACAAGGAAACUUUGGUUCAUAAGGUUGCUUUGAGAGCUUGAUAAUGUUCUUAGUUGAAUGAAUGAUCCUCUCUCCCCUUGAGCGUCCCUCGAUCUCUCACCAAAAGAGAAGCGGAAUAAUGCUGUUCAUGUAAUCAAUGAUUUGAAAAUUACAUCAAAUAUUAUAAGAUACAUUUAAAAGUCAUUUGUGCAGUCAAUAAAUGUUUUGGUCAUUAUUGGAAGAUCUCUUUUUGUCAUGUACUUACAAAACUAAUUAAAAUUUUUAAAAAGAAAAAAAAAUAGCUGCUAUGAAGCAUUGAAAACAUUUUUGUUUGGCAAAAGGAGAUAUUCAAAAUUUUCAAAACAUUUUGUUUGACCAGAUUUAACGUAAGAAAAUGUUUAUUAUAUUCAUUACGACAAGGACCAACUAAUGAUAAAAUCAAAUUUUUCAUUGAUCAAAAAGAGCAAUUGUCGAAACCGAUCAAUUCUAGUAAAAAAAUCUAUUAAACUCUUUUUAAAAUGAACUAGCCAAUCAUAUACUUGAUGAAGAAGACCUCGUCGAUUAUAGUUGACAAUAUACAGCAAAUUGGAGUAUUACCAAUUUGAAAACGCUAAUUGGUCUUCCUCUCUUUGCUGUUUUCUUAACACAACCUUGAAUUCCAUCUUCUUUUUUAUUUGUACAAGUCUUUCGUUUUCAAUUUUUUUUCCUUUUUUUAUUUGCCAUCCUACCUGUAAUCAUUUUAAACGUGGGCAUUUCGACAACGGCAACGUGGUAAGCUUUAAAGAAGAAGAGAUCAAUUUUGAAAAAAUAAUAAUAAUAAUAAUUGAAAAAUUAUCAUUCUUGUUUCUCUCUCGACUUUAAGCCAAUCGUUCCUCUUGCAUGGACUGGAGUGUUGUCAUCAACUCAUACCCCCAUCACCAUCUUCUUCAGCUCGACGUUUCUGAAUGUGGAGUGAUUUCCUCGUUCGUGGAUUUAAAAAUGUUGCAGCUGAGACGGUAAGUGCCGGCUAGAGGAAAAGCGCUCGUCCCUACCGAUCGAAGCAUCGCAAUACCAAAGGAAACAUAAUGCUCGGAUAUGUGAUGUGCGACUUCUUUACCUCGAAACAUUCUCUGUACCUUGUUUUGGAUAAUCGACGAGGGCUGAAUCGAAUCGCUUGUACAUUCGUUAUUCCAGCGCCUAGAUCGGGUUUGGCAUGGAAGUAUUCGAUCGGGGUCGGGUGCGGGUGGACCACAGAGGAUGUCGACUCUGAAGUGAAGGUGGGUGAAAGGAUCGCGUAGGUGAUCACUGAGAAGAUCAUGACUCCCGAUGUUGCAGCGGAGGUCGAGGACCUGGACUUGACUCUGAGACGUGAGGGCGGGUUUGGGUCGACCAUGUGUAAGGCCCAUGCGCUAGGUUUCGGUUGCUACUUUGUUCUCUGUAAGUUUGUUUUCAAUGGGGAUGAGGUUGUGCCUGUGAUGCACGCAGGUCUGGUAGGAGCAUUUUCUUGGUGAGAAAUUUUGUCGAACAAUUGGUGGGUAAAUAUUUGCUAAUUGCUAUGUGUUCAGCCACGCUUUUGAAGUAUUUCCUUGUGCUCUGCCUGUCUCCGUUUAACUGUGAAAUUCGGAUCCUGCUUUUUGAGUUGCCAGUCUGCUGGGGUGAGCUUUGCGGCAAGUAAUUAGUUAGUUGAUUGCUGGCUUACGUGCUAGUCCUAGAUGAUGGUAUUGAGCAACUAAAUAAGGGGAUUUUCAUUGUUUUUACAUAAACUUCUUCGUUUAGUGCCAUAAUUAUUGAAUUUGUGUGACAUUGUUGAUUUAGCAGAUGCACUAUCUUGCAAAUGAUUUUUUUUUCCAGGGUUUGACACCAUUACCUAUUCACUGUUAACUUUCCAUGGAUAAUAAUUUAUUCAAGUUGGUGAGAUUUGGAAGAGUUGCUUAAAAGAUGUGCCUCUGGAACUCUUUAAUGAAUGAAGGUUGGGGUUUAUAUUCCUGUGGAAAUUUAAUGGUGCUCAUGUGCAAACAAAGAGUGGGUAAUAAGCACAAAGUUAACCUUGAGAUAUCCUCUCUGGCAAGGUGCUUGUAUUUACUUAUGGAAGUGAAAUUAAUUAACAUCAGUGAGUAUUCAGCACCCAAGUAGUGCAAAGUGAGUUUCCAACAAUUAGCGUUGUUGAAAGAUUACUGGAUAACUUAAAGGAAGCAUUUAACCACCAUUAAUUAUCAAUAAGUAUCUCCCUGAUCCAUGAAGUCAAUGUAAGAUCACAUGAUGUUGCAUCCUAUCAAACACUAAUUGGAAGUUCUCAUUAACGAAGAACGGAAAUAACUCUUGCAGCUGAGUAGGAAAAUAAUGCACAAAGCUAUGUGGAUAAGCUGGACAUUGUGGUACUAUCUAGUAGGCAAGGCUGGUAAUAGCAAAAUACGUUGAUGUACUUUUACAAGAUGGACCCUGCCUUUGGAGUUGAAGUAAACAUGUGUGUGAGAAUUGACAAAUAGAGAUCCUUAGUCUAUGAUGACAGAGAAAAAGCAUAUUGUUUAAGUUAAGCAAUUUUAUUUUGUUUUAUCAUCUUUUCAGGGUUUAGUGAAGUCGGUAAUCGGUGCUCCACUUUGUUUUUAUGCUGGUUAGUAGAUUUGUUUUAAGAUUUGAGUUCUCUUGUAUAGGGAUAGAUUCUUUUUGUUUUAGAUGGAUAGUUAUUUCCUUGGUGCCUUACUUAUUAUACCUUUUACACGACAAUGAAACAGGGGAGAAAAGAAGUUGAGAUUGGGUGCCAGAGGAGUGAGUUAAAAUACUAAUCAACUGAAGAUGAAUGAUAAGUAUGAGUUGUACCUCUCCAUUCCAAUAAGAGUUUCUUGUGGAUUUUCUCCCUUGCAUGAACACAGCAUGUAUCAGGUUUGCUGGUGGCGAAAGGAAUAUUAAACAAGCAGGAGCCAAGAUUAUUGUGUUCAGUGGUCUACUGAUUCUUAGGGCAUGAAUUUUCGUCUUCCUAGCUCAAAGCACUCUUUGCCUUCCUCGUCAAGUGCUUGAGUCAAAAUUAUUUGAUGACACUGAUACUUGGAUAUUCAUAGCUGUUGUUUUUCCUGUAUAUAGUUACUCCCAAACUUUCUUGUAGCAAAGGAAGUAUCUUACACUCCUUUGAUAUGAGCGAAUUAGAUUGUCGAGAUUAACCGAUGUCCAGAUAUUUGCCUUUUUAUCUCCGCUUUUGGGUGACAAGCUGGUGGAAAUUUUGCUCUUCAUUAAGUGUAUUUCAUUGUUAUUUUAUGCUGAAUGCUGAUAAGUUCCUCUGGAUUAGUCAGAGCAUUAUGACUGGUUGCUAUUUAUUAGACCUGUACCAGAUUUUUACCUUCAUGAUUGUUAUUAGGAUUGCUAACUGUAUAGGAGGCAAUUAAAAAGAUGCAAGUUGGUCGCAUUGACAAUCAUUCCCAAAUUGGAUUAGGAGUAAGAUCAUUGGAGAUGUAGGAUGGGAUUCCUAAUCCCAGUCCACCUACUUUGCCUAUUUAAUUAGGACUCAACCUCAUAGUACAUCAAAAUAGGCCCCAUUUCUUGUCAUGCAUGACCAGUUGUACGUCUGAAACAAUAUCUAAAGGCUGAACCUGCUUAUUGGGGCUAACUUUGGGGAUUGAACUAUGAGGGGAUUAUAGAUAAAAUUUAGGUGUUGCCCUCAUCCUGAAUUAGAUUGGAUGGAAGAUUUAAUAGGUGGUUGUGGCAAGGCUGAAAAUACUUUUCAUGCAGACUUGGGAGAGUCCAUAUGCUUCCACCUGUAUUAAAAUUAACCUUUUAUUGCUGGAGUUGGAUGUGAGCUCUACUUUCAUGAGAGCUUUAGUUGGGGCAUAUGGGAGGUCCGCUGUGCCUCCACAACCAGCAGUGCAGCACAAUGCCAUCACCUUUGUGCUGCAACCAUCUCUUCUUGCUAUGGAAUUUUUUUGUAUUUUUUAGGUCAUAGUAUAUAGCUCAUCACCUUGUCUAUUUCUUUCACCCUCCUCUCUUCUUCNNNNNNNNNNNNNNNNNNNNNNNNNNNNNNNNNNNNNNNNNNNNNNNNNNNNNNNNNNNNNNNNNNNNNNNNNNNNNNNNNNNNNNNNNNNNNNNNNNNNNNNNNNNNNNNNNNNNNNNNNNNNNNNNNNNNNNNNNNNNNNNNNNNNNNNNNNNNNNNNNNNNNNNNNNNGCAGUGAGCAGCGCAUCUGUCUCUCCUUUCUCAAAUUGCUCAUCUUCCUCUACUCUACUCUACUUCACUUCCGCUUCUCGACUAUUUGAAAAACGAAUCUCAUUGGCAUAUCUAUAUGGGUAUUGGUUCUGGGCAAUCUCUAGAGAUGCUAGAACUCAGGCCUGGUGCUCAUGCUGUUUGCAAGUUUUUUCAAUUGGCUGGGAUCCUCAUGAUUGUUUUUGUAUUGCACCUUGCUAUUACCUCUUUAAUUCCUUUUUUUACUCUAUUUUCUUCCUAGAUGAAUAAUUUUUCUUGUUGUUAAUCAGAUAGUUCGACUGAAAGUCAUAAUUGUGCUUUAGAGAUAAUCAAGUAAUGAAUUAAUUUGAUGGUGACACUUAACUCUGUUGCUGCUGGGAAGGUGAAAAUGUGAAAUCAAACUCUAUUGCAGCUCAUGUUCAUGAGCAAUGUGUUUCGGUUUCGUAGUUUCUAGAGCUAGUUUCAUUAUGUAGCUAUAUGUCGAAAUUGAGAGAGUGCGGUUGAUAAAGAAACCGGCAAAAAGCAAAGGCAGAAGGUUUUAUAGCAGAAGCUGCUGAUUUAAUACAAGAAAUUGCAGGAGCUAGAAGUUGAAUUCUGGUGUCUUUGAUCUUGCAAUUGGUUUUUCCUUGUCCAACAUUAUGAGUGAUUUGAAUUGCUGUGGAAAAUUUUGGAGCAUUGGCAAAUACAGAGAAAAUUGCCUUUAUCCUUGAACAUGUAUGGGAUUUUUGUAUUGCUUUUAGCCAUUUAUGCUCUCUUACUAUGAUCGAUUUUUUGAUGGAUGGUUUUGCAGGUUCUUUUAAGCUUAGAUCGCCAGGACUAUGUCCAUGCACAGAUCCAGAAAAUCAGCCCCCUGGUGUUUGAUGCAGAUCCUUCCAAAGAGAAGAAAAAGCAUAAAGAAGGGGAAAGUAUUGUGAAAGAAGCGCCAGCUGACAUUCUGUCACUUCUGGAGCUGAGACGGAUAUAAUAAGAACCCACAAUAUGGUGAAUUGGUGCUUUACUUAUUUACUAUUUUUAACUAGAAUUUUGUUGCCGAUCAAGCGCUACCUGGUAUUGAUGUUUUGGUUCAAGCCAUGGUUUUAUUCAUCUGUCGCAUUCUCUUUUUCCUUUCUUUCUUUAUUGCAAACUCUGCUGUUAGAAAUGUACUUAAUGGAUUUGAACACACAUCUUACCUUGCAUUCAUGUGGUCAAUGAUGUAAUUAUUACUCUCAUUACAAUGGUUUGCUAUAUGGCGAUAGUGAGAUUCCAUCAGCGAAGGGAAACCCGGAGAAUACCAGUGAAGCUCUUUCAUAUGAGGCUUUGUCAAAUCUUCCCUGACUUUUUCAAGGCACGGCUGUUCAUUACGUGAUUUAAUUAGUCGCAGGUUCUAAGGAAAAUCUGCUGGUACUUAGUUCGGUCACCACAUGAUUGGUUGCAGUCAAGCCUUUGUAAUACUUUAGAAGCUAAAAAUGUCUCAGAAAUUCCCCAUAUCAGGUACAUCUUUGAAUUGUUUCUAGUAUUUGGUUGUACGUUUUCUUGCGAUAGGUUGAUAAUCUGCGAUAGAAUUUGGUUGGCCGUGCCUUUGUUAUUUUAACGCAGUUUGCAGUUGAAACAAUUGGUCACAAUGGAGGUUAUCCAGUUAACUGCUCUUUGGAGUAAUUUCAGAGAUAAAUUUGAGAAUGAGAAAACCAUGCUUGAAGGUGCACUUCUUGAGAAGGCAGCAGAAGAUCUUAGAUAGAGAAUACGCAAACAUGUAAUUACAGAACUUUGUCAUUUUUUUUCCUUGCUUUCUUUGUAUCAUCAUGCUGAUGCAACUUACUCUAUUUUCUGCAGAAUAUUAUUGUCGUUUUGAAGUAUUACUCGAGGAUUACCUUGAGGAAACUUGCAUAACUGUGCCUCAGCAUCCAGGUUGAUUAUGUUGAACAUUUAUUUAUUUCUCUUAUCAAUGUCAAUCUUUAUGACUGAUUACCUAGACCCCUCAUUUAACCCUGGGCAGCCUCUCUGCCCCUGAUACCUGUAGGUUAUGGUUGCUGGACUUAGAUACAAGUUCCAAAAAAGUGGAAAAGAGGUUUUGGUGCCUUGAAGCCAAGGCUUGUCUUGAGGUUGAGAAUGUUGUGCUUCUAUUUUUUUUCUAUGAAUAUUUCAGACCGAUAUAUAUGCAUACACACUAUGCUUAGUCAACUUCUCAUAAAAUUUGUCAUAGCUAUCAGUGGCAAUGCCUGGCAUUGUGAAAUCAUUUCUUGUCCCAUGGAGCCUGAAAUUCUGAUGCGCUUUAGAAGUGUGGGAGGAGUUCUGUUAUGACUCACCAUUUCCAGUGUUACAAAAGUAUAUCUCGUGAUUAGAGCUUUCUUAAUUUGCUCAGAAAUCUAUGUAGCUGAAUCACUCAACGAAAGGAACUCUGUUUUUGGGGUUCUGUUACCACUGUUGUAGAGAGCUUUAAUCAUUCAUAUGCCUCAAUCUAUUAAAUCAACACUAUCAUCUGCUAGAGAGACAGCAUAAUAGUAAUUAUACAAGCCUGUAUGAUAUUCUAUUAGCAUGACCUGUUAGUUCUAUGACCAUUUUGGGAAGCUGAAAAGCAUCUCUCCAAAAUGGAUGUUUCCAAAGCCCUAGUAGGAAAGAUAGACCUGCCGAUGGGAGUUGUCUGUUUCCAGACAACAAAGGAGCGCAAUGAUACCUUGAACUCGUGGGCCACAGAUUUGGAAAAGCUCCUUGAUCUUAUUGAGGAAAGCUGCCACCAAAUCCACAAGCAAACUAUGGUUCAUAUGGCUGCUUUGAGAGCUUGGAGAUGUUCUUAAUUGAAUGAAUGACCUCUCUUCCCUUGAGCCUCCCUCUUUCUUACCAAAAGAGAGAAGCUGAAGAGUGUGGUUUCACGUUGUCCUCUGAAGUGGGGACUAAAGAUAUCAUAGAACUAUCGUGUAGCUGUCUUAAAUUUGAUAACAUAUUUUGCACGUGGACCAGAUCUGGGCCUUGUUUUGGACUGAAAUGAUACAGAAUACACUUUCUGCAUAGGAAUAUAUUUUGGGUCUUUCAUCUUUUCUCUCCCCCCUCCUCGUAAUUGANNNNNNNNNNNNNNNNNNNNNNNNNNNNNNNNNNNNNNNNNNNNNNNNNNNNNNNNNNNNNNNNNNNNNNNNNNNNNNNNNNNNNNNNNNNNNNNNNNNNNNNNNNNNNNNNNNNNNNNNNNNNNNNNNNNNNNNNNNNNNNNNNNNNNNNNNNNNNNNNNNNNNNNNNNNNNNNNNNNNNNNNNNNNNNNNNNNNNNNNNNNNNNNNNNNNNNNNNNNNNNNNNNNNNNNNNNNNNNNNNNNNNNNNNNNNNNNNNNNNNNNNNNNNNNNNNNNNNNNNNNNNNNNNNNNNNNNNNNNNNNNNNNNNNNNNNNNNNNNNNNNNNNNNNNNNNNNNNNNNNNNNNNNNNNNNNNNNNNNNNNNNNNNNNNNNNNNNNNNNNNNNNNNNNNNNNNNNNNNNNNNNNNNNNNNNNNNNNNNNNNNNNNNNNNNNNNNNNNNNNNNNNNNNNNNNNNNNNNNNNNNNNNNNNNAGAAGCUUGAAAUAUGAGAAUAAUGUGUUGUUUACCACCUCUGUUAAGAUUGGACUAAUGGAAGUUCUCCUUUACAUAGUGAUACCAUUUCAUUUUCACUAUUGAUGCUUCCCAAGUGGCAACUUACGACGAUUUAUUCGUCUAAUUUGUUUCCCAAUUUUAUCUUCUGGCUGGCAAAAUAUAGAAACCAUCACAUUUUGCUUAUUAAUCUCGACAUUUGAUUGAUUUCAUCAAUCGGUCGUUGUCUCAAAUCCCCCUUUCUUUACAAGAGAAGAUGCUGAGGGUUUAAACAUUGGGUCUCAGAGCAAAGUGGGGCAAGGAUGACUCCUAUAGAAACAAUCAUAUGGUACCCGAACUUUUAUUUGAUUCAUGGGACAUAUUUAGUUGAUGAAUGAAAGAUUGUUUUUUUUUUUUUUUUUUUUGGGGGGGGGGGAGGUGGAAGGAAUUAGGAAUUCAAAUUGUUUGUGCUGGUAGUAGGUGUCAAAUAUUUAUCUGAUUUAACAUUGCCCAUGAUUAGAUAGUAAAUUGAUGAGCAUCACUAUUCAUACCUAAAUUUUGGUGGCCCAAUUAGUUGUUUAUUGCAUGAAAAAAAAUUAGGGAUUAAUUUUUAAUACCUAAACAAAAAUAUUAGAAUUAAAUUGCAUAACAUAUAGUUUUAGGAGCAUUUAUUAUUUGGUUUAUUUUUUUUAUUGUAUUUGCAUUGGACCGGUGAUGGAUUGAUUCAAAUUGAUGGUUCUGAGCUUUAAUUUAGCGAGUUUGUCCAGUGAUCAAAAUCAUGUGUGCCACGUUAGUAAUUUCAUAUUAUUGCCAAGAUUUGAUCAUUAAUACUCAGCAAUAAUCCCUGGGGUAGAUGUGCGUACGUGCAUUUUGGAAAAUUCGGUCAAGAUUAUGGAACGUGAGAAGAGAAGUUGUGGAAGGUGUGGAGCCCAAUAGAGAGGGAGGCGAUUUCUCUGGAGGUCAGCAGCAAGCUCUGGCACUCGUCCAAGCCACGCCUCGUGCCCGACGCGGCGCUGCCCGUCUCCUUGCCGCUGCAGUUCAUCAUCUAAUUUCGCCCUAGUCUGAUCUGGGGAAUUCCCGACAACGAUGAAGCACCCCUCAGCGAGUCCUUUGCAUGCCACAGCAGCCCCCGUGGUCUCUUGAUUAAUUCUUUGCAGGUUCCCGGCGAAAUGACAAGCACUUGUCUAGCCCUUUGAGCGAACUACUGGCCAGGCCACCACGCUUCUGCUGUUGUCCCGCUUCUUUAAACCUGACACCGCCGCCUGCCGUUUUGUCCGUCAUGCUCGACUGUUCUUUCACAGGCUGUCCAGAACAAACCAACGCCCCUGCAUCAAUCCAAGCGAGUGCAAGACGGCUCCUGUAACGAUGAAUCUUCAUCAACAUUAGCGGAUUUAAUGAUGCUUUAUGAAUAACGCUUUUUAUAGGUUCCAGCUUUGGUGACAUAUCAACCCAGCAAAUCUCUGAGAAGCUUUGCAGCCCCUUAGCCGUGUUCACUCAAGUUCUCCGUAGAAGUGUGCUUUCGUGAUCUAGGAAGUGAGUGAGUCAUAGUGUUGUAAAAGGUACACGUUUUAUAGAAUCAUCUACUGAGCUUUAUGUAAGAGUAGCAUCCUCUACAGACGGUAAAAUCUCGAGGAUUACUCAGCCUUGUUGUGGGAGGACUAGGUGAAGUGGAAGUUCGAUUCAGUACAAAUCUGUUUUGCAUCUCUUCAAUCUCUCUUAAUUCCUUUAUUGUCAUUUGGAUACAAGGUACUGCAUCUGCGUGAUAGUUUUCCUCCUAUAGCAAUACAUGAUCCACGUUCUUCUUGAAAAAAAAAAUUAAUUUUCUUAAAACAACCAAUUCACUCUCUUCUUAUACCAAGACACUAUUGUACAAGUUUUCCAUAAAAAAGUUUCAAUUUUCUUAAAAUAUUCAAUUCACCCUCUCUCAACUGUUGCAUUAAUCAUUUCAUUAAUCUCUUUAUACUCUAUUUGUGUUUGUUAAUAAGAGCAAUGAAAAACCUAUCUCACUUACCAAAAUGAAUCUCUUAAAUAAUCCUUUAUGGAUGACCAUUUUAGUUAGUGGGAAAUUACUAAAAUCACAAUAUCCUAUUCUUCUUGCCUAAUUAAAGGGGACUCACAUACCAUCAUUGACAUUUAAUGGCAUUAGAAUUUAAUAAUUAUCUCCUCUAACAUUAUAAAGUACAAUGAAAAAAAAAAUUGAGGAAACCUCUUUGAAGCUUCUUGUAGUUGUAGCUACCGAUUGAAAAGAACAAUGCCUGUAGCUUAAAGAAAAGCUUCAACCUUCAUAAUGUUAGGACAGAUUUUGGUUAACAUGGAAAUGCUUUAAUUAAAUAGUGAAUUUGUGUUCCAAAGAAUCCAAUCUCACAUCAUCAAAAAAAUGGAAAUUUGAUCGGGCUGAACCUAGCUCUGGAGAAUCAAUAGGGUAGAGAGCCGGAAAAUAUAAGCUGACCGCUUAUAUAAAAUAGUCGGGCACAAGGUGCAAUUGCUUGAUUACUUGAAGGCCCAUUAAACAUCACAUUCCUAUUCCCAUUCAGAACAGUUUCAAAUAUGAAAAUAUCCCUUCUCAACCAACUACGCAAACUCUUAAAAGGAUUGAGCUUCCAAUUUAUGUUGACGUAAUUAAUAUGAGGCCCAAAAUAUAUUUAACCUUUAGGUCACCUUCUAUAAAGUUGGACAAACCAGACAUUUUUCAAAUAUUAUUCUAUCGCAUUGGUCAAAAUGAACAAUUUUCUUUUAUUAGAGAGAUGUGCAUAUAUCUUUGGUUUUCUUUCGUAUUCCAAUUUCAAAUCCGCUCAAGGUGCACAACCCAUGGAAGGUCCAGAAGCAGCGUAAGAUGCUCUCAUUUUAUCAUCUUUUUUUUUUUUUUUGAAUAAUUUCUACCGAGAAGAAGGUAGAAUUAAGGUUCAUUUGUAGUCAUCAAUCCAUGGAAAUCGUGCAUCCACUUCUAGCAGAAUUUGUGUCAGUGUUGAUUUUAGGGUUAAUACCCUGAAAAACUCCAAACUAGUACACCUGUGAUAAAUUUACCCUAUACUAUUUUUUUGACAAUGAAAAACGCCAAACCGAUACACAUGUGACAAAUUUACCCAAAAAACUCUAAAUUGAUACAUUUAUGAUAAAUUUACCCCAAACUAAUUUAUUUGACCGCAAAAAACCCCAAACUAGUAAAUUUGUGAUAAAUAUACCAUCCACUAAAUUGGAUUAAUACCACAAAAAAAUCACAAAAAUUGUAAAAUGUGACAAACGGAGUGUAAAAUCCCAAAUUGAUAUAUCAGUCAACUAUCACAUAUCAUUUAACUUAAUGAUUUGAUAGUAAAAUUUAACAAAAACCGACAUAUGGAAAAUUUGUCACAAGUGCACUAGUUUGAGGUAAAUUUGUCAAAGGAAUAUAAGUUUAUGGUUUUUGGUGGUCAAAAAAAUAGUUUGGGGUUUUUUAGGAUAUUAACCAUUGAUUUUAUUCGUCUUCCCGAAAUAUUUAGUUGUUGAUUUUCUUUUGUGGGUCUGAUCUCAUAGCUUUCGUACAUUCUUGAAUGUCGGAAAAUCAUAAUAACAUUUUGGAUCCCACAUCCAUAAAACCAAAUAAUGUGAGCACAGCAUGGAGGUGAUGAGGGUUUCGAGGAAGCUCGCUCGAAAACCUGCGGGAAGUUUCUUGCAUCUUAUGGGAGAAAAUUCAUGGUCACUUCAUGACCCUUUCUGGUGCAAUUUGCCAAGUGAUUUUCGUGAAAAAUGUCAUGAAAUUGAAAUUGAAAUUAGCUAGAUGUCUAACAUUUGAAAAUAAGUAGCACUUGAAUAGAUCGGUUAUCAUCCAAAAAAAAAAUCGCAUUCAUUUCGUCAUAUAAAUAAGCAAUGCAAGAUAAUAAUUUCAUUAGUAGGAUUUGUGCAACCACAUGCAUUCAAUUUAACAAUCAAUGUUUAGGUAAUGACCUAUAUUCGAUUUUUAUUUUUCGCAAACAUUUCCAUUCCAUAAAUGAAGUGAUAUUCUAUUAGUUCUUGUGAACAAUUAUCUAGAUAUAAUUGCAAUCUCUUUAUGUAAAAACCCUCUUUUGAAAAUCUUAAAGGUUUAUUGGUUGAUGUAGGACAAGUUGCGAAUAGUUUCUUAGAAUGAAUCGAUCAACAAAUGAAUAGAGUUUAGCACAGCAUUCAUCAAAGUGAAUAGAUAAAGGUCGGUCCGCUACAAGCAAGAGCUCAGGACAAUCUAGCGUAAAUUAUGUGGAUAGGGAUUUUUCAUAGCAAUGCCACGGGUUUUAAUUAUAGAUACCGGUGAAGAGCAGAUGCUGCUGAAAAUGCAUUUGUCCAAGUCUUUAAGUUAGCUUUGGAACUGUUCUUGUCAAUCCUUCACGACCUUUAUUGAAAUUCACUACUCCAUUCCCUUCCCUGUUUAGUCACGCCAAUUUUCCCAAACUACUUUACCCUUCUGUUUUAGCAUGCAAUAACGUAAUCGUGCUGUCCUGCUCACUUCACCUUCCCAUUACACUUCCCCGAUGAUUCCAUUUAUUAAUGGAAAAAGGAGUCAAGUCAAUCAAAGCACCUGUGUAGGGGGCACGCACCUUCCGCAUAAUGCUAAUGAAAUUAUGCGUGCAAUAACCCACCUACAGUGAUUGCCCUUUGCUUUUUAUUUUCUAAUUGUUCUAUUAAUAGAAAAAGCAAGUCAAAUUGAAGUCAAGUCAUUGCUUUCGAAAAAGAGCGCCUUCGUAGGCUUUACGCCCCUCCCAAGCAAUCCCGUGGAAAUUAUACGUGCAAUAAUUGCCCGCAUAGUGUUGUGAUGUCAUUUCUCUCUUAACUUCAUCAUCUUUUUUUCUUUUUUCUUUUUAAUAUUCUAUUCAUCUUCCGAAAAUACUUGGGCGCACAUCCAUGUUUCCCAUCAUAUCAACACUUGGUUACGAUAAUACAUCAUGAUGUCAUAAAACAAUUUCAUUUUACAUUAUAUUUUUAUUCUUAAUUAUUAUGACAUAUCAUAAUACAGUAUGUUGCAAUAUACGUACCAUAUAUUCUCAUAUCUUUCACUUUUUGGGACAAUCUAGUAGUGGCUGUAAACCUAACAAUUUUAUAUGCUCAAUUGAUAGUUGACACUAACAAAAUUUUGAUUGAACAGUUGAUGACACAAAUUAAAUAGACCGAUGACAUUGAAACACUUGCAUUGGAUGGAUGACAGGGGAUAUGGCAUGAUCGAUGUGCGAAAACACGGAUUCAAAAAACGGCCCCAUCUUCCUCAUAGUUUUUAGAGGCCCUAGAAUCGAUAUUUCUUUCUUUCUAUUUUCUGAAUUUUUGCCCCCACGAUUCUGAUGGCAUGAAAAGAAAAAGCAACCAACGGCAUGACUUUCGGUGCACAAUAGUCUUGUUAAUUUUCAGCCAAAAAAAAAUCUUAUUAAUUUCAACCAUUGAAGUUAUAAUCAAUAUGAGAUUCACAUAAUUGGCUCUUCUAAAUGAAUACUUGAAGAGCAAUUUUUACUUAUAUGCAAGAAAAUAAUUUAUUUUUUUUAUAUACUAAUUAGACAUAAUUAGUAUUUUCAUACGUGCUCAUGCCUUUAGAUUACAACAAAAAUCAUCGUCAUUCAUGGCUAAUUCUUUCCAACUUGUCUUGUUACAGUUCCGUCACCACAGAAUAGCCUUAUGAUUUCUUCCUUGGGAAUUUCGUACUCAGAGAAAAUAGAUUAUUUUCUUUUUUAUCCAGUAAUACUUAUUUGGGCCCACUCCGACAGGACACUUUCGUGAGACCGGUCUAUUAGGAAUCGGUCUUGUGGAUUUCGAAAGAAUUUUUUUUAUUUUUUUUAUUUGGAAGCAUUCUUGAAAAUGAGACGAAAUUAUUUAUAUUUCUUUUGAGUAUGUUCUCCUUAAAUUGUAGUCAUUUUUUGAUUGAUGGUAAACAAUUGGAUAAAGAGAGCAUGUAAUUACAAUUGCAAAAUAAAUGUUUUUUUUUUUUUUUUACGGAAAACAACAUAUAUAUUUAACAUAAUGGGACCUUACACCCUGAAGAUAAAGCAUCCGCAUAAACUAAGUCCAUCAGUACAAUAGAGGAGAAAUGAUCCAGUUGAGGACCGAAUUAGAGGAUUGGGCUUUCGCAGCCCAGUCGGCCACUAGGUUUGUCUCUCGUCGACAGUGACGCAGAUGGAGAUGAGGAAGCUGGAAAGCCAAAAGAAGGUCUCCUCUAUCACAGGUCAAAGCUCCCAUGGCGGCGAUCGUGUACCGUGCACGACUUCGACAAGCUGAAGGUAGUCAGAAUCGAUUUCCAGUCUAGCAUCUUGAAGCCCUUGCUGGUGCAGAUGUUGAAGGGUGAGACUGAGCGCUUGGAUUUCUGUUUCAAAGGCGGAUUUCGCUGGAAAACGUCGCGAAAAAACAUCAAUAAGUCGGCCUCGAUAAUCCCUGCAAAUACAAGCCAUGGAACCAUUGGGGUUACCCGGCUUAUAACUCCCAUCGAUAUUACAUUUCAGGCUACCCAUUGCCAGAGGUUGCCAAAGCUGAUCUGGAUUGAGAAAAGCAAGUCCAGAUCUUGGUUUGGAUGCAACAACAUAGAGCUUGUAGGAUUUGGUUAGAGCCAUAGCCGUGUCGACAACAAGGGAAAGGUUCGGUUUCUGGUUACAAAAGACAAAAUCAUUCCUCAUCCGCCAGAUCUGCCAAAGUAUAUUUGCAACAACUUCUAAUCCAGGUGAGUGGUUAGGUAAAAUCACCUUUUCUAUUAACCAAGAGUCUAUACUGGUAGCUGUAAGAGAUGAGGACAAUAAAUUGAUCUGCGGAUUGGACCAAAUAGCUCGAGUCCAAGAACAUUUUAGAAAAAUGUGUUCAAUGGUUUUCAAGUAGAGGUUGCUUACAGAGAUGGCAUGACGGAUCAGUAAUGAUAUGACGGUGAAACAAAUUAUCUCGGGUUGCGAGGGCAUUGUGGUAGACCGACGGGAGAAAAGUGUGGAGUUUUGGGGCAGUCUUCAUCGCCCAGAUCCGUUGCUAGAGACCGUGCGAAUUCCGGUAAGAUGUCGAGACACUCUGACUAUGUUGAUUGCUGCUUUAUUGUAAAUUGCAUGAUAGUUACUUUUUACAGUGUGCUUACCAGUAGUCGUGAUUGACCAAACUAAUUUGUCUUUUGAGUAAAGAGGUCUAAUUGGUAUGGUAAGAAUUUCUGUGGCGACUUGUGCUUCAAAGAAUCUUUGAAUCACUGAUGUAUUCCAGUCGUGGUGAGUCUAGGCAAUAAGAUCUACCACCAUAACUGGGUUCUUCUCUAGCCGUAGGUCCAUAGAUAAUUCCCAUCAGUAGCCAACGAUCUCCAUGAACUCGAAUAUGAUUGCCAUUACCAAUAGACCAGCAAAGUUCUGGUAAAAGAGCAGCUCUGCCUCUAAGAAGGCUUUGCCAUCCCCAAGAUGGUCGAGUUCCUCUAACGGCCGAUAAAAAAUUUGUCGAGUGAAAAUACAAACCCUUAAAAAGAGCUCCCCAUAAAGAGUCAGGAUGAUUUAGCAAUCACCAAGCCUAUUUUCCCAGCAGUGCUUUAUUCAAAGUAAUAAGGUCUUGGAAUCCCAACCCUCCUUGCAUCUUACUUUCUUUCAAAACAUCCCAUUUUUUCCAAUGCACACCUCCCUUAUUCUAAUUAGUUCUCCACCAAAAUCGGGCAAUACAUUUUUCAAUAGAUGAACAAACAGAAAUAGGUAACUGAAAAAUAGAUAUCGCGUACUACUGAAUAGCCUGAACAACAGAUUUAAUAAGGAUUUCCUUACCCCCUUAGAAAUGAAUUUCUCUUUCCAGCCCUCAAGUUUGGCAGUAACUCUUCCUAUUAUCCAAGAGAACACUUCCUUCUUUGAUCUUUCCCAAUCUGAUGGCAGCCCCAAAUAUUUUCCAGUCCUUUGCAAAACUAGAAUACGAAGUUCCGCAGCCAUAUUAUGCUGUAAAGAGAUUAGACAGUUUUUGGUAAAGGUUAGCCCUGAUUUGUUGCAAUUAAUCAACUGUCCUAUGGCCACACAAUACAAAUUUAAAACGUUGGCUAAGUUCUAGCAUUCCGAGAUAGUACCAUCUAAGAACAAAAUUGCAUCGUCAGCAAAAAAUAAAUGUGACAGGGUAGGACACCAUCUGUUCAACCGAAGGCCUUUGAUAUGUCCUAUACUAACAGCUUGAGUAAUAAGAGUUGAUAAAACAUUAGCCAAGAGAAUAAAAAGAUAUGGUAAUAAGGGAUCAACCUAUCUAAGGCCGCGAGAGGGGUAGAAAUAAGGUAACUGGCAAAAAAAGAUAUACUUAUAUAUGAAAAUGAGAAGCUUAGGGUAUUCUUAUACCUACUCUCUAUUCCUUGAAACUCACAUAUAUUUUAAACAAAAGAAAAUAAGUAUCUAUGGGGUCCGGAAUAAUAAUGGAAUUGAACAUUAUUUUCUAACUCUUUUUAUGUAACUACUGGCUAUUUUAAAAAUAUUCAUUGUACAAAACGACUGCAAGACGAUUAUGACAUGGAGAAUGAUUAGCUCCUAGGAGUAAGCAAAAGCAACUGGGAUUUUUGUGUCUUCUGGAUGAGUACUAAAAGAUCUCUCUUGAAGCUAUUUCUCAAAUUAGACUUCUCUAUGCCACACCAUACUUUUAAGAUUGCAUAGUCAUCACACCUUUAUCCCAAUCACAUCCGCAUCUCUCCUCAGAAUUAAUUUUUAACAUUUUGUAUAACCUUUCUUUUUUUAUGAACCUAUCACAAAUAAUUAUUGAUUUGCACACAUUAAACCGAGUUUUAAUUUAUUGACUUCUUACUCUACAAAGUUAAUAUAUUAUUGACUUCGAAUUCAGAAUUUGGAUGGCAAUAUUUUGAAGCACAGUUUAUGAAUGUGGAAUCAUUAAUUUUGAAUCAAUAAAUGGCUAAUAAAUGUAUAUUGAAAGUCUGUUUAAAUGCAUUUAUUUCUUUAUCGGCAAGAUUGCUCUUAAAAUAUCAAUCAUACUUAAUGCAUGACUAUAAUAAAAUUAACAGUCGAAAAACGGAAGAAAUGCAGGCCCCACCUCGAGAAAACUAGCCUAACAAGUCACUAUCAAGAAACUCCAUUUUAGAUAUAUAUGGUGUUAAUAGAAAAAUAUUAAUGACAAUUUUUUUUUUUUUUGCUCUGAUUACAUCCUGGAUUUCAAUUUUUUUUGCCCAAUUAUUAAAAGCGUUAUUGGAGAAAACAAAUACACUACACAAUGAGAAAAUUGCAUUUCAUGUUCUUUCCUAUAAUAUCUUUUGCAUUCUCGAAACUUGUAUCGCUGCAUCCCAGCAAAAGUAGAGAGCUCAUCUUUUCUGGGGAUUUGAAUAGCAGCAUACUAUAAAUUGGGAUUUAGUAUAGGAAAGGAUGUGUAUAUAGUAACUUUUGCAUUUGAUUGGCCAUUUAAAAAUUUAAGUAGAAAGAUAGGAAAAAGUAUAAAAUCGAGGCUUCGAGCAUGACAUGACAAUUAUUUUCUAGGAGUCUAUUAUUAUCAUGAAAAAAUAAUUUUGGUAUACCUAUACCUUAGAGCAUGACAUGAAGGAUUUCAUGAAUUAGGCAAGUUUGGUUUCAAGUACGUAGAGUGUCAUAAGUCCAUGACAAAAACCCGCGUUCUCCAUUUUGGUUGUGUUUUAUUAGAUGAAUAAAGGCUGUUGUAAUUUCUUCUCUUGGUCAAUUAAAUGAAGCCAGAUUUUAAUAAUUUGCUGUUGCCUGCUUGCUCCUAUUCGAAUUUGCCCCUUCGAGAAGGACUCAAAUGUAACACUUUUGAGUUUUGCCCUUUUGCACAAACCAACCUGAAUUAAUAUUCAAUGAAGGCAAUUUCCCUGUUCAUAACGCCAAUCUAAAUUUAUACAAUAUUCCUGCAGUUACGAGGAACGUACUAUAAUCCGAAUUAGUUAGCAUAUGUUAAGAAUUUAAUCAACUUGAGGCCUUAUUCGGGUAGACAGUCUUAUGGGAAGAAGGCAAGGCCGCCCUGCAUUCAGAAGGCGCUAACUAGAUUGUAGGAUGUCAACUUUUUCUGAUUUUUCGUUGGAACAAGCAGUCAGCGUUUUGAGAAACACUUCACUUGGCUAGUGGAUUUAAUGGGAACAACCUCUUCAUUCUUCGUACGAAAAGCGGGAUCCGUUUUCUCCCUCUUGUUUUCUGGACAUGAAUGACGGUCAUGAGGUUUUCCGUUUUGCCAGUAUAAUUUAUAGAUACAUUUCUUGGUUUUAAUUGCUCUCCUAGAUAGAUGAUAUACUUUCCUGCGGACCUUACUUAACCCACUUUCCGUUCACUCUCUUCGUCGAUUUCCACAUUUAAGCAUGUAUUGAAGGCUGACUUCUUACAUCCCCUCUUAUACGGUUGGAUUUGGAAGAGGCACAUCUACUUAUGUUAGGAGCUUGCGAGAGAUUGCAGGUCAUUGAAUGCAUACCAUGAUGCUUCAACUGCUGCUAGAUGACUUAACUUGUCGAGGAUGAAAAAGACCGUGGAAAGUGGUUCAGGAUGGCAAAAGUGCAAUCGCUUUUAGAUUCAAUCAAGCCCAUUCUCAGCUGAUUAGCCAUGAUACAUGUUUGUUUUGUUCUAUUGGAUUAUAUUGUCCUUCAAGGCAGGAUAUGUUACAAAUGCUACUGUCAAGAGAAUGGCUUGUCAUGCUAAUAUUAAGGGGCUAUUCAACUAUCAAUAAUCGCAUUCACAUCUAUACAAGCACGGGGUACUGCUCAGGGAAUGUCCCACUCUCCCUUCACGUGAUGCACGAGUUUUGCUGACCGAACAUAUGUGACAAUCUUUGCCAGCCCAAUUCCAACCUGUCCACUCGUCGGCCGAAAGAAAGAACCCGGUCAACUAUUGGGCAUCACAGCAUGAUCGCACGGCUUGUAAUGAUGUCUUACUUGACCAUGCAAAAGUGGUUGUGAGAUCGUUAUGGUCUAUAAUAAGGCAACUCUAAAUUACUUGACUCACUUUGCUCUUGCUUUUUGAGAGGAAACCUUUGAAAACUCUUUUAACCAAGACCGUUAUGCUUCCUUCAAUUCACGUCUCAUAGUCUUAAGCCGCAUGCCGUUUUUCAGGUGUAUUCUGCAUAAUUUUAGUGUGAUUUUGUGUUCCCAGGCAUAAGAAAUUCUUCUAUUUAGUAUCUAACAAGACACAAGGGCAAAACGUAUAUUUAUGCUUUGUCUGGGAAGGAGGGGAAGAGGAGCAAAAUGAAGUAAAUUUUGUAACCUUUACGAGAAGAAGUGGGAGGAAAUUCAUAAUUUUUCUCUCUUCCUUUACUCGAUGUAUCCAAGAAAAGCAGCUUUUCCUUUAUCAUGAAGGUGCUUGCUUGCUAAAUAGACCACAAGCAUAGGGUAAAUCAUGCAUUGUUGCUGCCAUAGGGGUCCUUACCAAUUGACAUAAACUAAACGUGAAUUUCAUUUUUCAAGUGCGUAGAACUCCACUUGACUUCCAGUUGAUGCACAUCGGCCAUUAUCCACAAGAUGCUCUGAUGAACAAUCAAUGUGUCCAUUCAUGUGGCAAAACGUACUAUGGAGACAGACAUAUGAAGUUGAUCCUUGGAAGGCGGAGCUGUCGCGCAACCUAACAACUCAGUCGUUCGGAUCCUCCUCCUCCAGCUUGUUCUGUCUAUAUGUUUUAAGAGGAGGAGGAUUUGACGGCACGAAGGAGUUUGUAGACCAACUAAUGGACUAGUUUAAGAAAGAAAAGAAUUCUACUGCGCAGUUUGCUUGGAGACUGAAAGGAAUAAUAAGGAAGAGGGGUACCCAUGGCCAUGUGACCGUCAAGUUUCCAUUAAGUACAUAUUUGAAGUGCUUGACAUUGUGGGCCCGAGUUUUUUUAUUUUGUCGUGGAUUGUCUUUUGCGGUUCUGAGCCGACAGCUUUUGUAUUCUCUUGAACUUUGGAGAAUCAUAUUCACAUUUAGGUCCCCACAUUCAUAUGACAGGAUAAGGCAAGCACAGCACCUUUCGGUGGAUGAGGUGAUGAGGGUUUGGAGGAAACUCAAUCGAAAGCCCUUGGGAAGCAUCUUUGUGGGAGCAAAUUCAAGGUUAAUUCAUUGUUAAAUUAUAUCUCGAGUUUAAGUAUUUGCAAAACGCGAUUCGCUUGAAUAGAUAUGUUAUCAUCCAAAAUAAAACCCAAUGUUUAUUUCAUUAUUUAAAUAGGCAAUGCGAGAUAAUAGUUUCAUUAGCGGGAUUUAGGUAAUGGCCCAAUUUCGAUUUCAUUUUUAGCAAGCUGUUCCAUUCCAUAUAUGAAGUGAUAUUGUAUUUGUUCAUGUAAACGGUUAUCUAGAUAUAGUUUCAAUCUCUUUAUGUAAAAACCCUUUUUUGAAAAUCUCAAAAGUUUAUUGGUUGACGUAGGACAAGUUGCCAAUAGUUUCCUAAAAUGAAUAGAGUUUAGCACAACAUUUAUCAAAGUGAAUAGAUAAAGGUCGGCCGCUACGAAUGAGAGCUACGGACAAUCUAGCAUAAAUCAUGUUGACAAGGAUUUUUCAUAGGAGUGCCACGGGGUUUCAUUACAAAUACCGGUGAUGAGCAGAUGUUGAAACUGCAUUUGUCCAGUCCUUUAAGUUAGCUUUGAAACUGUUCUUGUCAAUCCUCCAGAACCUCUACCGAAAUUCACUACUCAAUUCCAAAAAUUCUCUGCCCAGCCACACCAAUUUUCCCAAAUUCCUCGCAUAGCUUGUGCUUCACACUACUUUACCAUUCCGUUUUAGCAUGCGGCAACGUGGUGUCCUCCUCACUUCACCUUCCCAUUAUAUUUCCCUAAAGACUCCAUUUAUUAAUGGAAAAGCAAGUCAAGUCAAGCUGUACUUGAUUCCAAAGUUCAAUCAAAGCACCUGUGCUGGUGGCGUGCACCUUCCGCAGGGUGCUAACGAAAUUACGCGUUCAAGCGCGCAUAGUAGAAAAAGCAAGGACUAGGAGCAUCUUUAUUGCAAUUGGGUUUUCUUUUCCACCUUUUUGUUAAAAUAAAAAGCAAGUAAAGUCAAGAAGCACCUGCAGAGGUUCCCCGCAACUUCCUCAUACUGCUAUGAAUAUUACGCGUGCAAUGACUCAGCAUUCUUGGAGCACUCUGCAAUCAGUAUUCUUCAAGCAUGAAGCUUAAUACUGUGCAAAAGAAAAAUGCACUUUGGUGGAGAAGCCAUUGGCUGAAAAUGUCAACAUGAAAUAAAAAGCUAAACACCAAAUGAAAUAAAAAAGUAAUUGAUAUUCACUAAAUAAUUAGUCGACGGUGCAGAGAACCCAUUGGCCAAGAAUUUUUAAAUGUAACACCGAAUGUAUAAACCCACAAUUCCACCAACUCGAGAAGAGCCAACUAUAAUGCCUUGUAGGUCUAUGAAAAAGAAUAAAGAAGAUCAGCGGAAUCAACUCAUGUACUUAAUUAGAUGGAUUUAACAUACAUUGAAGCUCAAUUAGUUGUUGAUUAUGCAAACAAAAUCAUCAUAAUUUUCUAACUUGCCCAAAUAAGGACAAAAAAAAAGAAAGAAAACCUCUCUUAUUUACUAUCAAUCGACUAUCAGUUGCCUCGAUAAUUCCCAUAUACUGUACAUUCUCCUGUCAUUAUUAAUAUAUCAAAUGCCCGAAUAUGCUUGUAGCUCCAUCCAAAUCUGGAAACAGAGUCUCACCCAAAUCCAGUCUUUCGUAGAAAGGGUGCACUAAUCUUCGGCCGGCCCCACUCCGAGCAUCAGCAUUGCUCGCUGCUUUUCUUUCCAAUUCUUCGUUUACUUGGAAAAAGCAAGUCAAGUCAAGUCAAGGUGCACUUGCAUAGGUCAAGGUGCACUUGGAUAGGUAGCUUCAAUACACCUUCUGCAUAAUGUUGCGGAAAUUAUGCCAGCAAUGGUUGCCCUUUGCUUUUUAUUUUCUAAUUGUUUUAAUAAGUAGAAAAACAAGUCAAGUUGAACUCGUGCUCAUUUUAGAGAAAAAAAAGCACCCGCAUAUCCUCUAUGCCCCUUCCACGCAAUACCGUGGAAAUUAUGCAUGCGAUAAUUACGCUUUUCGUGCAGCAUGCAUCGCAAUCGCAGCAGUUCGAUUAGUUGGAGAUUCUUGGACCGUUGGAUGGCAAGAACGCAGCAUUGUUCAAGCACGCAUAAUAGAGAGUGUUGUGAUGCCAUUUCUCUGCCUUGCUGACACUAGAUGUGUUCGAAGUUGACUAGUUUUGAUAUUUCUCUCAGCUCUUGAAAUGUAUGUGAGUAAUACAGCAAGAAGCUUGAAAUAUGGAGGAUGAUGUUUUUCUUCAAGUACUCUUAUCAAAUUUCAGAUUGGCUGGAAGUUCUCAAUACAUGGUCUCUUCCCAUUUUCAAUUUACUAUUAGUUCCAAGUCACAACCUAAGAUUUUUUCUUUGUCUAAUUUAUCUUCGCUUUUAUCUUCUAGUUGGUGAAGCAUAGAAACCAUCAUAUUUCCUAUCAAUCUCGAUAUUUGAUUGAUUUCAUCAAUCAUUUAUCAUUUAAAAUCCCUUCUCCUUAUCGUGUCAUAGAGUGAAAUGGGAAAUGAGUGAUUCCUAUGAAAACCAUUGAAUAGUUCUUGAACUUUAAUUCGUUUCAUGAAACAUAUUUGAAUGGAAUGACAAAAAUAUGGUUCACUUCUUAAGUUUUCGAUUAUACUUUAAUGGAGAUCUCCAAGUCUAGUAAGUAUCAUAUGUAUUGUGACCCUCGUGGAAGUAUGAGAAGCAACUUGAGUGAAAAGUCAUCAUCUCUUCUUCACUUCAAAAGCUAUUUACUUCAUUGAUAUCGGUGUGUAGAGCUUUAGAUACUUCAUUUCUUAUAUUAAGUGUACAAAAAGGUCUAUGUUGAAUACAAAAGUCUGAAAUUUACGUCAACUCAAAUAAUAUAAAAGAGAAUAUGCACAAAUAUGAAUUAAAUGAUUAGGAACGUCAUAAUUAUACACCUGAGUUGAAAGAAUGUUUGUACCUAUAAGUAAAGAAGUGAGUACAUGCUCUUAGGAGGUUUUAUAAGCUAAGCUGGUUGUCAGAGCAGCAAAAGUAGGCUAAUAUUAUAUAGCUAUAAUACACUAGGUGUCAAUGUAAUCAUUCCUUGUUGUCGUGUUUAAUGCAAUUCCUCUCCAUUUAAUACCUUCAGUUUUUCAAAUCACAUCUUCUAAUGCUAAAUAAGCUAAUAGUGAAUCCUCCUUUAUUGUGCUGCAAAAAAUUGUAUUUUGGUGAAGAACAUGUUGGCAGAGACUGGCAACAUGAAAUAAAAAGCCUGACAAAAGAUGAUCAUGAAAGGGGAAAAAAAAGUAUUACUGAAUUACCAUUCAAAUACGGAGAGUUGUUAGCUUAGAAUUUAUUAACGCAAAACCAAAAGAAUAAAAUUUAUGUAAUAUGUUGAAAACUAUUAAUUUAAACGGAGAGAUAAAAGUGGCUUGGAUGGAGGAUAACGAUUUGAUAAUUUUCAAGCAAAAAGUAGAAUGGAGAAAUCUAGUUUAACAAAAUUAUUUUGAAAAAUAUUUAUUUUAAAGUUACUUUUCUAGACAAAUAAAAAGGGAAAAGCCUCCUGCAGACUUUUAAUAACAAAAUCCUGUAUAAUCCCCCAAUUUAUACGCUCUUGUCUGACUCAUGUAAAUUAGCAGUAUCUAAGAGAAUGAAAGCAAGUCAAGUCAAGUCAAGUCAAGCCAGUGCUGGAUCUCUCAAAUUUCAUUGAAAGCGCGUAGACAGGUUCGAAGCACCUUCCCAGUAAUAUGGUGUGAAUCGUGGAGAUCGCGGCAGGAGCAUGUGAGUGUUGCUCGUCAGUUCUCUUUUCCACUUUUUCUUAUUAAUAUAAAAAGCAAGUCAAGUCACGAUGCUGCUGAGUAUUGCGUGUCUCCAAGUCAACGAUGCUACUUCGACCAAAAAAAGAAAGAAAAAGUCAUGAUGCCGCGGAAAUUACGCGUGCAAUGAUUAUUCUUUCCGUGGCAUGGCUCACAGCGGUUCGAUUAGCAUGGAGAGCUUUGGACCGUUGGAUGGCAAGAACUCGAUUGUUCGAGCACGCAUAUAAAAGAAUUUCGCGUGUUGGUAAAUCCUACUUCAAAGGCUGAAAAUCGGUGGAGAUACCAGGGUCGUGUUGUUUGAGCACUCCUCAGGUAGUCAACCGACUCCUUUCUCUUUUCUGUUUCCUACUUUGAUUGCUCCAUUUUCUUCUGAGUAAGCAAGAGGCGUGAGAGUUCUUUUAUUUUCGUUUGAAUUAACUGAGUCAUGAAAGACAUUUGUGCGAUUCGCAGAUCUGGACCGUGAAGCCUGGCUUUCUUUUAAGGCUCUGCUUGAUCAAUCUCUUAUUUUAUAACAGAAUAAGAAUCUCGUUGGCCAAUCACUCCAUGAUGUCCAUCGAAUCAAGAAAAAGGUAAAUGGUCUUUCCGUUCUCUUCCUUUCUCUCCAAUUCCUUUCGUUUCUUUUCACGUCAUUUCCCUCUCAACUUAAAUUGCCAAUUGAAUUGUAAAAGAGAAGAACCCACUCACUCAGAAGAUCCGAAUUCCAGGGCGUCUUCCUCAUCGAAUGCUCCGCAUGGAGGAGAUCAUGAAGAGGGAGACAAACGACCAAGAGGGAAUGCCUACGAAGUGUUCUUGAGCUUUAGUGGGAUAGACACACGCAAAAGUUUCACCGAUUAUCUCUAUACUAGUCUUAUCGAUGCAGGAAUUCACGUGUUCAGAGAUGACAAUGAGCUCCGUGUUGGUGAGGAGAUUGGUCCGGAGCUUCUCUGCAGCAUUACGCAGUCCACAAUCUCUAUCCCAAUUAUUUCCGAGAAUUACGUUUUCAGCAAAUGGUGCCUUCUUGAGUUGGUUCAGAUGUUAAAGUGCAAGAGGAGUAAUGGGCAAAAAGUGUUGCCCAUAUUUUACAAAGUGGAACCCCACCAAGUGCGACAUCCCACGGGGAGAUUGAGAGAAGCUAUCGAUGCACAUAAACAGAAUAUGGAGGAAAUGGUUGUGAAGGAAUGGGAAGAAGCACUCAAAGAAGUUAGCACCUUGAAAGGAUGGGAAUCGGAGAAAAUUGAUAAUGGGUACCUUAUUCUCCAACAAAACAUUGUUUAAUUAUUCAUAAUAGAUCUUUUUUAAAAAAGAAUACACAUAUUGCUAUCCUAUACUAAUAUUCAUUGUUAUUUGACAGGCAUGAAGGAACAUUGGUUAAAAUUAUUGUGAAAAAAGUUAUGGGCGAGUUUAAAAGACUUUUUCAGCUAAAUGUUCCCGAACAGUUAGUGGGAAUCGAGGAUCAUGUGCAACAGAUUAUGAGCAACAUAGAUGCUGAAUUCAAUGAUACAGAGAUUAUUGGAAUUUAUGGAAUGGGCGGCAUCGGUAAGACUACUCUUGCAAAGGUGUUAUACAACAUACUCUCUAGUCAUUUUGACUGUCGUAGCUUCUUGGCAAAUAUCCGAGAAACAUCCCAGCAUAAGGGUAUUGAAUACGCACAAAAGCAACUCAUUUAUGACAUAACAAGAAGUUCAUGUGAUGUGUCUAAUGUCGACGAAGGAAUUAGUGUCAUCAAAUCUCGAUUUAUGAGAAAGAAAGUCCUAGUUCUUCUAGAUGAUAUGGAUGAUAUCACUCAAUUGAAUGCUUUGGUUGGGGACAGUAGUUGGGUUGAAUCGGGAAGUAUAGUCAUCAUCACAACUAGAAACAAAAGCAUUCUCGAUGAAGGUAGGAUGGCCUUCACGCACCAACUCAGCGAGUUAUCUUUAGAUCAAUCAUUGAUUUUAUUUAGUAGACAUGCCUUUCGAAAGGAUUAUCCUCCGAGUGAUUAUAAGGGUAUCUCUCAUGAUGUCGUAUCUACUACUAAGGGGCUCCCAUUAGCUCUUGAAGUUAUAGGUUCGUUCUUAUGGAGAAAGAGAGAAGACGUAUGGAAAGGUACAUUAAAAAAAUUAAAGAAUGCGCCCGAUGAGAAAGUGCAAGAGAAGUUGAAAAUAAGUUAUGAAGCAUUAGAUUAUAGGAAACAACAAAUAUUUUUGGAUAUAGCAUGCCUUCCCCUCGAAUUUGAGAGACAAUAUUCAAUGUGUAUGUGGGAUGCUUGUAGUUUUUUUCCCUGAGAUGGGGAUUGAAGUAUUAAGUCUUUUGUCCCUAAUUAAAAUUGACGAAGAUGGAAAGCUAUUGAUGCAUGAUCAAUUGAAAAAACUUGGAAGGGAAAUUGUUUAUCUAGAAAAUCCAAGGGAGCCUCAAGAGCGUAGCAGAUUGUGGAUAAAUGAGGAAGCCUUAGAUGUGCUUGACAAUUGCAAGGUAUAAGUUUCCUCUACUUUUUUAAGUCAAUGAAUGUGGGUCCAUCUUCCCUUUCUUGUUCGGAAAAAAAAAAAAAGUUAGUCUUGAGUCCCCAUAACUUGCUUGCUGCUUCUACAAGCGAAAGCUCUUUUUUGAUUAAUUGUUGUUUUUGCCUGAUUCUAGAAAUCUAUGGUAAAAAUGAGCAAAAUUUAGAUGACUACUACUUCACUAUAACAAAAUCAACACGAAAAUGAAAAGAUAACAUCAAACAUCUGUAGCAAUAAAAAGAAUCAUAUAUGGAAUGUUUGAUAUUAUCAAUUUUCCUUCCACGUAUAAUGAAAAACCCUCAUUGAAGAAACACAUGAUAAGAAAGGAACCUAAAACACAUGCGUACUUUUUGCGAUGAUAUUCUUGUUUUCAUUUCGAUACGGAGAAUUGUCAACAAAGUAAAUGAAAAAGGUGAGGGAAUUCUACAAUUGGGAUUCUUUAAUUUUGAUACUUAUAUUGAUGGCAAGUUUGAUUGAUGUAUUUGGACACUUAGAGUUGUAUUGGUUACAUUCACAUGAUAGAAGUAAAGGUAGUGUUAUUUCACAUACAAAGGGCAUGAAUUUUGAUAGAUAUAUUUGAUUUAGUGUAUGCAUGAAGAGAGGCCUUCCAUUAUAGUUGUAAAUGGACACAAAUUUUGGAAAUUCAGAAGGUGCAAAAUGCGAAGUGUAUAGUUGGAUGAGGAAAAAGUUCGGGAACAACCACUUGAGCUUCUCAUCUUUACAUAUUUUAGAUAAAUAAUAUGCAAUUGCAACCUUUCAUUUUACAAAAUUGAAAGGGAGAAGCCUAUAUGCCAUAGUAGAAUGUCGGCAAAUUGAAAUUAGUGCAUUUUAUUUUAUAUCAGUUGGUCUCAUCUCAUCAUUCAAAACUUAUGGUCCACAAUGUUUCCAAGUUGCAGGGCACCAAAAAGAUCGAGGCCCUUUCUCUUGGCAAAUGUAGUGAGGGAAAAAAAUACGCAGCUGAACAAUUUAAAGAAUUGACCAACUUGAGGUUCCUUCAAGUGGAUGGUGCUAAUUUCACUGGAGAUUUCCAAAGCUUACUUCCUGAGUUAAGAUGGCUUAAGUGGAACCGCUGUCCCUCGGAUUUCGUUGCGGUCAACUUUCAUCCAAAGAAAUUAGUUGUACUCGAUCUGUCAGAUAGUGCAAUUUCGGAGCAUUGGGAAGGAUGGGAUCCACUCAAGGUAAGACUUAAAGAAGGCAUUGAAGUAUUUUUUAACAUGACAUUUUUUUCUUUGUACAUUUGAAAAUUGAUUUUCACAAUUAAAUUAGCCGUUUCUCUUUAAUUUGAUACUACUGAACGAAAACAUGGUGCCCAAUGAUUACAUCUCUCUUCCAUUUGGACUUGUCAUAUGCUUUUUUGAUAUUAUAAGUUGCUUAUGUCUAAUCGGAAAAUAUCUCUUUUGAAAUUUUAUUCGAAAAUAAAUGUAGUUAGCACUUGUACAUUCUAAUAUUCUUUUGCAAUCGAUGUGCUUAGAAAACAUUUAUCUAUUGACGUGGCCAAACAUUACUUAAAGAGGCAUUUAAAAUUAAAUAAGACAACCGCAAAGGAGUAGAGGAGCACGGGUAACUUUUGAGGAAUUCUAAAAGGUCAAAAACAUAAGGAGUAGCAAAAAAUCACAGGUUGCGAUAGUCCACUUACACUGACGUACCAUUUCUUUCUUCUAGAUGGCGACUGAGCUCAAAGUUCUCAACCUCAAUGAGUGUAAAUUUUUGAAAAGAACUCCCGACUUGUCCACUUUCAAAAGGUUGGAGAUUUUACAUCUUGUACUAUGUUAUAAUCUAGAAGAGCUUCAUCCUUCUAUUGAAAAAUUGGCAUCAUUGAUCGAGCUGGACUUAACAGAUUGUGUAUCGAUUACGAAAUUACCCGAAAGCAUUUGGAAUCUACGAAAUAUGAGGGUCUUGGAUAUUAGUGGCACUCACAUAACAGAAUUGCCUGAUGCCAUUGGGAUGUUGGCAAAACUCCAAAAGUUACGUGCUUGGGUUUGCAAACUGGAGGGAGUAUCUAGUAAUAUAUGCAAACUGACUUCGCUAGAGGAGCUCUACGUUGGUUAUUGUGAGAAGCUUCAAGAAUUACCAGAACUGCCCUCCGGCUUAACCUAUCUGUCCUCCGGCUUAACCUAUCUGCCCUCCAGCUUAACCUAUCUGGUGAUCGCCUGGCAGGGGCAGUCUUUGCCCCAUCUUUCCCAGCUAACCCAUCUCAAGUAUCUAUGUCUUUCCCAUUGUCAUCGGCUUGAAUGUGUCCCAGAGCUUCCCAUUGGACUCUCAGAGCUUGCUAUUGCAAGGUGCGGAAAAUUGAAAGCCUUGACGAAUUUGUCAGACUUGAAACACUUGCGAGAAUUCAGUAUUUUUGAAAGCCCAUCUCUCGAAGGAUCGCCCGACGUGUCGAAUUUUAGGCGUACGCAGAUGAUAGAACUUGGCUUGAAAGAGUCCCGGGGCUUCAUGGGGAGCUUAAUAUUCGAGCGUUCACCCCGCUGGUUUCCUUGGCCCGAAGAUUGAAGCCACCGUUCGCACCGCUCAUCCACCGCAGGCAGGCGGGCAGGUCGGUCGGCGCGGCGGAGAUGACGACGGCGACGGCAACGAGGCGACGCCACGGCUGGCAGCGCCCUCUCCAUCCGCUCCAGGUAAACGCAUGCACGCGUCUUUCCUGUGGUCUCUCAGCUUCAUCUGCAUUUUAGAACCACGUCGCUCCGACGCGCGAGCUCAUCAAUUGUUCGGAUUGGAGAUUUUAGUUUUCUCAGUAGUAAAUGUGUAGGGCGUGAUGCAGAUGAUCGAUCAAUCGCAUUUGAAGUUUAGAGUCGAUCAAUCUCAUGUCGUAAAUUUGCAAUUGCAGACAGUUGGGAUGGCGGUGUUCAGUUUCCUAGCGGUGGCCUUCUAGGUCUUCUUGGGACUGUUGCUUGGGAACGGGGCUGCUGAAAUCACCAUGACGACAAUAUUCUCUUUUGUGGUAACUCCCUUAGCGUUUACUUUGUGCCAUGAUGACAUUGAUUGCUUUUCUUUCGUCAGUUUUCUGGGAAUUGAUGGGAUUUUCCACAUAUUUCCCCCGAUUUUCAGGUGUUCUCGGCGAUGUUUCUGUUCGUCUGGUGUACUGCGAUAGAUCUGAUGGAUAGGACCAGUUAUAGAAAGAAGAAGAGAGGCUCCGAAGCAAUAGCGCUCGCGGACUUUUGUGCCUAUUCCUCGAGCUCCCUUUUCCAAUUUUGAUGCUUGAUUUGCCUAUCUGGGUACUUCUUCUUUCUCUUUUUUCUUGAAUGAUGAUGGAAGGAAGGUUGGGGCUGAUAUUCCUGUGGAAGUCUAAUGGUGGAUCCUCUGUAUGUGUAUACGAAGAGAUAUGUAAUAAAGCAAAGAGAUUAGCCUGGGGAGAUAUCCUUUCUGGCAGCAUAUCAGCGAGUCUUCAGCACCUGACUGCUUAGCUUUGGAGGAGAGAGC
rnacentral:lncRNA from 1 species